UGGACGUAGGCGCGGGUGAAGGGGUCGGUGAGGAGGGCGCCGUCGGAGUGGAAGAGGCCCCUCCGCUUGCUCACCAGCUUGAAGUAAUCGGUGUCGAAGGUCUUGAAGCUGCCGGGGUCCAUCUCCACGAGUGUGGUGUUGUCGUUGAGGCUGGCACACUUGCUCUUUAGCCGCAUCAUGUACUGCGGCUCCAGCGUGGGGUCGAUGUCGCUGGGGUUCUCCAUGCCGGUGAAGUUGUAGAGCCGGUCGGAGAAGGAGAAGCAGUGCGACGUCCCGAUGGUGUGCCCGGCGGACAAGACGACAAGGUCCUUUGCGUCGAGGUUCACGGCGGCGAAGAGCUGGGUGAGCACGGUGAAGUUGGAGGUCGGGGGUGGCAGAGCGUCGGUCGCGUUGGAAAGGGACACGCUGCCGUCUCGCCGGCCCAGAGGAACUGUCCAGAAUGGACCCUUGCUCUGGAGAAACCAUGAUCGAGCAGCAUUAGAAUUUGGCUUCCACACGUACCGUGUCAUUUGAAAAAUGGCAUAGUAGGAGUACUCUACUCACCAGCCAUACUGCGUCCCUGGCAAUGAGGGCGAGGAUGUCGGCGCAGGAGACGGUGUCGGGGCAGGCCUUCUCCACCGCGGCCUUCACCCUCUCGACAAACCCGAAGCCUCGCAGCGUCUGGUUCGGCUGCGCGUCCUUCUCCGCCGUCUUGUUGGCCGAGUCCAGCAGAACCGAGCCGUCGCACCCCUGCAUUAAUUAAUGGCGGUCACUGGUCAGGCCGCCGCACACAAUAGGGUACGGGCAGGACAGACAACAUGCAUGCAAAUGUAGCUUACCCUGACGAAGCAGUCGUGGAAGUGCAUCCGGAGGAGCGGCCCGGCGAGGCUAGGCGCUAGUGACAGAGCCCUCACCAUCUCCUUCCUCACGACGUCCUCCACGCUGGGGCACGACUCGCUGUAGAACUUGUCGUGCAGCUGCGCCCGCCCGCACGUCGCCGCCACCGCCGCGAGCAGCAGCGCAACCAUCGUCGCAGCCCUGGACGCCAUCUUCUCGGCCAAGAAGCUUGUUUCUUUCUUGGCUAUGCAAGAAACGACGAUGGCUAGUUGAUCCGGAGAAGCUUGAGCUGCUGCUGCUGCUGAUGAACUGGCGCCGGGGAAAUAUAUAGCGCCGGAGUGUCCACACGCCUGCAUGUGGUGGGCUGUCCUCCGGAGCAGCAGGUAAAAUUCCCAUGGUUUAAUGAGUUGUUCCUUGUUUGCACUCUGCGGAAUCUUUGCCGUGGCAGGUACACCGACGGCGCACGGUAUGUAUAAUGGAGGCGGCCGGACAGCCAGACGGAAGCACAUCAUUAGAUGAAUUCACUAAUUUUCUUUAGACAGCAAUCUACUCACUAACUUACUAAUUAGUUAUGAGUUAUCACGGAGAAAACUGCGGUGCCAAGUUGUAAUCAACAAAGGCUACUGGCAAUGAGUGAAUGCCACCUACUGGUAGUUUGCAAGCGUGCGAAUUUCAUGAUGCAUAUAUUUGUACCGGUGCCACAUGCUAUCCUGAAAAUANNNNNNNNNNNNNNNNNNNNNNNNNNNNNNNNNNNNNNNNNNNNNNNNNNNNNNNNNNNNNNNNNNNNNNNNNNNNNNNNNNNNNNNNNNNNNNNNNNNNNNNNNNNNNNNNNNNNNNNNNNNNNNNNNNNNNNNNNNNNNNNNNNNNNNNNNNNNNNNNNNNNNNNNNNNNNNNNNNNNNNNNNNNNNNNNNNNNNNNNNNNNNNNNNNNNNNNNNNNNNNNNNNNNNNNNNNNNNNNNNNNNNNNNNNNNNNNNNNNNNNNNNNNNNNNNNNNNNNNNNNNNNNNNNNNNNNNNNNNNNNNNNNNNNNNNNNNNNNNNNNNNNNNNNNNNNNNNNNNNNNNNNNNNNNNNNNNNNNNNNNNNNNNNNNNNNNNNNNNNNNNNNNNNNNNNNNNNNNNNNNNNNNNNNNNNNNNNNNNNNNNNNNNNNNNNNNNUAAACUAAGCGUGAGUGUAGAAUAGCUUAUUCUACACCCCAGUAACGGUACAUACAAAAUAUAGUAACACAUUAUGUAAAAUAUAGUAAUUUUCGUAAAAAUGUAGUAAAUUAUAAACUUGGGUGAUAAAAAAAAUAUUUUCCAGGCAAUAUACGUACUUACACAAACACUAAUUAGAGGUACCUCGCAAAAUUACCCUGAGACCACUAGGGGCUUGUUUGGUUGUCAUCUACGAAUUUGUCUGCGUUGCACACAUGUCUUAGUUGGGCCUGGCUAUGAGAAAACAGGCAAACGAAAUCUGCAUCUGCACCUCAUUUGGUCGCCCACAUCUAGACUUCCUGCAUUAGGGGAACGGUUUUAGCAUGCUGUUUGGUGUCCUGUAUUGUCUCCACUCAUGCAACUACAUAGUGUUUGAUUGUAUAUAUACACAGGAUAUGAUUAAGAGCUAAUAUCUACGCAUGACAUAACACACAGAGUUACAAUAGAGUUCCUUGGCAGUGUGCCCGUGAUGGUGGCAUUAGUGUAAGCAGAGGGCGAGGAGGCAUAGAGAAAAGACGCCGGCGGCAGUGCCAGGCACAAUAUGGCGUCCAUCCGACAAGGUUGACAACCACAUAUAACACUGGGGACGACAUGACGACAAGGAUGAAAAAUAUGAAGGAGAAAUGCAAUUUGCAUGCCAUGGCCGCGUUAGAGCAACUAUAGCGAACCCCGUAAAAGUCACAAACCCGCAAAAUUAUGGCGAGUAUACGGAUUCGGCCCAAUUUUCUGGCCAGAACAGAGCCCGUAUACUCGACGGCCCGUAAAUAUUUUUACCGCGGCCCGCAACCCUCCCCCCUCCGCCAAGCAAUAUAUCUACGGGUUUGCGGUGCAUAUGCGGGUCGAAACCCUAUCCCCCACUGCCGCGUCUCGCCGCAAUUCCCCACUCCCCUCCUUACAUUUCUCGCCAAUGGUGAGCCCCUUCCACCUCCAAAAGACAUGUGGGGCUGCAUGCGGAGCUUCAGCCACGGCUCUGGGAGUAGCUCCGGCAGGGGCGGCAGCCCCGAGCGCGAGCGGCAUGUCUGCUUGGAUGGCGCGAGGAAGCGCGGGGCGAGGAACUGGACGAACAAGUCUCGAACCGUUGCCGAGCUUCCUCGUUCGUGAGACGGAGGAAUACGACCGUCGGCGCGGGCGUACGCCCUCCUCGGCCGCGGGCUCGUCCUCCGCCGCGAGAUCUUCCCACGCCGCGAUCUCUUCCUCUUCCGGCGCGAGGCUUCUCCUCGUGAAGAGGGAGUGGUCAGAGGAGCCGGUGGAGAUCGAGGUCAUCGCCGUCAAGCAGGAACCGGAGGUGAUCGAGUGACGAGGGGUCAUCGAGCCCAAAGAUUUUGUGGCCGAUUUCGACACGGUGGCGUCCGCCAUUGCCGAGCGGAGCUUAUGCGAGGAGGCGGAGCGCCGGCGCCACGACGACGAGGUCGACGACCUCAUCCUCCAGCAGGCGGUUGCGGCCAACCUUGCCGUGAAGGAGAAGGACGACGAGUGGCGGCGCAUCCGCGAGGAGCAGAGGUCGAAGUUCAUCGAUCUCGUCAACUCCGACGAGGACUGAGCUCCUCCACCGCGUCGUCCUCAGCCGUGAGCUCAUCCAUUUUGGUAUAUCGAUCUCGGCCUCGCCGCCAUGAAUCCCCCCUCCCUCUAGUAGUAGUAAUAGAAUGUAGUAUGUAUGAUAAUGUAGCAUGUGAUGAUGAACUAUGAAUGAUAAUGUAGUAUGUGAUGAAAUAGUGUGGUUGCAAUUUCUCCCACGACAGUAUUAUUCAAAUUAUGCAGUUUCAUAUACGGGUUCUAUUCUGCCACACACGAUUUUGACCCGCAAAACAGUUCUUCAUCGAACUGUAAACGCCUUAUGCGGGUCACGGUUUUACGGGGUCUGCUAGAGUUGCUCUUAGUGCAAGAGGACACAGAGGAGGAGGCCAAAAAGAACAAAGCUAACGACGGCAUCAGUGUAGUAGGACGGGAGCAUGGAGUUAGAGAGGAACAACGCUGGCGAUGGCUUCAGUGUAGCAGAACAUGGGAUAGAAGACAUAGAGGAUCAAUGACCGCUCAAGUGUAGUAGGACGCGGGAGAGGAGGUUGAGAGGAAACGAUGCCGGAGGUGGCGCUAGCGCAACAUCACGCAGCAGAGGAGGCCGAGAGGAACGACACUAACAGUGGCGUCAAUGUAGCAGGACACCUGACUGGAGACCGAGAUUAAGGUCUGUCAUUAACACACAUCGCACAUAUGCAUAUGUAUGUUUUAACAAGGAAGAAUUUACAUCUAGUCUACGAUCAUCGAAACAGAAAAUUUGCAAUACGUAAGUCAUGCGAAACUGCAAGAUGAAGCAACUGGUCAAAGGAAGUUUCAAACGGUCAACCGUGCGCGACAAAUUUAACAAAAUAUGUCCAAAAUAGCUUCAAACAUGAACACGAAAUUGAGCAUUUACGGUUGAAGAAACUACAAACCGGUGACCUGAAUGAAACCAUAACAUUGAUGGUGCAUCUUUUUCAUGUAGAGGUUAUCUCGAAUCGAAGCAUCGUUGUGUAGAUUAGAAGAGAUGACAAAGAAAGAAGAUUAGAGACGAGCUUAAUGGAGGUAGAAGAACAUAGCAGGUAUCCCUCAAGUCUCCUCAGGUGCAACAAGGUCCACCAUGUGCGUUUGAUGUGCCUCAUCUCAGUCUGGCUUGCUAAAAACUGUCGAUUUGACCGUUCCUAGCGGGCCUGACUAGGAGGUGCUUUAAAGUCUGUGCGUUACGGGCCAAACAAUGAAUGUAGAUAAACAAACAUGCCAUUUUCUUCCCACACAGACCUGAUUGACCUAUAUACAGGGUACCAAACACGCCCUAGGUGAUGCCUCUAGGAUUGGAGUUCUAAGUUUCGUAUCAAUGCCAUGUAGCCAACGACCAACCAUGUUUUGACAUUAUGUGACAGGUGCAAAUUAGAAGCUACCAGUAGAAAUGAUUUGGUUUUUAGUGGGAAAACUCUUCUCCUUCAGGUUUUUCUUUCUGUAUACACUCACUUUGUAUGUGAUCUACACUGCAUCAAAUAAAAUACCAACCGAUUUUCAAGACGGCGCAUAUAUAGUUGGAGGGGGUGCCAGGGAGGUUUUUACCCAACGUAGAUGACAACAUAAUCUCCGGAUCGGCCCACCACCUCCUUCGACAUAACACAGUGUCAGUACUAUAUAACUCUACUGUUGCAGAUAGCAUGUGGCACCGGUACAAAUAUAUGCUUCGUGGUCGAUUUCGACGCGGUGGCGUCCGCCAUUGCCGAGUGGAGCUUGCGCGAGGAGGCGGAGCGCCGGCGCCACGACGACGAGGUCAAAGACCUCAUCCUCCAGCAGGCGGUCGCGGCCAAUCUUGCCGUGAAGGAGAAGGACGACAAGUGACGGCGCAUCCGCGAGAAGUAGAGGUCGAAGUUCAUCGAUCUUGUUAGCUCCGACGAGGACUGAGCUCCUCCACCGCGUCGUCCUCAGCCGUGAGCUCAUCCAUUUUGGUAUAUCGAUCUCGGCAUCGCCGCCACGAAUCCCCCAUCCCUCUAGUAGCAGUAAUAGAAUGUAGUAUGUAUGAUAAUGUAGUAUGUGAUGAUGAACUAUGGAUGAUAAUGUAGUAUGUGAUGAACUAGUGUGGUUGCAAUUUCUCUCGCGAAAGUAUUUUUCAAAUUAUGCAGUUUCAUAUAUGGGUUCUAUUCUGCCACGCACGAUUUUGACCCGCAAAACAGUUCUUCAUCGAACUAUAAACGCCUUAUGCGGGUCACGGUUUUAUGGUGUCUGCUAGAGUUGCUCUUAGUGCAAGAGGCCGCAGAGGAGGAGGCCAAAAGGAACAAAGCUAACGACAGCAUCAGUGUAGUAGGAUGCGAGCGGGAGUUAGAGAGGAACGACGCCGGCGGUGGCUUCAGUGUAGCAGAACAUGGAAUAGAAGACAUAGAGGAUAAACGACCGCUCGAGUGUAGUAGGACGCGGGAGAGGAGGUUGAGAGGAAACGACCCCGGAGGUGGCGCUAGCGCAACAUCACACGACAGAGGAGGCCGAGAGGAACAACGCUAACAGUGGCGUCAGUGUAGCAGGACACAGGACUGGAGACCGAGAUUAAGGUCUGUUAUUAGCACACAUCACACAUAUGAAUAUGUAUGUUUUAACGAGGAAGAAUUUACAUCUAGUCUACGAUCGUCGAAACAGAAAAUGUGCAAUACGAAAGUCAUGCGAAAUUGCAAGAUGAAGAAACUGGUCAAAGGAAAUUUCAAACGAUCAACCAUGCACGACAAAUUUAACAAAAUGUGUCCAAAAUAGCUUCAAACAUGAACACGAAAUUGAGCAUUUACGGUUGAAGAAACUACGAACCGGUGACUUGAAUGAAACCAUAACAUUGAUGGUGCAUCUUUUUCAUGUAGAGGUUAUCUCGAAUCGAAGCAUUGUUGUGUAGAUUAGAAGGGACGACAAAGAAAGAAGAUUAGAGACGAGCUUAAUGAAGGUAGAAGAACAUAGCAGGUAUAAAGCUCGCAUCCCUCAAGUCUCCUCAGGUGCAACAAGGUCCACCAUGUGCGUUCGAUGUGCCUCACCUCAAUCUGGCUUGCUGAAAACUGUCGAUUUGAUCAUUCCUAGCGGGCCUGGCUGGGUGGUGCUUUAAAGUCUGUGCUUUACGGGCCAAACAAUGAAUGUAUAUAAACAAAUAUGCCAUUUUCUUCCCACACGGACCUGAUUGGCCUAUAUACAGGGUACCAAACACGCUCUAGCGAUGCCUCUAGGAUUGGAGUUCUAAGUUUCGUAUCAAUGCCAGGUAGCCAACGACCAACCAUGUUUUGACAUUAUGUGACAGGUGCAAAUUAGAAGCUACCAGUAGAAAUGAUUUGGUUUUUAGUGGGAAAACUCUUCUCCUUUGCAGUUUUUUUUCUGUAUACACUCAUUUUGUAUGUGAUCUAUGCUGCAUCAAAUAAAAUACCAACCGAUUUUCAAGACGGCGCGUAUAUAGUUGGAGGGGGUGCCAGGGAGGUUUUUACCCAACGUAGAUGGCAAUAUAAUCUCUGGAUCGGCCCACCACCUCCUUCCACAUAGACAUAGUGUCAGUACUAUAUAACUCUACUGUUGCAGAUACAUUAAUGUCUUUUACUAUAUGUUUGUUCGACUGUUGUGUUUGGCUGCAUGCAUUUUAAUUAUGUAAAGGUCGGGUGUCGUUCAUCAUGCUUUAUAUCCGCUUUAUACUACAUUUGACUUAAUAAAAACACCCACCUCGCAAAAAAAGACUUAAUAAAAACACCCUUUAUUAAAAAAAGGAUGAUUGACCAUGUAGCCCGAGCAAAUUUGUAAUCAAAGUAAAUGUGCUUCAUAUAUAGUUCCGUCUAUUUGACAUAAAAAACAUUGUCUACUUCAAUACAAAUUACAUAUGCUUCACAAGCUUGUUUUUUGUUGUUAUUGAAAUCACCCUUCCGCGAAGAUACCAAUUACUUUCGAAGGGAUAUUUAAUUUUUAUGUUCGUUAAUUGGUACUACCUCCGCCCUGGUUUAUUGGUCCCUUUUGUAAUUUGUGCCAAAUUUUGACAAAAAAAUUAACUAAUAAAAUGUUAAUGCAUGUCAACAAAAAAUAUAUCGUUUGGUUCGUAUUUGAACAUAGUUUUCAAUGAUAUAUUUUUUGGUGGCAUGCAUAAAUAUUUUAUGAGUUAAAUUUAUAGUCAAAAUUUGGCACAGAAUACAAUGGAGACCAAUAAACCAGGACAGAGGUAGUAAUUGGCAUAUCACAAUGAACACUAGGGAGGAUAGAGAUCAUCUGUUCUUCAAGUGCAACUUCAGUACUAGAGUUUGGAACUACAUGCAGAUCUCUUGAACUGAUAACUCUGAUAAGUGUGAGAUUGCUUGCAAGGCCAGGAAAUAAUUUGACAAACCUUUUUUUUUUUGCUGAGGUUGUCUUCACAGCUUGGUGGAAUAUAUGCAUAAUCUGGAACGGAAAAAUAUUAUUGAAUGAAAAGCCCCGUUUUGCUAGGUGGACAGUGGGAUUCACUUGGGAUAUUUAUUUGAUUACACAUAGGAUCAAGGCUACAUAUAAGGAUGCUCUAUUGAGAUGGAUUUCCUAUUUGCCCCCUUUGGUUGUAUUUUCUAUUUUUGGUUCUCAUGUUCCCUCUGUAAGUAAGAUUUUGUUUUCUCUUUCGGCCGAGGCCUUGUAAUCACCUUUGUAUAUCUUUAUAUCUAUGUUUCAAUAAAGAUGAAGCUGUGGUGCUUUGCCCUGCAGGUACAAGUUUCCGAAACAUUGCACUGUGCGUCAAAUUAAUCCAAAAACAUUCUUUUUUACCAAGGUUCCAUUGAAACUCGUCUUUGACUCUUGUAACAACUGCACAACCUCAAACCAAGUUAGAAGUGUUUUCCAUGUCUCAUCUUGGCCCAAGCAAGGUCGUCCUAAACGUCCCGUUGUGGGUGAGGCACUGAAGAAUUGCUCAAAGGUAUCUUGUUUGUUAUAGACAAUACCAAAUAGGAUAUCGGUCACUGAGAGGAACAUUUGUCUAGCCACUAAUCCUUCAAAAUUCUAAUUUGUGAGAUGUCUUUAAUGAUGAAGCUUCCAAAGUGGUAGAAAAAAACUCUCCAUUUUCAUUGGGCUCGCCCUAAAAUGAGAGUCUUCCAUUUAACCCAAGAGAUGGUUUUAGAACGAGCGUAGUUGUUUCACAAGAGGUCUUACCAUACACCUUCCUCGCGAAGACAAAGCUUAAGCAAUAAUUUAAGGAGAAAUGCAAUGUUCUUGGCCUCAACAUCCCAUUUUUUUUCAACCCGCACCUUCUCCUUUCUCCACUUCUCUGCGAAAAAAAAACUGGACUGAAAAUAGUCCAAUAUUUGCAUAAUCCGUAGUGGAAUUUAGUAGAAAAACAACAUGUACAAGACCAUCCUGAUAAGCACAGAGUUAAUACGGACCAACCAUCCACAAAGGACAAAAACUUUCCUUUAAUUCCAACUAAGAAUGUGUUUCUCCCUUCUCUCUACCAUGAUUACUGCAUUCUCGAGCUUCAGAUAAUGAAUUGGAAUCCCCAAAUAGUGAAUGGGGAAUUGGACAUGCUCGUAAAAAAAUUGGUAUAUCGAACUUCAGCUUCCCGGCCAACCUCUAAACAAGCCAACUAGCUCUUAUGGAGGCUAAUUUUAAGGCCCAAAAGUUGCUCAAAUACAGAAACCACUAACUCGAUGUUUUAAGCCUUUUGAAGGUCAUGUUCCAUGUAUAGGAUUGUGUCAUUAGUGUAUUAUAGGAUGGGCAAGUGUACACUAGAUGUGGCACUACCCCACGGAUUUGACCAAUUUCCUUGGCAAGCUCAAUGAGAAUCGUCAAUAUAUCUGCAACAAUAUGAAAUAACAUAAGAGAUAAGCAAUCCCAAUGUCCCAUACCAUUUUCUGUAUCAAAAUAGUGGGGAGUGUCGUCAAGGAACUUAAUGGUACACUAAAAUGAUCAAUUAAGCACGCCAUUUAUUGGAGAAGCAUUACAUCAUGAGUCCCUAUUGAAGAAAAGACCACUUGACUUGUUAUAUGUUGAGUGAAAUUCACCACUAAUCCAUUAACUUAAUAUGAUUGCACACUUUAGACCAACAACUCGGGAAGUGAUCAGUUAAGGCCCUACACUCAUUGAUUUGAUCAAAUAAUCUAAAACUCAAUUUGAUAGAGAAAAAUCUGGCCACAUGGCUGUCAUGUGAGCAUUCCUUUGACCGCUCGGGAACUAAUUCUUUUAUACUAGUCGUCAACCCGUGCGUGCGCACGGGCUAGUAGUUUGGAAAAUAGCUUAGUAGUUUUUUUUGUAAAUAUUGUUAGAAACAAAAGAGGAACUAAUUAUGAAUUAUAAAUUUACACUUGAAAAAUGACACUUUGUUCUUUAAUCAUAUAUUUUAUAUUUAAGUAUAUUUUAUAUGUCAUAUAAGAACACUAUAGUUUGAUUUCUUUGCUCUAAAAAAUGUUAAUUUAUUCUUCAGCAUGUGCAAAUAUCUCCCAAAAACAAUUUUUUCCGAAGAAUUGUUAGGGUUGGAAGAAGCUCAUACAUUUAUUAAGUCUCCCAAGUGUAUUAAUUAUAUAAAUUUACUGUCAGUAAUGUUUUUGAAAUGAAACUACAUUUGUGCGAACAAAAAAUAUUCUUAAGUUUAGAACAAAAACAAACAAACAAAAUUGUUCGAUACUUUCCUAUAUAUAGUGCAUAAUUAUUGAAAUAUGUACAGAGAAGCAUGAUGUGUAUAAUCAUGACAUCCCUCCAAAAAAAUAACUAAACAUGAGCCCAUGAGUUUCUGUCAUGUUUGUUUGUCGAGAAACACAUGAUUUCUUCCUACGUACACAUUCUUAAUUAUCCAAGUCGAAUUUGUUGGACGAUUUUAAACUCUAAACAUCACAAACAUAAUGAAUUUAUUUUCGUCCAAAUACACCUCUAGUAUCAUCUCUUCUAUUUUCCUAAAGGAAAACUCAAUUCCUUGAAUCCCCAGGUAUCAGCCACUUAUUUUUCUAAUCUCAUAAACCAAGUCGGGGUGCUAUGAAAUAUUCAAAUGGUUAUACAUAUCAGAUGCAUCGUGGUGGAUAACUUGGGCCAUGUGAUGCACACUACCUUAGGAAAUGUAAAAACAAAAUGGACUAUAUUUGUUUACAAAUUAUUGAAAAACUUGAGCAAGAAAGAGAAAUAGAGUGGCCAAGAUUAAUAUAUUAUUUUUUGGAAAGACUUAUAUAGUUCUACCAGAAACCUAAUAAUAAUUUGUGAAACAAUUUUCGCUGUUUUCAACAUGCAGCAAUAUUACUUGUUGUUUUCAAUGAGAAGGAGAAACAGUUUUGCAUAGUUAAAUGUCACCUGGCUUUGUAACCCCAAAGGAAUAAGAAUCUACAAAUUAUGAGUAGAAGCAUACAUCCCUACUUAACAAAAGGACACACCAGGUUCAUCAAACAUGGAUGAAAAAACUGAGUGUUGUUAUUGGACAUCAGAAGUCCAUAUCCUAAAAAAUAUGACCAUGCCGAAGGUAAAAUUAGUAUCAUCUAAGCUAGACUAAUUUUAUUUGUCCAGGCUAAUGAUAAUACAUUUUUCAACUACUAAUUUUAUUUGUCCAGGCUACAGCACAACUAACGUCUGCAUUGCAGUAGUAUUUGGGAAACAAAAAAUCAUAUUAUAAUUUGGGACACUGCAGAACGUUCUGAACUAUCGGCAUGCGCGUAUACUGGAUCGUGUAGAAAGGAGAAAUAACCGGCACUUUUGGCGAUGUGGGCACACCGCCAUACUGCAACACAACGCCUUUAAAGUUUUCCCCUGGGAACAUCCAAUUAAUAUUUACAUAUAUGAACUUGUAAGCCCAUUGAUCAUGUUGCACACACCUGUUGUGACCUUCACUCACCUGCCAGUACCCCGACCGGUCGACACCUCUUCCUGCAAGUAGCCACCAGUUCAAUGAUAUAGAAGAUAAAGAAACGAAAUUUACAUCAACUUCGAUAGUCAAAAAAACUCUUUCAUAACACUUCACUUCACAUUACGUUAGUGCUAGACUCAUCUUCAUGACUUGAGCAGUUGCCUAAUUCACUACAAACAAAACAAACCAGCUGGCUGGCAAUAACAUGUGGUGGAAGUGCAGCAACAUUAAAUCUAAACAAACUGCAUUAGUCGAUUCAAACCAUACCAGGGAGCUCAACUGAGAUCAUCAAGAGUUUGUGUGAUCUCUGAUUGAGGCAUGAUCUAGAUGACACGGGGUGGUAAUUAUACUGAAAAUCUGAUUAUCUAUGUAUGCAUCUUUUUAUUCCAUCUAUUCAUCGUCAAGUAUCUAACUAUGCAUACAUCAAUCCUUCCUAUCCAUCAAUUCCAUAUACGUAUCAGCAAGUAGCAUCAAGGUAAUGCAUGGGACAAUGAGAAAAUAUCGGACCUGAGAUUAAAGGGGCUGGAGCAUGACCACCAUAGAUUCCACUUCAUACGCAUCUGCAGAUUAAACUGGCUGGAGCAGGACCAACUUCCCAUAGAAGAUGGUUCUUGGUACUUGGUAUUCAAUGUGUUGGCCGUAAUGGAACUUCGAAUUGUUAUAUAUUUACCUUUGUUUACAAAGCGGUUUUAUUUACAAAGAUGAUGGCGUACACUAUAUUAUCCUUCCACCUGAAUUGCUAGCAUAGAAACAACAGAAGCCUGAAAAGGAAUAUAUUGCAAGUUACAACAACAGUAUUCGUAAAUCAACAUUGACAUAAACCACUCAAUUGAAGAAGAAAUACAGAAAGCGGUAACUCGCAAAUCAGUCGAGUACAAAGAACUGAUGCGCAUUUUUCAAUCAUAUAAAUGUGUAGAAAGGCCUAGGUAGGAAUACGGGAAGGUGUGUAUAUGCAUUAUGUACUUCCUCUAAACACAGCUAUUUUCUAUCAUCCAGGUCACGCCCGAUGGCAAACAUUGCCGCAGUCCAUACAUGUCAUGGGUUUGGCCUAAUUGGGUUUGGAGGAUGCUACAACAUAGAGAUGCAUUCUUGCCACGGUCCCCAUGGUAUGGUGUUGAAUUUGGGAAGCACAUGAAGAGGAGGAAGUGGUGUUGAAUCUACACAUGUGGCCUCAAGUGUUCGUUUCCCAGAUCUUAAUCCACUACUGUUUGCAUUGCUAAUUCACCGUAUUCCAAAAGCUUAGGACACGUUUGGUUGCUACUCAGGUAACGUCUUCAGUUAAGGUACCGGGAAGCUCCGGUUCCCUUUUCUUCUUUAGGAAUACGUGAUGUGCUUGGUUUGGCCGCCCCACUCCCGCUUUUGUAAUCAGCCGCGAUUUGGGUGUUUCCGAGUUUGUGAACCUCCGGAUCGGAAGACACUGCUACGGAAUACGUUGUUGGCGUACCAAAUGCUGGAUGCCGUUUCAGAAAGCGCGGUAGUCGGAAACCGUGACAAUUCUUCCGAAACAAACGCGUCGUUAAUUACUUAGGAAACCAAUCCACAUCCGAUCUGGUCACCUCAAUCCAUUGGAAGCUGCCUCAGGUCAACUUUGUCCCCUUCCUACUGCCGUGCGGAAUUUGCAAAGUACAACACAUUGCUACAAAACAUGAGAAAGCAUAGCAGGGAAGACAGAAGAAGGUCCGACAUUGUUAGGGCAAUCAUCGCCAUGGUCCAGCUCGGCGUUUCUGCCAACUGGACUGACCCGUACAAUCUUUUCACCACCAAAAUAAAGAUCGCAAGUACCUAAUUGUACUACAGCACUCUCUCGAGCGCUCGCAGAAAAACAGAUCACCAUGUACCUGAUUGUACUACUGCGGCAUGUGGAGGCCCUGAGAAAGGAGGCCGACCGAGGAGGCCCGUGCGUGUGGACGAUGGUAGCACCCCUGCAGGAGGGAACAGAUGAAGAUCUCGUCCUGCUCGACAACGCUCAGAUGAUGCCGCUAUGAUGAAGGGAAGGCAUAUGCGUGAGAGAUUGAGCCACAAAGAAAAACAGAAUAUAUUUUGGGGUUUUCCUCUCGCUUUAAAAAAGAGGCAUGAGAGAUUGAACAGGAAGGAAAAAAAAACAAAAACAUGAGAGAUUAGCGGAGCCAUUUAAGAGAGAGAGUUGACGGAUCCUUUUUUUUUUGGGCAGUUGAUUAUUCUGUACGUGCACGCGUGUUUUUUCUUUUGGAGUUUUGCUCUAGCUUUCAAAAGAGGCAUGAGAGAUUGAGUUAGAAAAAAAUAGCAAAAACAGAUGUACACCUUUUUAAUUCGGUCGCACGAGAUAAACGAAAAAAUAGCAAGAAUAGCUUUCAAAAGAGGCAUGAGAGAUUGAGCCAAAAAGAAAAAAAAAGCAAGAACAGAUCUACACCUUUAUAAUUCGGUCCCACCAAAUAAACAAAAAAAGAAAAAAAUAGUAAGAACAGAUCUACACCGUUAUAAUUAGGUCCCACCAAAUAAACGGCUCUUAAUUUCUAAUUAAUGUAGGAAUUUCUAGGAAGUGACAAAUUAUUAUAGGUAUAGAUAGAUAGAUAGAUAGAUAGAUAGGGAUCUAUUUGUAAAUUGGUUAGUUUUUACUCACAAACCAUGCUGAGGAUGUAUGGAGGACAAAUAUAUUAAAAACCUUAAGUUGCAUGGGAUUGAAAGCCACAUCCUUAGAGGUGGCAAACAUCUCGCUAACCGCAUGAACAUCAACUAGUUUGUGUACCAAGAUGCAACCCACUCUAUAUAUUAAAAUUCAAAAAACUAAGCAGCAAAAAUCAUAUGAGAUUAGAAUAAAAAAAUAUUGCUACGAACACUGUUCUACUAUAUUGCAAAACAAUAUAGACAAUGGAGAAUUUUGAAGAAAAGAACAGAAAAAUCGCAUAUCUCAUGCUAUCACAUCAUAGUAUUUUAAGAGCCAUGCAUAAUAGUAUAUGAAGAAUCCCAUAACCGCCUCCUGGGUCGCUCGCCUCCCGGGUCGCUCGCUAGGGCGACUCUAGAGGCCACCAUAAUCCAGUAGCACAACUCAUCUCUCGUGCUCCUCGUGCCGCCUUCGAUGGCGGCGGUGGCGGCGCCCGGCCGUGGAAGGCAGAGGUCUUGCUGCGGGUUUCUCAUGCCGGAGGAGGUGCGGUCGUUCGAGCACCCUGUUUCUUAUGGUGGCACGCAGGUGGUGGGCCGCCGAUCAAGUUGUCAGCAUUGCGCGAGCGGAGAUCUUUAGUGAUCAGGUGGGAUGUGGCUCGUGCAUAGGGGUUCCUUCUCGCACUGGCCAAGUGUUGUUCCUCCGGCAGCCAUCGGACAUGGAGUCGGUCAUGCUGCGCGAAUGGAUGCAUUUCGAUGCCUUUGGGCAGUUUUGCUCGGCUCCUCAGUUGGGCUGCAUCUUGAUGGCUGCUUGGCGUGAGGGUUCUAGUUUGACGAGUGAAUGGGCCAUGGAUGGUGUCUUUGGUGAGGUUUGUGGCACUCCGGCUAAAAACCGUACCUGACCUUUGUUGAUGCUGUUUACCACGUCGCCUUCGGGUGUCGCUAUUCAUCCCCUCACCGAGGAUCUCUAACACCUAUUUCAAUCUUGUGAUCUCGUCUCCCGGUGAAAACCGUAAUCCAGAUUCCCAAAUCGGCGAUGUCGAUAUCCUUUAUGAGGAAGUCAUUACUAGAAUGCAUCGUGUCAGAGACUUGACUUGUUGGAGAACCUCAUGGGGAGUCGUUGGUGGAGGGCCUGCGGUGGCGCGGUUGGUGUGGCUUUCCUGUCUCUCCGGUGCACUGCUUUGGGUGGCUGAGGUAUGGAGGUGAUGCUUGGCGAUGGGUAGCAAUGAUUCUUCCUGGCAGAGUGGCGAUGCCAAGAUGGUGCACGGCAACCGUGUCAGUGAUGCGUUGGUGGUGCCAUGGAGCCAGAUCCUUGACGAAGUUACUGGUUGCAGAUCCCGGUCCUAGCAAUGCAAUGAGGGCUCAUGGUGUAUUAUCUGGCGGCAGGUAGCCAUGCUCAGAUUUACCACUGAUUUGCACUUGCGACGGGGACGCGUGAUCGCCAAAGCGUCCCUUAUGGAGGAUUUUGGUGGCAUUGUUGUCUCUAGUCUGUGGAUAUAUGACAUGCGCCACAUGGGUGUCAAUGCAUGCACCUGGCAAUAAAGGCCGAUUGUGGCGGCUAGAUCGCUUCAUUGGUGUCUGCACAAUUUUGAGCUUGCUUGCUGAUGGCUCUAUAUUUUACACAUUUCUAGAGCUCAUUUGUCGCAUGUUCUCGGCAUACAUCAAGGCAUGUUGAACCAAAUAAAUGUCCAACACAUGAUUACUGAUUUUUACUCUUUUCAUUAUGACAAUUGCCUAUUAUUAUUAUUAUUAUUAUUAUUAUUAUUAUUAUUAUUAUUAUUUGGUUUUUAUUAGAUUCCUUUAUUUUGUUGUGUCUACAGGUGUUUUGGAGCAACCUAGGACCAAACACGAUGAAUAGGCCAAGGUUGAGUUCCUUACAGAGGACUUCCAGCACUCCAACUAGAUUAAGAACUUUGAAAACGUUGUUCGGAUGAGUAAGUUAUCACUAUUUUCCCAGAAGAGGUCAUAACAAAAGACGGCCUCUAGUACAACAAAAAAUGGUCCUACUGGUGGUCGUACCAGGUGCAGAUAGGCCCGAAAGUUGCCUCUCUGGAUGAGAUUCUUCAUCAAUUUCGUCUCCUUUGUUACCUCGUGUUCCUUGGCUAAUAAGGAAGAGUUUGAGAGAGGAUUUGACUCAAGUUGAGCCCUUAAAUGAAGGUGGAGGGUCCACAUCUAUGCAGGAGACCCAAGCAGGCCUUCUAUAUAUUGAAAUGGCAAUAUCAGAGUCUUCGUCGUGUGUACAAGGAAUUAACAUGGUCGUAACGAAACAACAAAUUAAUGAAAGAAAAAGAUUUGGGAGAGAAAGGAGCUAUGGCAAUCUUACAGCAAUUUACAGGGGAAAAAGAUGAUCACGAAUCAAAACAACCUUGUACUUCUUUGGUGGCUUAAUGGUUAACCACGUUGCACUUCUUCCUGAUCUCGCCCUGGCUUCCGGUGAGCGGGUUGGCGUUGCCCAUCUUGAUCAUGGAGGCGGCAAAGUCGGCGAAGAACUCGUCCAUGAAGGCGCCGGUGGCAUGGCGCUGGACGUAGGCGCGGGUGAAGGGGUCGGUGAGGAGGGCGCCGUCAGAGUGGAAGAGGCCCCUCCGCUUGUUCACCAGCUUGAAGUAGUCGGUGUCGAAGGUCUUGAAGCUGCCGGGGUCCAUCUCCACGAGGGUGGUGUUGUCGUUGAGGCUGGCACACUUGCUCUUUAGCCGCAUCAUGUACUGCGGCUCCAGCGAGGGGUCGAUAUCGCUGGGGUUCUCCAAGCCGGUGAAGUUGUAGAGCCGGUCGGAGAAGGAGAAGCAGUGCGACGUCCCGAUGGUGUGCCCGGCGGACAAGACGACAAGGUCCUUUGCGUCGAGGUUCACGGCGGCGAAGAGCUGGGUGAGCACGGUGAAGUUGGAGGUCGGGGGUGGCAGAGCGUCGGUCUCGUUGGAAAUGGACACGCUGCCGUCUCGCCGGCCCAGAGGAACUGUCCAGAAUGGACCCUUGCUCUGGAGAAACCAUGAUCGAGCAGCAUUAGAAUUUGGCUUCCACACGUACCGUGUCAUUUGAAAAAUGGCAUAGUAGUAGUACUCUACUCACCAGCCAUACUGCGUCCCUGGCAAUGAGGGCGAGGAUGUCGGCGCAGGAGACGGUGUCGGGGCAGGCCUUCUCCACCGCGGCCUUCACCCUCUCGACAAAGCCGAAGCCUCGCAGCGUCUGGUUCGGCUGCGCGUCCUUCUCCGCCGUCUUGUUGGCCGAGUCUAGCAGAACCGAGCCGUCGCACCCCUGCAUAUUCACGGUGGUCAGGCCAUAGCGCACAACGGUGUACGGCAGAUACUGAUGCAUGCAAAUGCAGCAUACCCUGACGAAGCAGUCGUGGAAGUGCAUCCGGAGGAGCGGCCCGGCGAGGCUGGGCGCCAGUGACAGCGCCCUCACCAUCUCCUUCCUCACGACGUCCUCCACGCUGGGGCACGACUCGCUGUAGAACUUGUCGUGCAGCUGCGCCCGCGCGCACGUCGCCGCCACCGCCGCGAGCAGCAGCGCCACCAUCGUGGCAGCCCUACACGCCAUCUUCUCGCCAAGAAGCUUGUUCCUUGCUUGGCUAUGCAAGAAACGACGAUGGCUAGGUGGCUAGUUGAUCCGGAGAAGCUUGAGCUGCUGCUGCUCAUGGACUGGCGCCGGGGAAAUAUAUAGCGCCGGAGUGUCCCCACGCCUGCAUGUGGUGGGCUGUCCUCCGGAGCAGCAGGUAAAAUUCCCAUGGUUUAAUGAGUUGUUCCUUGUUUGCACUCUGCGGAAUCUUUGCCGUGGCAGGUACACCGGCGGCCACCGUACGUAUAAUGGAGGCGGACGGACAGCCAGACGGAAGCACAUCAUUAGAUGAAUUCACUAAUUUUCUGUAGACAGCGAUUUUCUCACUAACUUACUAAUUAGCCAUCACGGAGCAAACUGCGGUGCCAAGUUCUAAUCAGCAAAGGAUACGUGCAACAAAUGAAUGCCACCACCUACUGGUAGUUUGAAGACAUGGAAAUAUCACGAUCCGUAUAUUUAUAUCGGCACCACAUGCUAUCCCGAAUCAGCUUUACUAAGUCUCAGUCGAAGCUAUAUUCGUUUGAUCUUGUGUGAAGAUCCGUGCAAUUUCGAUGUGGUCUGAAAUACCUGUAACACCGGAAUUUUGAGCCAGAUUUACAAACUUGAAAAUAAAUUUAAAUUAUGUUACAAUUCAUUGAAAGGUAGUAAUUUUUUAAAGAAUUUUUACAUAUGUCAUCCAAAAUUGCUUUGUUUUUUAGAUUAAAAGCCUUGCCAAUAAUUAUGCUAAUAUUAUGCCUUUGUCGAGGCCCUGGCCCAAAAGACCAGAAGAAUUUAAAUAUCAUGUUUUGAUCAACAUAUAAUUUGAAUAAUGAUGUUUAAAUUCCAAACAUGGUUAAAAUGAUAUUUAUAAAUUUGGGGAUCUAGUUUUUAUAAGUCUCAAGCUUUGUACGUGGUUGGAAUUUUGUAUUCACGAAAAACCAAUGNNNNNNNNNNNNNNNNNNNNNNNNNNNNNNNNNNNNNNNNNNNNNNNNNNNNNNNNNNNNNNNNNNNNNNNNNNNNNNNNNNNNNNNNNNNNNUGUUUGAGGCAAGUAAUUCUGCACGAAAUUCAAUAUUUAAACCCGAAUAUUAAUAUAGAGAUCCUACACCUACGAAAGUCUAGGUAAACCCACCAUAACAAUCAUACAGACAUUCUAGAACACGACAAAGAUAGUUGCCGAGGCAAGAUCUUAAACAUGCCCAUUACCGGAUUGCAUCUUAUUGCUUGGUCAUCUUGUCAUAUGCAUCGACCGUCGCCUAAGAAAACCAUACAUUAUAGAAAAUGGCUUAUAGGUGAACACAAAUUUGUGACGGGCGAGACGUGUGCCCGCCACUGGUAUACCGUUUCAGAGCUGGCCGCGUAAUGCAACCUAAUUGUGGUGAGCAGUAACAAAGGCCCGCCACUGCUUAUUUGUACAUCAGUGGCGAGUGUGACUGUUGCUUGCCACAGCUAAAUUAUGGUAAGCACUCUUACCAGGCACGAAGGAAGUACAUAUUAUACACUUGUAGUAGUGGCCGGUCCAGUCGGCCGCCCGCCAGUGUUGUCCACUUACGUGUAGCGGGCGCCCUGCCGUGCCCGUCACACGUAGACCCACGACACUGGCUGCAGUUUACUUUUCCCCCACCUGAAAAACGGUUUCAAAAUUUGGCAUUUCCCCCGCCCCCUCCCCCCGCGCCUUUCCCCCCAAAUCUCGCCCGACUGGGCGUCGCGCCCCUCGUUGCCGCCUCUCAUCCUCGCCGCUGCUGCGCCCCUCGUUGCCGCCUCUCCUCCUCGCCGCCGCCGCCACACCCCUCGUUGUUGUCGCCCCCUUCGUCGACGUUGCGUCGCGGCCUUCCUCGCGGCCAUGGGCAUGGACUCCUUCUCCAACACUGGAGGCAUCUUGCUUCCGCCGCCACCGCGAAGCUCCUCCGCGAUGGCUACCCCUCCGACCAUUGUGCCCUCCUCCGCCAACAUCGGAUACCUCGCGCCGCCUUCGGACGCAAAGCGAGCCACCUCUCUGGUAUGGUCAAAGUUGUGUUUAGGGUAAAUAAAUAUUUAGCAUUGAUUAAAUUUGAGUAGUGUGCCGUACUAUUAUUGUGCUUACGGUAACUAUGAGUAGAUUAGGAACAUUUUUUAGGUAUUGACAUGAGUGACAAUGUUUUGGCAAAACGUCGAUUCAUUUCCGUUUUGCCGAAUUUCUGGUACUCAUUAUGUCCUCUUUUUAGCAGAGGUCAUGUCGAAUUUUUCUUUCAUUUUUUAACUAGGAUCCAUUGUAGUAUCAUUGGCUUAUAUUUGCAGGUAUUAACAUGAGUGCCAAUGUUUUGGCGAAACGUCGAUUCAUUUCUGUUGGCCUUACUUUGAAAUGUAAGUUCAUUUCUUUAUGCUUGCAAAUAUACACAUGAAUACUUUGAUGUCAAUCUCAUUAAUUUUACAUUGUUCAAUUGUUCCCCGAGACGGCCGAGCUUAUUUCUUCGAUUUCAGGAGAGACCCUAAGAAGCCAUGGACCGAUCUGAAGAAAGUUAUCAAUGCUGCUCUUUUGAUGUGUCAUAAGUCCGACCGUAAGAACAUGCCACAUUCGCAGUACAAAUUUAACACUAGCUUCUAUUGCCGGCAACAACCAAAAGGCAAAACCAUGCACAUGGCUGCUACUGUGCCAUGGUCUUGAUGGAUGACGAUGUGCGUGCAGGACCACUGUUGAGGAGUGAUUCGAUGUUGUAGAAAUGGUCCGAAGAGAAUGAGAAGGAAUUUAAGCGAGCUCACUUUUGGACAGAGCAUGAGCACUUUCAGAGGGUGCUCAUGAAUAUCACCAAUCGCCAUGUAGUAGGGGAUGAGGAGAUGUUCUACUGCAGGGCAGAGAGCCAAGAAGAAUGAGAGAUGAGAAUGAAACAUUGACAUGGCGAUAUACACGCUCCUUUCUAGUCCAGCAAACCGUGAAAAACCAUUAAACUAUGUCAUGACACACUGCUUGUUACCUUGUGAUCUCUAGUUUAUAUGUACGCAUGUCAUAUGUUUAUAUAUUAACCUUGUGAUCUUUUCCAUAUGUAUAUAUUUUGAAUUUUAUUGUCUGCUAAAAAUAAUAGAUGGGACCAUCAGAAGAUUUGUGGGACGGGGUCUCUGCGGCGGACAUGGAGAAGCACUAUCUAUGGACGUGGGAAAAGUAUCGGGCAGAGUACCUCAGGGAGGCGAUGUUAGCUUGGGUUAGAAGUAUUCCAAUGACCCAGUGUUCUCUCCCAGCGAUUGAGAAGAUUGCAGAGAAGUGUUUAGUGACCUUGCGGCGUCCAUCCUUACGGAGGCAACCCUGGAUGAGAGGCUGAGGAUCUGGCCUGGUAUGAGUCCAACCACCAUACCCAUAACCGCUGAGGUUGUUGUGGGCUCUCCGAGAGGCCAAAUGUCCAAUUCCAGAGCAAGCGGCCCGUUGGUCCCCAUUCGUUCCAUCAAGUACUAAUUCAUGUAGUAUGUGCGGCUUCUACUAACAGUCUACGCGUUAAAUAUCGGCUGACACUCAUUGCACUCCAAAACAACUCGUCAAAUCAUUAAUUAUGUGAUGAGCGAUGACAUAUAUAUGCUUAUUAAUGAUUGUAAUGCACUUGUUAUAUUUUGUUUAUAACUACUACUUUUCAUUAAUCUGACAUCAUUGUAAUGUGGUGCGUGUAUGUGAAUCAUGGUUCAAACCCACAUUUAUGUAUCAAAUGCAAUAUGAUGAUAUGAUUGAGGUGCAAUAUGCUGCAAUUCAAUCAAUUCGGCAUGCGGCGGUAGCAGUGACGAGCACAACACACUGUGGUGGGCGGUACAAAAGGACUGCCACUGAUGCGCGAAAUUCCUAUGCUGGGCAACGCGGAAAACUGUGGCGAGCCCGGACAAUCGCGAGCCACUGCUCUUGGGCUACCACUGGCGGGCGGGUGGCCGCCACUGAUGUCGUAUUAGCAGUGGUGGAAGGUCAGUGGCGCGUGCCCCUGAGAGCCUUGCCGGCCACUCCUGGGCUUUUCCCACAUGCGACUGCUAGGCAUUCCUGCAGUAGUGAUAGUUCUCGUUGAAAUGGGUGGUGAGUCUGAUCUCUCACAAGUUGAUUUCGUUCUUAGUAGAGCCGCCGAAGCGUGGUAGCCCUAGAAAAUUCUCGAGAUUAUAUGUUAAUUUUGUAACGCCCCGUCAGGCUAGCCCAAGGCCCCUUUAGCAUAUUGCACGACCAUGUCCAUCAAUCGGGCAUGUGGGCCAUCCAGAAGGAAGGAACUAGCAUCUUGACGAUCAAGGGAAGAAGGCCAGAUAUCCAGGAGGACUCUCCAGCCGCCUUAGCUGACUAGGAUUAUUGUAACCAUAGGCCUUAGUAUCCUUAAUAAGUCAAGGUCAAGCUAGCAGCUAGGGGACCUUACAAUCAACCCUUUGAUACACCUAAGAUUCCAGAGCCCUUAAAAAAACCCCUAAGAUUCUAGAGAUCAUCAGCAUACUAUGUGCACCCCUUCAAUCCAGUACAACACAAGUAAGAGUAGUGCUUUGCCUCCAAAGAGAGGUCUGAACCUAGGUAUGUAUUAUGUUUCCCCUCUGUGCUUUCUGGCUAGUCACGGCACCCUACCGAGGGGUCUACGGGAUUUUACAUUGACAAUAGCACCAGACAUGGAUCGUGCUACUAAGAGUUGACAUCGAGAUUGGAUCCAAACAUCAAUUGUGAUGUCUUCGCUCCUUGCCAGAUCUUCACCUUCGUUGCGAUGAACCUAAUCACAAACUCGGUGGCCAGAUUAAUCCAAUUGACACUUAGGCAGCAGUUCAUAUUCUCUUCUUCGAGAAUCUAGAUACACUGUCGAUGGGCGUGAUGAGCUCGAUCUCUGCAACCUAGCACAAUGCAGGAGCCAGAGCCGAUCUUCAUUAGUCCACCAACCUCCCACUACAUUGCCACCAUCGACUUUUUCCAUGACGUCCUAAUGGAGCACGAGCCAAAGGAAGAGGAAAGCGAUGGAAGUUGCCCCGAAUUGAUACCAACACCUUGCUAGCCUUGGGAGGCAACUUCCAUGUACAUGGUUGAUAACAUAGCCAACGCCGAAGAUGACGCUUUCGACGAGUGCGCACUCGCAACGCGCAUGACACCGGUAGCAAAUACCAACGACGCCUCCAAAAAACUGGAAGCCUGUCGUAAGAAGAUGUAGCACCUGCACUUGCGCCAGCAACAGGAGCGCAGUCGCCUCUUAGAAAGGAAGGCCCAACCGUAGCCUCCAUCAGGCUAGUCCAGAAUAGGGCAGAACAUAGUGUAUUAUCUAAAGAUGUGACCAAACUUGUCGCCUGGGCCCGAGCAAUGCAUACAGCAAUACAUGGAGUUGCACCUGCCAAUUCGGCAAUGUUUCACACCCCGCCAUAAACCUUAUGGUUCCAGUGGGGCAGUGAACGACAUCAAACUCCUAGACGAUCAUCCAGGCCAUGAGAAUUGUUUUUUUAAAAUAAUUUAUAUAUGCAAUAUGACCAGAAAAUGAUUAGUUUCAGGAGGGCCAGCAUUGUACCCCUUUUCUGCAGACUAGGGAGUAGCAAAAAAUAUUUGUGCUUUGCAGGAUUGCAACUCAUGUCCCCAAAGGCCUCAACCAGCUGACCUAGCAUAUGCUUGUGCUAAAAAUAGGUUCAUUAUUUAAUUAAAAAGUCCCACCUCGACUCUUUGCACGAGAAUACAUCAAUUUAUAUAAAUUUAUAAAUUGGAGCUAAUUGAAGAAAAAGGAACAGAGGGAGUGAAUGAAGUAAAUGGAUUUGAGCUAGCAUUGGUGACUUGUACUAGAUAAAUAAAAUUGUUGCAUUUGCAUGGAUGGUUGUGCCAAUAUAAAUUAAUUGAAUUUGUAAUAAAGGCCAGAUUUUGUGAUUGUUGCUAUGAGGGGGAGACCCUAUAAUUAAUGAAUUAAUCCUUCCGGAGUCUACCAAUCUUAUGUUAAUACUCAUUUUUUAAGACUUUCGUGAGAUAACCACAACAAAGGGUGGAAUGGAUUUCAACCUCGGCGUGCGUAUCCCUGCUGACGUCAGGUGGCACCAUCCAGAUGUUGUUGUGUCGCAUGGACAUGUCAAUUACUUCUCCCGUUGCAAUGCACGGGCAUAUAUGCUAGUAAACCUUAUGGUUGCAAUGGGGCAGUGAACGACAUAAAACUCCUAGACGAUCAUCCAGGCCAGGAGAAUUUUGAGCAUGCCAAAAUUUUGCUCCAAACAGUUGUCGUAUAACAAAAUGUUUGUAUAGGAUCGAAGACCAUGGUGGGGACCUCGAACGACAUGCACAACAGACAAGUUCACUCCAUCGAAAUUGAAUGUCCACUCGUCCGCAUAGCCAUGUAGUUGCCAACCUGUCUCCACCGACAUGCUCGCAAAGUCACGCACUCGCCAACCCCGAGAGAACACCAUCGCCGCACUAUCUGCUGGGAAACAUUGUAGAAAACUAAAAAAUUCGCCUUAUGAUCACAAUCCAGGAACACUAUGAAGAUGCAUUAGAGGUAUAGAUUGGAUCGUUACCAACUUAGAGUUGCACUGUAAGAAGAGUUGAUGUAUAUCAUUGAUGAAGUCCCGUGAACCGUUCAUGAAUGAUCCAUCGAGCAGAAGAACGAGCCUAAGAAUAUCCCUCCAUCGUCGGAGGAGCAAAUCCCACUCUUGAGCUAUCUAGCCCCUUGUCACACUUUUCGAUGAACCUGAAAGUUUUCGUUAUGAUCACCGUGUUAUAGAAGACGUUUGAGAAAGCCCAAAGUUUAUUGUUUGGUAUGAAGUGACUACGAUACUCCCAUGGUACGAUGAACUAAAGUAUACAUUACCUCUCCUUGUUAUAUCAAUAGACUUGUGACGAUUACAUGUCAAAGUAUAACAAUCAAGUUGGAUCAAUUCAAUAUGAUCGUUCUUGUAACAUCAUAGUACCAAUGUUGUUUUGGUAUCCUCGUUACUCUUAUCUAAAUACGUAUGAUCAGGAAAACAUGAUUAUCACACAACACUUGAGCUAGUCCUAGGGGCAAAACUAGGAAUCCAAUUUUACUGUUGAUUAUUCUAGACGUGUAUGUGUGUUUCCUCUGAAUCGCAUAUUCAAGAAUGAAAGCAAGUAUAUCAUAGAAUAUAAACUCUUAACUGGAAAUAUAGAAAUAAAUAAUACAAAUAUAAUUGCCUCUAGGGCAUAUUUCCAACAAACUCCCACUUGCCCUAGAGCCAAUAAUCUAGUUACAUAGCUUCUCUAACACCAAUGGCUAUUCAUGUUACUCAUAUUUUGGUCAUCAUAGAGGCUUCGUCAUCAGGUCCAACACAUUCAAAAAAUUGUGAAUCUUGAGUACUUUCACAAAAACUUUAUAUGCUGUCAGAUGAUGUGAUACCUGCGUUCGACAUCCCUAGUCUUCAUGUGGGACCUUGGCUCCUUUUCUUGCGUAACAUCGCCACUAUUAUAACAAUAGAGCUCCAUUGGACUCAACACACUUGAGACCACAACUCUUCAAGAAACUUCUUGAUCUAGACUGCCUCCUUCAAUCCUUCUGAAGCCGCAAUAUAUUCUACCUCUGUCAUAGAAUCUGCAACAAUGUUCUGCUGGAAACUUUUCCAAACCACUGCACCACCAUUAAGAGUGAAAACAUAGCCUGGUUGAGAUUUAUAGUCAUUUAUAUCAGUGAUGAAGCUAUUGUUAGUGUAACCACUUACAACGAUCUCUUCAUAUCCUCCAUAGACAAGAAGAAUGUCAUUCAUCCUUUUGAGGUACUUAAGAAUAUUUUUAGCAGCUGCCCAGUGUUCCAAUCCCGGAUCACUUUGGAACCUUCUACUAACACUUAGCACAUAAUAAACAUCUAGUCUUGUACAUAUCAUAGCAUACAUGAUAGAAUGAAUUGCGGAGGCAUACGGGAGUCCACUUAUUUGCACACGCUCAUCAACAGUCUUGGGAGAUGAUUCUUGCUAAGUGUUGUGCUAUGUGGCAUUGGAAGAAAACCUUUCUUAGUGUUCUCCAUUUUAAGCCACUUUAAAACCUUGUCCAUGUGCGUGCUUUGGCUUAGCACAAUUAGACGUCUUGAUCUAUAUCAAUCGAUCUUAAUGCCAAAUAUAUAAGUUGCUUUGCCAAAGUCUCUCCUCGAAAACAUACUUUUCAAUGAAUGUUUUGUUGUGCUAAGAAACUUUACUUCAUUCCAACAAUAAUAUGUCAUCCACGUAUAAGAUUACAAAUGCUAUAGAGCUCCCACUAAACUUAUUGUAUACACAAGCUUCUUCAUCGUUCUUAAUGAAGCCAAAUUCUUUAACCACUUCAUUAAAAUGUUGAUUCCAACUCCUCGAUACUUGCUUUACACCAUAAAGUGAUCUUUGAAGCUUGCACACCUUACCGUCAUCCUUAGGAUCUAAAAAACCUUCUGGUUGCAUCAUGUAUACAUCCCCAUUAAGAUUUCCAUUUAGAAAAGUCGUUUCGAUGUCUAUUUGCCAUAUCUUGUAACCGAAAUAUGCAUCAAUUGUCAUCAUAACCGCAGACUUUAACAUGGAUACUAGCAAAAAAGUAUCGUCAUAAUCAACUCACUCAAUUUGCAAAAAUCCUUUCACAACUAGUCUUGUUUUAUAGAUAAGUAGGAUUACAAUCCGUGUCGCUUUUUCAUUUGAAGAUCCAUUUAUAUUGAAUGUGUUUUACACACUCUCGGGGAUAUACCAAGUUCCAAACUUUUGAUUCUCGCACAUGGACUCCAUUUCGUUUUUCAUGGCUUUAAGCCAUUCUUUUGAACCGGGCGCCUCCAUCGCUUCUCUAUAGUGCGCAGGCUCAUCUUCUUCUAAGAUGAAUAUUUCAUUAUGAAACAAGUCAGCAGGUUCGCUAACUCUUGCUAACAUACGCGGUUCUGUUACAUGCUUAACUAGAUUUUGUAUAACUGGUGUAGUAAAUUUUGGUUCAAUUGUGUGGACAACUUCCAAAACAAUUUCUGGUUCAUUAGUCCAACUUACUUCCACCGGAGAUUCAGCAAUCUCAUCAAGGUGUACUAUCCUCCCACUCAUGUCUUUAGGUGGAAACUCUUUCUCAAGAAAGUGUCCAGCCCUUGCAAGAAACAAUUUGUCAUCAGAUGGGCGGUAGAAGGAAUACCCAAUAGUUUGUUUGGGAUAACCUACAAAUUAACAUUUGUCUGAUUUGGCAUUGAGUUUAUUUGGUUGUAAAUUUUUCACAUAAGGUUUCACAACCCCAAAUCUUGAGAUGCGACAAAUUGGGUCUCUUCCCAUUCCAUAACUCAUAUGGUGUCGACUCAACAGACUUAGACUGUGCUCUGUUUACUGUGUAUGUUGCUGUUUCGAGAGCAUAUCCCCAAAAUUAUAAAGGCAAAUCGGUUAGAGACAUCAUUAGCCUCACCAUGUCAACAUGGUUUGGUUACACCUCUUAGACACUCCAUUCCUUUGUGGAGUUCCAGGAUGAGUAUAUCCCAAAACAAAUCCAUGAUCACUUAGAUGUUUGUUAAACUCGUGACUUUGAUAUUCGCCUCUGCGCUAUGAUCGUAGAAACUUUAUCUUCUUGCCACGAUGAUUAUCAACUUCGUUCUGGAAUUCUCUAAACUUUUCAAAGGUCUCGGGCUUAUGUUUCAUUAAGUAAAUAUUACUAUAUUUAUUAAAAUGAUCAGCGAAGGUUACAAAGUAUAAACAUCCACCGUGUGCUAGUGUGAACAUUGGACCACCUAUAUCACUAUGUAUUAUUUCCAAUAAUUCACCCCCCGUUAAGGAUGACCCAUGAACGGGGUCUCAGUUAGUUUACCCAUCAAGAAAGCCUCGCAUGUGUCAAAUGAUUCAAAAUCAAAAGACGUUAAUACUCCAUAUUUAUGAAGCUUUUGCAUACAUUUCUUUCCGAUGUGACCAAGACAGCAAUGACACAUGUAAGUAUUAUUAUUAGUCUUCUUAAGAUGUUUAACUUCUAUGUUAUAGACAUCAUUUUCACAUUCAGGAUCCAAAAUGAAAAAGUGACCGAUAAUAGGUGCAAAGCCAUAAAACAUAUCUUUAUAACAAAUUGAACACUCAUUUUUCCGAGACAUAUAAUGAUAACCAUAGUUUAUUUAACAUGAUACAGAGAUAAUGUUCUUAUAGAAAUCAAAACAAAAUAACAAUUAUUAAGUUCUAAGAUAAAUCUUGAAGGUAAACUUAAAGACAUGACUCUGAUAGCUUGAGCAGAGAUCACAUCACCAUUCCCGACAUGCAUCACGACUUCAUUUCCCUAAGAAAACCGAUCUAUACAAUGAGGAUAUUCCACAUAAUCUUACAAAGGUUAAUGUCAAAUGUAUCAUUAAAAUAUAUAAAUUGGUGGCAUCUUACUUCACAAACUGGUUUGAGGUUCUUGUGGCCACAGAGACAGUCGAUAACCCUAAAGCGUAUGGUUUUGAGUCCUAGGGAAUGUAAAGUUUUACAAAGAAAACAUUCAUACAUCAUUAGCGUGGUUUGUAAGAAAGAACAACCAGUUUGCAGAUAAAUCCGUGUAAAACAUAGUUAGUUCACGAGUGGUCAAAGGAGCGUUGUAUGUCAGUCACGUGACCGAAAUUUUCCCUAUCAACCAGAUUUUGGCCAUAUUUGAUCAAAUCAAUGGGUAUAUGUCUUAAACUGAUCACUUUCUAAGUUGUUGGCUUGAAGCAUGCAUCAUUUGAGUUAGUGUAAUGGUGACAAAUUUCACAGUUGUAUGCCUUAUCGAAGUCUACUUUCAAAUGACACCAUCCAUUUUCAUGGUACAAUUCAUGAACAAAUUCAUGGAAGAUCACCACCUUGUCCAUGAUAAUCCUAUCAUGCAUUAAUGACAUUUUUGUGGGUUGAACCACUUGGUUGACAAACCCAUUGAGUCAAUCAUUCGCCACCUUUAUAAAUAUGAAGUUAAUGUUAAGAAGGCAUGUCAAUAUGUACAAUGGAAAUAGAUUAGCCUCUUUAGUCAUGGGCAUUAAAAUAAUUUCACAAAAAAUAGUCUUAAAAGCUUAGGGUGCUCCACAUUGAGGUCCUCAAACAACUUCCCAACCUCCUAGAAGAUUUGCUAGGCUCGGUUGAGAAGUCAUCCGAUCCAGCCAAUUUAUUAUGAAUACAACUUCGCUCACCCAGUGUUUAGAAAAAAAAGGUUCCAAGGAGCUUGUUUUGACCAUCCAAAACCUAUUGAGAUGUCAUCUACUGAAUCAUUUAGAGAGAAAUUACUCUAAUUGGGAGGUCCAAAUAGACAUAUUAUUUGGUAGUAUAAGUCCGUAGGGAAGUCGGGGAGGGAGAGAGAGGGUUGCUACAUAGCUACUACAUCAAAAUGGUAGCCUGAAAAAGACACCACUCAAGUGUAAUCAUGAGAGUGCAUAAUACAUCUAUUUAUUCGAGCUGGCUAAGGCUGGUGCUUGAUGACAUAAUAUCACCGACCCAGAGUGACAUAAUAUCAUGUCUAUUAACAAGACACUGCUCGCACUUCUCGAUCCGCUUGAAGACAUGGAGGUACUUGAAGUCUUGGUCGCUGUUGUCCUAACGAUACAUGGCGGACAUCCGCAACAGCUUCGCCGAGGAACAAAUAGUUGGCCGACGUGCAUGGCGAAAAGAAGUGGGGAACCGGUGUGCCAUACCUGAUCCUUAAUGCUGGCGUCGCUCUCCGGGCGAGCUACUAUCUUCUCGACGAUCACAUGCCAUUUGUUGCACGCCGCCUGGAUGAGCCCCCAAUGGUUCGACAUCGCCUUCGACCCGCGCUGCAUGUAGAUGCCUUUGAAGUAGGGGUCGACGAGCUUGCGCUCGUCGAACUCGGCCUUGAUGCGGUCCCAAUAUGUCUCGAUGCUCUAGUUCAUGCCGGUGAUCGCGUCGAGGCAGACGACUUCCCAUGCUUCGGCGAGGCACUCCUACUCCUUGGACGCCCACUUGAUGCGCGGCUCGCCGGUCCUGGCCGUCCCCUUCUUCUUCUUCUUCUUCUUCUUCUUCCGUUUCCUCGCCGGCGCCGGCUCCUCCUUCUCAUCCUAAUCCUCCUCCUCCUGCUCAUCCGGCUCCUCCUCGCCGUAGUCAAGCUCGCCGUCCAUGUCGCCGUUGAGGUCUACUGUGUCGUCCUGCACAGUGAACCCGGGGGACGCUGUUGGGGAACGUUGCAGAAAACAAAAAAUUUCCUACGGUUUCACCAAGAUUCAUCUAGGAGUUAAUCUAGCAACGAGUGAUCAGAUUGCAUCUACAUACCUUUGUAAAUCACGCGCGGAAGCGUUCAAAGAACGGGGAUGAGGAAGGCGUACUCGACGUGAUCCAAAUCACCGGAGAUCCUAGCGCCGAACGGACGGCACCUCCGCGUUCAACACACAUACGGUCAGCGUAACGUCUCCUUCUUCUUGAUCCAGCAAGGGGGAAGGAGAGGUUGAGGAAGAUGGCUCCAGCAGCAGCACGACGGCGUGGUGGUGAUGGAGCUGCAGUACUCCGGCAGGGCUUCACCAAGCACUAUGGAGGAGGAGGAUGUGUUGGAGAGGGAGAGGGAGGCACCAAAGGCGUGGAUUGAGAGGCCCUCCUUCCCCACUAUAUAUAGGGAGCCUGGGGGGGGGGGCACCGGCCCUAGGAGAUGCAAUCUCCUAGGGGGGCGGCGGCCAAGGGAGGAAUCCCUCCUCCCGAAGGCACCUAGGAGGUGCCUUCCCCCAUUGGGACUCUUUCCUUCCUUAUCUCUUGGUGCAUGGGCCUCUUGGGGCUGGUGCCCUUGGCCCAUAUAGGCCAAGGCGCACCCCCUACAGCCCAUGUGCCCCCCCGGGGCAGGUGGCCCCACCCGGUGGACCCCCGGAACCCUUUCGGUGGUCCCGGUACAAUACCGGUGACCCCGAAACUUGUCCCGAUGGACGAAAUAGCACUUCCUAUAUAUAAUUCUUUACCUCCGGACCAUUCCGAAACUCCUCGUGACGUCCGGGAUCUCAUCCGGGACUCCAAACAACAUUCGGGUUACUGCAUAUACAUAUCCCUACAACCCUAGCGUCACCGAACCUUAAGUGUGUAGACCCUACGGGUUCGGGAGACAUGUAGACAUGACCGAGAUCGCUCUCCGGUCAAUAACCAACAGCGGGAUCUGGAUACCCAUGUUGGCUCCCACAUGCUCCUCGAUGAUCUCAUCGGAUGAACCACGAUGUUGAGGAUUCAGGCAACCCCCGUAUACAAUUCCCUUUGUCAAUCGGUAUGUUACUUGCCCGAGAUCCGGUCGUCGGUAUCCCAAUACCUCGUUCAAUCUCGUUACCGGCAAGUCACUUUACUCGUACCGUAAUGCAUGAUCCCGUGACCAUACACUUGGUCACUUUGAGCUCAUUACAAUGAUGCAUUACCGAGUGGGCCCAGUGAUACCUCUCCGUCAUACGGAGUGACAAAUCCCAGUCUUGAUCCGUGUCAACCCAACAGACACUUUCGGAGAUACCCGUAGUAUACCUUUAUAGUGACCCAGUUACGUUGUGACGUUUGGUACACCCAAAGCACUCCUAUGGUAUCCGAGAGUUACACGAUCUCAUGGUCUAAGGAAAAGAUACUUGACGUUGGAAAACUCUAGCAAACGAACUAUACGAUCUUAUGCUAUGUUUAGGAUUGGGUCUUGUCCAUCACAUCAUUCUUCUAAUGAUGUGAUCCCGUUAUCAAUAACAUCCAAUGUCCACAGUCAGGAAACCAUGACUAUCUGUUGAUCAACGAGCUAGUCAACUAGAGGCUUACUAGGGACAUGUUGGUGUCUAUUAUUCACACAUGUAUUACGAUUUCCGGAUAACACAAUUAUAGCAUGAAUAAAGACAAUUAUCAUGAACAAGAAAUAUAAUAAUAAUCCUUUUAUUAUUGCCUCUAGGGCAUAUUUCCAAUAGUCUCCCACUUGCACUAGAGUCAAUAAUCUAGUUACAUUGUGAUGAAUCGAACACCCAUGGAAUUCUGGUGUUGAUCAUGUUUUGCUCUAGGGAGAGGUUUAGUCAACGGAUCUGCUACAUUCAGGUCCGUAUGUACUUUACAAAUAUCUAUGUCUCCAUUUUGAACAUUUUCACGAAUGGAGUUGAAGCGACGCUUGAUGUGCCUGGUCUUCUUGUGAAACCUGGGCUCCUUGGCAAGUGCAAUAGCUCCAGUGUUGUCAUAGAAGAGUUUGAUUGGCCCCGACGAAUUGGGUAUGACUCCUAGGUCGGUGAUGAACUCCUUCACCCAAAUUGCUUCAUGUGCUGCCUCCGAGGCUGCCAUGUACUCCGCUUCACAUGUAGAUCCCGCCACGACGCUCUGCUUGCAACUGCACCAGCUUACCGCCCCACCAUUCAAAAUAUACACGUAUCCGAUUUGUGACUUUGAAUCAUCCAGAUCUGUGUCGAAGCUAGCGUCGACGUAACCCUUUACGACGAGCUCUUCGUCACCUCCAUAGACGAGAAACAUUUCCUUAGUCCUUUUCAGGUACUUCAGGAUAUUCUUGACCGCUGUCCAGUGUUCCUUGCCGGGAUUACUUUGGUACCUUCCUACCAAACUAAUGGUAAGGUUUACAUCAGGUCUGGUACACAGCAUGGCAUACAUAAUAGAACCUAUGGCUGAGGCAUAGGGGAUGACACUCAUCUCUUCUAUAUCUUCUACCGUGGUCGGACAUUGAGCUGAGCUCAAUUUCACACCUUGUAACACAGGCAAGAACCCCUUCUUAGACUGAUCCAUAUUGAAUUUCUUCAAUAUCUUAUCAAGGUAUGUGCUUUGUGAAAGACCUAUGAGGCGUCUUGAUCUAUCUCUAUAGAUCUUGAUGCCUAAUAUAUAUGCAGCUUCUCCAAGGUCCUUCAUUGAAAAACUCUUAUUCAAGUAGGCCUUAAUGCUGUCCAAGAAUUCUAUAUUAUUUCCCAUCAAAACUAUGUCAUCUACAUAUUAUAUGAGAAAUGCUACAGAGCUCCCACUCACUUUCUUGUAAACACAGGCUUCUCCAUAAGUCUGCGUAAACCCAAACGCUUUGAUCAUCUCAUCAAAGCGAAUGUUCCAACUCCGAGAUGCUUGCACCAGCCCAUAAAUCAAGCGUUGGAGCUUGCACACCUUGUCAGCAUUCUUAGGAUCGACAAAACCUUCCGGCUGCAUCAUAUACAAUUCUUCCUUAAGGAAACCGUUAAGGAAUGCCGUUUUGACGUCCAUUUGCCAUAUUUCAUAAUCAUAGAAUGCGGCAAUUGCUAACAUGAUUCAGACGGACUUUAGCUUCGCUACCGGUGAGAAAGUCUCAUCGUAGUCAACCCCUUGAACUUGUCGAUAACCCUUAGCGACAAGCCGAGCUUUAUAGAUGGUCACAUUACCAUCCGCGCCUGUCUUCUUCUUAAAGAUCCAUUUAUUUUCUAUGGCUCGCCGCUCAACAGGCAAGUCAGUCAAAGUCCAUACUUCAUUUUCAUACAUGGAUCCUAUCUCGGAUUUCAUGGCUUCUAGCCAUUUGUCGGAAUCCGGGACCGCCAUCGCUUCUUCAUAGUUCAAAGGUUCACCGUUGUCUAACAACAUGAUUUCCAAGACAGGGUUGCCAUACCACUCUGGUGCGGAACGUGUCCUUGUGGACCUUCGAAUUUCAGUAGGAGCUUGAUCAGAAGUAUCUUGAUCAUCAUCAUUAACUUCCUCUCUAGUCGGUGCAGGCACCUCAGGAACAUUUUCUUGAGCUGCGCCAUUUUCCGGUUCAAGAGGUAAUACUUCAUCAAGUUCUACUUUCCUCCCACUCACUUCUUUCGAGAGAAACUCCUUCUCUAGAAAGGAUCCAUUCUUGGCAACAAAGAUCUUGCCUUCGGAUCUGAGGUAGAAGGUAUACCCAAUAGUUUCUUUAGGGUAUCCUAUGAAGACGCAUUUUUCCGACUUGGGUUCGAGCUUUUCAGGUUGAAGUUUCUUGACAUAAGCAUCGCAUCCCCAAACUUUAAGAAACGACAGCUUAGGUUUCUUCCCAAACCAUAAUUCAUACGGUGUCGUCUCAACGGAUUUCGACGGAUCCCUAUUUAAAGUGAAUGCGGCAGUCUCUAAAGCAUAGCCCCAAAAAGAUAGUGGUAAAUCGGUAAGAGACAUCAUAGAUCGCACCAUAUCUAAUAGAGUGCGAUUACGACGUUCGGACACACCAUUACGCUGAGGUGUUCCAGGCAGCGUGAGUUGUGAAACUAUUCCACAUUUUCUUAAGUGUGUGCCAAACUCAUGACUCAAGUAUUCUCCUCCACGAUCUGAUCGCAGAAACUUGAUUUUCCUGUCACGUUGAUUUUCAACCUCACUCUGAAAUUCCUUGAACUUUUCAAAGGUCUCAGACUUAUGUUUCAUUAAAUAGAUAUACCCAUAUCUACUCAAGUCAUCAGUGAGGGUGAGAACAUAACAAUAGCCACCGCGAGCCUCAACACUCAUUGGACCACACACAUCAAUAUGUAUGAUUUCCAAUAAGUUGGUUGCUCGCUCCAUUGUUCCUGAGAAUGGAGUCUUGGUCAUUUUACCCAUGAGGCAUGGUUCGCACGUGUCAAAUGAUUCAUAAUCAAGAGACUCUAAAAGUCCAUCAGCAUGGAGCUUCUUCAUGCGUUUAACACCUAUGUGACCAAGGCGGCAGUGCCACAAGUAUGUGGGACUAUCAUUAUCAAUCUUAUAUCUUUUGGUACUCACACUAUGAACAUGUGUAGCACUACGCUCGAGAUUCAUUAAGAAUAAACCAUUCACCAUCGGAGCAUGACCAUAAAACAUAUCUCUCAUAUAAAUAGAACAACCAUUAUUCUCGGAUUUAAAUGAGUAGCCAUCUCGAAUUAAAUGAGAUCUUGAUACAAUGUUCAUUCUCAAACUUGGCACUAAAUAACAAUUAUUGAGGUUCAAAACUAAUCCCGUAGGUAAAUGUAGAGGUAGCGUGCCAACGGCAAUCACAUCGACCUUGGAACCAUUCCCGACGCGCAUCGUCACCUCGUCCUUCGCCAGUCUCCGCUUAUUCUGCAGCUCCUGCUUUGAGUUACAAAUGUGAGCAACUGCACCGGUAUCAAAUACCCAGGAGCUACUACGAGUACUGGUAAGGUACACAUCAAUUACAUGUAUAUCACAUAUACCUUUUGUUUUGCCGGCCUUCUUGUCUGCUAAGUAUUUGGGGUAGUUCCGUUUCCAGUGACCACUUCCCUUGCAAUAAAAGCACUCAGUCUUAGGCUUGGGUCCAUUCUUUGGCUUCUUCCCGGCAGCUUGCUUGCCGGGCGCGACAACUCCCUUGCCAUCCUUCUUGAAGUUCUUUUUACCCUUGCCCUUCUUGAACUUAGUGGUUUUAUUCACCAUCAACACUUGAUGUUCCUUUUUGACUUCUACCUCUGCUGAUUUCAGCAUUGCAAAUAAUUCGGGAAUGGUCUUUUCCAUCCCCUGCAUAUUGAAGUUCAUCACAAAACUCUUGUAGCUUGGUGGAAGCGACUGAAGGAUUCUGUCAAUGACUGCGUCAUCCGGGAGAUUAACUCCCAGCUGAGUCAAGCGGUUAUGUAACCCAGACAUUGUGAGUAUGUGCUCACAGACAGAACUAUUUUCCUCCAUCUUACAGCUGAAGAAUUUGUCAGAGACUUCAUAUCUCUCGACCCGGGCAUGAGCUUGAAAAACCAUUUUCAGCUCUUCGAACAUCUCAUAUGCUCCGUGUCUCUCAAAAGGUUUUUGGAGCCCCGAUUCUAAGCUGUAAAGCAUGCCGCACUGAACGAGGGAGUAAUCAUCAGCACGUGUCUGCCAAGCGUUCAUAACGUCUUGGUUCUGUGGGACGGGUGCGUCACCUAGCGGUGCUUGUAGGACAUAAUCUUUCUUGGCAGCUAUGAGGAUGAUCCUCAGGUUCCGGACCCAGUCCGUAUAGUUGCUGCCAUCGUCUUUCAGCUUGGUUUUCUCUAGGAACGCGUUGAAGUUGAGGACAACGUUGGCCAUUUGAUCUACAAGACAUAUUGUAAAUAUUUUAGACUAAGUUCAUGAUAAUUAAGUUCAUCUAAUCAAAUUAUACAAUGAACUCCCACUUAGAUAGACAUCCCUCCUGUAAUCUAAGUAUAACAUGAUCCGAGCUAACUAGGCCGUGUCCGAUCAUCACGUGAGACGGACUAGUCAACAUCGGUGAACAUCUUCAUGUUGAUCGUAUCUUCUAUACGACUCAUGCUCGACCUUUCGGUCUUCUGUGUUCCGAGGCCAUGUCUGUACAUGCUAGACUCGUCAAGUCAACCUAAGUGUUUGCAUGUGUAAAUCUGUCUUACACCCGUUGUAUGUGAACGUUAGAAUCUAUCAUACCCGAUCAUCACGUGGUGCUUCGAAACAACGAACUGUCGCAACGGUGCACAGUUAGGGGGAACACUUUCUUGAAAUUAUUAUGAGGGAUCAUCUUAUUUACUACCGUCGUUCUAAGCAAACAAGAUGCAAAAACAUGAUAAACAUCACAUGCAAUCAAAUAAUAAUAGUGACAUGAUAUGGCCAAUAUCACAUAGCUCCUUUGAUCUCCAUCUUGGGGCUCCAUGAUCAUCUUGUCACCGGCAUGACACCAUGAUCUUCAUCAUCAUGAUCUCCAUCAUUGUGUCUCCAUGAAGUUGCUCGCCAACUAUUACUUCUACUACUACGGCUAACGCGUUUAGCAAUAAAGUAAAGUAAUUUACAUGGCGUUUCUUAAUGACACGCAGGUCAUACAAAAAAAUAAAGACAACUCCUAUGGCUCCUGCUGGUUGUCAUACUCAUCGACAUGCAAGUCGUGAUUCCUAUUACAAUAGCAUGAACAUCUCAUACAUCACAUAUAUAUCAUUCAUCAUUCAUCACAACUUUGGCCAUAUCAUAUCACAAAGCACUUGCCGCAAAAACAAGUUAGACGUCCUCUAAAUGUUGUUUGCAAGUUUUACGUGGCUGAAAUAGGGUUCUAGCAAGAACGUUUUCUUACCUACGUGAAAGCCACAAUGUGAUUUGUCAACUUCUAUUUACCCUUCAUAAGGACCCUUUUCAUCGAAUCCGCUCCAACUAAAGUGGGAGAGACAGACACCCGACAGCCACCUUAUGCAACUUGUGCAUGUUAGUCGGUGGAACCGGUCUCACGUAAGCGUACGUGUAAGGUUGGUCCGGGCCGCUUCAUCCCACAAUACCGCUGAAGCAAGAUAAGACUAGUAGCGGCAAGAAAGUUGACAACAUCUACGCCCACAACAAAUUGUGUUCUACUCGUGCAAGAGAACUACGCAUAGACCUAGCUCAUGAUGCCACUGUUGGGGAACGUUGCAGAAAACAAAAAAUUUCCUACGGUUUCACCAAGAUCCAUCUAGGAGUUCAUCUAGCAACGAGUGAUCGGAUUGCAUCUACAUACCUUUGUAGAUCACGCGCGGAAGCGUUCAAAGAACGGGGAUGAGGAAGGCGUACUCGACGUGAUCCAAAUCACCGGAGAUCCUAGCGCCGAACGGACGGCACCUCCGCGUUCAACACACGUACGGUCAGCGUAACGUCUCCUUCUUCUUGAUCCAGCAAGGGGGAAGGAGAGGUUGAGGAAGAUGGCUCCAGCAGCAGCACGACGGCGUGGUGGUGAUGGAGCUGCAGUACUCCGGCAGGGCUUCGCCAAGCACUAUGGAGGAGGAGGAUGUGUUGGAGAGGGAGAGGGAGGCACCAAAGGCAUGGAUUGAGAGGCCCUCCUUCCCCACUAUAUAUAGGGAGCCUGGGGGGGGGGGGGCGCCGGCCCUAGGAGAUGCAAUCUCCUAGGGGGGGCGGCGGCCAAGGGAGGAAUCCCUCCUCCCCAAGGCACCUAGGAGGUGCCUUCCCCCUUUGGGACUCUUCCCUUCCUUAUCUCUUGGCGCAUGGGCCUCUUGGGGCUGGUGCCCUUGGCCCAUAUAGGCCAAGGCGCACCCCCUACAGCCCAUGUGGCCCCCCGGGGCAGGUGGCCCCACCCGGUGGACCCCCGGGACCCUUCCGGUGGUCCCGGUACAAUACCGGUGACCCGAAAACUUGUCCCGAUGGCCGAAAUAGCACUUCCUAUAUAUAAUUCUUUACCUCCGGACCAUUCCGGAACUCCUCGUGACGUCCGAGAUCUCAUACGGGACUCCAAACAACAUUCGGGUUACUGCAUAUACAUAUCCCUACAACCCUAGCGUCACCGAACCUUAAGUGUGUAGACCCUACGGGUUCGGGAGACAUGUAGACAUGACCGAGAUCGCUCUCCGGUCAAUAACCAACAUCGGGAUCUGGAUACCAUGUUGGCUCCCACAUGCUCCUUGAUGAUCUCAUCGGAUGAACCAUGAUGUCGAGGAUUCAGGCAACCCCCGUAUACAAUUCCCUUUGUCAAUCGGUAUGUUACUUGCCCGAGAUCCGAUCGUCGGUAUCCCAAUACCUCAUUCAAUCUCGUUACCGGCAAGUCACUUUACUCGUACCGUAAUGCAUGAUCACGUGACUAGACACUUGGUCACUUUGAGCUCAUUAUGAUGAUGCAUUACCGAGUGGGCCCAGUGAUACCUCUCCGUCAUACGGAGUGACAAAUCCCAGUCUUGAUCCGUGUCAACCCAACAGACACUUUUGGAGAUACCCGUAGUAUACCUUUAUAGUCACCCAGUUACAUUGUGACGUUUGGUACAACCAAAGCACUCCUAUGGUAUCCGGGAGUUACACGAUCUCAUGGUCUAAGGAAAAGAUACUUGACAUUGGAAAACUCUAGCAAACGAACUAUACGAUCUUAUGCUAUGUUUAGGAUUGGGUCUUGUCCAUCACAUCAUUCUCCUAAUGAUGUGAUCCCGUUAUCAAUAACAUCCAAUGUCCAUAGUCAGGAAACCAUGACUAUCUGUUGAUCAACGAGCUAGUCAACUAGAGGCUUACUAGGGACAUGUUGGUGUCUAUUAUUCACACAUGUAUUACGAUUUCUGGAUAACACAAUUAUAGCAUGAAUAAAUACAAUUAUCAUGAACAAAGAAAUAUAAUAAUAAUCCUUUUAUUAUUGCCUCUAGGGCAUAUUUCCAACAGACGCGGCAUCGGCAGCCAAGCCUACCGUAAUGAUGUCGUCCAUGUCGGCUUCGAUCGCUUCGGUGUCUCUGAGGUGCGACGCGGAGGCGUCAGAGAAGGGCAGCGCGCCAUGGCAGAGAAGGGGCGUCGGGGAGGAUGAGUAGGCCGGCGACAAGUAGUUGUACGGAGGGUCCUGCACGCCGUCGAAGGCAGGCGAGGGCGCCCGCUGGGCCGGGUGACCAAGGGGGAAGGUGAUGUUGGGGUUGAACCCACCGUGCAUGUCCCCGCCGGCGUAGCUCGAUAAUGGUGAGCAGCCCUAGGGUUGCGGCAACGACGAGAAGCCGGCUGGAGAGCCUACGAUGCGGCCACGAGGCAGGAGGGUGCACCCAGGGGGGUAGGCGCGCCCCCACCCUCGUGGGCCCGUCGUGGCUCUGCUGACCUACUUCUUUCGCCUAUAUAUACUCAUAUACCCCGAAAACAUCCGAGAGCACUACGAAACCCUAUUUCCACCGCUGCAACCUUCUAUACCCGUGAGAUCCCAUCUUGGGGCCUUUUUCGGCGCUCCGCCGGAGGGGGAAUCGAUCACGGAGGGCUUCUACAUCAACACCAUAGCCUCUCCGAUGAUGUGUGAGUAUUUUACCAUAGACCUUCGGGUCCAUAGUUAUUAGCUAGAUGGCUUGUUCUCUCUCUUUGGAUCUCAAUACAAAGUUCUCCUCGAUUCUCUUGGAGAUCUAUGUAAUUCUUUUUGUGGUGUGUUUGUCGAGAUCCGAUGAAUUGUGGGUUUAUGAUCAAGAUUAUCUAUGGACAAUAUUUGAUUCUUCUCUGAAUUCUUCUAUGCAUGAUUUAAUAUAUUUGCAAGUCUCUUCGAAUUAUCAGUUUGGUUUGGCCUACUAGAUUGUGAUACGUCUCCAACGUAUCUAUAAUUUUUGAUUGUUCCAUGCUAUUAUAUUAUCUGUUUUGGAUGGUAAUGGGCUUUAUUUUACACUUUUAUAUUAUUUUUGGGACUAACCUAUUAACCGGAGGCCCAGCCCAAAGUGCUAUUUCUUUGCCUAUUUCAGUGUUACAUAGAAAAUGAAUAUCAAACGGAGUCCAAAUGGAAUGAAACCUUCAGGAACAUGAUUUUUGGAACAAACGUGAUCCCGAGGACUUAGAGUGGACGUCAAGCAAUCAACGAGGCGUCCAUGAGGCAGGGGGCGCACCUACCCCCUGGGCGCGCCCUCCCCCCUUGUGGGCCCCUCGUUGCUCCACCGACCUACUUCUUCCUCCUAUAUAUGUUCACAUACCCCGCAAACAUCCAGGAGCACCACGAAACCCUAUUUCCACCGCCGUAACCUUCUGUACCCAAGAGAUCCCAUCUUGGGGCCUUUUCUAGAGCUCUACCAGAGGGGGCAUUGAUCAUGGAGGGCCUCUACAUCAACUCCAUGGCCCCUCCGAUGAUGUGUGAGUAGUUUACUUCAGACCUUCGGGUCCAUAGCUAGUAGCUAGAUGGCUUCUUCUCUCUCUUUGGAUCUCAAUACAAAGUUCUCCUCAAUUCUCUUGGAGAUCUAUUCAAUGUAAUCUUCUUUUGCGGUGUGUUUGUCGAGAUCCGAUGAAUUGUGGGUUUAUGAUCAAGUUUAUCUAUAAACAAUAUUUGAAUCUCCUCUGAAUUAUUUUAUGUAUGAUUGGUUUAUCUUUGCAAGUCUCUUCGAAUUAUCAUUUUGGUUUGGCCUACUAGAUUGAUCUUUCUUUCAAUGGGAGAAGUGCUUAGCUUUGGGUUCAAUCUUGCGCUGCUCAAUCCCAGUGACAGAAAGGGAAAUGACACAUAUUGUAUUGUUGCCAUCGAGGAUAAAAAUAUGGGGUUUACAUCAUAUUGCAUGAGUUUAUCCCUCUACAUAAUGUCAUCUUGCUUAAGGCGUUAGUCUGUUCUUAUGAACUUAAUACUCUAAAUGCAUGCUGGAUAGCAGUCGAUGUGUGGAGUAAUAGUAGUAGAUGCAGGCAGGAGUGAGUCUACUUGUCGCGGACGUGAUGCCUAUAUACAUGAUCAUGCCUAGAUAUUCUCAUAAUUAUUUGCUUUUCUAUCAAUUGGUCGACAGUAAUUUGUUCACCCACCGUAAUACUUAUGCUAUAUUGAGAAAAGCCACUAGUGAAACCUAUGGCCCCCGGGUCUAUUUUCCAUCAUACAAGUUUCCAAUCUAUUUGAUUUUGCAAUCUUUACUUUCAAUCUAUAUCAUCAAAAUACCAAAAAUACAUAUCUUAUUAUUAUCAUCUCUAUCAGAUCUCACUCUUGCAAGUGGCCGUGAAGGGAUUGACAACCCCUUUAUCGCGUUGGUUGUGAGGUUCUUAUUUGUUUGUGUAGGUACGAGGUGACUCGCGCGUGGUUGUCAGGACCCCGACUCGAUGUCACAUCGAUCUAGCAUGUAACACCUCAUAUCGCUUUGCGGCCUCACGCACGGUAUCCCCACGGGUGUCGCCUUACCUUUGCCCGGGACCGUUUGCGCAUUUUGGCACACGUAUAUGAUGGUGUCGCUAGCAUCCAUAUGAUAAAGAGCCCGGGCUGACAUGGCUAGUCGUAAACCCAAAGUGGCACUAACUUACAGGGACAGGCAUUCAUGACCCAGCAUCGAACGUGUCGGUCAUCAGCGAGUGAAUCCAGGCUGUAGCACUGGGCUAACAGGACUCCGGUGAACCGGGCUGUAGCGGGCUAGCAGGACUCCGGUAUUCAUCGCGUGACAUUUCCCCGAAGGGACAGACACAGGAUCAAAGAAGGACACAUGCCGGCCUGCCUAAGUGUUCCGGAGCAGUAGCAAGCUACCAGGGCUCAGUGGAAGCACUAGGAGACAUUUCCCGGUAAGAGAGGCUACUAAGAAUAAACAACUAGAUAGUCAGAUCCCACACAUAGCAAUACACAUUACACGUACGCAUAACAUGCAAGUAUGUGAUGUACAACAUGGCAUCACAGCAUAACUCAACAACUUAUAUAGAUAAAGGCUCAGAAGAGCCGUCAUAGCAAUUAUUGCAAACAGGGGUCACAAGACCCAUCAUACAGAGCAUACAAGCAACAAGCGGAAGCAUUACAUGUCUGGGUACAGACAUCUACAAAUGAAAAAGGCUGAAGAGCCUGACUAUCUACAACAUCCGAUCAAGAUCGUAGCUGAGGUANNNNNNNNNNNNNNNNNNNNNNNNNNNNNNNNNNNNNNNNNNNNNNNNNNNNNNNNNNNNNNNNNNNNNNNNNNNNNNNNNNNNNNNNNNNNNNNNNNNNNNNNNNNNNNNNNNNNNNNNNNNNNNNNNNNNNNNNNNNNNNNNNNNNNNNNNNNNNNNNNNNNNNNNNNNNNNNNNNNNNNNNNNNNNNNNNNNNNNNNNNNNNNNNNNNNNNNNNNNNNNNNNNNNNNNNNNNNNNNNNNNNNNNNNNNNNNNNNNNNNNNNNNNNNNNNNNNNNNNNNNNNNNNNNNNNNNNNNNNNNNNNNNNNNNNNNNNNNNNNNNNNNNNNNNNNNNNNNNNNNNNNNNNNNNNNNNNNNNNNNNNNNNNNNNNNNNNNNNNNNNNNNNNNNNNNNNNNNNNNNNNNNNNNNNNNNNNNNNNNNNNNNNNNNNNNNNNNNNNNNNNNNNNNNNNNNNNNNNNNNNNNNNNNNNNNNNNNNNNNNNNNNNNNNNNNNNNNNNNNNNNNNNNNNNNNNNNNNNNNNNNNNNNNNNNNNNNNNNNNNNNNNNNNNNNNNNNNNNNNNNNNNNNNNNNNNNNNNNNNNNNNNNNNNNNNNNNNNNNNNNNNNNNNNNNNNNNNNNNNNNNNNNNNNNNNNNNNNNNNNNNNNNNNNNNNNNNNNNNNNNNNNNNNNNNNNNNNNNNNNNNNNNNNNNNNNNNNNNNNNNNNNNNNNNNNNNNNNNNNNNNNNNNNNNNNNNNNNNNNNNNNNNNNNNNNNNNNNNNNNNNNNNNNNNNNNNNNNNNNNNNNNNNNNNNNNNNNNNNNNNNNNNNNNNNNNNNNNNNNNNNNNNNNNNNNNNNNNNNNNNNNNNNNNNNNNNNNNNNNNNNNNNNNNNNNNNNNNNNNNNNNNNNNNNNNNNNNNNNNNNNNNNNNNNNNNNNNNNNNNNNNNNNNNNNNNNNNNNNNNNNNNNNNNNNNNNNNNNNNNNNNNNNNNNNNNNNNNNNNNNNNNNNNNNNNNNNNNNNNNNNNNNNNNNNNNNNNNNNNNNNNNNNNNNNNNNNNNNNNNNNNNNNNNNNNNNNNNNNNNNNNNNNNNNNNNNNNNNNNNNNNNNNNNNNNNNNNNNNNNNNNNNNNNNNNNNNNNNNNNNNNNNNNNNNNNNNNNNNNNNNNNNNNNNNNNNNNNNNNNNNNNNNNNNNNNNNNNNNNNNNNNNNNNNNNNNNNNNNNNNNNNNNNNNNNNNNNNNNNNNNNNNNNNNNNNNNNNNNNNNNNNNNNNNNNNNNNNNNNNNNNNNNNNNNNNNNNNNNNNNNNNNNNNNNNNNNNNNNNNNNNNNNNNNNNNNNNNNNNNNNNNNNNNNNNNNNNNNNNNNNNNNNNNNNNNNNNNNNNNNNNNNNNNNNNNNNNNNNNNNNNNNNNNNNNNNNNNNNNNNNNNNNNNNNNNNNNNNNNNNNNNNNNNNNNNNNNNNNNNNNNNNNNNNNNNNNNNNNNNNNNNNNNNNNNNNNNNNNNNNNNNNNNNNNNNNNNNNNNNNNNNNNNNNNNNNNNNNNNNNNNNNNNNNNNNNNNNNNNNNNNNNNNNNNNNNNNNNNNNNNNNNNNNNNNNNNNNNNNNNNNNNNNNNNNNNNNNNNNNNNNNNNNNNNNNNNNNNNNNNNNNNNNNNNNNNNNNNNNNNNNNNNNNNNNNNNNNNNNNNNNNNNNNNNNNNNNNNNNNNNNNNNNNNNNNNNNNNNNNNNNNNNNNNNNNNNNNNNNNNNNNNNNNNNNNNNNNNNNNNNNNNNNNNNNNNNNNNNNNNNNNNNNNNNNNNNNNNNNNNNNNNNNNNNNNNNNNNNNNNNNNNNNNNNNNNNNNNNNNNNNNNNNNNNNNNNNNNNNNNNNNNNNNNNNNNNNNNNNNNNNNNNNNNNNNNNNNNNNNNNNNNNNNNNNNNNNNNNNNNNNNNNNNNNNNNNNNNNNNNNNNNNNNNNNNNNNNNNNNNNNNNNNNNNNNNNNNNNNNNNNNNNNNNNNNNNNNNNNNNNNNNNNNNNNNNNNNNNNNNNNNNNNNNNNNNNNNNNNNNNNNNNNNNNNNNNNNNNNNNNNNNNNNNNNNNNNNNNNNNNNNNNNNNNNNNNNNNNNNNNNNNNNNNNNNNNNNNNNNNNNNNNNNNNNNNNNNNNNNNNNNNNNNNNNNNNNNNNNNNNNNNNNNNNNNNNNNNNNNNNNNNNNNNNNNNNNNNNNNNNNNNNNNNNNNNNNNNNNNNNNNNNNNNNNNNNNNNNNNNNNNNNNNNNNNNNNNNNNNNNNNNNNNNNNNNNNNNNNNNNNNNNNNNNNNNNNNNNNNNNNNNNNNNNNNNNNNNNNNNNNNNNNNNNNNNNNNNNNNNNNNNNNNNNNNNNNNGGGGGGGGGGGUUAGUCAACGGUGAUUAGCACUAAGCUAAUCACCUGACGGGCCGGCCCCACCUGGCAGGGCUCAGGCGACGGGGGCUCGUCGCCGGCGACCUCUGGACGCGGCGGAGUCCGCGCCACAGGCCACGGGGACGGCGUCUGAGAGCACCGGGGCGUAGCCCGGGCUCUCGCGCAUCUGGUGGGCCAGGUGGGAGGAGCGGGGACGGCCGGAGCUCGCCGGAGCAGAGCUCGGGGCGGCGGCCGGAGUUCGGGCUUGAGCGGGAAUGGGCUGCGGGGCACGGGGAGGCCUCCUGAGGGGCCCGGCGGCACCCUCGUGGCACCAGGAACGCGGAGGGAGGCUUGGUUUGGGCGGAGGCGGGCCGAGACGGCGGCGGCGACGUGGACGGCGGCGAGGGGCUUCGGCCGUGGUGGGGAGCGGCGCUACGGCACGGGAACGGGAGGGAGAAGAGAGGGGAAUGGUGGAGGAGCUCACCGCGGAUCCAGCGAGCGCGAAGGCGAGGUCGGGGAUGCCCGGAAGCUCCCGAAUUGACGGCGAGUACCCACGGCGGCCGGAGGCGAGGGUGGCGACGGCGACGGCUCCACGGGGCUCUCCGGCUUGCGUGGCUCGGCGAGGAAGUAGAGGGGGUCGCGGCGGAGCUCGGGGGCUCUACGGAGGGGCGAGGGAACGGCGGGGAGCGCGUCGGUGGCGAGCUGCGGCGGCGGCGGUGCUUCGGGUGAGAGGGAGAGAGAGCAGGGAAGAGGAGGAGGGCGAGGGAGAGUGAGAACGGUGCGGGGCAGCGCGUGGCGACGUUCCGGACGUCCAGGCGUCGAGGGGAGGACAGGCAGACAGGUGCCGUGGCGGCACGGCGGUGCGCACGCGCCGGCCACACGCCUCUGGCCUCCUGGCGGGAGGUGGAGGACGACUGGCGCUAGCCAGUCGGCUGGGCCGGCCGGCUGGGCCGCACAGGGGAGGGGAGGCCCAGGUAAGUCCUCCUUCCUUUUAUUUCUGUUUUCUAUUUUUUUCUGACAUUUGUUUGAUUUAAUAAAUAUAUCAAAUCAUUUAAUUUUAUUAUGCCAAUUUUUGUAGGGGCUAAUGGUAUUAUUCCAGAACUCUUGUAUAAUUGGCAUAAUUUUUGGACCAUAUUUCAUAUAUAUAGAAAUAUAUUUCCAAUGCAAAUAUUUAUCGAAUUAAUCCAAAUGGCCAAAAUAAAUGUCCAUGGGCUCCUAAAAUAUUGUUUUGAUUUUUAUCUCUGUCCAAUAUUUUUAGAGGGCAUCAUGAGCAUUUUCUUGGACCCUUUUUGGAGAAAUUUUUAUUUGGGUCAUUUUCAAAAAUGAUUCUGAGGGUUCCACCAAUCCUCAUUUCAAAUUUAAAUGAAAUUUAAACAUGAUGCACAAAUGACCAGCUAGUCUAGGUCAUACCAGACUAGGGAUGUGACAACUCGCCCCCACUUGACAGAAUCUCGUCUCAAGAUUCAGGGGUCGACGGAAAGAAAGCGGGGUACUCCAGUCGAAGACGAUCUUCUCGCUCCCAGGUAGCUUCUCUCUCGGAAUAAUGAGACCACUGAACUUUGAGAAACUUGAUGUUCUGACGUCGGGUAACACGCUCUGCUUGAUCAAGAAUGCGAACCGGGUACUCUCGGUAUGUGAGGUUAUCUUGGAGAUCAAGCGUUUCGUGGUCCACUCCGCGGAUGGGAUCCGAGAAGCAACGCCUGAGUUGAGAGACGUGGAAGACAUCAUGAACUCGGGAAAGAUGUGGAGGUAGUUCCAACUGGUAGGCAACCUCUCCUCGUUUAGCGAGAAUGCGAAAGGGACCAAUGUAACGAGGAGCCAACUUGCCCUUGAUACCGAAACGAUGGGUACCCUUCAAAGGAGUAACCCGAAGGUAAGCUUGGUCGCCAAUUUCAUAAGUCAUAUCCUUAUGAUGACGAUCGUACUGACUUUUCUGACGAGACUGGGCGGUUUUCAAAUUCUCACGAAUGAUGCGAACUUGCUCUUCUGCCUCCUGGAUCAUAUCCGGUCCAAAGAAUUGUCUUUCACCGGUUUCUGACCAGUUCAAAGGUGUUCGACAUCUUCGUCCAUAGAGAACCUCAAAAGGAGCUUUCUUGAGGCUGGAUUGGUAGCUGUUGUUAUAAGCAAACUCGGCGAAAGGAAGACAUUUCUCCCAAUCCAUACCGAAUGAGAUAACGCAAGCUCUGAGCAUGUCUUCGAGAAUUUGAUUGACCCGUUCCACCUGACCACUUGACUGAGGGUGGAAAGCGGUACUGAAGGAAAGAUGGGUUCCCAUGGCAGUUUGGAAACUCUCCCAAAAAUGAGAAGUGAAAAGGCUGCCACGGUCUGAAUUGAUCUCUAGUGGGACACCAUGAAGUGACACUAUUCGAGAAAUAUAUAAGUCAGCAAGCUGACUAGCAGUGAUAUUUUCCCGAACAGGAAGGAAGUGAGCCACUUUGGAGAGACGAUCAAUGACUACGAAGAUAGCGUUAUUCCCUCUCUUGGUCCUGGGAAAACCGGUGAUGAAGUCCAUACUAACUUUAUCCCAUUUCCAUUCAGGAAUAGCUAAGGGCUGAAGGGUGCCAGCAGGUCUUUGAUGCUCUGCCUUAACGCGACGACAUACGUCACAUUUAGCAAUGAACUCAGCGAUUUCCCUCUUCAUCCUAGUCCACCAGAACCUCUGGCGUAGGUCCUGAUACAUCUUAGUACUACCGGGAUGAAUCGUGAGAGGGGAUUCAUGCGCCUCCUUAAGAAUCAAUUGUCGCAGAUGUUGAUUCUUGGGAACCACCAAGCGAUUCUCAAAGAAAAUAAUUCCACGAUCAUCCAUAGAGAAACAUCCACCAACUCCCUUCUUAAUGUUUCUCUUGAUCCGAGAAAUUCCUGUGUCUUGCUUUUGAGCAGCGAUAAUCCGAUCUUCAAGAUCAGGUUUCGCCACCAGAGUAGAAAGGAAUCCGCGAGGAGCUAUGUGAAGGUUAAGCUUACGGAAUUCCUCAUGGAGAAGUGGUUGGCCUUGCUGCAACAUGAGAUUGUUGCAAUAAGAUUUACGGCUUAGAGCAUCAGCCAUGACAUUGGCUUUGCCUGGGGUGUAGGUAAUCCCUAGAUCAUAAUCUGUAAUCAACUCCAACCAACGUCUUUGCCUAAGGUUCAGAUCCGGCUGGGUGAAGAUAUACUUGAGACUCUGGUGAUCGGUGUAGAUCUCGCAACGUUUACCAAGGAGGUAAUGUCGCCAGGUCUUGAGUGCAUAGACUACGGCUGCAAGCUCUAGAUCAUGUGUAGGAUAAUUCUCCUCAUGUGGAUGUAACUGUCAAGAUGCAUAGGCAAUCACAUGACGAUCCUGCAUAAGAAUGCAACCUAGUCCCUGUCGUGAGGCGUCGCAGUAGAUAAUAAAGUCUUUUGUGAAAUCCGGUGGCACAAGUAUGGGAGCAGAAGUCAGGCGUCUCUUCAGUUCCUGAAAACUGUACUCACACUGUGGGGACCACUCGAACUUUUUAUCUUUCUUGAGAAGUUCCGUGAGGGGUUUGGCUACUUUGGAGAAGUUUUCAACAAAGCGGCGACAAUAGCUGGCUAGGCCAAGGAAACUCCUAACUUGUUUCACGGUCUCGGGUGGAGUCCAAUCGAGAACGGCUUGAACUCUCUCGGGAUUGACAGCAAUGCCCUUACCAGAGAUUACGUGGCCUAGGUAGGUCACUUCUGGCAACCAAAAUUCACACUUGGAGAACUUGGCAUAAAGGCGGUGCUCUUUGAGUUUUUCUAACACAAGUCUAAGAUGUUCGGCAUGCUCUUCCUCGUUCUUCGAGUAAAUAAGAAUAUCAUCGAGGUAAACCACGACGAACUUAUCUAAGUACUCCAUGAAGAUCGAGUUCAUCAAGCGGGAGAAUGUGGCUGGGGCGUUGGUUAGGCCAAAGGACAUGACGGUGUACUCGUACUGGCCAUAACGAGUGACAAAAGCCGUCUUGGGAAUGUCCCCAUUUCUGAUUUUGAUUUGGUGGUAUCCUAACCUUAAAUCCAUCUUGGAGAAGACUGAGGAUCCAGCGAGCUGAUCAUACAGGUCGUUGAUCCUGGGGAGCGGAUACUUGUUCUUGAUCGUGACCAAAUUAACGGGACGAUAAUCAAUGACCAUCCGGUCCGUACCGUCUUUCUUCUUGACAAAGAGGACGGGGCAAGUCCAAGGAGAAGAACUAGGACGGAUGAAACCCUUUUGCAAGGACUCAUCGAGUUGUUUCUUAAGCUCGGCUAGUUCUAGGGGUGCCAUCUUGUAAGGUCUCCGGGAGAUUGGAGCUGUUCCUGGGAUAAGAUCUAUGACGAACUCUACAUCUCUGUCAGGUGGAACACCUGGCAGUUCCUCUGGAAAGACAUCCGGAAAGUCACGGACUACCGGGAUAUCUUCAAGGUCUGGAAGAGGGCUGGCAUUAAGAGAAUAGAGCUGACGCUUUGCAACUCUAGUAGAGACGGUGACUAACUUGCCAGAUGGGUGUGUAAGCUGAACAGAUCUUGUGUAGCAAUCAAUCUUGGCAUGAUGAGCUGUCAUCCAGUCCAUACCCAAGAUGAUGUUAAUAUCUGAGGACUUGAGGGCUACAAGUGAUGCAAGGAAUACCAGUCUAUCAACAAGGAUUUCAUUACCAUGGCUGAUUCUGGUGGUCUGCCAUCUAGACCCUGGGGUUUGGAUUUCAAGCGGAGUUGGCAUAUCACAAAAUGACAUGUCGUGCAAACGAGCAUAGCCUUCAGAAAUGAAGGAGUGAGAUGCCCCAGUAUCAAAUAGAACUGAUGUUGGGUGACAAUUGACAAGGAGUGUACCAAGAACGACAUCUGGAUCAUCAUGAGCGUCUUUAGCUGAGACGUGAUGCACACAUCCACGUUCAGUGGGGGCUGACUUAACACUGAUCAUCUUGCGUGAUGGCUUAAUACAGCCAACAGUCUUCUCGGGCUGGGGUGGAGCAUAACUAGUCUGAGAGCAGUCACGUGCAUAGUGUCCUGACUUCCCGCAUGUGAAGCAAGUCCCUGAGGUUGGACGGGGACCCGCACUAACAAGCGGUCUACCAGUAGGCCUGGGUGGAACAUACGACUGAGCUGGAGGAGGCACCACAUGAGAUGACCUCGGUGUAUAACCGGAAGGAAGAGCGGAGUUUGGAACCCAAAUCCGGCGUUUCUGGGAACUAGAGCCAGAGGGAGAUCCCAAAUCACGGGUGUGCUUACGAGACUCCUCGUAAGUGAGUUGAGCUGUCUCUGCAUUGAUGGCCUUGUUCACAAGGGCUUGGAAUGUAUCGCAAUGAUGCAUGUGAAGAUCACGACGCAAUUUGGGGUUGAGACCCUUCCGGAACCUAGCCUGCUUCUUGGCGUCCGUGGACACUUCUUCUGUGGCAUAGCGAGCAAGGUUCUCGAACUCUCUGCUAUAAGCAUCAACGGCCAUCUUACUCUGGGUGAAACUACAGAACUCUUCUCUCUUGCGAUCAAGGAGGGCUUGGGGAAUGUGAUGCUCGCGAAAAGCCUCAGUGAACUCCUUCCAGGUAGGAAUCUGGCCAGCUGGAAGCAUAGCCUCGUAGUUCUGCCACCAAAGACUAGCAGGACCUUCCAGGUGAUAUGUGGCAUAAGUGACCUUGUCAUCUUCAGCUACGUUCGCGAAACGCAGCUUAUGGAUGAUGCUACGGAGCCAGUCAUCUGCAUCGAGUGGCUCGAUGGAAUGAUGAAAGGUAGGUGGGUGCAAGCGAAUGAAGUCAUGAAUGGUCACAGACUUGUUGGACUGAUGUGCGGUGUUCUCCUCGAUACGUGCCAACAAGUGGUUGGACUCACGCUUGUUCCUUUCCAUCUCUAGCAUGAACUCUGUCAACGAAGGCUGGUCGGGAGAAUUCUCAUCCCUACCAUCUCCAUGGUUCCGGCUACGAACAAUAGAACUUGAUGACAUCCUGAGAAACGAAAACCAGGGACGGAAUCAGCACCAAUUAUCGACUGUAGAAUGUAGGACAGGGAAUUAGUAUCACUCGAACUCCUAGGGAAAUUCUGGCAGCAUAACGGCAGUAAACUGCUCAGAACGAGACAUCCUACUAAACAUAGGGUGGUAACAUACUUAUCAUCAUCACUCAAGGUUCUGAGAUAGUACUAAACAGACUACACCGGAAGUACUCGAAACUGGGGUAUGACUCUGAUCAACCAGUCCUAUGGAACUACGGAGUAGUAACACGUGAUCCUGAUAGACGGAAGAGAAGCCUAGUUCCUUAACCCCGUCGGAAAGAUAGGAUGACUCAGAUCAGAAGGCCAUGAGGUAAAGAAGUAAAAAGAGCCUUACGUUCCAACCCACAAUCAAUUCCCUUACAUAACUAAAGAAUUUCUAGACUCAACUUCGACCGGUUUGGCUUGGUAAUCCUACAGGCAGUCAGGCUCUGAUACCAACGCUGUCAGGACCCCGACUCGAUGUCACAUCGAUCUAGCAUGUAACACCUCAUAUCGCUUUGCGGCCUCACGCACGGUAUCCCCACGGGUGUCGCCUUACCUUUGCCCGGGACCGUUUGCGCAUUUUGGCACACGUAUAUGAUGGUGUCGCUAGCAUCCAUAUGAUAAAGAGCCCGGGCUGACAUGGCUAGUCGUAAACCCAAAGUGGCACUAACUUACAGGGACAGGCAUUCAUGACCCAGCAUCGAACGUGUCGGUCAUCAGCGAGUGAAUCCAGGCUGUAGCACUGGGCUAACAGGACUCCGGUGAACCGGGCUGUAGCGGGCUAGCAGGACUCCGGUAUUCAUCGCGUGACAUUUCCCCGAAGGGACAGACACAGGAUCAAAGAAGGACACAUGCCGGCCUGCCUAAGUGUUCCGGAGCAGUAGCAAGCUACCAGGGCUCAGUGGAAGCACUAGGAGACAUUUCCCGGUAAGAGAGGCUACUAAGAAUAAACAACUAGAUAGUCAGAUCCCACACAUAGCAAUACACAUUACACGUACGCAUAACAUGCAAGUAUGUGAUGUACAACAUGGCAUCACAGCAUAACUCAACAACUUAUAUAGAUAAAGGCUCAGAAGAGCCGUCAUAGCAAUUAUUGCAAACAGGGGUCACAAGACCCAUCAUACAGAGCAUACAAGCAACAAGCGGAAGCAUUACAUGUCUGGGUACAGACAUCUACAAAUGAAAAAGGCUGAAGAGCCUGACUAUCUACAACAUCCGAUCAAGAUCGUAGCUGAGGUAAUAGCUACUAGUCGAAGUCCACGAGAACACUAGUAAGACCGAAGUCUCCGCUGCAAAAACAUAAAUAAAGCAACAUGAGUACAAAGGUACUCAGCAAGACUUACAUCAGAUCCUAUCAUACAUGCACUUGUAUCAAGAGGGUAACGUGGGGUUUAGUUGCAGCAAGCCAGCUUUGACUCUGUGGCUAUCCUGUUCUACGACUACCAGAAACUCUGAAGGUGAAACAACGUACACGAGUCCACUAAUCACCAUACAAUACACUACUAUGGAUUCAUCCCCGUCUCCCUACGAGAAGGCCAUCCAUAGCACUCACACAUGUCUUGAGCAUUUUAGGGUAUCCACUUCAAGUUGUCUAUGUACCAUGUAAGCAUCCAAGAAGUCCAUAACCGCGGACCCGGCUAUUCGAAUAGAUCAUGUUAACCCUGCAGGGGUGUACUUCUUCACACACGCUCUCGCCACUUACCGCCAUGUACACGUCAUGUAUCUCGGCAACCUUCAAGCGGAAGCCUGGCGAGGGUGUCGGCCACGACCUGACUAACCACACAAGACUCUAGUCCAGGUUUAUCGCCUAUUCGGGUUCCAUCCGCAAGGAGAUCCGGCUGGGGUGUCGCUUACGGCCCCAAACGAUGUGUACAGGGUUCCCGAGCCCACCAACCGGGUGCCACUCGGUACACCAGGCCACGUGUGCCUAGUCUGUCCCAAGCCCACCCUGCCGGGUGCCACUUGGUAGAAAAAUAGCACUACCUACAAACACCAGAAACUAGUUGCGACUCCUGGACAGAGAUCAAGUUGGUUAAUAAGUCGAGAGGGCUUGGAGCGCCCGGAGCCCAAUGUGUGGUAGUAUCGAGUCAUUGGACAACAUACACAGAACUCAGGGCUUAAGGACGGUUCCAGUGAGACAACCCACCAUGUACUCCUACAUGGCCUCUCACCGCUACCUUUACCAAAUCGUGUUCACACACUUCACUCUCAGCAUCAGAACACAUCGUGACACUCCAAUUCAUUCCCAAUGAAUCAGACCUGACACAACUCUAAGCAAUAGCAGGCAUAGCAUGGUAGGAACACAUCAGUGGCUUCAAUCAACUCCUACACAUGCUAGUGGGUUUCAGCUAUUUACUAUGGCAAUGACAGGUCAUGCAGAGGAAUGGGUUCAACUACCGCAGCACAAAGUAGCAGAUGAAUCGUUGUUGUCCUAAUGCAAUAACUGAGAGCAGGAGCGAGAGAGUAGGGUUUUAUCGAAAUGAACAAGGGGGUUUGCUUGCCUGGUAAAACAACAAGGAAGGCACUGCUUCACGGACAGGUACUCUGGAACGUCUCCGGAGCAGGACCUAUCGAGAAGGAACGGUGCCGGCAAUCAAAACACAAUCAUAUGCAGCAAUAUGAUGCAUGAACAUGGCAUGUAGAUGUGAUGCUGCUGAGCUAAUGCAACUAGUGUUCACUUGGUUUGAAGUCCAUUUGAACCAAAGGUUCAAAUGCAUUUCUAAAUUAAGUCUCUUAUAUAUGCCAUAAUGUGUUUUCUCAUAUUCAGUAUGUAUAAGUUGGUUUGUCAUGCAUGAAACUAGUACAGAUGGAAAGAUUGCAUUUUUCUGAUAAUUUUUCAUAUAUAAAUUAUUUCAAUCUGAGCUACGGUUGAAUUUCUAUGAAUUUUUGAAGUUUAAAUCAAUUUCUGGAAUUUUCCUGAUUUAAUUAAAUCCAGAAAUUAUAUACUGCGCCAGCAUGACGUCAGCACGACGUCAGCGGGUCAACGCGGCUGUCCAGGGUCAAACCUGACGUGUGGGACCCACACGUCAGUGACAGGGGGGUUAACAGGGGUUAAUUUAAUUUAACUAAAAGGUUAGGGGGGGUCGGGCCCACUGGUCAGCGUCAGGGGGGGGGUUAGUCAACGGUGAUUAGCACUAAGCUAAUCACCUGACGGGCCGGCCCCACCUGGCAGGGCUCAGGCGACGGGGGCUCGUCGCCGGCGACCUCUGGACGCGGCGGAGUCCGCGCCACAGGCCACGGGGACGGCGUCUGAGAGCACCGGGGCGUAGCCCGGGCUCUCGCGCAUCUGGUGGGCCAGGUGGGAGGAGCGGGGACGGCCGGAGCUCGCCGGAGCAGAGCUCAGGGCGGCGGCCGGAGUUCGGGCUUGAGCGGGAAUGGGCUGCGGGGCACGGGGAGGCCUCCUGAGGGGCCCGGCGGCACCCUCGUGGCACCAGGAACGCGGAGGGAGGCUUGGUUUGGGCGGAGGCGGGCCGAGACGGCGGCGGCGACGUGGACGGCGGCGAGGGGCUUCGGCCGUGGUGGGGAGCGGCGCUACGGCACGGGAACGGGAGGGAGAAGAGAGGGGAACGGUGGAGGAGCUCACAGCGGAUCCAGCGAGCGCGAAGGCGAGGUCGGGGAUGCCCGGAAGCUCCCGAAUUGACGGCGAGUACCCACGGCGGCCGGAGGCGAGGGUGGCGACGGCGACGGCUCCACGGGGCUCUCCGGCUUGCGUGGCUCGGCGAGGAAGUAGAGGGGGUCGCGGCGGAGCUCGGGGGCUCUACGGAGGGGCGAGGGAACGGCGGGGAGCGCGUCGGUGGCGAGCUGCGGCGGCGGCGGUGCUUCGGGUGAGAGGGAGAGAGAGCAGGGAAGAGGAGGAGGGCGAGGGAGAGUGAGAACGGUGCAGGGCAGCGCGUGGCGACGUUCCGGACGUCCAGGCGUCGAGGGGAGGACAGGCAGACAGGUGCCGUGGCGGCACGGCGGUGCGCACGCGCCGGCCACACGCCUCUGGCCUCCUGGCGGGAGGUGGAGGACGACUGGCGCUAGCCAGUCGGCUGGGCCGGCCGGCUGGGCCGCACAGGGGAGGGGAGGCCCAGGUAAGUCCUCCUUCCUUUUAUUUCUGUUUUCUAUUUUUUUUUGACAUUUGUUUGAUUUAAUAAAUAUAUCAAAUCAUUUAAUUUUAUUAUGCCAAUUUUUGUAGGGGCUAAUGGUAUUAUUCCAGAACUCUUGUAUAAUUGGCAUAAUUUUCAGACCAUAUUUCAUAUAUAUAGAAAUAUAUUUCCAAUGCAAAUAUUUAUCGAAUUAAUCCAAAUGGCCAAAAUAAAUGUCCAUGGGCUCCUAAAAUAUUGUUUUGAUUUUUAUCUCUGUCCAAUAUUUUUAGAGGGCAUCAUGAGCAUUUUCUUGGACCCUUUUUGGAGAAAUUUUUAUUUGGGUCAUUUUCAAAAAUGAUUCUGAGGGUUCCACCAAUCCUCAUUUCAAAUUUAAAUGAAAUUUAAACAUGAUGCACAAAUGACCAGCUAGUCUAGGUCAUACCAGACUAGGGAUGUGACAGUGGUCUCCUACUGGAUUGAUACCUUGGUACUCAAAAACUGAGGGAAAUACUUACGUUGCUUUACUGCACCACCCUUUCCUCUUCAAGGGAAAACCAAUGGAGUGCUCAAGAGGUAGCAGAUUGAUCUUUCUUGCAAUGGGAGAAGUGCUUAGCUUUGGGUUCAAUCUUGCGGUGUCCUUUCCCAGUGACAGCAGGGGCAGCAAGGCACGUAUUGUAUUGUUGCCAUCGAGGAUAAAAAGAUGGGGUUUAUAUCAUAUUGCUUGAGUUUAUCCCUCUACAUCAUGUCAUCUUGCCUAAUGCAUUACUCUGUUCUUAUGAACUUAAUACUCUAGAUGCAUGCUGGAUAGUGGUCGAUGUGUGGAGUAAUAGUAGUAGAUGCAGAAUCGUUUCGGUCUACUUGGCGCGAACGUGAUGCCUAUAUACAUGAUCAUGCCUAGAUAUAUCAUAACUAUGCUCUUUUCUAUCAAUUGCUCGACAGUAAUUUGUUCACCCACCGUAGAAUUUGCUAUGUUGAGAGAAGCCACUAGUGAAACCUACGGCCCCCGGGUCUAUCUUCCAUCAUACUAUUCUCCUAUUUACUUGCUAUUCCUAUCGUUGUUUAUUUUGCAAUCUCUUUUUCCAAUCUAUACAAUAAAAAUACCAAAAACUAUUUACCUUAUUAUCUCUAUCAGAUCUCACUUUCGUAAAUGACCGUGAAGGGAUUGACAACCCCUUUAUCGUGUUGGUUGCGAGGUUCUUGUUUGUUUGUGCAGGUACUAGGGACUUGCGUGUUACCUCCUACUGGAUUGUUACCUUGGUUCUCAAAAACUGAGGGAAAUACUUUUGCUACUUUGCUGCAUCACCCUUUCCUCUUCAAGGGAAAACCAACACAUGCUCAAGAGGUAGCAAUCUUCACCAACCUAACAGAAGUGCGGCCGUACAUCGAGUAAGUUCUUGCAGUACAUUGUUUUGCAACUUCUAAUUCCUUUGAACUGCUCUUAUUCCCAGAUAUUUUUUGAUACAGUCGAUACAUCACCAAAUUCUUGGAUGGAGCGGUGAUCCAAAAGGAAUCCAUCGAAGAGUAUGAGCUCCUCGCGAAGCAAGGAGGCGGCUUUCCUGGUUUCAUCUCUUGGUUCAAACAAACGGUAAUUUCCACUAGACCAUUCUCAUUUCUUCAUCUAAUUUGCGGCUAAUGCAACAAUCCUUUCGUAUUAAACUUGUAGGCUAAUUCAGAGUCUAUGGACGCUGAAUUGAGACAAUUCACUAAUGGUUUUGACUUUAAGGCCCGUUCAUUUGACAAAUUCGACAUCAACAGGCAUCACUUUCGUACCUAUGGCAAAGAGCUAUUUAUGGACGACCGAAAGUCUACAAGUUGUUGUGUCUCUGCUAUCGGCGAUGGAGGUAUCGAGUAUUAUGGGAGAGUUGAAGCAAUUUAUGAACUUCUAUUCUAUGGUCAAAACGCACCAAACGUCGUAGUCUUCAAAUGUUACUAGUUCCAGCCGAAGGAGAGUAGAAGGACUCAUGAACAUAUAUGGCUAGUCGAAAUCAAACAAAGCACCCAUUUAGAUGUUCUUGAUGUCUAUAUUAUGGCUCAAUAAGCGACCCAAGUUUUCUAUCUACUGUGGGAGUGCCAAACUUAUCCAAAUCUGAAUGGUUGGGAUGUCGUUUAUGAAGUGCCACCACGUGUUAGACUACCUCCCCACAAUGAAGAGGAUUAUGAACCUCACAUUAACCCAGACACAUAUGAAGGUGAAUUCUUCCAAGAAACACUCUUUCCAAAAAAACGCUUCAAGAAACGCUUUACUUCACACCAGAACAUUGAAGUAGACAGCGAUAGUGAACCUGACUUCACCGCUGAGCCGGAACAAGAAGAGCCUAAACAAGAAGAGGUUACUGAUGCGGAUGACUUGUCAAUGGUUGAACGAUUACGUAAAGGUGGCCUUCCACAUGUUGAUGCCGCUGAACCCGAUGAGCACUUCAUUGAUGAUAGUGAUGAUGAUGAUGCAUUUAUUGAUCCUGGAGCAUUUAUUGAACCCGACGAUCAAGAUUAUUAUUAGGUAUUCAAUUUUUUAUGUUGUACUUGAUUUGUAUAAAUGCUUGUAUGAUUGUAUGAUUUAUAUAGUUACUUGUAUAAUUUCUUACUUUGUACGAUUGUUUGUUAUACAUAGUGCCAUGGUCUUGAUAUCCGUCCCCGUCGGCCCUUGCCCGCUUUAUGAAUCAGAUGUGGUAUAUUCUCUAUUAUAACUAUUUGUUGCAUUUCACAUUUAUGACAAUUAUGGCCAUCAAGUUGACAUAGAGAUAUUUUUAUCUAGGAGGUAUGUGAAACAGAAAUUGCAACCGACCCUAUUGUUGAGAAGUUAAAUUUAGUUGAAAAUUAAAAUGAGUAUUUGAAAGAAAGAAUUAGAAGAAUUGAAGAAGAGAAGAUGAAAUUGGAGUUGUAUGUUGUCGAUGUCCUCGAUGAUCACAAGAUGAAGACGAAUGCAAUGCGCUUGAAGAUGGUGGAUGCAAUGCGCUUGAAGAUUAGAAAAUAUGCCAUUGAUAAUGAGGCUUGGUAUCGUUAUGCCGUUGGAUCAAUUAUUACCUUAGUUGCGAUCUUCAUCACAUUUGUUGUGAUGAGGGUAAGUUUUCUCUAGUGUUUUGCUUAACAAAUGCAUACUUAGCUUAUUUUCCUCCUAAAUGGCAUAAUUACCUAAGUUAGAUAAAAAAUGAGCUAUACUUACGUAAGUUGGCUCAAAAUGGCAUCAUCACCUAGGUUAGCACAAAAUGACCUAUACUUACCUUAUUUUCCUCCAAAUUGACAUAAUAAGGUUAGUUGGCUAAAAAAUGGCACAAUUACAUAUAUUAGCUCUAAAAUGACACAUAUAAGGAAUAAGAAGAACAAAAACAAGAAAGAGGAGAAAAAGAAAGAAUAGAAGAAGAUAGAGAAGAAAAAAGAAAGAAUAAAAGAAGAAGAAUGAGAAUGAGGAGGAAAGGGAUAAAAAGAUAGAAGAGAAGAAGAAAGAUGAGAAAAGAAGAAGAAGAAAAUUCUUCUUCUUCUAGUCUUCUCAUAUUCUUCUUCUUUCUUCUUCUAGUCUUCUUCUUCUUCUUCUUCUUCCUCUAGUCUUCUUCUUCUUCUAACUUUUUACUCCCAUUUUUGUAGGUAUGAUUCACUUCAUGGAAGCAGCAUUGAUGGACUGCUAGUGUUUAGUUCUUGUUUUCAUUUGUAUUGAUGAACAAUGUGAAACUAUGUGUGUAUAUAUGGAUGAACUCCAUGAAACUAUGUAUGCAUUGGAUCUUUUNNNNNNNNNNNNNNNNNNNNNNNNNNNNNNNNNNNNNNNNNNNNNNNNNNNNNNNNNNNNNNNNNNNNNNNNNNNNNNNNNNNNNNNNNNNNNNNNNNNNNNNNNNNNNNNNNNNNNNNNNNNNNNNNNNNNNNNNNNNNNNNNNNNNNNNNNNNNNNNNNNNNNNNNNNNNNNNNNNNNNNNNNNNNNNNNNNNNNNNNNNNNNNNNNNNNNNNNNNNNNNNNNNNNNNNNNNNNNNNNNNUAUAUAUAUAUAUAUAUAUAUAUAUAUAUAUAUAUAUAUAUAUAUAUAUAUAUAUAGGACAACACUAUUCUAAUCCCAGGAUUAGAAUAGUUAUUUGGAUCAUAGCGCCCUAUAUAGGAGCCGCAGUAGUGUUCCCGAACUCCAUCGAAAAAACGAUCUUGUGUCCCGCACCUCCCGUGCCUGAUCCCCACCUCACUCGCCUCGAUCCCCAACCGGCGACCCCUCCCCCACCCGCCGCCAGUGCUCCACCCCGCCCCACCGCCGCCUGGCUCCCUGCGCGCCGCUGCCGCGACCACCCGCGCGUCGCCGCCUGGCUCCCUNNNNNNNNNNNNNNNNNNNNNNNNNNNNNNNNNNNNNNNNNNNNNNNNNNNNNNNNNNNNNNNNNNNNNNNNNNNNNNNNNNNNNNNNNNNNNNNNNNNNNNNNNNNNNNNNNNNNNNNNNNNNNNNNNNNNNNNNNNNNNNNNNNNNNNNNNNNNNNNNNCCACGACCACAGGCCCGCCGCCGGCCUGGCUCCAUGCGCGCCGCUGACUCCGACCAUCUGCGCGGCGCUGCCCCGACCACCUGCAUGCCGCUGCCUGUCUCCCUGUGCACCAUCGGUGUUGACCACCUGAGCGCCGGUGUCACGCCAAGAUCCAAGCUAGAGGCACACUACAUGUCAGCGUCUGAUCUCCUGUGCUCCUCCCCUCAAGUUCUUCUCUUCCUGUGUCGCCAGAAGCCAGCCAUGGUGAGCAUUGUCCCUCCCCAUCAACUCUCUCCGACCUUCCCUGUCAACUCUCUCUGACCUUCCCCGCACCUCUCCUAGCUGCAGCGCAUGGUGCUUUGUGGCAUCCUAGGUUCCUCUCCGAAAACAGCCGUGAGUAGUGCUCCCAUGAAAAUCCUCUUGUGUGUGCAAAGCUAUGCCAUCCAACUAAUAUGGCUAAAUUUGUUUAGCAGUUUUUUCUCUUUGAACUAGAUGACGAACAUGCCCGAACUUAUGGAUGUGUUGCUCAUGUGAAAAAUGUGUUAAAUGAACUUCACAAUCUUGACUGAAGAUGUUUUAAAAAAUGUGUUAACCCCUGCUCCCAUGCAUCGGUGACCAGCCAUCUCCAAUCCUCGCACACACGCCGUAGCACUUGCAUUUCGAUGCUCCAAUGCCUACUGGCACUUCCUGCAUCUUUGUCCUACAAAAAACUCUAGCAAUGUUUAAUUCUUGUGAUUUCUUGCAGCAGUUCAAUAUAUAUUAUACAAGAAGAACAAACUAACAGUAUGUUGCAGAUGUUCUCUUUUGUGAUUGUCGUAGACUUCCAAUAGUUUAGAUGUGGGCAAGUCAAACAGAGUUCUCUUUGCUUCCGUCUCACCACCACAACCACGGCAGCAAGGCACACUACAUCCACGGCGGGAGAUCGGCACCAAGGUGGCCUGCCAGGGUCAUGGACUGGUUCAGGAAGAUGUUGGUGGGCCUGUUGGCCUUCUCGCCGCGGCCGCCCAAGGUCACCUUCAACGCCAACUCCAGGGGCGGUGGCGAGGACGUCGUGGCUGUGGCACCCAAGAGGCCAUCAUGCAGCAGCUCCAACCUGCAGCCGGUGAACAAGGAGCACUACGAUGAGGCCAUCUCCGACUGCGUCGAGUUCUUCCAUCGAUUCGCCAGGGUGGAUGUCAGGUCACGGCCGUCCUCGUCGUCCCACUUCUGAAUUCCCACCGUCGACAACUUUGUGCUAGCUUCAAGCAUAUCCCACUGUGUGUGGGAAUGUGUAUGUGUGUCUGCCAUGUUACUGUGUUCUUUCUUUUGACAUCUGUCAUGUUAGUAUGUUACCGUGUUAGUAAAAUGGACAGCGAGCCAACUGUUGCAGGUCAAUGGUAACAAGUAUCAAAAGAGUUUUGGACGCGAGGAUUUUGCAAAGUCCUAGUCGGCUAGUGAUAACUGUGCUAUAACUUUAUGGUAGGCCGAUCAUAGCUUGGAUUAGUGUAUUUCAUUUUGUAGCUUGAAUUUUGUAACUUGUUAAGUUUAUUGUGCAGAACCUUCAGAAAAGAUACCAAAAAAAGUAUGUUAUGGACCUUGUAACUCCUUCCCCUUUUUCCAUUCAUGCAUGUUCUUUCACGUGAUUUGAUGUAACGAAGUUUGUGUAAACCAUAUUGUUUACAUACACCUAAAGCAGUAUGUAUUUUUUAAAGUAAUCUGGAAGUUCAAAUAUUAUUGUAUAGAGAGUUCAAUCAUUGUAUUUUAGGAAGAAUGCAUCUUACAGUUAAAAAAUGCUUAGAGGAAAAGCAUUCAUCAAAAAAAGUAGCAAUCCGAUUUUUGGGAGGUUUAAAAUGUUAAAUUCGCACAUAAAAAGAGUGUAGAAAAAGAUGGGCGCCUCAAAAAAUGAUACUAAACAAACAAAUAAUUUGAAGUACAAAUUCGCGGAGUUGGGUAGUUCAAUAAAUAAAAAAUACAAAACAAAAGACUAGUCUUUAGGUUGGACAGGCCCAUGACAAGCUCGUAAAUUUAAAAAUUGUUUUUUAUGGUGGAAAAUAUCCUUUGAUUUCAAUUUUUACGUAGAGAAACAGUGAGCAAAAAAGACCAUAAUAAGAAAUGAUGUCAUUUUCCAUGAUUUUACCCGUUUUAUGUAGAGAAACAGUUAGCAAAAAAAAGACUAGUCUCCAGGUUGUUCAACAUAAUGUUAUUAUUCACCAAUGCACCGCUUUCUCUCUGGGAGCAGAGAAAGAGAGAAGUUCAUCCUGGCAGCCCAAUGUGGUUCAAUUUGUAUCUUAAAAGAAGACCCUCAAAGUUCCAAAUUAAAUAAUAGUACAGUUCAAUUUUUAUUUAGUAAGAAACGAUUUCCCUUGAGACUAAAUAAUCAAGCCACCAAGUUCACAUUAAUAAUAACAAAGCAGUUCAAUAUAUACAAAAAAACUCAAGUUCUUCUUGUUUUCUAUAAAAAGAAAAGUAUGAAGUUCAAUUUAAAAACUAAAAAUACAAAAGGAUUUUCACCGUUUCUAAAUAAAAAACUCUUGAAGUUCAAAGUAAAAUAAUGGAGCGGUUCGAUGUUUACUAAAACUAAUAGGAUAUUUUCCAUUACAAAAAAAUAAGAAGUCCAAAUUUUACAAAUGGAGAAGUUCAAUGUGAAGAAAAACUUAGAUUUUUUUCUCGUUGCUAAAGAAUAAAAUGAAGAAGUUCAAAUUAAAAUAAUGGAACAUAUCAAAAGGUUUAUAAAAAUGAUUUCCCCAUUUUCUAAAAAUACCCGAGAAGCCCAUAUUAAAACAACAUCAUGGCUCAAUCUUUACAAAAAAAUAGAGCGCUUCAAAAUUUCAUAAAAAAGAUUAAGAAAAAAAACCAGGGAGUCCAUAUUAAAAAGAUGGAGAAGUUCGAUGAUUAUAGAAAACUCAGAUUUUCCUUGUUAUUAAAUAAUGGAAACAAGAAGUUCAAAAAAAAUAAGAAGUUCAAAUUUUAAAAAUAGAGCGCUUCAAAAUUUCAUAAAAUAGAUUAAGAGAUAAAACCAGGAAGUUCAUAUUAAAAAAUGGAGAAGUUCGAGGAUUAUAGUGAACUCAGAUUUUCCUCGUUAUUAAAGAACGGAAACAAGAAGUCCAAAAAAACAAGAAGUUCAACUUUUAAAAAUAGAGCGCUUCAAAAUUCAUAAAAAAAAGAUUAAGAAAAUUAGAUUAAAAAUUCAUUAAAAAACUCACAUAUUUCCCCGUAACUGAGUAAUGCAAGGAAUGCAUUUCAGGUGACAUUUAAAAGUAUAGAAAAAUAAAAUCUUAAAAAUGUUUGUUGAAAGAAGUUCAAGUGCUCUAUCCGGAGAAGUUCAAAAAUUGUUGCGAGAGAGGUUCACCUUGUAUUCCAUGUUUGAUUUUUUCCGUAUAAAAAUCUAAUACAAUUCUUUACUCAAAAUAUAAAUAGGUGAAGUUCAUAUUGAAAAAAUAGAGAAGUUCGAAGUAUAUUAAAACCUAGGAUUUACCUGUUCAAAAAAUAAAAAACACAACACCAUUUUUUGCACUUUUAAAAACAACUCAUAAACGAAAAAAUGGUUGCUAGAAGUUCAAGUGCUCAGUGAGGAAAAGUUCAAAAAAAUUCUUGUGAGAGGUUAACCUUAUAUUUAGAUGUCCAAAAUGCGUAAAAAAAUAUGUUGUUUUUUGUGUUUUAAAAUAAUUCUCUCAAACCAGAGAGAAGUUCAAAGUGAUAAUAACUAGAAGUUCACGUACUACAUGGUGUGUAUUUCAUACAAGAAAAAAACAAUAAAGUGAAACAGAAUGAAGUUCAAAUAGACAUGCCCCAGAAGUUCAACUACUUCAUGCGGUGCAAAAAACAGCACGUCAAAAACAAAGUGAUGUUCAAACAUACAUACCCCAAGAAGUUCAACUACUUCACGCAGUGCGUUUCCAUUCGCAAUGAACACAGAAAUCAUGAUCUUGUCAUUUCUCUAAUUUUCUUCAAAACGACAGGAAUAUCAUCUGUGUAAGUUGAAGUCCUCGAUCGGAGAAAGUUAAAAAAAUAUUGUGAGAGAGGUUUGUACAAAAAGAAUAUGUUUUGUGUAACACUGACGAAAUGGAUGAGAAAAUUACAAACGAAAAUAUGUCACAGAAGUUCAACGUGAAAACAGCAGGAAGUUCAUCAACUACACUGAAUGAAUUUUAGAUGAAAAACUUUUAAAAUUGUCGCGAGUAUGAAAAGAUGAUCAACACGGGAAACUUGCGUGCUUACAGCAGCUUUCCAUCGGUAUAUCACCUGCUCAAUUCCAGUGAAUGGACGGAGAGGUAUGAGCAAGUGGAUAGAGACCUACGAGCAAAAAAAUUACGUGAAAAACAGAGUGAAGUUCAGUUACACGCGCCGAGAAGUUCAGGUUCUUCACGCGGUGCAUUUUCGAAGAAUCUGUUUCACGAUAAAGGCAGAACGCAUGAUCCCGCUGUUUUCCAAAUUACUUGAAAACGGCUAUGAAUCAGAGAAAACCAUCAACAUGAAAAAGUUUCGCAUUUUCCGUAGCUUUUUAGCGGUAUAUUAUUUGCCCCAUUCCGAUAAAGUUUGUAGAAAUUAUGGCAAAAAUACGUUUUUAACCAUUUUCAAAACUGACAUAAAACUGUAAUAAAUUAGGAGAAACAAUAUAUACAAAAAAGUUUUGCAUUUCUUCAAGCUUUCCAACGCCAUAUCAUUUGCUGCAUUUGGACGUACAGUUAAAAAAUUAGCUCAAAAAUACGAACUCGGUGGAACUUGUACCAUUUUCUAAAUUACUUUUAAACCAUUCAAAAUUAGAAAAAACUUUUAACAUAGAAAAGUAGCGCAUUUUCAUAAGCUUUCCAACGCCAUAUUAUUUGCCUCAAUUAGAUUAGCCGCUUAGAAAUGGCGUCGAAAAUACGAACUCAGGUGUUCGGUUUGCGAAAUUUUACGAUUUUCCGAAUUACUCUUUAACCGUAUGGAAUUAGAGAAAACUUUCAACAUGUGGAAGGAACGGUUUUGCAGCAGCUUUCCAACGCCAUAUUAUUUGCCUCAUUCCGAUAAAUGGUUUAAAAAUGCGAUCGAAAAUACGAUUCACAUUUGUUAUAUAAAGAAAUAACGGUUUUCAAAACUGCUCUUAAACCGCUUACAUUUUGCCAAAACUUUAAUUUGGGUCAUGAUACUGAUGUCCAUAGCUAUCCAACGGUAUAUCGCAAGCCCCAUUUGGACACCUUUUUAGCUGAAGUUCAACCUAGUACUCGGGGAAGGUCAGGCGCGUUACUCGGGAAGUUCAUGUUGUGAUCAGAAUAUUAUUCUGAUCCUGUGAUCAGAAUAGUGUUUAUGUGUGUGUGUAUAUAUAUAGAUGUUGUUGUUCUAAGAAUGAUCAUGAUUCCCUCAUAUCCGUAUUUUAUUUUAUCGACACCUCUAUCUCUAAACAUGUGGGCAUAUUUUUCGAUUUUGGCUUUCGCUUGAGGACAAGCGAGGCUUGAGGGAGUUGAUACAUCUAUUUUGCAUCAUGCUUUUAUAUCGAUAUUUAUUGCAUUAUGGGUUGUUAUUACACAUUAUGUCACAAUAGUUAUGCCUAUUCUCUCUUAUUUUACAAGCUUUACAUGAAGAGGGAGAAUGCCGGCAGCUGGGAUUCUGGGCUAGAAAAGGAGCAAAUAUUAGAGACCUAUUCUGCACAGCUCCAAAAGUCCUGAAACUUCACGGAAGUAAUUUUUGGAAUUAAUAAAAAAUAAUGAGCAGAGAAAGCACCGGAGGGGCCCCGCACCCUGGCCACGAGGGUGGGGGCCGCGCCCUACCCCCUGGGCGCGCCCCCUGCCUCGUAGGCCCCCUAGUGGCCCUUUGAUGCCCAUCUUCUUCUAUACGAGGUCUUUCGUCCGAUAAAAAUCAUAAGCAAGCUCAUGGGACAAAACUCCGCCGCCACGAGGCGGAACCUUGGCGGAACCAAUCUAGGGCUCUGGCGGAGCUGUUCUGUCGGGGAAACUUCCCUCUGGGAGGGGGAAAUGAUCACCAUCGUCAUCACCAAUGAUCCUCUCAUCGGGAGGGGGUCAAUAUCCAUCAACAUCUUCACUAACACCAUCUCAUCUCAAACCCUAGUUCAUCUCUUGUAUCUAAUCUUUGUAUCCAAACCUCAUAUUGGUACCCGUGGGUUGCUAGUAGUGUUGAUUACUCCUUGUAGUUGAUGCUAGUUGGUUUACUUGGUGGAAGAUCAUAUGUUCAAAUCCAUUAUGCAUAUUAAUACCCCUCUGAUUAUGAACAUUAACAUGCUUUGUGAGUAGUUAUGUUUGUUCCUGAGGACAUGGGAGAAGUCUUGCUAUAAGUAGUCAUGUGAAUUUGGUAUUCGUUCGUUAUUUUGAUGAGAUGUAUGUUGUCAUCCCUCUAUUGGUGUCAUGUGAACGUCGACUACAUGACACUUCACCAUUGUUUGGGCCUAGAGGGAGGCAUUGGGAAGUAAUAAGUAGAUGAUGGGUUGCUAGAGUGACAGAAGCUUAAACCCUAGUUUAUGUGUUGCUUCAUAAGGGGCUGAUUUGGAUCCAUAUGUUUCAUGCUAUGGUUAGGUUUACCUUAAUACUUCUGUUGUAGUUGCGUAUGCUUGCAAUGGAGGUUAAUCAUAAGUGGGAUGUUUGUCCAAGUAAGGACAGUACCCAAGCACCGGUCCACCCAUAUAUGAAAUUAUCAAAGUAUCGAACGCGAAUCAUAUGAGCGUGAUGAAAACUAGCUUGACGAUAAUUCCCAUGUGUCCUCGGAGCGCUUUCCUUCAUAUAAGAGUUUGUCCAGGCUUGUCCUUUGCUACAAAAAGGAUUGGGACACCUUGUUGCACCUUAUUUACUUACAUUACUUGUUACUCAUUACAAAUUACUUUAUCACAAAACUAUCUGUUACCGAUAAUUUCAGUGCUUGUAGAGAAUACCUUACUGAAAACUGCUUAUCAUUUCCUUCUGCUCCUCGUUGGGUUCGACACUCUUACUUAUCGAAAAGGCUACGAUAGAUCCCCUACACUUGUGGGUCAUCAGUGCGACAUUCUAUAACUCAAGAAUUCAAACUGAGGCAUACUAAAAGAGUUAGUGAACGGAAUAUGAAGAAGGAUGACAUAAUUAGAGAAGAUAUUGAAGUUAUAGAUAAAGUCUUCUUAUUGUUAAACCAGACUUGCAUGUGUUGCACUCGAAGAGGCCAGAGUUCAUGCUUUCUUGAGAGAUGAAAUAAGGCGACAUGUGUUGCCAAAAUAAAUGAGUUAUGUAUUAUACUUCUCUUUUAAAAUUAUUGUUUGUAGAUAUGUAACUUACUGUAUUGACUUUCUUAAUGAAAUUCAGCCAAGCAUUGUGAACAAGUUUUUGUCCUCAGUAAUGUUGUAGCAUGAUCAGAAGUUAAUAUUUUUUGAAUAGCUUGUUUUGUUGAAUCUAUUAAUAUAAUUGUGAUUAUUUGCUGCUUGUACAAAUGAAGGUUCUAUUUGUAACAAUGCAAGUGGGUCAAGUAGAAAAUUUAUUGAUAUAGUUGAAUCAAAUGUUGAACAUAUGGUUGUUUUAACCUAUCCAAAUCUAAUGAAUAUUUUUCAUUGUGAAAAAUACUUUUAGUUCAUAAUUGUUGUGCCGAUGCACUAAGCUUGGUGAACUUAUGUGUGGGAUAUGAAGGAGAAAGUAAGCAACACUUUAGAUCCACAGUGUGCAAAUGGUACUGCAUCAUACAUGAAAGAAAGGCAUGAAACAUGUGCUUAUAUAUAUUUGACUGUACUGAAGAGUUCUUGAGUAUUUAGAGUUGCUUUCAUCAUCUUGGAUGGUCAAAGAAAUUUCAUCAUCCAACGUACCACUUCAGAGGUAUAUUCCAUUAUUCAUGUUUAUCUGUAAAACUAAUUUAUUUCUUCUAAUUAUGGCAAAUGCAGGGAAGAUUCAGCAAUUGCAUCUCUGAUGAUAGCAAUGUACUUUAAUGGCAUUGAAGUAAAAUAAAAACUAACUAAGGUACAUCUGAAUGUUAAUGUUUCAUUCUAAUUUGUUUAUCAGCUCUAUUGCUACUUACAUAAUUGCACAUUUUUUUGUAGUACACAUUUUCUAUUAUACGAGUACUAAUGUUAUGGCAUUUACAAAAAAUGGACUGUAAUAAAGGAAAGCUGCCUUUACAUCUUCAUCAAAUGAUGUAGAAAUUGUAGAUCAACAUUCUUACGCAUGAACUAAAUAUUUACUAUUUGUAAUAAGGAUUAAGGUGUUGUGUGUCGACACAUAUAAGUUUGUAUUGAUUAUUUUAAUUAUAUGUAAUUGUAGUAUCUUAGAAUGAUUAGACGUAAUAUUUGAAUUGUAAUGCCAUAUUAAAGAGUUUGAACAAUUUAUAUUAAUUGAUCUUGUUGUCAUGGUGACCCACUUACAGAUACUCAGUACUAACUGAAUGUAUACUACAAGUGUUAACUCACUGAUAGGAUAAAAUAAUUAUAUGUACAUAUUGAGAAGAAUUUAUAGGAUGAGAAACUAUUGAAUUAGUAAAGAUUGUUAAAUAUAAUGUGAACAACAUUUAUAUUUACUAGAAGAUCAGUCGAUUAUAUCAUUGUCAAUUAAAGUACAAUCUUCGUAGAAAAGAUGUGAAAACCUACAAUAUCCCUAGAAUUGAAGGACGCAGACGACAAAGAACUUAUUUAUCGUCGCUCUCUUUGCCGAGCAGGUUUGUCGUCGGUGGCAAACGACAAAGAGCUUUGAUGUCCGCUUUUGGUGCCUUUGCCAUCUGCCAUGGCAGACUGCAAAUAAGCUGAUUCCUGUAGUGCCACCUUGUCCAUGAUAAUCCUAUCAUGCAUUAACGAUGUUUUUGUGGGUUGAACCACUUGGUCGACAACCCGAUUGGGUCAAUCAUUCGCCACCUUUGUAAAUAUGAAGUUAACGUUAAGAAGGCAUGUCAAUAUGUACAAUGGAAAUUGAUUAGCCUCUUUAGUCAUGGGCAUCAAAAUAAUUUCACAAAAAAUAGUCUUAAAAGCUUAGGGUGCUCCACAUGGAGGUCCUCAAACAACUCCCCAACCUCCUAGAAGGUUUGAUAGGCUCGGUUGAGAAGUCAUCCGAUCUAGGCAAUUUAUUAUGAAUACAACUUCGCUCACCCUGUGUUCAGAAAAGAGGGGUUCCAAGGAGCUUGUUUUGACCAUCCAAAACCUAUUGAGAUGUCAUCUAUUGAAUCAUUUAGAGAGAAAUUACUAUAAUUAAUUGGGAGUUCCAAAUAGACAUAUUAUUUGGUAGUAUAAGUCCAUAGGGAAGUCGUGGAGAGAGAGAGAGAUGUUGCUACGUAGCUACUACAUCCAAAUGGUAGCCUGAAAAAGACACCACUCAAAUGUAAUCAUGAGAGUGCAUAAUACAACUAUUUAUUUGAGCCGGCUAAUCUAGAUUGGAUCUAAAGGAAGACUUUUUGGAGAUUGGAUCAAUUGUUAUCCUAGUCCAUCCCUUGCAAAGAAAUAUUUAGUGUAUAGCCACCCCUAAAACAUUGUAAUAAUACGCAAAGGAGAUAUAUAUAUAGGGGAGAAGGCAAUGCCCUCGGACAAGCAGACACGGGUGGGAGUACUAUGUGGGUCAUAUGAUGAACUCACUCGGCAGGGUUGGACACAUGGGUCAGUUGCAUGGACUCCCUAGUGGUUGCCAAGGCUUGGCUUUUGUCAUGUUUCCCUAUCUUUCCUCCUUCAUGUGUAAUCUUUGAAUAUUUUCUCAAAUUUUGUGGUUUUCUUUCAACUAACGAAAACAUGAAUUUUGUUAGCAGUGACUAGUAGGUUAGUCCUAAAGGAAAAAUAUCAUAUACGAGAAAUUAUUAAACUUUAAAGGAAUAUAUGCACUUCUGGUUGUAGUUGUCAAAAAACAACAUAAGGGUUAUACAGUGACAAUGUUAGACAUCAGAAAUUUAAUAUAAGCUUCGUUCCACAAAAAUAUGGAAGUCCUACUCUUAUUGUUGAGGAUAUCAAGGAAAAAGAAUAAAGAAGGGUGAGCGAGAACUCCAUUGAAAGGAAAAACUCCAAACAUGUGAACUUAUGAUAGAGAACCUUUUAUUUGCAUCGACAAGAGGUCAAAUUUCCACCGAGAGGCAAGGUUGGAGAAAGUGUUAGCCUAGAACCUAGGCAGUGUUUAAGAACCCUAAGUGUAGCCUAGGUGGAUGUAUAGAAUUGGCUAUCAAGGUAUAUUUGGGGUUAUAUAUGUGUACCAAUAUUAACUUAGAUCAUACAUGUGAGUAAACUACCACAUCUAGCCUUUAGAAUAUGGCCUAGGCCCAUUCGACAAAUCUAUGUAACAUGGCAUGAUUUCUCGCUUGAGUGGAUAAUUUCUUUCUUCCACUCCCUAGAGUUUCGCUUAUGCCCUAGGCGAGGCAUUUGGUCGUUGCCUAACGCCUAAGGGUGUCUAAGCGCCUUCUCGGUGCUACCUUUCCUAGCAUAGCCGAGAGAUCUCUUCACACCACACUUGAGAUGAAAUCCCCUUCCAUAAGAAUGAGAUGCCUUACAAGCUACUACGAGGCAUUUUUAUAGGCUCUUGGACUUGUACAAAAUACUAGAAAUACUUUUUUUUACUGCAACCAUCAUCGCUCUUGGCAAGGAGGGAAAAUAAGGACACCUCGUAGUCUUAGGGCUUCAUUUUUUUGAUAUUUUUCUGAAUUUUUGAGGGUAUGUGUCCUACUCAAGGAGGCGAGGAGGCGAUGGCUCUUUGAUGAUGGGAUACGAUUCUCCUUGCCUAGCCCCCAUUCUGACGGUGCUUCUACCACUGCUAGAGGGAGUGUGAAGGUUUGUCUCAUGGGAUUCGGUCGGCGUUUGUCUUCGGUGGAUCCACAUGGAUCAGGUCUUUGUUCGUCGGCGGUGGAUGUUGUUCUGGUGCACUGGUCCAGUAGUGAUUAACGCGACGACUUUCCGAUUGUCUACUACAAUAAGAUUUGCCCACCUCCGGUGAGUGAGGGGCAAGGACGGCGGUGCAUCUUCGGCUCGCUACAGUGCUUAUAGUCGUUGCUAGGUGCUCUAUGGAUUUGGAUGUCAUUUUUACUUCUGUUGUUCUUUACAUUACCGUGACAGUUAAUGAAUAGAUUGGAAGCUUUUCUCGUAAAAACACGAAGGGAAACGUUUGGAGACGGUGCGCCGGCCAAAGCUUCGGCCGGUCGCCCGCUACCUCGUGCUCCUGUGUCGAUGAGACCUGCAUCCGCACCCUAUCUGCUGCAGCCCAAUCUCGCAGGCGAGGCCGCCGUCCACCCCCGCAUCGCGCCCCUACCCCGCUGUAGCCUAAUCUCGCCGGCAAGGCCGCUCUACCCCCCGCAUCGACCCUCUACCCGCGGCAGCCCAAUCUCGCCGGCGAGGCCGCCGUCCACUGCACGGCCGGCGAUUUCCCGACGCGCACGACACAUCCACCCCCUACCUACAGUCUUCAUGCGCGCGCAUCCCCUGCCCCCUCCUCCCGGGCUGUGUUUGGGCAACCACAAGCUCCAUCACCGGCAGCCAAGUGCUCCCUCGUCGGCCGCCAUGGCUGCCUGCAGCCAUGCCCGGAUCCUCCCGCGUAUACAAGUGUUGCAACCGUCACCUAGAAAAGCUUCAACAACCGUUGAAAAAAGCUUCAACCAUAGACAUAGAAAGCUUCAAUGGCACUGCACAACAAGGGAAAGCUGCAACCGUUGUUGGAUUUUGCUACUACCGGCAAAGCUUUUUGCUACAUCCAUCAGGCAGAGCUGCGACCUCACGAAGGACGACAAUGAUUUUUUUGCUGCAACCGUAGCAGGAUUUUGCUACUACCGUUGGAGGUUUUUGCUACAUCCAUGUAAGGCGGAGCUGCGACCUCGCGAAGGCGGAGACGGCGUUUUUGCUGCACCCGUAGUUUGAUUUUGCUACUACUAGUGAAAUUGUUUGCUACAUCCAUUGAGCUAAAACGGGUGAGAAGCUACAACCAUUGUGGAAAAAGCUACAACGGGUGAAACAAAAAGCUUUCAACCGCCUGCAGGCGCCGACGUGCUGCACGGGGAUGCUUCAACCAUCUAAAACUUUUUGCUACAUGCGUCAUUCUUUCUUGCAGGGACAAGAGAGAAGCAGAUGUUACAACCGGUGCACAUCGGAGCUACAACCGUCAACCCAAAAUGCCACGACCGAUGGCAUUUUUUGCUGGAACCAGAGAAAGAAUAGGCUUCGACAGACGUGCGUUAUAGCUGCAACCAUACUGAAAAAUGCUACGUCCGGCAACCAAAAAAGCUACAUCCGAUUUUGAAAAAAAAUUCAACUGGAUACGGGGUAGCUGGAGGUCGGCCACCGCACAGCCGAAAAAAGCUACAACCGGCGUCGAGAAUAGCUACUACCCGCUUUUAAAAAAGCUUCAAACUGAAAACAGCUAGAUAACAAUGGCGACCGGCGACGACGGUGCUGCGUGGCGGUGCUGCGAUGGGCGCAUGGCGAGGUACGACAGCAGGCCGGUGGCGACGCUGGAACCCUCAUCUGGUAGUGCUGCAAUCAGGAGGUGUGACACACGUCGAGAUGCAAGGCAGAGCUGCAUCCGGUGAGUUGCGGCGGCCUCGGCGAUCUGUGACAUGGACCGGCCCCCGUGAGCUGCGACGGCGAGCAGGCCCGGCGAGGUGCGACGGGGCGGUCGAGCAGGCCCGGCGAGGUGCAACGGGGCGGUCAAGCAGGCCCGGCGAGCUGCGACGGGGCGGCCAAGGGCGCGCACGAGGAGGCUGACCUGCAGAUUUCCUUUUUUCCCUCGCGCAAGGAAGAAGAAGGUAAGGGGGAAUCGUUUUCUUUGGCGGGAUCCAGUGGCCCAGGCGGUCGGAUCCAACGGUUGCUGUGCGACCGGCCUAACAGUUGGGCCGGUGCGCCAGUGCAGAUCGUUCCCCAAACACGAAAGGUGACAUAUAUGGUUGAUCUAGGGGCACGGUGGAAAGUGGAUUUUAUACUGCAGUAAUGCUCCAAGGUGCUGAUUGACUUCUACUAUAUGACCCGUUUUUGACUUUUACCACUGUCUAUUAUCUUCACAUGUACGAACAAAAAAGUACAUGUAGAUAAAAGUCAUGGGAUAUGUGUGAAAAAUGUUUUUCUACCACUAGUAGAAAAAGGGUCAUUAGUCCCGGUUUAUAAGGGCCUUUAGUCUCGGUUUUCGAACCGGGACUAAAGGGUCGUUACUAAAGGCCCUCCACGUGGCCGCUGGCUAGAGCUCCACCAGCUCCACCUUUAGUCCCAGUUGGUAACAUCAACUGGGACUAAAGGUAUUUUUUUUGAAUUUUUUUUCUCAAUUUUCAAAUUUCUGAAUUAUUUUAUAAUUUAAUCUCUAAUCACCCACCCCUCGUCACUACUCAAUUUAACCNNNNNNNNNNNNNNNNNNNNNNNNNNNNNNNNNNNNNNNNNNNNNNNNNNNNNNNNNNNNNNNNNNNNNNNNNNNNNNNNNNNNNNNNNNNNNNNNNNNNNNNNNNNNNNNNNNNNNNNNNNNNNNNNNNNNNNNNNNNNNNNNNNNNNNNNNNNNNNNNNNNNNNNNNNNNNNNNNNNNNNNNNNNNNNNNNNNNNNNNNNNNNNNNNNNNNNNNNNNNNNNNNNNNNNNNNNNNNNNNNNNNNNNNNNNNNNNNNNNNNNNGGGACUAAAGGGUCGUUACUAAAGGCCCCCCCCCCCUUUAGUCCCGGUUCUUACACGAACCGGGACUAAAGGCCCUCCACGUGGCCGCUGGCUAGAGCUCCACCAGCUCCACCUUUAGUCCCAGUUGGUAACAUCAACUGGGACUAAAGGUAUUUUUUUUGAAUUUUUUUUCUCAAUUUUCAAAUUUCUGAAUUAUUUUAUAAUUUAAUCUCUAAUCACCCACCCCUCGUCACUACUCAAUUUAACCUCUAAUCUCUAAUCACCCCUCAUCAUUCGAAAUCAUCUAACUUCCCGAUCAUCACCCAUCCCUCUCACUACUCCAGCCCGAGCACGCUUAACUUUCGGGUUCUAUUCUCCUUCGUCUCCAAGUCUGCACUUAUUGUUUUCCUGACAAUAGUAAGAUGUCAAUCCUAUUAACCCUCAGGAGUUUAGCUUGAGUAUGAAGUCACACAUUUCACUGUCUGAGUUUGAAACUAUUAUUGUACAAAACAAUAAUUAUUUAGUAACACUUUCUUGAAUAAAUAGUUUGACCACAAUUUGACCAGAUUUGACCAAAAUUCAGAAAAACCGAAAUAAUUAUUUAGUAACACUAAUAUUUCUUGAAUAAGUAGUUUGACCAUUGUUAGUCCACAAUUUGACCAGAUUUGACAAAAAUUCAAAAAAACUGAAAUAAUUAUAUAGUAACACUAAUAUUCUUGAAUAAUUAUUUAAUAACACUAAUACUUCCCGACUGUCUAGUACUGGUGUGCUGGUCCAAUAGGGAUUAACACGACAAUUUCCCGAUUGUCUAGUACAACAAGAUUUGCCCGCCUCCGGUGAGUGAGGGGCGAUGACGCCGGCGCGUCUUUGGCUCGCUACAGUGCAUGUAGUCGUCGCUAAGUGGUCUACAGAUCUGGAUGUAAUUUUUACUUCUGGUGUUCUUUAUACUACCUUGUCAGUUGAUGAAUAGAUCGGAAACUUUUCCAGCAAAAAAGAGGAAAAGUGAUAUAUAUGGUUGGUCUAGGGAGCACCAUGGAAAGUGCCUUUUAUACUGCAGUAAUGCUCCAAGCUGCUCAUUGGCUUCUACUAUAUGACUCUUCUUUGACUUUUACCACACUGUAUAAUCUUCACAUGUACGAACAAAGAGUACAUGUAGAUAAAAAUUAUAGGAUAUGUAUGAAAAAUGAAUUUCUACCUGGGAUCCAUUGUUCUUCGUGCUUGUGCACUUGCUUUUCACUGAUACACAGGGGAACAUAAAGAUGCACUUCCUAACAAGAAGAGACUAAUGCACACCAACGCCCAAAAUAUUGGUAACGCUGUUAGCCGCUAUGCAACCGGUCCGUAAAGUAACUAAAUUAAAAUAGUCUAACUAUAACUCUUCUUUUUACUAGUACAUAUGAAACAUUAUGGUGCCCUAAGAUAAAACAAAAAACACAACAAAACAUUAUUUAUGUAACAACCAAAAAUAAAACAAUACAACUUAGACAAUACUAGUAAGCGCACCAGAUGACAACGCACGACACGUCGGAUGUGGCAAUUUCAAAGUGUUCGUCGUGUGUACAAGAAAUUUACAUGGUUGUAACGAAACAAUAAAUUAAAUAAAAAAAGUUGAAAGAGAAAGGAGCUAUGACAAUCUUACAACAAUUUACAGGGGAAAAACAUGAUCACAAAUCAAAACAGCCUUGUACUUCUUCGGUGGCUUAAUGGUUAACCACGUUGCACUUCUUCCUGAUCUCGCCCUGGCUUCCGGUGAGCGGGUUGGCGUUGCCCAUCUUGAUCAUGGAGGCGGCGAAGUCGGCGAAGAACUCGUCCUUGAAUGCUCCGGUGGCAUGGCGCUGGACGUAGGCGCGGGUGAAGGGGUCGGUGAGGAGGGCGCCGUCGGAGUGGAAGAGGCCCCUCCGCUUGCUCACCAGCUUGAAGUAAUCGGUGUCGAAGGUCUUGAAGCUGCCGGGGUCCAUCUCCACGAGUGUGGUGUUGUCGUUGAGGCUGGCACACUUGCUCUUUAGCCGCAUCAUGUACUGCGGCUCCAGCGUGGGGUCAAUGUCGCUGGGGUUCUCCAUGCCGGUGAAGUUGUAGAGCCGGUCGGAGAAGGAGAAGCAGUGCGACGUCCCGAUGGUGUGCCCGGCGGACAAGACGACAAGGUCCUUUGCGUCAAGGUUCACGGCGGCGAAGAGCUGGGUGAGCACGGUGAAGUUGGAGGUCGGGGGUGGCAGAGCGUCGGUCUCGUUGGAAAUGGACACGCUGCCGUCUCGCCGGCCCAGAGGAACUGUCCAGACUGGACCCUUGCUCUGGAGAAACCAUGAUCGAGCAGCAUUAGAAUUUGGCUUCCACACGUACCGUGUCAUUUGAAAAAUGGCAUAGUAGGAGUACUCUACUCACCAGCCAUACUGCGUCCCUGGCAAUGAGGGCGAGGAUGUCGGCGCAGGAGACGGUGUCGGGGCAGGCCUUCUCCACCGCGGCCUUCACCCUCUCGACAAACCCGAAGCCUCGCAGCGUCUGGUUCGGCUGCGCGUCCUUCUCCGCCGUCUUGUUGGCCGAGUCCAGCAGAACCGAGCCGUCGCACCCCUGCAUUAAUUAAUGGCGGUCACUGGUCAGGCCGCCGCACACAAUAGGGUACGGGCAGGACAGACAACAUGCAUGCAAAUGUAGCUUACCCUGACGAAGCAGUCGUGGAAGUGCAUCCGGAGGAGCGGCCCGGCGAGGCUAGGCGCUAGUGACAGAGCCCUCACCAUCUCCUUCCUCACGACGUCCUCCACGCUGGGGCACGACUCGCUGUAGAACUUGUCGUGCAGCUGCGCCCGCCCGCACGUCGCCGCCACCGCCGCGAGCAUCAGCGCAACCAUCGUCGCAGCCCUGGAAGCUUGUUUCUUUCUUGGCUAUGCAAGAAACGACGAUGGCUAGUUGAUCCGGAGAAGCUUGAGCUGCUGCUGCUGAUGAUGAACUGGCGCCGGGGAAAUAUAUAGCGCCGGAGUGUCCACACGCCUGCAUGUGGUGGGCUGUCCUCCGGAGCAGCAGGUAAAAUUCCGAUGGUUUAAUGAGUUGUUCCUUGUUUGCACUCUGCGGAAUCUUUGCCGUGGCAGGUACACCGACGGCGCACGGUAUGUAUAAUGGAGGCGGCCGGACAGCCAGACGGAAGCACAUCAUUAGAUGAAUUCACUAAUUUUCUUUAGACAGCAAUCUACUCACUAACUUACUAAUUAGUUAUGAGUUAUCACGGAGAAAACUGCGGUGCCAAGUUGUAAUCAACAAAGGCUACUGGCAAUGAGUGAAUGCCACCUACUGGUAGUUUGCAAUCGUGCGAAUUUCAUGAUGCAUAUAUUUGUACCGGUGCCACAUGCUAUCCNNNNNNNNNNNNNNNNNNNNNNNNNNNNNNNNNNNNNNNNNNNNNNNNNNNNNNNNNNNNNNNNNNNNNNNNNNNNNNNNNNNNNNNNNNNNNNNNNNNNNNNNNNNNNNNNNNNNNNNNNNNNNNNNNNNNNNNNNNNNNNNNNNNNNNNNNNNNNNNNNNNNNNNNNNNNNNNNNNNNNNNNNNNNNNNNNNNNNNNNNNNNNNNNNNNNNNNNNNNNNNNNNNNNNNNNNNNNNNNNNNNNNNNNNNNNNNNNNNNNNNNNNNNNNNNNNNNNNNNNNNNNNNNNNNNNNNNNNNNNNNNNNNNNNNNNNNNNNNNNNNNNNNNNNNNNNNNNNNNNNNNNNNNNNNNNNNNNNNNNNNNNNNNNNNNNNNNNNNNNNNNNNNNNNNNNNNNNNNNNNNNNNNNNNNNNNNNNNNNNNNNNNNNNNNNNNNNNNNNNNNNNNNNNNNNNNNNNNNNNNNNNNNNNNNNNNNNNNNNCUAAACUAAGCGUGAGUGUAGAAUAGCUUAUUCUACACCCCAGUAACGGUACAUACAAAAUAUAGUAACACACUAUGUAAAAUAUAGUAAUUUUCGUAAAAAUGUAGUAAAUUAUAAACUUGGGUGAUAAAAAAAAUAUUUUCCAGGCAAUAUACGUACUUACACAAACACUAAUUAGAGGUACCUCGCAAAAUUACCCUGAGACCACUAGGGGCUUGUUUGGUUGUCAUCUACGAAUUUGUCUGCGUUGCACACAUGUCUUAGUUGGGCCUGGCUAUGAGAAAACAGGCAAACGAAAUCUGCAUCUGCACCUCAUUUGGUCGUCCACAUCUAGACUUCCUGCAUUAGGGGAACGGUUUUGGCAUGCUGUUUGGUGUCCUGUAUUGUCUCCACUCAUGCAACUACACAGUGUUUGAUUGUAUAUAUACACAGGAUAUGAUUAAGAGCUAAUACCUACACAUGACAUAACACACAGAGUUACAAUAGAGUUCCUUGGCAGUGUGCCCGUGAUGGUGGCAUUAGUGUAAGCAGAGGGCGAGGAGGCAUAGAGAAAAGACGCCGGCGGCAGUGCCAGGCACAAUAUGGCGUCCAUCCGACAAGGUUGACAACCACAUAUAACACUGGGGACGACAUGACGACAAGGAUGAAAAAUAUAAAGGAGAAAUGCAAUUUGCAUGCCAUGGCCGCGUUAGAGCAACUCUAGCAAACCCGUAAAAGUCACAAACCCGCAAAAUUAUGGCGAGUAUACGGAUUCGGCCCAAUUUUCUGGCCAGAACAGAGCCCGUAUACUCGACGGCCCGUAAAUAUUUUUACCGCGGCCCGCAACCCUCCCCCCUCCGCCAAGCAAUAUAUCUACGGGUUUGCGGUGCAUAUGCGGGUCGAAACCCUAUCCCCCACUGCCGCGUCUCGCCGCAAUUCCCCACUCCCCUCCUUACAUUUCUCGCCAAUGGUGAGCCCCUUCCACCUCCAAAAGACAUGUGGGGCUGCAUGCGGAGCUUCGGCCACGGCUCUGGGAGUAGCUCCGGCAGGGGCGGCAGCCCCGAGCGCGAGCGGCAUGUCUGCUUGGAUGGCGCGAGGAAGCGCGGGGCGAGGAACUGGACGAACAAGUCUCGAGCCGUUGCCGAGCUUCCUCGUCCGUGAGACGGAGGAAUACGACCGUCGGCGCGGGCGUACGCCCUCCUCGGCCACGGGCUCGUCCUCCGCCGCGAGAUCUUCCCACGCCGCGAUCUCUUCCUCUUCCGGCGCGAGGCUUCUCCCCGUGAAGAGGGAGUGGUCGGAGGAGCCGGUGGAGAUCGAGGUCAUCGCCGUCAAGCAGGAACCGGAGGUGAUCGAGUGACGAGGGGUCAUCGAGCCCAAAGAUUUCGUGGCCGAUUUCGACGCGGUGGCGUCCGCCAUUGCCGAGCGGAGCUUACGCGAGGAGGCGGAGCGCCGGCGCCACAACGACGAGGUCGACGACCUCAUCCUCCAGCAGGCGGUUGCGGCCAACCUUGCCGUGAAGGAGAAGGACGACGAGUGGCGGCGCAUCCGCGAGGAGCAGAGGUCGAAGUUCAUCGAUCUCGUCAACUCCGACGAGGACUGAGCUCCUCCACCGCGUCGUCCUUAGCCGUGAGCUCAUCCAUUUUGGUAUAUCGAUCUCGGCCUCGCCGCCAUGAAUCCCCCCUCCCUCUAGUAGUAGUAAUAGAAUGUAGUAUGUAUGAUAAUGUAGCAUGUGAUGAUGAACUAUGAAUGAUAAUGUAGUAUGUGAUGAAAAAGUGUGGUUGCAAUUUCUCCCGCGAAAGUAUUAUUCAAAUUAUGCAGUUUCAUAUACGGGUUCUAUUCUGCCACACACGAUUUUGACCCGCAAAACAGUUCUUCAUCGAACUGUAAACGCCUUAUGCGGGUCACGGUUUUACGGGGUCUCCUAGAGUUGCUCUUAGUGCAAGAGGACACAGAGGAGGAGGCCAAAAAGAACAAAGCUAACGACGGCAUCAGUGUAGUAGGACGGGAGCAUGGAGUUAGAGAGGAACAACGCCGGCGAUGGCUUCAGUGUAGCAGAACAUGGGAUAGAAGACAUAGAGGAUCAAUGACCGCUCAAGUGUAGUAGGACGCGGGAGAGGAGGUUGAGAGGAAACGAUGCCGGAGGUGGCGCUAGCGCAACAUCACGCAGCAGAGGAGGCCGAGAGGAACGACACUAACAGUGGCGUCAAUGUAGCAGGACACCUGACUGGAGACCGAGAUUAAGGUCUGUCAUUAACACACAUCGCACAUAUGCAUAUGUAUGUUUUAACGAGGAAGAAUUUACAUCUAGUCUACGAUCAUCGAAACAGAAAAUUUGCAAUACGAAAGUCAUGCGAAACUGCAAGAUGAAGCAACUGGUCAAAGGAAGUUUCAAACGGUCAACCGCGCGCGACAAAUUUAACAAAAUAUGUCCAAAAUAGCUUCAAACAUGAACACGGAAUUGAGCAUUUACGGUUGAAGAAACUACAAACCGGUGACCUGAAUGAAACCAUAACAUUGAUGGUGCAUCUUUUUCAUGUAGAGGUUAUCUCGAAUCGAAGCAUCGUUGUGUAGAUUAGAAGAGAUGACAAAGAAAGAAGAUUAGAGACGAGCUUAAUGGAGGUAGAAGAACAUAGCAGGUAUCCCUCAAGUCUCCUCAGGUGCAACAAGGUCCACCAUGUGCGUUUGAUGUGCCUGAUCUCAGUCUGGCUUGCUGAAAACUGUCGAUUUGACCGUUCCUAGCGGGCCUGACUAGGAGGUGCUUUAAAGUCUGUGCGUUACGGGCCAAACAAUGAAUGUAGAUAAACAAACAUGCCAUUUUCUUCCCACACAGACCUGAUUGACCUAUAUACAGGGUCCAAACACGCCCUAGGUGAUGCCUCUAGGAUUGGAGUUCUAAGUUUCGUAUCAAUGCCAUGUAGCCAACGACCAACCAUGUUUUGACAUUAUGUGACAGGUGCAAAUUAGAAGCUACCAGUAGAAAUGAUUUGGUUUUUAGUGGGAAAACUCUUCUCCUUCAGGUUUUUCUUUCUGUAUACACUCACUUUGUAUGUGAUCUACGCUGCAUCAAAUAAAAUACCAACCGAUUUUCAAGACGGCGCGUAUAUAGUUGGAGGGGGUGCCAGGGAGGUUUUUACCCAACGUAGAUGACAACAUAAUCUCCGGAUCGGCCCACCAUCUCCUUCGACAUAACACAAUGUCAGUACUAUAUAACUCUACUGUUGCAGAUAGCAUGUGGCACCGGUACAAAUAUAUGCUUCGUGGUCGAUUUCGACGCGGUGGCGUCCGCCAUUGCCGAGUGGAGCUUGCGCGAGGAGGCGGAGCGCCGGCGCCACGACGACGAGGUCAAAGACCUCAUCCUCCAGCAGGCGGCCGCGGCCAAUCUUGUCGUGAAGGAGAAGGACGACAAGUGACGGCGCAUCCGCGAGAAGUAGAGGUCGAAGUUCAUCGAUCUUGUUAGCUCCGACGAGGACUGAGCUCCUCCCCCGCGUCGUCCUCAGCCGUGAGCUCAUCCAUUUUGGUAUAUCGAUCUCGGCAUCAUCGCCACGAAUCCCCCAUCCCUCUAGUAGCAGUAAUAGAAUGUAGUAUGUAUGAUAAUGUAGUAUGUGAUGAUGAACUAUGGAUGAUAAUGUAGUAUGUGAUGAACUAGUGUGGUUGCAAUUUCUCUCGCGAAAGUAUUUUUCAAAUUAUGCAGUUUCAUAUACGGGUUCUAUUCUGCCACGCACAAUUUUGACCCGCAAAACAGUUCUUCAUCGAACUAUAAACGCCUUAUGCGGGUCACAGUUUUAUGGUGUCUGCUAGAGUUGCUCUUAGUGCAAGAGGCCGCAGAGGAGGAGGCCAAAAGGAACAAAGCUAACGACGGCAUCAGUGUAGUAGGAUGCGAGCGGGAGUUAGAGAGGAACGACGCCGGCGGUGGCUUCAGUGUAGCAGAACAUGGGAUAGAAGACAUAAAGGAUCAACGACCGCUCGAGUGUAGUAGGACGCGGGAGAGGAGGUUGAGAGGAAACGACCCCGGAGGUGGCGCUAGCGCAACAUCACACGACAGAGGAGGCCGAGAGGAACAACGCUAACAGUGGCGUCAGUGUAGCAGGACACAGGACUGGAGACCGAUAUUAAGGUCUGUUAUUAGCACACAUCACACAUAUGAAUAUGUAUGUUUUAACGAGGAAGAAUUUACAUCUAGUCUACGAUCGUCGAAACAGAAAAUGUGCAGUACGAAAGUCAUGCGAAAUUGCAAGAUGAAGCAACUGGUCAAAGGAAAUUUCAAACGAUCAACCAUGCACGAGAAAUUUAACAAAAUGUGUCCAAAAUAGCUUCAAACAUGAACACGAAAUUGAGCAUUUACGGUUGAAGAAACUACGAACCGGUGACCUGAAUGAAACCAUAACAUUGAUGGUGCAUCUUUUUCAUGUAGAGGUUAUCUCGAAUCGAAGCAUCGUUGUGUAGAUUAGAAAGGACGACAAAGAAAGAAGAUUAGAGACGAGCUUAAUGAAGGUAGAAGAACAUAGCAGGUAUAAAGCUCGCAUCCCUCAAGUCUCCUCAGGUGCAACAAGGUCCACCAUGUGCGUUCGAUAUGCCUCACCUCAAUCUGGCUUGCUGAAAACUGUCGAUUUGAUCAUUCCUAGCGGGCCUGGCUGGGUGGUACUUUAAAGUCUGUGCUUUACGGGCCAAACAAUGAAUGUAUAUAAACAAAUAUGCCAUUUUCUUUCCACACGGACCUGAUUGGCCUAUAUACAGGGUACCAAACACGCUCUAGCGAUGCCUCUAGGAUUGGAGUUCUAAGUUUCGUAUCAAUGCCAGGUAGCCAACGACCAACCAUGUUUUGACAUUAUGUGACAGGUGCAAAUUAGAAGCUACCAGUAGAAAUGAUUUGGUUUUUAGUGGGAAAACUCUUCUCCUUUGCAGUUUUUUUUCUGUAUACACUCAUUUUGUAUGUGAUCUAUGCUGCAUCAAAUAAAAUACCAACCAAUUUUCAAGACGGCGCGUAUAUAGUUGGAGGGGGUGCCAGGGAGGUUUUUACCCAACGUAGAUGGCAAUAUAAUCUCUGGAUCGGCCCACCACCUCCUUCGACAUAGACAUAGUGUCCGUAUUAUAUAACUCUACUGUUGCAGAUACAUUAAUGUCUUUUACUAUAUGUUUGUUCGACUGUUGGUGUUUGGCUGCAUGCAUUUUAAUUAUGUAAAGGUCGGGUGUCGUUCAUCAUGCUUUAUAUCCGUUUUAUACUACAUUUGACUUAAUACCCACCUCGCAAAAAAAGACUUAAUAAAAACACCCUUUAUUAAAAAAAAGGAUGAUUGACCAUGUAGCCCGAGCAAAUUUGUAAUCAAAGUAAAUGUGCUUCAUAUAUAGUUCCGUCUAUUUGACAUAAAAAACAAUGUCUACUUCAAUACAAAUUACAUAUGCUUCACAAGCUUGUUUUUUGUUGUUAUUGAAAUCACCCUUCCGCGAAGAUACCAAUUACUUUCGAAGGGAUAUUUAAUUUUCAUGUUCGUUAAUUGGUACUACCUCCGCCCUGGUUUAUUGGUCCCUUUUGUAAUUUGUGCCAAAUUUUGACAAAAAAAUUAACUAAUAAAAUGUUAAUGCAUGUCAACAAAAAAUAUAUCGUUUGGUUCGCAUUUGAACAUAGUUUUCAAUGAUAUAUUUUUUGGUGGCAUGCAUAAAUAUUUUAUGAGUUAAAUUUAUAGUCAAAAUUUGGCACAGAAUACAAUGGAGAUCAAUAAACCAGGACAGAGGUAGUAAUUGGCAUAUCACAAUGAACACUAGGGAGGAUAGAGAUCAUCUGUUCUUCAAGUGCAACUUCAGUACUAGAGUUUGGAACUACAUGCAGAUCUCUUGAACUGAUAACUCUGAUAAGUGUGAGAUUGCUUGCAAGGCCAGGAAAUAAUUUGACAAACCUUUUUUUUGCUGAGGUUGUCUUCACAGCUUGGUGGAAUAUAUGCAUAAUCUGGAAUGGAAAAAUAUUAUUGAAUGAAAAGCCCCGUUUUGCUAGGUGGAGAGUGGGAUUCACUUGGGAUAUUUAUUUGAUUACACAUAGGAUCAAGGCUACAUAUAAGGAUGCUCUAUUGAGAUGGAUUUCCUAUUUGCCCCCUUUGGUUGUAUUUUCUAUUUUUGGUUCUCAUGUUCCCUCUGUAAGUAAGAUUUUGUUUUCUCUUUCGGCCGAGGCCUUGUAAUCACCUUUGUAUAUAUUUAUAUCUAUGUUUCAAUAAAGAUGAAGCUGUGGUGCUUUGCCCUGCAGGUACAAGUUUCCAAAACAUUGCACUGUGCGUCAAAUUAAUCCAAAAACAUUCUUUUUUACCAAGGUUCCAUUGAAACUCGUCUUUGACUCUUGUAACAACUGCACAACCUCAAACCAAGUUAGAAGUGUUUUCCAUGUCUCAUCUUGGCCCAAGCAAGGUCGUCCUAAACGUCCCGUUGUGGGUGAGGCACUGAAGAAUUGCUCAAAGGUAUCUUGUUUGUUAUAGACAAUACCAAAUAGGAUAUCGGUCACUGAGAGGAACAUUUGUCUAGCCACUAAUCCUUCAAAAUUCUAAUUUGUGAGAUGUCUUUAAUGCUGAAGCUUCCAAAGUGGUAGAAAAAAAACUCUCCAUUUUCAUUGGGCUCGCCCUAAAAUGAGAGUCUUCCAUUUAACCCAAGAGAUGGUUUUAGAACGAGCGUAGUUGUUUCACAAGAGGUCUUACCAUACACCUUCCUCGUGAAGACAAAGCUUAAGCAGUAAUUUAAGGAGAAAUGCAAUGUUCUUGGCCUCAACAUCCCAUUUUUUUUCAACCCGCACCUUCUCCUUUCUCCACUUCUCUGCAAAAAAAAAACUGGACUGAAAAUAGUCCAAUAUUUGCAUAAUCCGUAGUGGAAUUUAGUAGAAAAACAACAUGUACAAGACCAUGCUGAUAAGCACAGAGUUAAUACGGACCAACCAUCCACAAAGGACAAAAACUUUCCUUUAAUUCCAACUAAGAAUGUGUUUCUCCCUUCUCUCUACCAUGAUUACUGCAUUCUCAAGCUUCAGAUAAUGAAUUGGAAUCCCCAAAUAGUGAAUGGGGAAUUGGCCAUGCUCGUAAAAAAAUUGGUAUAUCGAACUUCAGCUUCCCGGGCAACCUCUAAACAAGCCAACUAGCUCUUAUGGAGGCUAAUUUUAAGGCCCAAAAGUUGCUCAAAUACAGAAACCACUAACUCGAUGUUUUAAGCCUUUUGAAGGUCAUGUUCCAUGUAUAGGAUUGUGUCAUUAGUGUAUUAUAGGAUGGACAAGUGUACACUAGAUGUGGCACUACCCCACGGAUUUGACCAAUUUCCUUGGCAAGCUCAAUGAGAAUCGUCAAUAUAUCUGCAACAAUAUGAAAUAACAUAAGAGAUAAGCAAUCCCAAUGUCCCAUACCAUUUUCUGUAUCAAAAUAGUGGGGAGUGUCGUCAAGGAACUUAAUGGUACACUAAAAUGAUCAAUUAAGCACGCCAUUUAUUGGAGAAGCAUUACAUCAUGAGUCCCUAUUGAAGAAAAGACCACUUGACUUGUUGUAUGUUGAGUGAAAUUCACCACUAAUCCAUUAACUUAAUAUGAUUGCACCCUUUAGACCAACAACUCGGGAAGUGAUCAGUUAAGGCCCUACACUCAUUGAUUUGAUCAAAUAAUCUAAAACUCAAUUUGAUAGAGAAAAAUCUGGCCACAUGGCUGUCAUGUGAGCAUUCCUUUGACCGCUCGGGAACUAAUUCUUUUAUACUAGUCGUCAACCCGUGCGUGCGCACGGGCUAGUAGUUUGGAAAAUAGCUUAGUAGUUUUUUUUGUAAAUAUUGUUAGAAACAAAAGAGGAACUAAUUAUGAAUUAUAAAUUUACACUUGAAAAAAUGACACUUUGUUCUUUAAUCAUAUAUUUUAUAUUUAAGUAUAUUUUAUAUGUCAUAUAAGAACACUAUAGUUUGAUUUCUUUUCUCUAAAAAAUGUUAAUUUAUUCUUCAGCAUGUGCAAAUAUCUCCCAAAAACAAUUUUUUCCGAAGAAUUGUUAGGGUUGGAAGAAGUUCAUACAUUUAUUAAGUCUCCCAAGUGUAUUAAUUAUAUAAAUUUACUGUCAGUAAUGUUUUUGAAAUGAAACUACAUUUGUGCGAAUAAAAAAUAUUCUUAAGUUUAGAACAAAAACAAACAAACAAAAUUGUUCGAUACUUUCCUAUAUAUAGUGCAUAAUUAUUGAAAUAUGUACAGAGAAGCAUGAUGUGUAUAAUCAUGACAUCCCUCCAAAAAAAUAACUAAACAUGAGCCCAUGAGUUUCUGUCAUGUUUGUUUGUCGAGAAACACAUGAUUUCUUCCUACGUACACAUUCUUAAUUAUCCAAGUCGAAUUUGUUGGACGAUUGUAAACUCUGAACAUCACAAACAUAAUGAAUUUAUUUUUGUCCAAAUACACCUCUAGUAUCAUCUCUUCUAUUUUCCUAAAGGAAAACUCAAUUCCUUGAAUCCCCAGGUAUCAGCCACUUAUUUUUCUAAUCUCAUAAACCAAGUCGGGGUGCUAUGAAAUAUUCAAAUGGUUAUACAUAUCAGAUGCAUCGUGGUGGAUAACUUGGGCCAUGUGAUGCACACUACCUUAGGAAAUGUAAAAACAAAAUGGACUAUAUUUGUUUACAAAUUAUUGAAAAACUUGAGCAAGAAAGAGAAAUAGAGUGGCCAAGAUUAAUAUAUUAUUUUUUGGAAAGACUUAUAUAGUUGUACCAGAAACCUAAUAAUAAUUUGUGAAACAAUUUUCGCUGUUUUCAACAUGCAGCAAUAUUACUUGUUGUUUUCAAUGAGAAGGAGAAACAGUUUUGCAUAGUUAAAUGUCACCUGGCUUUGUAACCCCAAAGGAAUAAGAAUCUACAAAUUAUGAGUAGAAGCAUACAUCCCUACUUAACAAAAGGACACACCAGGUUCAUCAAACAUGGAUGAAAAAACUGAGUGUUGUUAUUCGACAUCAGAAGUCCAUAUCCUAAAAAAUAUGACCAUGCCGAAGGUAAAAUUAGUAUCAUCUAAGCUAGACUAAUUUGAUUUGUCCAGGCUAAUGAUAAUACAUUUUUCAACUACUAAUUUUAUUUAUCCAGGCUACAGCACAACUAAUGUCUGCAUUGCAGUAGUAUUUGGGUAACAAAAAAUCAUAUUAUAAUUUGAGACGCUGCAGAACGUUCUGAACUAUCGGCAUGCGCGUAUACUGGAUCGUGUAGAAAGGGGAAAUAACCGGCACUUUUGGCGAUGUGGGCACACCGCCAUACUGCAACACAACGCCUUUAAAGUUUUCCCGUGGGAACAUCCAAUUAAUAUUUACAUAUAUGAACUUGUAAGCCCAUUGAUCAUGUUGCACACACCUGUUGUGACCUUCACUCAUCUGCCAGUACCCCGACCGGUCGACACCUCUUCCUGCAAGUAGCCACCAGUUCAAUGAUAUAGAAGAUAAAGAAACGAAAUUUACAUCAACUUCGAUAGUCAAAAAAACUCUUUCGUAACACUUCACUUCACAUUACGUUAGUGCUAGACUCAUCUUCAUGACUUGAGCAGUUGCCUAAUUCACUACAAACAAAACAAACCAGCUGGCUGGCAAUAACAUGUGGCGGAAGUGCAGCAACAUUAAAUCUAAACAAACUGCAUUAGUCGAUUCAAACCAUACCAGGGAGCUCAACUGAGAUCAUCAAGAGUCUGCGUGAUCUCUGAUUGAGGCAUGAUCUAGAUGACACGGGGUGGUAAUUAUACUGAAAAUCUGAUUAUCUAUGUAUGCAUCUUUUUAUUCCAUCUAUUCAUCGUCAAGUAUCUAACUAUGCAUCCAUCAAUCCUUCCUAUCCAUCAAUUCCAUAUACGUAUCAGCAAGUAGCAUCAAGGUAAUGCAUGGGACAAUGAGAAAAUAUCGGACCUGAGAUUAAAGGGGCUGGAGCAUGACCACCAUAGAUUCCACUUCAUACGCAUCUGCAGAUUAAACUGGCUGGAGCAGGACCAACUUCCCAUAGAAGAUGGUUCUUGGUACUUGGUAUUCAAUGUGUUGGCCGUAAUGGAACUUCGAAUUGUUAUAUAUUUACCUUUGUUUACAAAGCGGUUUUAUUUACAAAGAUGAUGGCGUACACUAUAUUAUCCUUCCACCUGAAUUGCUAGCAUAGAAACAACAGAAGCCUGAAAAGGAAUAUAUUGCAAGUUACAACAACAGUAUUCGUAAAUCAACAUUGACAUAAACCACUGAAUUGAAGAAGAAAUACAGAAAGCGGUAACUCACAAAUCAGUCGAGUACAAAGAACUGAUGCGCAUUUUUCAAUCAUAUAAAUGUGUAGAAAGGCCUAGGUAGGAAUACGGGAAGGUGUGUAUAUGCAUUAUGUACUUCCUCUAAACACAGCUAUUUUCUAUCAUCCAGGUCACGCCCGAUGGCAAACAUUGCCGCAGUCCAUACAUGUCAUGGGUUUGGCCUAAUUGGGUUUGGAGGAUGCUACAACAUAGAGAUGCAUUCUUGCCACGGUCCCCAUGGUAUGGUGUUGAAUUUGGGAAGCACAUGAAGAGGAGGAAGUGGUGUUGAAUCUACACAUGUGGCCUCAAGUGCUCGUUCCCAGAGCUUAAUCCACUACUGUUUGCAGUGCUAAUUCACCGUAUUCCAAAAGCUUAGGACGCGUUUGGUUGCUACUCAGGUAACGUCUUCAGUUAAGGUACCGGGAAGCUCCGGUUCCCUUUUCUUCUUUAGGAAUACGUGACGUGUUUGGUUUGGCCGCCCCACUCCUGCUUUUGUAAUCAGCCGCGAUUUGGGUGUUUUCGAGUUUGUGAACCUCCGGAUCGGAAGACACUGCUACGGAAUACGUUGUUGGCGUACCAAAUGCUGGGUGCCGUUUCAGAAAGCGCGGUAGUCGGAAACCGUGACAAUUCUUCCGAAACAAACGCGUCGUUAAUUGCUUAGGAAACCAAUCCACAUCCGAUCUGGUCACCUCAAUCCAUUGGAAGCUGCCUCAGGUCAACUUUGUCCCCUUCCUACUGCCGUGCGGAAUUUGCAAAGUACAACACAUUGCUACAAAACAUGAGAAAGCAUAGCAGGGAAGACAGAAGAAGGUCCGACAUUGUUAGGGCAAUCAUCGCCAUGGUCCAGCUCGGCGUUUCUGCCAACUGGACUGACCCGUACAAUCUUUUCACCACCAAAAUAAAGAUCGCAAGUACCUAAUUGUACUACAGCACUCUCUCGAGCGCUCGCAGAAAAACAGAUCACCAUGUACCUGAUUGUACUACUGCGGCAUGUGGAGGCCCUGAGAAAGGAGGCCGACCGAGGAGGCCCGUGCGUGUGGACGAUGGUAGCACCCCUGCAGGAGGGAACAGAUGAAGAUCUCGUCCCGCUCGACAACGCUCAGAUGAUGCCGCUAUGAUGAAGGGAAGGCAUAUGCGUGAGAGAUUGAACCACAAAGAAAAACAGAAUAUAUUUUGGGGUUUUCCUCUCGCUUUAAAAAAGAGGCAUGAGAGAUUGAACAGGAAGGAAAAAAAAACAAAAACAUGAGAGAUUAGCGGAGCCAUUUAAGAGAGAGAGUUGACGGAUCCUUUUUUUUUGGGCAGUUGAUUAUUCUGUACGUGCACGCGUGUUUUUUCUUUUGGAGUUUUGCUCUAGCUUUCAAAAGAGGCAUGAGAGAUUGAGUCAGAAAAAAAUAGCAAAAACAGAUGUACACCUUUUUAAUUCGGUCGCACGAGAUAAACGAAAAAAUAGCAAGAAUAGCUUUCAAAAGAGGCAUGAGAGAUUGAGCCAAAAAGAAAAAAAAAAGCAAGAACAGAUCUACACCUUUAUAAUUCGGUCCCACCAAAUAAACAAAAAAAGAAAAAAAUAGUAAGAACAGAUCUACACCGUUAUAAUUAGGUCCCACCAAAUAAACGGCUCUUAAUUUCUAAUUAAUGUAGGAAUUUCUAGGAAGUGACAAAUUAUUAUAGGUAUAGAUAGAUAGAUAGAUAGAUAGAUGGAUAGAUAGAUAGAUAGGGAUCUAUUUGUAAAUUGGUUAGUUUUUACUCACAAACCAUGCUGAGGAUGUAUGGAGGACAAAUAUAUUAAAAACCUUAAGUUGCAUGGGAUUGAAAGCCACAUCCUUAGAGGUGGCAAACAUCUCGCUAACCGCAUGAACAUCAACUAGUUUGUGUACCAAGAUGCAACCCACUCUAUAUAUUAAAAUUCAAAAAACUAAGCAGCAAAAAUCAUAUGAGAUUAGAAUAAAAAAAUGUUGCUACGAACACUGUUCUACUAUAUUGCAAAACAAUAUAGACAAUGGAGAAUUUUGAAGAAAAGAACAGAAAAAUCGCAUAUCUCAUGCUAUCACAUCAUAGUAUUUUAAGAGCCAUGCAUAAUAGUAUAUGAAGAAUCCCAUAACCGCCUCCUGGGUCGCUCGCCUCCCGGGUCGCUCGCUAGGGCGACUCUAGAGGCCACCAUAAUCCAGUAGCACAACUCAUCUCUCGUGCUCCUCGUGCCGCCUUCGAUGGCGGCGGUGGCGGCGCCCGGCCGUGGAAGGCAGAGGUCUUGCUGCGGGUUUCUCAUGCCGGAGGAGGUGCGGUCGUUCGAGCACCCUGUUUCUUAUGGUGGCACGCAGGUGGUGGGCCGCCGAUCAAGUUGUCAGCAUUGCGCGAGCGGAGAUCUUUAGUGAUCAGGUGGGAUGUGGCUCGUGCAUAGGGGUUCCUUCUCGCACUGGCCAAGUGUUGUUCCUCCGGCAGCCAUCGGACAUGGAGUCGGUCAUGCUGCGCGAAUGGAUGCAUUUCGAUGCCUUUGGGCAGUUUUGCUCGGCUCCUCAGUUGGGCUGCAUCUUGAUGGCUGCUUGGCGUGAGGGUUCUAGUUUGACGAGUGAAUGGGCCAUGGAUGGUGUCUUUGGUGAGGUUUGUGGCACUCCGGCUAAAAACCGUACCUGACCUUUGUUGAUGCUGUUUACCACGUCGCCUUCGGGUGUCGCUAUUCAUCCCCUCACCGAGGAUCUCUAACACCUAUUUCAAUCUUGUGAUCUCGUCUCCCGGUGAAAACCGUAAUCCAGAUUCCCAAAUCGGCGAUGUCGAUAUCCUUUAUGAGGAAGUCAUUACUAGAAUGCAUCGUGUCAGAGACUUGACUUGUUGGAGAACCUCAUGGGGAGUCGUUGGUGGAGGGCCUGCGGUGGCGCGGUUGGUGUGGCUUUCCUGUCUCUCCGGUGCACUGCUUUGGGUGGCUGAGGUAUGGAGGUGAUGCUUGGCGAUGGGUAGCAAUGAUUCUUCCUGGCAGAGUGGCGAUGCCAAGAUGGUGCACGGCAACCGUGUCAGUGAUGCGUUGGUGGUGCCAUGGAGCCAGAUCCUUGACGAAGUUACUGGUUGCAGAUCCCGGUCCUAGCAAUGCAAUGAGGGCUCAUGGUGUAUUAUCUGGCGGCAGGUAGCCAUGCUCAGAUUUACCACUGAUUUGCACUUGCGACGGGGACGCGUGAUCGCCAAAGCGUCCCUUAUGGAGGAUUUUGGUGGCAUUGUUGUCUCUAGUCUGUGGAUAUAUGACAUGCGCCACAUGGGUGUCAAUGCAUGCACCUGGCAAUAAAGGCCGAUUGUGGCGGCUAGAUCGCUUCAUUGGUGUCUGCACAAUUUUGAGCUUGCUUGCUGAUGGCUCUAUAUUUUACACAUUUCUAGAGCUCAUUUGUCGCAUGUUCUCGGCAUACAUUAAGGCAUGUUGAACCAAAUAAAUGUCCAACACAUGAUUACUGAUUUUUACUCUUUUCAUUGUGACAAUUGCCUAUUAUUAUUAUUAUUAUUAUUAUUAUUAUUAUUAUUAUUAUUAUUAUUAUUAUUAUUAUUUGGUUUUUAUUAGAUUCCUUUAUUUUGUUGUGUCUACAGUUGUUUUGGAGCAACCUAGGACCAAACACGAUGAAUAGGCCAAGGUUGAGUUCCUUACAGAGGACUUCCAGCACCGGACUUGCGCACUUCGGAAGCUAAAAAAAGUGAGACUUUUUCCAAAUCAUUAUAUAAUACAAGUGGUACGUCGGUGUCGUUCUCAUGAUUUCAACUAGAUUAAGAACUUUGAAAACGUUGUUCGGAUGAGUAAGUUAUCACUAUUUUCCCAGAAGAGGUCAUAACAAAAGACGGCCUCUAGUACGACAAAAAAUAGUCCUACUGGUGGUCGUACCAGGUGCAGAUAGGCCCGAAAGUAGCCUCUCUGGAUGAGAUUCUUCAUCAAUUUCGUCUCCCUUUGUUACCUCGUGUUCCUUGGCUAAUAAGGAAGAGUUUGAGAGAGGAUUUGACUCAAGUUGAGCCCUUGAAUGAAGGUGGAGGGUCCACAUCUAUGCAGGAGACCCAAGCAGGCCUUCUAUAUAUUGAAAUGGCAAUAUCAGAGUCUUCGUCGUGUGUACAAGGAAUUAACAUGGUCGUAACGAAACAACAAAUUAAUGAAAGAAAAAGAUUUGGGAGAGAAAGGAGCUAUGGCAAUCUUACAGCAAUUUACAGGGGAAAAAGAUGAUCACGAAUCAAAACAACCUUGUACUUCUUCGGUGGCUUAAUGGUUAACCACGUUGCACUUCUUCCUGAUCUCGCCCUGGCUUCCUGUGAGCGGGUUGGCGUUGCCCAUCUUGAUCAUGGAGGCGGCAAAGUCGGCGAAGAACUCGUCCAUGAAGGCGCCGGUGGCAUGGCGCUGGACGUAGGCGCGGGUGAAGGGGUCGGUGAGGAGGGCGCCGUCAGAGUGGAAGAGGCCCCUCCGCUUGCUCACCAGCUUGAAGUAGUCAGUGUCGAAGGUCUUGAAGCUGCCGGGGUCCAUCUCCACGAGGGUGGUGUUGUCGUUGAGGCUGGCACACUUGCUCUUUAGCCGCAUCAUGUACUGCGGCUCCAGCGAGGGGUCGAUAUCGCUGGGGUUCUCCAAGCCGGUGAAGUUGUAGAGCCGGUCGGAGAAGGAGAAGCAGUGCGACGUCCCAAUGGUGUGCCCGGCGGACAAAACGACAAGGUCCUUUGCGUCGAGGUUCACGGCGGCGAAGAGCUGGGUGAGCACGGUGAAGUUGGAGGUCGGGGGUGGCAGAGCGUCGGUCUCGUUGGAAAUGGACACGCUGCCGUCUCGCCGGCCCAGAGGAACUGUCCAGAAUGGACCCUUGCUCUGGAGAAACCAUGAUCGAGCAGCAUUAGAAUUUGGCUUCCACACGUACCGUGUCAUUUGAAAAAUGGCAUAGUAGUAGUACUCUACUCACCAGCCAUACUGCGUCCCUGGCAAUGAGGGCGAGGAUGUCGGCGCAGGAGACGGUGUCGGGGCAGGCCUUCUCCACCGCGGCCUUCACCCUCUCGACAAAGCCGAAGCCUCGCAGCGUCUGGUUCGGCUGCGCGUCCUUCUCCGCCGUCUUGUUGGCCGAGUCUAGCAGAACCGAGCCGUCGCACCCCUGCAUAUUCACGGUGGUCAGGCCAUAGCGCACAACGGUGUACGGCAGAUACUGAUGCAUGCAAAUGCAGCAUACCCUGACGAAGCAGUCGUGGAAGUGCAUCCGGAGGAGCGGCCCGGCGAGGCUGGGCGCCAGUGACAGCGCCCUCACCAUCUCCUUCCUCACGACGUCCUCCACGCUGGGGCACGACUCGCUGUAGAACUUGUCGUGCAGCUGCGCCCGCGCGCACGUCGCCGCCACCGCCGCGAGCAGCAGCGCCACCAUCGUGGCAGCCCUACACGCCAUCUUCUCGCCAAGAAGCUUGUUCCUUGCUUGGCUAUGCAAGAAACGACGAUGGCUAGGUGGCUAGUUGAUCCGGAGAAGCUUGAGCUGCUGCUGCUCAUGGACUGGCGCCGGGGAAAUAUAUAGCGCCGGAGUGUCCCCACGCCUGCAUGUGGUGGGCUGUCCUCCGGAGCAGCAGGUAAAAUUCCCAUGGUUUAAUGAGUUGUUCCUUGUUUGCACUCUGCGGAAUCUUUGCCGUGGCAGGUACACCGGCGGCCACCGUACGUAUAAUGGAGGCGGACGGACAGCCAGACGGAAGCACAUCAUUAGAUGAAUUCACUAAUUUUCUGUAGACAGCGAUUUUCUCACUAACUUACUAAUUAGCCAUCACGGAGCAAACUGCGGUGCCAAGUUCUAAUCAGCAAAGGAUACGUGCAACAAAUGAAUGCCACCACCUACUGGUAGUUUGAAGACAUGGAAAUAUCACGAUCCGUAUAUUUAUACCGGCACCACAUGCUAUCCCGAAUCAGCUUUGCUAAGUCUCAGUCGAAGCUAUAUUCGUUUGAUCUUGUGUGAAGAUCCGUGCAAUUUCGAUGUGGUCUGAAAUACCUGUAACACCGGAAUUUUGAGCCAGAUUUACAAACUUGAAAAUAAAUUUAAAUUAUGUUAUAAUUCAUUGAAAGGUAGUAAUUUUUUAAAGAAUUUUUACAUAUGUCAUCCAAAUUGCUUUGUUUUUUAGAUUAAAAGCCUUGCCAAUAAUUAUGCUAAUAUUAUGCCUUUGUCGAGGCCCUGGGCCAAAAGACCAGAAGAAUUUAAAUAUCAUGUUUUGAUCAACAUAUAAUUUGAAUAAUGAUGUUUAAAUUCCAAACAUGGUUAAAAUGAUAUUUAUAAAUUUGGGGAUCUAGUUUUUAUAAGUCUCAAGCUUUGUACGUGGUUGGAAUUUUGUAUUCACGAAAANNNNNNNNNNNNNNNNNNNNNNNNNNNNNNNNNNNNNNNNNNNNNNNNNNNNNNNNNNNNNNNNNNNNNNNNNNNNNNNNNNNNNNNNNNNNNNNNNNNNNNNNNNNNNNNNNNNNNNNNNNNNNNNNNNNNNNNNNNNNNNNNNNNNNNNNNNNNNNNNNNNNNNNNNNNNNNNNNNNNNNNNNNNNNNNNUGUUUGAGGCAAGUAAUUCUGCACGAAAUUCAAUAUUUAAACCCGAAUAUUAAUAUAGAGAUCCUACACCUACGAAAGUCUAGGUAAACCCACCAUAACAAUCAUACAGACAUUCUAGAACACGACAAAGAUAGUUGCCGAGGCAAGAUCCUAAACAUGCCCAUUACCGGGUUGCAUCUUAUUGCUUGGUCAUCUUGUCAUAUGCAUCGACCGUCGCCUAAGAAAACCAUACAUUAUAGGAAAUGGCUUAUAGGUGAACACAAAUUUGUGACGGGCGAGACGUGUGCCCGCCACUGGUAGACCGUUUCAGAGCUGGCCGCGUAAUGCAACCUAAUUGUGGUGAGCAGUAACAAAGGCCCGCCACUGCUUAUUUGUACAUCAGUGGCGAGUGUGACUGUUGCUUGCCACAGCUAAAUUAUGGUAAGCACUCUUACCAGGCACGAAGGAAGUACAUAUUAUACACUUGUAGUAGUGGCCGGUCCAGUCGGCCGCCCGCCAGUGUUGUCCACUUACGUGUAGCGGGCGCCCUGCCGUGCCCGUCACACGUAGACCCACGACACUGGCUGCAGUUUACUUUUUCCCCACCUGAAAAGCGGUUUCAAAAUUUGGCAUUUCCCCCGCCCCCUCCCCCCGCGCCUUUCCCCCCAAAUCUCGCCCGACUUGUCGUCGCGCCCCUCGUUGCCGCCUCUCAUCCUCGCCCCUGUUGCGCCCCUCGUUGCCGCCUCUCCUCCUCGCCGCCGCCGCCACACCCCUCGUUGUUGUCGCCCCCUUCAUCGACGCUGCGUCGCGGCCUUCCUCGCGGCCAUGGGCAUGGACUCCUUCUCCAACACUGGAGGCAUCUUGCUUCCGCCGCCACCGCGAAGCUCCUCCGCGAUGGCUACCCCUCCGACCAUUGUGCCCUCCUCCGCCAACAUCGGAUACCUCGCGCCGCCUUUGGACGCAAAGCGAGCCACCUCUCUGGUAUGGUCAAAGUUGUGUUUAGGGUAAAUAAAUAUUUAGCAUUGAUUAAAUUUGAGUAGUGUGCCGUACUAUUAUUGUGCUUACGGUAACUAUGAGUAGAUUAGGAACAUUUUUUAGGUAUUGACAUGAGUGACAAUGUUUUGGCAAAACGUCGAUUCAUUUCCGUUUCGCCGAAUUUCUGGUACUCAUUAUGUCCUCUUUUUAGCAGAGGUCAUGUCGAAUUUUUCUUUCAUUUUUUAACUAGGAUCCAUUGUAGUAUCAUUGGCUUAUAUUUGCAGGUAUUAACAUGAGUGCCAAUGUUUUGGCGAAACGUCGAUUCAUUUCUGUUGGCCUUACUUUGAAACGUAAGUUCAUUUCUUUAUGCUUGCAAAUAUACACAUGAGUACUUUGAUGUCAAUCUCAUUAAUUUUACAUUGUUCAAUUGUUCCCCGAGACGGCCGAGCUUAUUUCUUCGAUUUCAGGAGAGACCCUAAGAAGCCAUGGACCGAUCUGAAGAAAGUUAUCAAUGCUGCUCUUUUGAUGUGUCAUAAGUCCGAUCGUAAGAACAUGCCACAUUCACAGUACAAAUUUAACACUAGCUUCUAUUGCCGGCAACAACCAAAAGGCAAAACCAUGCACAUGGCUGCUACUGUGCCAUGGUCUUGAUGGAUGACGAUGUGCGCGCAGGACCACUGUUGAGGAGUGAUUCGAUGUUGUAGAAAUGGUCCGAAGAGAAUGAGAAGGAAUUUAAGCGAGCUCACUUUUGGACAGAGCAUGAGCACUUUCAGAGGGUGCUCAUGAAUAUCACCAAUCGCCAUGUAGUAGGGGAUGAGGAGAUGUUCUACUGCAGGGCAGAGAGCCAAGAAGAAUGAGAGAUGAGAAUGAAACAUUGACAUGGCGAUAUACACGCUCCUUUCUAGUCCAGCAAACCGUCAAAAACCAUUAAACUAUGUCAUGACACACUGCUUGUUACCUUGUGAUCUCUAGUUUAUAUGUACGCAUGUCAUAUGUUUAUAUAUUAACCUUGUGAUCUUUUCCAUAUGUAUAUAUUUUGAAUUUUAUUGUCUGCUAAAAAUAAUAGAUGGGACCAUCAGAAGAUUUGUGGGACGGGGUCUCUGCGGCGGACAUGGAGAAGCACUAUCUAUGGACGUGGGAAAAGUAUCGGGCAGAGUACCUCAGGGAGGCGAUGUUAGCUUGGGUUAGAAGUAUUCCAAUGACCCAGUGUUCUCUCCCAGCGAUUGAGAAGAUUGCAGAGAAGUGUUUAGUGACCUUGCGGCGUCCAUCCUUACGGAGGCAACCCUGGAUGAGAGGCUGAGGAUCUGGCCGGGUAUGAGUCCAACCACCAUACCCAUAACCGCUGAGGUUGUUGUGGGCUCUCCAAGAGGCCAAAUGUCCAAUUCCAGAGCAAGCGGCCCGUUGGUCCCCAUUCGUUCCAUCAAGUACUAAUUCAUGUAGUAUGUGCGGCUUCUACUAACAGUCUACGCGUUAAAUAUCGGCUGACACUCAUUGCACUCCAAAACAACUCGUCAAAUCAUUAAUUAUGUGAUGAGCGAUGACAUAUAUAUGCUUAUUAAUGAUUGUAAUGCACUUGUUAUAUUUUCUUUAUAACUACUACUUUUCAUUAAUCUGAAAAUCAUUGUAAUGUGGUGCGUGUAUGUGAAUCAUGGUUCAAACCCACAUUUAUGUAUCAAAUGCAAUAUGAUGAUAUGAUUGAGGUGCAAUAUGCUGCAAUUCAAUCAAUUCGGCAUGCGACGAUAGCAGUGACGAGCACAACACACUGUGGUGGGCGGUACAAAAGGACUGCCACUGAUGCGCGAAAUUCCUAUGCUGGGCAACGCGGAAAACUGUGGCGAGCCCGGACAAUCGCGAGCCACUGCUCUUGGGCUACCACUGGCGGGCGGGUGGCCGCCACUGAUGUCGUAUUAGCAGUGGUGGAAGGUCAGUGGCACGUGCCCCUGAGAGCCUUGCCGGCCACUCCUGGGCUUUUCCCACAUGCAACUGCUAGGCAUUCCUGCAGUAGUGAUAGUUCUCGUUGAAAUGGGUGGUGAGUCUGAUCUCUCACAAGUUGAUUUCGUUCUUAGUAGAGCCGCCAAAGCGUGGUAGCCCUAGAAAAUUCUCGAGAUUAUAUGUUAAUUUUGUAACGCCCCGUCAGGCUAGCCCAAGGCCCCUUUAGCAUACUGCACGACCAUGUCCAUCAAUCGGGCAUGUGGGCCAUCCAGAAGGAAGGAACUAGCAUCUUGACGAUCAAGGGAAGAAGGCCAGAUAUCCAGGAGGACUCUCCAGCCGCCUUAGCUGACUAGGAUUAUUGUAACCAUAGGCCUUAGUAUCCUUAAUAAGUCAAGGUCAAGCUAGCAGCUAGGGGACCUUACAAUCAACCCUUUGAUACACCUAAGAUUCCAGAGCCCUUAAAAAAAACCCUAAGAUUCUAGAGAUCAUCAGCAUACUAUGUGCACCCCUUCAAUCCAGUACAACACAAGUAAGAGUAGUGCUUUGCCUCCAAAGAGAGGUCUGAACCUAGGUAUGUAUUAUGUUUCCCCUCUGUGCUUUCUGGCUAGUCACGGCACCCUACCGAGGGGUCUACAGGAUUUUACAUUGACAAUAGCACCAGACAUGGAUCGUGCUACUAAGAGUUGACAUCGAGAUUGGAUCCAAACAUCAAUUGUGAUGUCUUCGCUCCUUGCCAGAUCUUCACCUUCGUUGCGAUGAACCUAAUCACAAACUCGGUGGCCAGAUUAAUCCAAUUGACACUUACGCAGCAGUUCAUAUUCUCUUCUUCGAGAAUCUAGAUACACUGUCGAUGGGCGUGAUGAGCUCGAUCUCUGCAACCUAGCACAAUGCAGGAGCCAGAGCCGAUCUUCAUUAGUCCACCAACCUCCCACUACAUUGCCACCAUCGACUUUUUCCAUGACGUCCUAAUGGAGCACGAGCCAAAGGAAGAGGAAAGCGAUGGAAGUUGCCCCGAAUUGAUACCAACACCUUGCUAGCCUUGGGAGGCAACUGCUAUGUACAUGGUUGAUAACAUAGCCAACGCCGAAGAUGACGCUUUCGACGAGCGCGCACUCGCAACGCGCAUGACACCGGUACCAAAUACCAACGACGCCUCCAAAAAACUGGAAGCCUGUCGUAAGAAGAUGUAGCACCUGCACUUGCGCCAGCAACAGGAGCGCAGUCGCCUCUUAGAAAGGAAGGCCCAACCAUAGCCUCCAUCAGGCUAGUCCAGAAUAGGGCAGAACAUAGUGUAUUAUCUAAAGAUGUGACCAAACUUGUCGCCCGGGCCGAGCAAUGCAUACAGCAAUACAUGGAGUUGCACCUGCCAAUUCGGCAAUGUUUCACACCCCGCCAUAAACCUUAUGGUUCCAGUGGGGAAGUGAACGACAUCAAACUCCUAGACGAUCAUCCAGGCCAUGAGAAUUGCUUUUUUUAAAAUAAUUUAUAUAUGCAAUAUGACCAGAAAAUGAUUAGUUUCAGGAGGGCCAGCAUUGUACCCCUUUUCUGCAGACUAGGGAGUAGCAAAAAAUAUUUGUGCUUUGCAGGAUUGCAACUCAUGUCCCCAAAGGCCUCAACCAGCUGACCUAGCAUAUGCUUGUGCUAAAAAUAGGUUCAUUAUUUAAUUAAAAAGUCCCACCUCGACUCUUUGCACGAGAAUACAUCAAUUUAUAUAAAUUUAUAAAUUGCAUGGAAAUUGGGGAGCUAAUUGAAGAAAAAGGAACAGAGGGAGUGAAUGAAUUAAAUGGAUUUGGGCUAGCAUUGGUGACUUGUACUAGAUAAAUAAAAUUGUUGCAUUUGCAUGGAUGGUUGUGCCAAUAUAAAUUAAUUGAAUUUGUAAUAAAGGCCAGAUUUCGUGAUUGUUGCUAUGAGGGGGAGACCCUAUAAUUAAUGAAUUAAUCCUUCCGGAGUCUACCAAUCUUAUGUUAAUACUCAUUUUUUAAGACUUUCGUGAGAUAACCACAACAAAGGGUGGAAUGGAUUUCAACCUCGGCGUGCGUAUCCCUGCUGACGUCAGGUGGCACCAUCCAGAUGUUGUUGUGUCACAUGGACAUGUCAAUUACUUCUCCCGUUGCAAUGCACGGGCAUAUAUGCUAGUAAACCUUAUGGUUGCAAUGGGGCAGUGAACGACAUAAAACUCCUAGACGAUCAUCCAGGCCAGGAGAAUUUUGAGCAUGCCAAAAUUUUGCUCCAAACAGUUGUAUAACAAAAUGUUUGUAUAGGAUCGAAGACCACGGUGGGGACCUCGAACGACAUGCACACCAGACAAGUUCACUCCAUCGAAAUUAAAUGUCCACUCGUUCGCACAGGCAUGUAGUUGCCAACCUGUCUCCCCCGACAUGCUCGCAAAGUCACGCACUCGCCAACCCCGAGAGAACACCAUCGCCGCACUAUCUGCUAGGAAACAUAGUAGAAAACUAAAAAAUUCGCCUUAUGAUCACAAUCCAAGAACACUAUGAAGAUGCAUUAGAGGUAUAGAUUGGAUCGUUACCAACUUAGAGUUGCACUAUAAGAAGAGUUGAUGUAUAUCAUUGAUGAAGUCCCAUGAACCGUUCAUGAAUGAUCCAUCAAGCAGAAGAACGAGCCUAAGAAUAUCCCUCCAUCGUCGGAGGAGCAAAUCCCACUCUUGAGCUAUCUAGCCCCUUGUCACACUUUUCUAUGAACCUGAAAGUUUUCAUUAUGAUCACCGUGUUAUAGAAGAUGUUUGAGAAAGCCCAAAGUUUAUUGUCUGGUAUGAAGUGACUACGAUACUCCCAUGGUACGAUGAACUAAAUAUACAUUACCUCUCCUUGUUAUAUCAAUAGACUUGUGACGAUUACAUGUCAAAGUAUAACAAUCAAGUUGGAUCAAUUCAAUAUGAUCGUUCUUGUAACAUCAUAGUACCAAUGUUGUUUUGGUAUCCUCGUUACUCUUAUCUAAAUACGUAUGAUCAGGAAAACAUGAUUAUCACACAACACUUGAGCUAGUCCUAGGGGCAAAACUAGGAAUCCGAUUUUACUGUUGAUUAUUCUAGACAUGUAUGUGUGUUUCCUCUGAAUCGCAUAUUCAAGAAUGAAAGCAAGUAUAUCAUAGAAUAUAAACUCUUAAUUGGAAAUAUAUAAAUAAAUAAUACAAAUAUAAUUGCCUCUAGGGCAUAUUUCCAACAAACUCCCACUUGCCCUAGAGCCAAUAAUCUAGUUACAUAGCUUCUCUAACACCAAUGGCUAUUCAUGUUACUCAUAUUUUGGUCAUCAUAGAGGCUUCGUCAUCAGGUCCAACACAUUCAAAAAAUUGUGAAUCUUGAGUACUUUCACAAAAACUUUAUAUGCUGUCAGAUGAUGUGAUACCUGCGUUCGACAUCCCUAGUCUUCAUGUGGGACCUUGGCUCCUUUUCUUGCGUAACAUCGCCACUAUUAUAACAAUAGAGCUCCAUUGGACUCAACACACUUGGGACCACAACUCUUAAAGAAACUUCUUGAUCUAGACUGCCUCCUUCAAUCCUUCUGAAGCCGCAAUAUAUUCUACCUCCGUCAUAGAAUCUGCAACAAUGUUCUGCUGGAAACUUUUCCAAACCACUGCACCACCAUUAAGAGUGAAAACAUAGCCCGGUUGAGAUUUAUAGUCAUUUAUAUCAGUGAUGAAGCUAUUGUUAGUGUAACCACUUACAACGAUCUCUUCAUCUCCUCCAUAGACAAGAAGAAUGUCAUUCAUCCUUUUGAGGUACUUAAGAAUAUUUUUAACAACUGCCCAGUGUUCCAAUCCCGGAUCACUUUGGAACCUUCUACUAACACUUAGCACAUAAUAAACAUCUAGUCUUGUACAUAUCAUAGCAUACAUGAUAGAACGAAUUGCGGAGGCAUACGGGAGUCCACUUAUUUGCACACGCUCAUCAACAGUCUUGGGAGAUGAUUCUUGCUAAGUGUUGUGCUAUGUGGCAUUGGAAGAAAACCUUUCUUAGUGUUCUCCAUUUUAAGCCUCUUUAAAACCUUGUCCAUGUGCGUGCUUUGGCUUAGCACAAUUAGACGUCUUGAUCUAUAUCAAUCGAUCUUAAUGCCAAAUAUAUAAGUUGCUUUGCCUAAGUCUCUCAUCGAAAACAUACUUUUCAAUGAAUGUUUUGUUGUGCUAAGAAACUUUACUUCAUUCCAACAAUAAUAUGUCAUCCACGUAUAAGAUUAGAAAUUCUAUAGAGCUCCCACUAAACUUCUUGUAUACACAAGCUUCUUCAUCGUUCUUAAUGAAGCCAAAUUCUUUAACCACUUCAUUAAAAUGUUGAUUCCAACUCCUCGAUACUUGCUUUAAACCAUAAAGUGAUCUUUGAAGCUUGCACACCUUACCGUCAUCCAUAGGAUCUAAAAAACCUUCUGGUUGCAUCAUGUAUACAUCCCCAUUAAGAUUUCCAUUUAGAAAAGUCGUUUCGAUGUCUAUUUGCCAUAUCUUGUAACCGAAAUAUGCAGCAAUUGCCAUCAUAACCGCAGACUUUAACAUGGAUACUAGCAAAAAAGUAUCGUCAUAAUCAACUCACUCGAUUUGCAAAAAUCCUUUCACAACUAGUCUUGUUUUAUAGAUAAGUAGGAUUACAAUCCGUGUCGCUUUUUCAUUUGAAGAUCCAUUUAUAUUGAAUGUGUUUUACACACUCUCGGGGAUAUACCAAGUUCCAAACUUUUGAUUCUCGCACAUGGACUCCAUUUCGUUUUUCAUGGCUUUAAGCCAUUCUUUUGAACCGGGCGCCUCCAUCGCUUCUCUAUAGUGCGCAGGCUCAUCUUCUUCUAAGAUGAAUAUUUCAUUAUGAAACAAGUCAGCAGGUUCGCUAACUCUUGCUAACAUACGCGGUUCUGUUACAUGCUUAACUAGAUUUUGUAUAACUGGUGUAGUAAAUUUUGGUUCAAUUGUGUGGACAACUUCCAAAACAAUUUCCGGUUCAUUAUUCCAACUUACUUCCACCGGAGAUUCAGCAAUCUCAUCAAGGUGUACUAUCCUCCCACUCAUGUCUUUAGGUGGAAACUCUUUCUCAAGAAAGUGUCCAGCUCUUGCAAGAAACAAUUUGUCAUCAUAUGGGCGGUAGAAGGAAUACCCAAUAGUUUGUUUGGGAUAACCUACAAAUUAACAUUUGUCUGAUUUGGCAUUGAGUUUAUUUGGUUGUAAAUUCUUCACAUAAGGUUUCACAACCCCAAAUCUUGAGAUGCGACAAAUUGGGUCUCUUCCCAUUCCAUAACUCAUAUGGUGUCGACUCAACAGACUUAGACUGUGCUCUGUUUACUGUGUAUGUUGCUGUUUCGAGAGCAUAUCCCCAAAAUUAUAAAGGCAAAUCGGUUAGAGACAUCAUUAGCCUCACCAUGUCAACAUGGUUUGGUUACACUUCUUAGACACUCCAUUCCUUUGUGGAGUUCCGGGAUGAGUAUAUUCCAAAACAAAUCCAUGAUCACUUAGAUGUUUGUUAAACUCGUGACUUUGAUAUUCGCCUCUGCGCUAUGAUCGUAGAAACUUUAUCUUCUUGCCACGAUGAUUAUCAACUUCGUCCUGGAAUUCUCUGAACUUUUCAAAGGUCUCGGGCUUAUGUUUCAUUAACUAAAUAUUACUAUAUUUAUUAAAAUGAUCAGCGAAGGUUACAAAGUAUAAGCAUCCACCGUGUGCCAGUGUGAACAUUGGACCACCUAUAUCACUAUGUAUUAUUUCCAAUAAUUCACCCCCUGUUAAGGAUGACCCAUGAACGGGGUAUCAGUUAGUUUCCCAUCAAGAAAGCCUCGCAUGUGUCAAAUGAUUCAAAAUCAAAAGACGUUAAUACUCCAUAUUUAUGAAGCUUUUGCAUACAUUUCUUUCCGAUGUGACCAAGACAGCAAUGACACAUGUAAGUAUUAUUAUUAGUCUUCUUAACAUGUUUAACUUCUAUGUUAUAGAAAUCAUUUUCACAUUCAGGAUCCGAAAUGAAAAAUUGACCGAUAAUAGGUGCAAAGCCAUAAAACAUAUCCUUAUAACAAAUUGAACACUCAUUUUUCCGAGACAUAUAAUGAUAACCAUAGUUUAUUUAAGAUGAUACAGAGAUAAUGUUCUUACAGAAAUCAAAACAAAAUAACAAUUAUUAAGUUCUAAGAUAAAUCUUGAAGGUAAACUUAAAGACAUGACUCUGAUAGCUUGAGCAGAGAUCACAUCACCAUUCCCGACAUGCAUCACGACUUCAUUUCCCUAAGAAAAUCAAUCUAUACAAUGAGGAUAUUCCACAUAAUCUUACAAAGGUUAAUGUCAAAUGUAUCAUUAAAAUAUAUAAUUGGUGGCAUCUUACUUCACAAACUGGUUUGAGGUUCUUGUGGCCACGGAGACAGUCGAUAACCCUAAAGCGUAUGGUUUUGAGUCCUAGGGAAUGUAAAGUUUUACAAAGAAAACAUUCAUACAUCAUUAGCGUGGUUUGUAAGAAAGAACAACCAGUUUGCAGAUAAAUCCGUGUAAAACAUAGUUAGUUCACGAGUGGUCAAAGGAACAUUGUAUGUCAGUCACGUGACCGAAAUGUUCCCUAUCAACCAGAUUUUGGCCAUAUUUGAUCAAAUCAAUGGGUAUAUGUCUUAAACUGAUCAGUUUCUAAGUUGUUGGCUUGAAGCAUGCAUCAUUUGAGUUAGUGUAAUGGUGACAAAUUUCAUAGUUGUAUGCCUUAUCGAAGUCUACUUUCAAAUGACACCAUCCAUUUUCAUGGUACAAUUCAUGAACAAAUUCAUGGAAGACCACCACCUUGUCCAUGAUAAUCCUAUCAUGCACUAAUGACAUUUUUGUGGGUUGAACCACUUGGUUGACAAACCCAUUGAGUCAAUCAUUCGCCACCUUUAUAAAUAUGAAGUUAAUGUUAGAAGGCAUGUCAAUAUGUACAAUGGAAAUAGAUUAGCCUCUUUAGUCAUGGGCAUUAAAAUAAUUUCACAAAAAAUAGUCUUAAAAGCUUAGAGUGCUCCACAUGGAGGUCCUCAAACAACUUCCCAACCUCCUAGAAGGUUUGCUAGGCUCGGUUGAGAAGUCAUCUGAUCCAGCCAAUUUAUUAUGAAUACAACUUUGCUCACCCAGUGUUUAGAAAAAAAAGGUUCCAAGGAGCUUGUUUUGACCAUCCAAAACCUAUUGAGAUGUCAUCUACUGAAUCAUUUAGAGAGAAAUUACUCUAAUUGGGAGGUCCAAAUAGACAUAUUAUUUGGUAGUAUAAGUCCGUAGGGAAGUCGUGGAGAGAGAGAGAGGGUUGCUACAUAGCUACUACAUCAAAAUGGUAGCCUAAAAAAGACACCACUCAAGUGUAAUCAUGAGAGUGCAUAAUACAUCUAUUUAUUCAAGCUGGCUAAGGCCGGUGCUUGAUGACAUAAUAUCACCGACCCAGAGUGACAUAAUAUCAUGUCUAUUAACAAGACACUGCUCGCACUUCUCGAUCCGCUUGAAGACAUGGAGGUACUUGAAGUCUUGGUUGCUGUUGUCCUAACGAUAUAGGGCGGACAUCCGCAACAGCUGCGCCGAGGAACAAAUAGUUGGCCGACGUGCAUGGCGAAAAGAAGUGGGGAACCGGUGUGCCAUACCUGAUCCUUAAUGCUGGCGUCGCUCUCCGGGCGAGCUACUAUCUUCUCGACGAUCCCAUGCCAUUUGUUGCACGCCGCCUGGAUGAGCCCCCAAUGGUUCGACAUCGCCUUCGACCCGCGCUGCAUGUAGACGCCUUUGAAGUUGGGUCGACGAGCUUGCGCUCGUCGAACUUGGCCUUGAUGCGGUCCCAAUACGUCUCGAUGCUCUAGUUCGUGCCGGCGAUCGCGUCGAGGCAGACGACUUCCCACGCUUCGGCGAGGCACUCCUACUCCUUGGACGCCCACUUGAUGCGCGGCUCGCCGGUCCUGGCCGUCCCCUUCUUCUUCUUCUUCUUCUUCUUCUUCUUCUUCUUCUUCUUCUUCUUCCGUUUCCUCGCCGACGCCGGCUCCUCCUUCUCAUCCUAAUCCUCCUCCUCCUGCUCAUCCGGCUCCUCCUCGCCGUAGUCAAGCUCGCCGUCCAUGUCGCCGUUCAGGUCUAUUGUGUCGUCCUGCGCAGUGAACCCGGGGGACGCUGUUGGGGAACGUUGCAGAAAACAAAAAUUUUCCUACGGUUUCACCAAGAUCCAUCUAGGAGUUCAUCUAGCAACGAGUGAUCGGAUUGCAUCUACAUACCUUUGUAGAUCACGUGCAGAAGCGUUCAAAGAACGGGGAUGAGGAAGGCGUACUCGACGUGAUCCAAAUCACCGGAGAUCCUAGCGCCGAACGGACGGCACCUCCGCGUUCAACACACGUACGGUCAGCGUAAGGUCUCCUUCUUCUUGAUCCAGCAAGGGGGAAGGAGAGGUUGAGGAAGAUGGCUCCAGCAGCAGCACGACGGCGUGGUGGUGAUGGAGCUACAUUACUCCGGCAGGGCUUCGCCAAGCACUAUGGAGGAGGAGUAUGUGUUGGAGAGGGAGAGGGAGGCACCAAAGGCGUGGAUUGAGAGGCCCUCCUUCCCCACUAUAUAUAGGGAGCCUAGGGGGGGCACCGGCCCUAGGAGAUGCAAUCUCCUAGGGGGGGCGGCGGCCAAGGGAGGAAUCCCUCCUCCCCAAGGCACCUAGGAGGUGCCUUCCCCCUUUGGGACUCUUCCCUUCCUUAUCUCUUGGCGCAUGGGCCUCUUGGGGCUGGUGCCCUUGGCCUAUAUAGGCCAAGGCGCACCCCCUACAGCCCAUGUGGCCCCCCGAGGCAGGUGGCCCCACCCGGUGGACCCCCGGGACCCUUCCGGUGGUCCCGGUACAAUACCGGUGACCCCGAAACUUGUCCCGAUGGCCGAAAUAGCACUUCCUAUAUAUAAUUCUUUACCUCCGGACCAUUCCGGAACUCCUCGUGACGUCCGGGACUCCAAACAACUUUCGGGUUACUGCAUAUACAUAUCCCUACAACCCUAGCGUCACCGAACCUUAAGUGUGUAGAUCCUACGGGUUCGGGAGACAUGUAGACAUGACCGAGAUCGCUCUCCGGUCAAUAACCAACAACGGGAUCUGGAUACCCAUGUUGGCUCCCACAUGCUCCUCGAUGAUCUCAUCGGAUGAACCACGAUGUUGAGGAUUCAGGCAACCCCCGUAUAUAAUUCCCUUUGUCAAUCGGUAUGUUACUUGCCCGAGAUCCGAUCGUCGGUAUCCCAAUACCUCGUUCAAUCUCGUUACCGGCAAGUCACUUUACUCGUACCGUAAUGCAUGAUCCCGUGACCAGACACUUGGUCACUUUGAGCUCAUUAUGAUGAUGCAUUACCGAGUGGGCCCAGUGAUACCUCUCCGUAUACGGAGUGACAAAUCCCAGUCUUGAUCCGUGUCAACCCAACAGAUACUUUCGGAGAUACCCGUAGUAUACCUUUAUAGUCACCCAGUUACGUUGUGACGUUUGGUACACCCAAAGCACUCCUAUCGUAUCCGGGAGUUACACGAUCUCAUGGUCUAAGGAAAAGAUACUUGACAUUGGAAAACUCUAGCAAACGAACUAUACGAUCUUAUGCUAUGUUUAGGAUUGGGUCUUGUCCAUCACAUCAUUCUCCUAAUGAUGUGAGCCCGUUAUCAAUAACAUCCAAUGUCCACAGUCAGGAAACCAUGACUAUCUGUUGAUCAACGAGCUAGUCAACUAGAGGCUUACUAGGGACAUGUUGGUGUCUAUUAUUCACACAUGUAUUACGAUUUCCGGAUAACACAAUUAUAGCAUGAAUAAAGACAAUUAUCAUGAACAAAGAAAUAUAAUAAUAAUCCUUUUAUUAUUGCCUCUAGGGCAUAUUUCCAACAGUCUCCCACUUGCACUAGAGUCAAUAAUCUAGUUACAUUGUGAUGAAUCGAACACCCAUGGAAUUCUGGUGUUGAUCAUGUUUUGCUCUAGGGAGAGGUUUCGUCAACGGAUCUGCUACAUUCAGGUCCGUAUGUACUUUACAAAUAUCUAUGUCUCCAUUUUGAACAUUUUCACGAAUGGAGUUGAAGCGACGCUUGAUGUGCCUGGUCUUCUUGUGAAACCUGGGCUCCUUGGCAAGUGCAAUAGCUCCAGUGUUGUCACAGAAGAGUUUGAUUGGCCCCGACGCAUUGGGUAUGACUCCUAGGUCGGUGAUGAACUCCUUCACCCAAAUUGCUUCAUGUGCUGCCUUCGAGGCUGCCAUGUACUCCGCUUCACAUGUAGAUCCCGCCACGACGCUCUGCUUGCAACUGCACCAGCUUACCGCCCCACCAUUCAAAAUAUACAUGUAUCCGGUUUGUGACUUUGAGUCAUCCAGAUCUGUGUCGAAGCUAGCAUCGACAUAACCCUUUACGACGAGCUCUUCGUCACCUCCAUAGACGAGAAACAUUCCCUUAGUCCUUUUCAGGUACUUCAGGAUAUUCUUGACCGCUGUCAAGUGUUCCUUGCCAGGAUUACUUUGGUACCUUCCUACCAAACUAACGGCAAGGUUUACAUCAGGUCUGGUACACAGCAUGGCAUACAUAAUAGAACCUAUGGCUGAGGCAUAGGGGAUGACACUCAUCUCUUCUAUAUCUUCUGCCGUGGUCGGACAUUGAGCUGAGCUCAAUUUCACACCUUGUAACACAGGCAAGAACCCCUUCUUAGACUGAUCCAUAUUGAAUUUCUUCAAUAUCUUAUCAAGGUAUGUGCUUUGUGAAAGAACUAUGAGGCGUCUUGAUCUAUCUCUAUAGAUCUUGAUGCCUAAUAUAUAUGCAGCUUCUCCAAGGUCCUUCAUUGAAAAACUCUUAUUCAAGUAGGCCUUAAUGCUGUCCAAGAGUUCUAUAUUAUUUCCCAUCAAAACUAUGUCAUCUACAUAUAAUAUGAGAAAUGCUAUAGAGCUCCCACUCACUUUCUUGUAAACACAGGCUUCUCCAUAAGUCUGCGUAAACCCAAACGCUUUGAUCAUCUCAUCAAAGCGAAUGUUCCAACUCCGAGAUGCUUGCACCAGCCCAUAAAUCAAGCGUUGGAGCUUGCACACCUUGUCAGCAUUCUUAGGAUCGACAAAACCUUCUGGCUGCAUCAUAUACAAUUCUUCCUUAAGGAAACCGUUCAGGAAUGCCGUUUUGACGUCCAUUUGCCAUAUUUCAUAAUCAUAGAAUGCAGCAAUUGCUAACAUGAUUCGGACGGACUUUAGCUUCGCUACCGGUGAGAAAGUCUCAUCGUAGUCAACCCCUUGAACUUGUCGAUAACCCUUAGCGACAAGCCGAGCUUUAUAGAUGGUCACAUUACCAUCCGCGUCUGUCUUCUUCUUAAAGAUCCAUUUAUUUUCUAUGGCUCGCCGCUCAACAGGCAAGUCAGUCAAAGUCCAUACUUUGUUUUCAUACAUGGAUCCUAUCUCGGAUUUCAUGGCUUCUAGCCAUUUGUCGAAAUCCGGGACCGCCAUCGUUUCUUCAUAGUUCGAAGGUUCACCGUUGUCUAACAACAUGAUUUCCAAGACAGGGUUGCCGUACCACUCUGGUGCGGAACGUGUCCUUGUGGACCUUCGAAUUUCAGUAGGAGCUUGAUCAGAAGUAUCUUGAUCAUCAUCAUUAACUUCCUCUCUAGUCGGCGCAGGCACCUCAGGAACAUUUUCUUGAGCUGCGCCAUUUUCCGGUUCAAGAGGUAAUACUUCAUCAAGUUCUACUUUCCUCCCACUUACUUCUUUUGAGAGAAACUCCUUCUCUAGAAAGGAUCCAUUCUUGGAAACAAAGAUCUUGCCUUCGGAUCUGAGGUAGAAGGUAUACCCAAUAGUUUCUUUAGGGUAUCCUAUGAAGACGCAUUUUUCCGACUUGGGUUUGAGCUUUUUAGGUUGAAGUUUCUUGACAUAAGCAUCGCAUCCCCAAACUUUAAGAAACGACAGCUUAGGUUUCUUCCCAAACCAUAAUUCAUACGGUGUCGUCUCAACGGAUUUCGACGGAGCCCUAUUUAAAGUGAAUGCGGCAGUCUCUAAAGCAUAGCCCCAAAAAGAUAGCGGUAAAUCGGUAAGAGACAUCAUAGAUCGCACCAUAUCUAAUAGAGUGCGAUUACGACGUUCGGACACACCAUUACACUGAGGUGUUCCAGGCAGCGUGAGUUGUGAAACUAUUCCACAUUUUCUUAAGUGUGUGCCAAACUCAUGACUCAAGUAUUCUCCUCCACGAUCUGAUCGCAGAAACUUGAUUUUCCUGUCACGUUGAUUCUCAACCUCACUCUGAAAUUCCUUGAACUUUUCAAAGGUCUCAGACUUGUGUUUCAUUAAAUAGAUAUACCCAUAUCUACUCAAGUCAUCAGUGAGGGUGAGAACAUAACGAUAGCCACCGCGACCCUCAACACUCAUUGGACCGCACACAUCAGUAUGUAUGAUUUCCAAUAAGUUGGUUGCUCGCUCCAUUGUUCCUGAGAAUGGAGUCUUGGUCAUUUUACCCAUGAGGCAUGGUUCGCACGUGUCAAAUGAUUCGUAAUCAAGAGACUCUAAAAGUCCAUCAGCAUGGAGCUUCUUCAUGCGUUUAACACCUAUGUGACCAAGGCGGCAGUGCCACAAGUAUGUGGGACUAUCAUUAUCAAUCUUACAUCUUUUGGUACUCACACUAUGAACAUGUGUAGCACUACGCUCGAGAUUCAUUAAGAAUAAACCAUUUACCAUCGGAGCAUGACCAUAAAACAUAUCUCUCAUAUAAAUAGAACAACCAUUAUUCUCGGAUUUAAAUGAGUAGCCAUCUCGAAUUAAACGAGAUCCUGAUACAAUGUUCAUGCUCAAACUUGGCACUAAAUAACAAUUAUUGAGGUUCAAAACUAAUCCCGUAGGUAAAUGUAGAGGUAGCGUGCCGACGGCGAUCACAUCGACCUUGGAACCAUUCCCGACGUGCAUCGUCACCUGGUCCUUCGCCAGUCUCCGCUUAUUCCGCAGCUCCUGCUUUGAGUUACAAAUGUGAGCAACUGCACCGGUAUCAAAUACCCAGGAGCUACUACGAGUACUGGUAAGGUACACAUCAAUUACAUGUAUAUCACAUAUACCUUUUGUUUUGCCGGCCUUCUUGUCUGCUAAGUAUUUGGGGCAGUUCCGUUUCCAGUGACCACUUCCCUUGCAAUAAAAGCACUCAGUCUCAGGCUUGGGUCCAUUCUUUGGCUUCUUCCCGGCAGCUUGCUUGCCGGGCGCAGCAACUCCCUUGCCAUCCUUCUUGAAGUUCUUUUUACCCUUGCCCUUCUUGAACUUAGUGGUUUUAUUCACCAUCAACACUUGAUGUUCCUUUUUGACUUCUACCUCUGCUGAUUUCAGCAUUGCAAAUAAUUCGGGAAUGGUCUUUUCCAUCCCCUGCAUAUUGAAGUUCAUCACAAAACUCUUGUAGCUUGGUGGAAGCGACUGAAGGAUUCUGUCAAUGACUACGUCAUCCGGGAGAUUAACUCCCAGCUGAGUCAAGCGGUUAUGUAACCCAGACAUUGUGAGUAUGUGCUCACUGACAGAACUAUUUUCCUCCAUCUUACAGCUGAAGAAUUUGUCAGAGACUUCAUAUCUCUCGACCCGGGCAUGAGCUUGAAAAACCAUUUUCAGCUCUUCGAACAUCUCAUAUGCUCCGUGUCUCUCAAAAGGUUUUUGGAGCCCCGGUUCUAAGCUGUAAAGCAUGCCGCACUGAACGAGGGAGUAAUCAUCAGCACGUGUCUGCCAAGCGUUCAUAACGUCUUGGUUCUGUGGGACGGGUGCGUCACCUAGCGGUGCUUGUAGGACAUAAUCUUUCUUGGCAGCUAUGAGGAUGAUCCUCAGGUUCCGGACCCAGUCCGUAUAGUUGCUGCCAUCGUCUUUCAGCUUGGUUUUCUCUAGGAAUGCGUUGAAGUUGAGGACAACAUUGGCCAUUUGAUCUACAAGACAUAUUGUAAAGAUUUUAGAAAAAGUUCAUGAUAAUUAAGUUCAUCUAAUCAAAUUAUACAAUGAACUCCCACUUAGAUAGACAUCCCUCCUGUAAUCUAAGUAUAACAUGAUCCGAGCUAACUAGGCCGUGUCCGAUCAUCACGUGAGACGGACUAGUCAACAUCGGUGAACAUCUUCAUGUUGAUCGUAUCUUCUAUACGACUCAUGCUCGACCUUUUGGUCUUCUGUGUUCCGAGACCAUGUCUGUACAUGCUAGGCUCGUCAAGUCAACCUAAGUGUUUGCAUGUGUAAAUCUGUCUUACACCCGUUGUAUGUGAACGUUAGAAUCUAUCACACCCGAUCAUCACGUGGUGCUUCGAAACAACGAACUGUCGCAACGGUGCACAGUUAGGGGGAACACUUUCUUGAAAUUAUUAUGAGGGAUCAUCUUAUUUACUACCGUAGUUCUAAGCAAACAAGAUGCAAAAACAGGAUAAACAUCACAUGCAAUCAAAUAAUAAUAGUGACAUGAUAUGGCCAAUAUCACAUAGCUCCUUUGAUCUCCAUCUUGGGGCUCCAUGAUCAUCUUGUCACCGGCAUGACACCAUGAUCUUCAUCAUCAUGAUCUCCAUCAUCGUGUCUCCAUGAAGUUGCUCGCCAACUAUUACUUCUAAUACUACGGCUAACGCGUUUAGCAAUAAAGUAAAGUAAUUUACAUGGCGUUUCUUAAUGACACGCGGGUCAUACAAAAAAAUAAAGACAACUCCUAUGGCUCCUGCUGGUUGUCAUACUCAUCGACAUGCAAGUCGUGAUUCCUAUUACAAUAGCAUGAACAUCUCAUACAUCACAUAUAUAUCAUUCAUCAUUCAUCACAACUUUGGCCAUAUCAUAUCACAAAGCACUUGCUGCAAAAACAAGUUAGACGUCCUCUAAUUGUUGUUUGCAAGUUUUACGUGGCUGAAAUAGGGUUCUAGCAAGAACGUUUUCUUACCUACGUGAAAGCCACAAUGUGAUUUAUCAACUUCUAUUUACCCUUCAUAAGGACCCUUUUCAUCGAAUCUGCUCCAACUAAAGUGGGAGAGACAGACACCCGCCAGCCACCUUAUGCAACUUGUGCAAGUUAGUCGGUGGAACCGGUCUCACGUAAGCGUACGUGUAAGGUUGGUCCGGGCCGCUUCAUCCCACAAUACCGCUGAAGCAAGAUAAGACUAGUAGCGGCAAGAAAGUUGACAACAUCUACGCCCACAACAAAUUGUGUUCUACUCGUGCAAGAGAACUAUGCAUAGACCUAGCUCAUGAUGUCACUGUUGGGGAACAUUGCAGAAAACAAAAAUUUUCCUACGGUUUCACCAAGAUCCAUCUAGGAGUUCAUCUAGCAAUGAGUGAUCGGAUUGCAUCUACAUACCUUUGUAGAUCACGCGCGGAAGCGUUCAAAGAACGGGGAUGAGGAAGGCGUACUCAACGUGAUCCAAAUCACCGGAGAUCCUAGCGCCGAACGGACGGCACCUCCGCGUUCAACACACGUACGGUCAGCGUAACGUCUCCUUCUUCUUGAUCCAGCAAGGGGGAAGGAGAGGUUGAGGAAGAUGGCUCCAGCAGCAGCACGACGGCGUGGUGGUGAUGGAGCUGCAGUACUCCGGCAGGGCUUCGCCAAGCACUAUGGAGGAGGAGGAUGUGUUGGAGAGGGAGAGGGAGGCACCAAAGGCGUGGAUUGAGAGGCCCUCCUUCCCCACUAUAUAUAGGGAGCCUGGGGGGGGCGCCGGCCCUAGGAGAUGCAAUCUCCUAGGGGGGCGGCGGCCAAGGGAGGAAUCCCUCCUCCCCAAGGCACCUAGGAGGUGCCUUCCCCCUUUGGGACUCUUCCCUUCCUUAUCUCUUGGUGCAUGGGCCUCUUGGGGCUGGUGCCCUUGGCCCAUAUAGGCCAAGGCGCACCCCCUACAGCCCAUGUGCCCCCCCGGGGCAGGUGGCCCCACCCGGUGGACCCCCGGGACCCUUCCGAUGGUCCCGGUACAAUACCGGUGACCCCAAAACUUGUCCCGAUGGCCGAAAUAGCACUUCCUAUAUAUAAUUCUUUACCUCCGGACCAUUCCUUAACUCCUCGUGACGUCCGGGAUCUCAUCCGGGACUCCAAACAACAUUCGGGUUACUGCAUAUACAUAUCCCUACAACCCUAGCGUCACCGAACCUUAAGUGUGUAGACCUUACGGGUUCGGGAGACAUGUAGACAUGACCGAGAUCGCUCUUCGGUCAAUAACCAACAUCGGGAUCUGGAUACCCAUGUUGGCUCCCACAUGCUCCUUGAUGAUCUCAUCGGAUUAACCACGAUGUCGAGGAUUCAGGCAACCCCCGUAUACAAUUCCAUUUGUCAAUCGAUAUGUUACUUGCCCGAGAUGCGAUCGUCGGUAUCCCAAUACCUCGUUCAAUCUCGUUACCGGCAAGUCACUUUACUCAUACCGUAAUGCAUGAUCACGUGACCAGACACUUGGUCACUUUGAGCUCAUUAUGAUGAUGCAUUACCGAGUGGGCCCAGUGAUACCUCUCCGUCAUACGGAGUGACAAAUCCCAGUCUUGAUCCGUGUCAACCCAACAGACACUUUCGGAGAUACCCGUAGUAUACCUUUAUAGUCACCCAGUUACGUUGUGACGUUUGGUACACCCAAAGCACUCCUAUGGUAUCCGGGAGUUACACGAUCUCAUGGUCUAAGGAAAAGAUACUUGACAUUGGAAAACUCUAGCAAACGAACUAUACGAUCUUAUGUUAUGUUUAGGAUUGGGUCUUGUGCAUCACAUCAUUCUCCUAAUGAUGUGAUCCUGUUAUCAAUAACAUCCAAUGUCCAUAGUCAGGAAACCAUGACUAUCUGUUGAUCAACGAGCUAGUCAACUAGAGGCUUACUAGGGACAUGCUGAUGUCUAUUAUUCACACAUGUAUUAUGAUUCCCGGAUAACACAAUUAUAGCAUGAACAAAGACAAUUAUCAUGAACAAAGAAAUAUAAUAAUAAUCCUUUUAUUAUUGCCUCUAGGGCAUAUUUCCAACAGGCGCGGCAUCGGCAGCCAAGCCUGCCGUAAUGAUGUCAUCCAUGUAGGCUUCGGUUGCUUCGGUGUCUCUGAGGUGCGACGCGGAGGCGUCGGAGAAGGGCAGCGCGCCACAGCGGAGAAGGGGCGUCGGGAAGGAUGAGUAGGCCGGCGACAAGUAGUUGUACGGAGGGUCCUGCACGCCGUCGAAGGCAGGUGAGGGCGCCCGCUGGGCCGGGUGACCAAGGGGGAAGGUGAUGUUGGGGUUGAACCCACCGUGCAUGUCCCCGCCGGCGUAGCUCGACAACGGUGAGCAGCCCUAGGGUUGCAGCAACGACGAGAAGCCGACUGGAGAUCCUACGAUUUGCUAGCUCCAGGGCACAUACUGGCCGUGGAUGUCGGGUGGAUUCAUCAUACCCACUCGAGCCGCCUCGGCUUGUUCGGCCGAGCGCUCCGCCGCCGCCACAGCCACGAGCGCCGCACUAUCCCUUGCCUUCUUGGAGUUGGCCCUGUUCCGUCGGUCGGUGGUGACAGCCUCCCGGCGCUGAAAUUCAGCCCUCUAGUCGGUGUUGGACAUGCCUGGGGGCUUGGACUGUGGCGGCCUCGGUUUCCUCUGCUUCGGCUGGGCGACGGUGGCGGUCGCAACCGUCGUGGCGCGGGGGACGACCUACUUCUUCGGCGGCAUGGCGGUCGGCGUGGAGGAAGAGCAGGAGGAGAUUGAUGGGAGGAAUGGAGAGAAUGAGAGGGAAGCCGGGGGAAAGCGGGAAAAAACGGCGGGAAAAGGCCCUCCUCUCGCCGACAGAGCGGCCCCACGCCCCUUUUCCCUUGUUCCGACGCCCCCAGGCGCCCCCCAGCGUGCCGGGUUCUGCUCGGGUGCGACGGCUGUUAUUUCGGCCCAACCCGGCAAAAAACAGACUCCUGGGACGCGACUGGGACGAUUUUUGCCAGCCGACGCUAAUAAAUCGCCUAAGAGGGGCAAAUAAGACGCUCCCGAAGCAUGGAAAUUGAAUCAGAAGAAUCCUCAACUCCUUCCCACUCAAGCCCCGAACCAUUCGGGGGCUAAUCAUGAAGCUAUGUACUGGGUCACAGGUCUGACCUAGACGCCCUCCCCAAGGUCAUCACCCCAAAGCCAGAAGCAUUCGAAGGGUAUCAUCAUCCACUCGACUAAAGACAUUCCACUCGGAAGAAUCAAUUACACUCGACCGUCACAGAAGCCACUCGACGUACAGAAGAUCUAAAGCCACUCUGCACAAACGACGGCCAGGCGUUUACUCAUAGACUUAAUUGCCAUUUACAUCACUUAAUUGCUAGCGUUACCAGUAACGUUCCACUCUUAAUGUACAUUGAACCCUGUGUAACGGAGGGGAGCUAGGGUCCUGGCGCACUCUAUAUAAUCCACCCCCUCCUUUGGGACAAGGGUUCACAUCUUUUGUAAACUCACACACACAUACAAUCCAGUCGACCGCCUCAGGGCACCGAGACGUAGGGCUGUUACUUCCUCCGUGAAGGGCCUGAACUCGUAAACUCGUGUGUACAACUACUCCAUAGCUAAUAUCUUGCCUCCUCAUACCUACCCCCCAUUCUACUGCCAGUCUUAGAUCCAAGACAGUUGGCGCGCACCGUGGGGCAGGUGUCUUAGCAGUUUGUUGGAGAAGUUGCGAUUCUUCUAAUUCCCAUCAUCAUGGUUUCCGGCGGAGGAUUGACUGAAGGCCGCGAGAUCCGUCUCGGCGCGCUCGUCUUCAUCACCGACGACUCCGCUUGGAUCGACGAGGCUCCACUCGACGUCAAGGCGCUCUCCGUCCGCGGGGCGACAUAGUUCCGCGCUUGCGUCUGCGGCGUCCUUCUUCGACAACCAUCAACUCAGUAUCAGCCAGCUCCUACGGCAUCCUUGCUUCCCAUUGUUCGCCGGCAUCAGCGAUCCAGUCGGUCGUGGCUUCAGCGGUGGGUGAGACAUGCGGUGGCCCGCCAAUCGGCCUCCCCACAAAUCGCGGCCUGUUCGAUCUAUCGACUGGCUUCGUCGAGACUGCAUCCGAGUGCGACAGCAACGACCCCGCGGCGGAAGUCUUGAUGGUCAAUGGACCACGCAGUCCUCCUGGCUUCCCCCGUGAAGACGGUGGCGAUGGCGUCGGCGACCCAUCACAUGUCCACGAAGAGUACCGCCCCGAACCCCUCUCUUCGCAGUAGAGGGAAGAUCUUCGCCACCGUAAUAUGGAUGCACUUCACACUCCUAUCGUUGGAGAAACCCCCGAGGCCCAGGCCUUGGAGGAGGUGCACCUGGCCAACUUGGCUGAGCGCACUCGACUGGAGAACCUCCAGCGCACACUCGACGAGCAUGCUCGGUAGCGGAUUCCUGAGUCCAGUCAACGACAACUUUUUCCGCCCCCGACCCCGGUAUACCGAACUCCGAUCCAGAAUCUCACAGCUGCAGCUCGAAUAGCAGAGUCAAUUCAACCUUACCAGUUAGAAGUUGGCCGAGGUUUGAUGCAGAUUCGGGCUUUACUCCGGGAAGCAGGAGAGCCAUAAUACAGCAGUAUCUCAGUCGCGGAAUAGGAUUCAUAGCAGAUCUGUGGUGGCAGAUACUGUCCAAUCUUCUCACAGCCCAAGAUCGCCUCCGCGGCGUGAGGGACGUGGGCACCAGCAAGAUCAGUACAGGAACCGUGAGCAGUAUGAUCAUCGACUUGACCAUGAUGACCAUCGUCGAGUGCCCACACCUCCUCCGAGGAGUGGGUCAUACGUGCCUCUGCGGCAAGAUGACAGGCGCCCCCACAGCGGCGAACGAAGAAUUUCGGUUAACCUACAGAGCCAGGCUUUGAUGCAAGAUCUACUGUCGUUCAAGGUCUGGUUGAUAGGAACAGGGCUCACAGAGAAGGCCACGAUAGAGAUUAUCCGACUGGAAGCAGGGUGCAUGUUCCAGGACCCGAGUGUUUCAGCAGAGCCAUUAGAGCAGCAGUGAUUCCUCCCAACUUCAGGUUGGCGACUGGAGUCAGCAAGUUCACCAGCGAGUCCAAGCCAGACACUUGGCUUGAAGGCUACCGAGUGGCUGUGCAGAUUGGUGGCGGCAAUGAUGAUGUGGCCAUGAAGCACCUUCCCUUGAUGUUGGAGGGCUCAGCCAGAGCGUGAUUGAAUUAGUUGGUUCCUGGCAUCAUAUAUAGUUGGGAGGAACUUGCUCGAGUGUUUGUUAGAACCUUUGAAGGUACUUGCAAAAGGCCAGAAGGGUUGAUAGAAUUACAGUCCUGUGUUCAGAAGCCGAAUGAAACCUUGAGAGAUUAUAUCUAGAGAUGGAUCACUCUGCACCACACAGUGGAGAAUGUGUCGGAUCACCAAGCAGUUUGUGCCUUCAAGGAAGGAGUUAAGUACAGAGAGUUGAACCUGAAGUUCGGUCGAACAGGAGAUAUGUCCCUGAGUCGAAUGAUGGAGAUUGCCACCAAGUAUGCCAAUGGUGAAGAGGAAGACUGACUCUGGAGUGGCAAGCACAACAGUCGCCCAAGAAACCGGAGGAGGGAAUUCCAGUCGGAAACAAAAGCGAAAGGCCGAACCAGCUGCUCCUGGUGAAGCUUUAGUUGUUGCCCAAGGAAAGUUCAAAGGAAAUCCCAAAGGCCCCUGGACUCCCAAAAAGUUAAGGAUCAAGAAGGAAAUGAUGUGCUGGAUUUACCAUGCCAUAUUCAUACCAAAAAGAUGAAGAGUGGAAUUUCAUUUACCCUAAACACACCACUCGACAUUGUCGUCUCCUGAUGCAGCAGUUCCGAGAGAAACAAACCAAGGAGAAGGAAAAGGAGUCAGACAGAGGUGAGGAUAGGGAAGACGAUGAUGAUGGUUUUCCCAAUGUCAAUUCCACGCUGAUGAUUUUUGCUGAUGUUGAAAGCAAAAGUCGACUGAAAGUUAUUAACAGGGAAGUAAACAUGGUUGCUCCAUUAACACCCAGUAAUCUAAAGUGGUCCCAGACUGCCAUCAUGUUUGACCAGUCGGACCAUCCAGCACAUAUAGCCACCCCUGGGAGGCAAGCACUGGUGGUCGACCCAGUAGUUGAAGGCACUCGACUGACUAAAGUGCUGAUGGAUGGUGGAAGUGGCCUAAAUAUCCUUUAUGUUGAAACUUUGAAGGGAAUGGGUAUUCCGGUGUCCAAGCUUAGUGAAAGCAACAUGAGUUUCCAUGGCGUUAUACCUGGCAAGAAGGCUCAGUCACUCGGCCAGAUCACCCUUGAUGUGGUUUUCGGUGAUUUCAAGAAUUACCGCAAGGAAAAGUUGACAUUUGAGGUAGUGGAUUUCAAGAGUGCUUACCACGCUAUUCUGGGUAGGCCCACUUAUGCAUGUUUUAUGGCUCGACCAUGUUACGUGUAUCUCAAAUUGAAGAUGCCUGGUCCUAGAGGAGUAAUCACUGUCACUGGCAAUCGGGAGAAGGCGGAAGAUUGCUUCCAAAAGGGCUCAAAAAUUAUCGAUGCACAAAUGGCAGUAGUAGAACUGCAAGAGUAUCAGAAAAAUGCAGAUCCGAGUGAUUUGCUGUGAGCCAAGAAGCCUACCACAUAUUCUGCAUUUCAGUCGUCCGAUGAAACGAAGCCGAUCCAUAUUCACCCGACCGAUCCCAAUGCUGCUCCGACCCAUAUCUCAACAACACUUGACAGCAAAUAGGAAGAAGCGCUCAUCCAGUUCCUCCGUGAGAACUGGGACAUCUUUGCAUGGAAACCUUCUGACAUGCCGGAUGUACCCAAGGGACUGGCUGAGCAUCGUUUGCGAGUCGACCCAAAAGUAAAACCAGUCAAGGAACAUCUCCGACGGUGCGCCGCCCAGAAGAGAAAAGCAAUUGGCGAGGAAGUGGCUCGGCUCCUGGCAGCUGAGUUCAUCUGAGAGAUUUACCACUCCGAGUGGCUCGCCAAUGUUGUCAUGGUCCCCAAGAAGGAUGAUUCACUUCCCAUGUGCAUUGACUUCAAGCAUAUCAAUUGGGCCUGCCCGAAAUAUCAUUUUCCUCGCCCCCGCAUCGACCAAAUUGUCGACUCGACUAUGGGGUGUGAGCGUUUGUCCUUUUUGGACGCCUAUUUCGGGUAUAAUCAGAUCCGACUAUAUGGACCCGAUGAGAUAAAUACGGCUUUCAUCACUCCAUUCAGAUGCUUCUGUUAUGGCACUAUGGCAUUCGGCCUGAAGAACGCCGGAGCCACAUUCAUGCGUAUGAUCUAGAAGUGUUUACUCACAUAGAUCAGUCGGAAUGUGGAAGCAUACAUGGACGACAUUGUGGUCAAGUCAUGUAAGGGUUCUGACUUACUGGCUGACCUCGUUGAAACCUUUGCCAACCUCAGAAGGUAUGAUAUCAAGCUUAAUCCAUCGAAAUGCACAUUCGGAGUUCCUGGUGGGAAAUUACUCGGCUUCCUCAUUUCCGAACGAGGGAUUGAUGCUAACUCAGAGAAAGUUAGUGCUAUACUUUGGAUGAAACGCCCUGUGCAUGUGCACGAUGUCCAGAAGCUUACUGGUUGUUUGGCUGCCUUGAGUCGAUUCAUUUAUCGCCUUGGUGAAAAGGCAUUGCCUCUUUACCAACUGAUGAAGAAUUUUGAUAAGUUCGAGUAGCGGUGCUUGCUACACCAAUCAGCAAAGAGCCUUUACUGCUUUAUAUUGCAGCCACUGGACAAGUUGUCAGUACAGUACUCGCGGUCGAGCGGGACGAAGAAGGAAAAGCCUAUAAAGUUCAGCGCCCAGUAUAUUAUGUUUCUGAAGUUCUGACUCCGUCGAAGCAAAGAUAUCCACAUUAUCAGAAGCUUGUUUAUGGGAUUUACAUGACCACGAGGAAGGUUUCAAACUAUUUCUCUGAUCAUUCCAUUAUAGUCAUCAGCGACGCUCCAUUAUCAGAGAUUCUGAACAACAGAGAUGCAAUUGGUCGAGUGGCAAAGUGGGCGAUUGAACUCCUUCCCCUGGACAUCAAAUUUGAGGCAGAGAAAGCUAUCAAGUCCCAAUCAAUAGUUGAUUUCCUCUCCGAGUGGAUCAAACAUCAACUUUCGGCCCAAAUUCAGUCGGAGCAUUGGACCAUGUUCUUUGAUGGGUCCAAGAUGCUGAAUGGUUCCGGUGCUGGGGUGGUGUUGGUAUCCCCCCGUGGUGACAAACUCAGCUAUGUUCUCCAGAUUCACUUUGACUCCUCCAACAAUGAAGCUGAAUAUGAGGCACUCUGUAUGGGUUGCGUAUGGCCAUUUCACUCGGCGUCCGUCGCCUCAUGGUCUAUGGCGACUCGGAUUUAGUGGUCAAUCAGGUGAUGAAGGAGUGGGACAUCAAAAGCCCAGCUAUGACUGGUUAUUGCAAUGCAGUGAGAAUUUUAGAAAAGUGGUUUGAGGGGUUAGAGCUCCAUCACAUCCCUCGACCGAAAAAUCAAGCAGCCGAUGAUCUGGAAAGAUAGGCUCCAAAAGGGAAGCCAUUCCCAACAAUGUGUUCCUGGAGCAUACUCAUACACCUUCAGUUCAAGAAGAUCCCUUCACUAAAGAGCCCCCGCAGCCGAAGAGUGCCACCGAUCUGACUGAAAUCGAGGUUCCAGCCGUGGUCGAUUUGAUUUUGGAGGUCUUGGUCAUCACCCCCGAUUGGACAGUACCAUAUAUCACGUACAUUCUUAGAAAGGAACUCCUAGAGGAUGAAGAAGAGGCUCGACAGAUCGUCCGUCGAUCUAAAGCCUUUACUAUGAUAAUAGGACAGUUGUUCAGAGAAAGUGUGACUGGAGUUUGCCGGAAAUGCAUAACACCUAAAGAAGUUCGAGUGAUCCUCAAUGACAUCCACUCGGGACCUGUGGUCAGCAUGCGUCCUCUCGGACCAUUGUGGCCAAAGAAUACCGAGCGGGAUUUUUCUGGCCACGGGCAAAUGAGAUGGCAAAAGAAAUAGUCGACAAAUGUGAAGGUUGCCAGUUUUACUCCAACAUGUCUCACAAGCCUGCGUCGGCCCUGAAGACCAUUCCACUCGUCUGGCAUUUUGCUGUUUGGGGAUUGGAUAUGGUUGGACCACUGAGGACUGGUAGGAGUGGAUUCACUCAUGUGCUUGUAGCAGUCGACAAGUUCACCAAGUGGAUUGAAGCCAAGCCUAUCAAGAACCUUGAAGCCAGUACUGCCGUCAGCUUCAUCAGAGAGUUAACAUUCAGAUAUGGUGUUCCACACAACAUCAUUACUGACAAUGGGUCAAACUUUGAUUCUGAUGAGUUCAGAACUUUCUGUGCUUCCCAAGGUACUCGAGUCGACUAUGCGCCAGUCGCCCCCAGUCGAAUGGGCAAGCCGAAAGAGCAAAUGGAUUGAUUCUCAAAGGACUGAAGCCCCGACUAAUGUGUCACCUCAAACACGCAGCUGGAGCCUGGGUCGAUGAACUUCCAUCAGUAUUGUGGGGAUUGAGGACAACUCCCAAUCGGUCGACUGGCAGAACCCCCUUUUUCUUGGUUUAUGGAACCGAAGUUGUACUACUGAGUGACUUGCUCCACAAUGCGCCCCGAGUCGAGCUUUUCUCAGAAGAAGAAGCAAAACAGGCAUGGCAAGAUGCAGUUGAUCUCCUGGAAGAAGAAAGAGAGAUGACCUUGAUCUGAUCAACCAUCUAUCAGCAAGACCUGCAUCGAUUCUGUGCCAGAAACGUGAGGGGUCAAGCAUUUCAAGAGGGAGACUUGGUUCUCCGAGUGGAUCAGGAGAAACCACAUAAGCUUGCUCCUGCCUGGGAAGGCCCCUUCGUUGUCACCAGAGUGCUCCACAAUGGAGCAUACCACCUCUACAACGUCGAGCAUAAGAAAGACGAACCGCGAGCUUGGAAUGGGGAGCUGCUCCGCCCCUUUUAUACUUAAGCACUCAAUCUAUUGGGAUGUAAUAAGAAGCACCUUUGUAGUUUGUUUAUCAAAGACAAGAGUUUUUACAGCCUUCUGAAAUGAUUGUCAAUUGCUUACGUUUGUUUCUGAAAUCCCCCAGUGGGUGGCUUAGCUGCGAAUCCGUUUCGCCUAAGUUUAAAAGAACCUACCAAGUGGUGAGCAAGCCUCUCACUCGGUGGCUUAGCUGUGAAUCCGUUUCGCCUAAGUUGAAAAAAUCCUACCGAGUGAUGAGCAAGUCUCUCACUCGGGGGCUUAACUGCAGCCCAGUACUCGGCUAAGUUGAAAAAAUCCUACCAAGUGAUGAGCAAGCCUCUUACUCGGGGGCUUAGCUGCAAUCCAGUGUUCGCCUAAGUUUCAAAAAUCCUACCGAGUGAUGAGCAAACCUCACACUCGGAGGCUUAGCUGCAGCCCAUUGCUCGCCUAAGUUUCAAAAAUCCUACCGAGUGAUGAGCAAGCCUCUCACUCAGGGGCUUAGCUGCAGUCCAGUACUCGCCUAAGUUGAAAAAAUCCUACCGAGUGAUGAGNNNNNNNNNNNNNNNNNNNNNNNNNNNNNNNNNNNNNNNNNNNNNNNNNNNNNNNNNNNNNNNNNNNNNNNNNNNNNNNNNNNNNNNNNNNNNNNNNNNNNNNNNNNNNNNNNNNNNNNNNNNNNNNNNNNNNNNNNNNNNNNNNNNNNNNNNNNNNNNNNNNNNNNNNNNNNNNNNNNNNNNNNNNNNNNNNNNNNNNNNNNNNNNNNNNNNNNNNNNNNNNNNNNNNNNNNNNNNNNNNNNNNNNNNNNNNNNNNNNNNNNNNNNNNNNNNNNNNNNNNNNNNNNNNNNNNNNNNNNNNNNNNNNNNNNNNNNNNNNNNNNNNNNNNNNNNNNNNNNNNNNNNNNNNNNNNNNNNNNNNNNNNNNNNNNNNNNNNNNNNNNNNNNNNNNNNNNNNNNNNNNNNNNNNNNNNNNNNNNNNNNNNNNNNNNNNNNNNNNNNNNNNNNNNNNNNNNNNNNNNNNNNNNNNNNNNNNNNNNNNNNNNNNNNNNNNNNNNNNNNNNNNNNNNNNNNNNNNNNNNNNNNNNNNNNNNNNNNNNNNNNNNNNNNNNNNNNNNNNNNNNNNNNNNNNNNNNNNNNNNNNNNNNNNNNNNNNNNNNNNNNNNNNNNNNNNNNNNNNNNNNNNNNNNNNNNNNNNNNNNNNNNNNNNNNNNNNNNNNNNNNNNNNNNNNNNNNNNNNNNNNNNNNNNNNNNNNNNNNNNNNNNNNNNNNNNNNNNNNCACUCGGGGGCUUAGCUGCAGUCCAGUGCUCGCCUAAGUUUCAAAAAUCCUACCGAGUGAUGAGCAAACCUCACACUCGAAGGCUUAGCUGUAGUCCAGUGCUCGCCUAAGUUUCAAAAAUCCUACCGAGUGAUGAGCAAACCUCACACUCGGGGGCUUAGCUGCAGUCUAGUACUCUCCUAAGUUGAAAAACCAUCCCUAUCCGCAAGGAUGACGAGGUGCAGGUCGAGUGCAAUCCUCCCCAUGGAGCUGUGCUGCAAGUACAAUGUAUGCUCCUUCCCUAUCUGCAAGGGUGACGAGGUGCAGGCUGACUGCAAUCCUCUCCACGGAGCUGCACAACAAGUACAAUGUGCGCUCCAUCCCUUUCCGCAAGGAUGAUGAGGUGCAAGUCGACUGCAAUCCUCUCCACGAAGCUGUGCCACAAGUACAAUGUGUGCUCCAUCCCUAUCCGCAAGGAUGACGAGGUGCAGGUCGACUACAAUCCUCUCCACGAAGCUGCGCCACAAGUACAAUGUGCGCUCCAUCCCUAUCCGCAAGGAUGACGAGGUGCAGGUCGACUGCAAUCCUCUCCACGGAGCUGCGCCACAAGUACAAUGUGCGCUCCAUCCCUAUCCGCAAGGAAGACGAGGUGUAAGUCGAUAGCAAACCUCUCCUCAGAGCUGUGCCACAAGUACAAUGAGCGCUCCAUCCCUAUCUGCAAGGAUGAUGAGGCGCAGGUCGAUUGGGAUAUCUCCCUCAGAGUUGCAUCUCAAAGAAUAUUCCGAGUGAAGAAUAAGUUCUGCUCGAAGGCAAACCCAAGCACAUGCAGAAGAUAAACCAAGUUCGGAUAAAUCUCAAAAGUUUCAGGACGAAGAUAAAAGUACUCGGGCAUCAGGCCCGAAGGAGUUUAACGGUUACAAAAACCACUCGGCAUUCUGAGGCAAAUUUAAAGCAAGUUUAAGUAUCAAGUUUGUUCACUCAGCAGGAGGAGGGCUUGCGGGCUCGACGAACUCGUCCAAAUCAAUCCCGUCCAUGAUCCGAGUGGCAGCAGCAAUGAUAGUCUCCAGGAAGGAUUGGAAGUCGUGCCUUUUUGUGUUGGCGACCUUGAUCGCCGUCAGCUUCUCAUCUCGAGCUUCUUUGUAGUGGGCCCUAACUAGCGACACGACCACGUCAGCGCCGCAUAGAGCAGAGGACUUCUUCCAUUCCUGCACUCGACCGGGGACUUUAUUGAGCCGAGUCAUCAGAGACUCGAGAUCAUUCUGAGGAGUUUCCCUUGGCCAGAGCGAUGAGUCGAUGCGUGAAACUGCCACCUUCAGACGGGCAAGGUAACUUGUAACAUUGCGACGUGGGAUUCCAAUCGAAGCACAUUCAUGGCAGCCUCGUCGCCGACUAGAGAAAGGAUAGGGUCCAAGCCCGUCUCGAUCCGUCCAGUUUCCUCUUCAAAGUUUUGGCAAAAUUCUGUAGAGCCAAGGAGUUAAUGAGUUGACUGGUCAGGACUAACUUGCAAACAGUAAAACAGUCAGGUAAAAAGGGGGGUACCUUCGAGCAUAAGAAAGAGUUUCUUGGCGAGAGCUUUGAGAUAAGCCUCCAAAUCGUUCCUCCUACGAGUUAUGCUUUCCAGCUGGUCAUUCAGAGCCACUUUAUCUUUUUUCAGACGAGUCGCCUCUCGAUUGUAUUCAGUGAGGGACGACUUCAACUUGUUGAUUUCCUCCUCUAGCGCUCCGAUCGAAGCCAGUUUCUGGUCAGCAAGGGCAGUCUUCUCCUGAGCCCCCUUCUGCGCAGCUGCAAGGUCCAAGUCCUUCUUCUCUAGGGCCAGCUUCAUUUCCUCUGCAAAAUACACAUUUAGAUCAAACAAAAGAAUGAAGAGAUAACUUGAAGGAUGGUUAAGAUAAGCAGUCGACAGGCCGCUACCUUCCGUACCAGCGACUUCAUCUUGAGCCUUCUUUAAGUUCUACUGAGCCAACUCCAGGUCAAGGUUGAGUUGCUCUACUUUUCCUCAAAUUCGGCGAACUUGGAGAUAAGCGUACAAGAUUUCUACAGUGAGUAAAAGACAUACCAAUCGACAAGAUCAAAGAUUAUUUACUUCCGAAUGAAUAAAACUUCAAGACUACUCAGACCCCAACCGACUGCCAGCAGUCGACUGCGGUCUCGGGGUCUACACCUAGUGGGUGCACUUAGCGUGCCCCCACUGGUUCGGAUUCCACUCUGCUGGUCCGCCCAGACCGAGUACAAAAAAAGAAGGGAGAGAAAGAAGUACUCAGACCCCAACCGACUGCCAGCAGUCGACUGCGGUCUCGGGGACUGCACCCAGUGGGUGCACUUAGCGUUUCCCCACGGGUUCAGAUUCCACUCGGCCGGUCCACCUAGGCCAAGUAAAAAAAAGAUGACAAAGCACCCAGUGGGUGUACAAUCUCAAAGUGCAAGACAAUGAAGGAUUGCGCGAAGGAAAAUAUUCGGGUAGCAUAUCCUAAAAGAACGAGUUCAGUCGGGAGUUAACUUACCUGGGCAUUGGCUCGAAGAGCCGCGCUGGGGUCAUAAGCAGCCUGACUGCUUUCAUGCACCGCCUUCACCCGAUCCAUCAUUAUGCCAGCCUGACGAAUGGCCUCCGCAGCGGCGUCCGACUAGCUUUCUGGAACAUGGUGAGUGGCAAAGAAGGGGACGGACGGUCCAGACGCAGCGGCUUGGAGAUCCGAGGCAUGAAGUUGGAUGGUUGAAACAAGCUCUGGUGCAGUCGACGAUGUGGGGCGCGCACUCGACACCGGGUCAACAAAGGUUACAGAAACAUUACUCGCAUCUUCGAGCUGUUGAAUUAGCCGCUCUGCCGCCGGCUCCGACUGGGAUGUCUUGCUAGCUAUUGCCUUCUUCUUCCUCGGCCAUAGCAGCACGUCCUCGUCAUCAUCCGGAAGCUCAAUGACAUUGGGAGGGGCUGCAAAGAAAUCAGCCGACCCUAGAUGAGUCAUCAGAAUUUAAUCGACCAUACAAUCGAGAACAAAAUCACGAGAAUUGUACCCGGGUUGGAGGUGACUGCAUCUUCCAUGUCCUCGUCUUCAUACUAGCGGGUGGAAGUCCCAGAUGUGGCAGCUUUGCAAAUUUCAAUAUUCGGUCGGUCUCGUUUGUUACACUGAAUCAACCAAAGAAUUAGGUCAGAUUCUUACCCAGAGAUAGUAGGAACGAACAUUUUGAUCUUGGGCAAAUCCUUCAGAGGUUUGGAUGAUGCAGCCUUCGGUGGUUUCAGAGCUAGAGGAGGUGCAACUUUAGAUUGCUUCGGUGUCUUCUCAGUCGGCACUGAGAGGAUGUCCGAGGACGCUUUGAAGACUGCCCAGUCGGUGCGGCCACCGUGGCAUGGAGGCUUUCCGGGUCAUGAGCGUGCUUGGACCUUUUUUCUCUGCGAGGAGGCGAGUCGACCUCUUCUUCGUCACUCGGGUCACCAUUCUCCUCACCAUCCUCCUCGUCCGAGUGCCACACGCCACUAUGGCCUCCACUCGCCUCCUCCUCCGAGUCCUGCUCCUGCUCUCCGUUGGGCAUUUAAUACAUCUCAUUAAGAGCCUGAAGGAUAACAAGCAAUGCAAAAAACAGCCAGUCGUCAACAGGUAGUUACAUGAUUAAUCAAAAAAGUAUUCGGCAAUCCAGAGUCAGACCUGGUCUGGCUGGCGCGAAUUGUCAAAUGGAGCGACCCUCCUGGACCCCCUGGGGUUAUCCUUGUUGCCUGUGAUGCCCCUCAACCACUUCUCCACCGUGCCCUCGUCGACCUCCUCCGGGUGGAUCCGAGUGGAAUCCUCAAUGCCCGAGUACAUCCACAUUGGAUGAUCGCGAGCUUGGAGCGGUUGGAUGCGUCGUUUGAGGAAUACCUCCAGCAGAUCCAUACCGGUCACGCCGUCCCGGACGAGCUGGACCACCCGCUCGACCAACACCUUCACCCGCGCUCUCUCCUCUGGGAUCACUUUCAAUGUGGAAGGCUUCUCAACCCGAGCCAUGGAAAAGGCAGGGAGCCCGAUCGACUGACCUGGAGUCGGCUGGUCUUUACAAUAAAACCAGGUCGACUGCCAACUCUGGACCGACUCGGGAAGGAUCAUGGCUGGGAAAGUGCUUUUGUUCCUCAUAUGAAUCCCAAGACCCCCGCACAUCUGAAUCACGUGUGUUUUCUCGUCACUCGGAUUGGCCUUCUUGACUGACUGAGAACGGCAAGUGAAAAUGUGCUUGAAAAGACCCCAGUACGGCCUCCAACCUAAGAACUUCUCACACAUGGAUACGUAGGCGGCAAGAUAUACUAUGGAGUUGGGAUUGAAAUGGUGAAGUUGUGCUCCAAAUAAGUUCAGGAAUCCCCGGAAGAAAGGACGGGGAGGCACAGAAAAUCCACGGUCAACAUGAGUUGCAAGGAGAAUGCACUCACCAUCACGCGGAUGCGGUUCGGUCUCUCCUUCUGAGAGCCGCGCCGAUUCAUCGGGAAUCAGCCCCCCCCUCGACCAGAUCAUCGAUGUCGUCUUGGCUGAUCGUAGAACGGAUCCAGUCGCCCUGGAUCCAGCCGUGCGGCAGGCCGGAUCUCGAUGAGGACUCGCCCCGGUUGGACCUCUUUUGUCACAGCCCUAGAAUUGGUUGUAACUAGUUGCACAAGCAUUCAUGCAUCAUGUAUAUAUUUAUGAAAGUUGAAUUGGGGAAAGUGGAAAGCCUCAGAAAUCUUUUCUAAAAAUGAUCAACAUUAAAAAUUGCUUCAAAUAAACCCAAGAAAAUGUUCCUGUUCAUUUCUGGAAAUAUUGGCAAGAGGUAAAAUUCAAACCAAUAUUUUUGGAAUCACAGAAAUAUUUAUUUGGGCCUUUGAAUUAAGUAAAUACUUAUUUGAAUUGGAACUACUAAUUCCUAUAAAAUAUUUGGUAGCUCCAAAUAUUCUGAAACUUGGUGAAGGCCUCUGGUUUAAAUCAGAUAGUGCCCAUAAAAGUUUGCAGAAUUUUAUAAAGUGUUAUAGUAUUUAAACUAAGUCAAAACAUACUGCAAAAAAUAGAAAACAGAAAAUAGGAAAGAGAGAGAGAGAAGAACUCACCUUCCUCACCCACUUGGGCUCCUUACCCGGCGGCCCAGCUAACCGGCCCAGCCCACCAGGGGCAUACCUGUCUUCAACCUCUGCCUACUGGCAGAGGCGAGGCCGAGCACGGCGCCCGCACGGGCUGGCACGCAGCUGCCUGCCUGGCCCUCGCUGGCCAGCGCGACGCCGCGGAUGACCACCUCGUUGCCGUACAGAUCCGCCCGACCUCUCACUUGCCCCCACCCCGCUCUCUGCCUCGCUCCUCCCUCAGACCCGAGAACGCCGGAGCGCAGCCGUCGCCACCGCUCGCUGCUGCCGUGGCCACCGGCCACCCCACACCUCACUAACACGCCCAGAAGCUCCGCCACUUCGUCCUCGACCUCCUCACCGAGCCACGCCCCGCCAGACGCCCUCGAACGCCGGCCACGCUGUCUUCUUCAACCUCGGUCCGCCAGAUCGCCAUCGCCGCCCCGCUGGCUCCGGCCCCUCCCCGAGCUCGCCAACCAGCCCUACACGAUCCCUGUGAGCUUCUACACCGUGUCCCCCUUGUCUCCGCGAUGUUUGCUAGCUCUAGUCGCCGUUUCACCGAUGACCGAAACCCGCUGCCGCCUGUGACCGCCACCGACGUGCCUCCGGCCACCUAGCGGCCUGGCCGUCGUGCUUAGCUCCCUCCCCACGCUGCGUAGAGCAUGUAGGAGCCUCGCACGAGCCUCCCCGGCCACCGUACCGUCGACCCCGAGCUCGCCCGAGCUAGGCGACCGCCAAGGUCGACGCCGGUGACGACUCCAGCCAUCUCAGGCCCAGCCGCUGCCAUUACUCGACGCGGACGAGCGCCCGCAUCACGUAGACGCCCUCCGCUGGCCAUUUGGUCCUCGGAGGAGGAAACCCGCAGCUCUUCGCCGCGUCUCGCCUCGCCGGCGUCAAGUCGCCGGCAGGUGUUGACCUAGUUGACCCAGGUUUGACCCCGCUAACCAAGGGGUUUGACCUCCCCUGACUCACUGACUUGUGGGACCCAGGCCGCUAACUAAACUCGGUUAAUGUUAGUUUAAUGCUAACUAAAUUUAGUUAGCUUAACUAACCACUGACAGACGGGACCCACAGGUCAGGGUUGACCAGGUCCGUCGCCUUUGAUCUGCUAACGUCGCCACGGCAUCAUGCUGACGCCGUAACUGAUUUUCUGGAUUUAUUCUUUUACAGGAAAUUCCAGAAAUUAGUAUAAACUUCUAAAAUUCAUAGAAAUUCAACUGUAACUCCAAAUGAAAUAAAUUAUAUAUGAAAAAUGAUCAGAAAAAUCCAAGGAAUAUGAAUAUGGCAUUUUCAUGCAUGUUUGAACAACUUAACCUCACUGUCUAGUCCAAAACAUGAUAAUGCACUAUUUGAAUUCAUAGUUUGAAUUUGAAUUUGAACCUAGUGUUCAAACCAACUCCAUUUAACUUGUUGCUAGUUGCAUUAGCUCAAUCAACGGCAUAUUGCCAUGUCAUGAUCAUGCAUCAUAUUGUUGCAUCGCAUUAUUGUGUUCUUCCUUGUUUGCCGGUAAAAGUCCCCUCUCGGUAGACGCUGCUCCGACGCUGUGAUCAUUGACACUGAUGAAGACUCAAUGUUAUCUUAAGAAGUGCCAGGCAAGCAAAACCCCCUUGCUCAUUCCGAUACAAUCCCACUCUCUUGCUCCUGCUCUCUUUUACUGCAUUAGGACAACAACGAUUCAACUGUUAUAUGUUGCGGUAGUUGAACCCCUUUCCUCUUCAUGACCUGUCAUUGCCACAGUAAAUAGAUGAAACCCACUAGCAUGAGUAGGAGUUGUUUGAGCCCUGGUGUGUCUACUCAUCCAUGCUUGUUUGUCAUGCCUGCUAUUGCAUAGAGUCGUGUCAGGUCUGGUUCAUCGGGGAUGAAUCGGAGGUGUGUAAACAUGUCCUACGGUGUGUGAGCUAAGUGUGUGAACACGAUUUGGUAAAGGUAGCGGUGAGAGGCCAUGUAGGAGUACAUGGUGCGUUGUCUCACUGAAACCGUCCUCAGGAACUGAGUUCUGUGUUUGUGAUCCAUGAAACAGCUACUACCACACAUUGGGCCCUGAAAUAUGACCCCGCUCGACUUAUUGACCCAUCUCGUCCUCUGUCCAGGAGUUGCAACUAGUUUCUGGUGUUUGUAGGUUAUGUGUUGGUGGCCGUGCAUAGCGCUGACCCUAGGGGUGGGCUAUGAUGCGGUAGCUACACUGUGGCCGGGUAUGCCGGGCGCCCGUUUGGCGUCUCGGGACCCUGUACACAUCGUUUGGGGCCGUUGAGGACACCCCGGCCGGAUUUCCUUGCAGAUGGAACCCGAAUAGGCGAUAAACUGGACUAGAGACUUGUGCGGUUAGUCAGGUCGUGGUCUACACCCACAUCGGCUUUCGCUUGAAGUCUGCCGAGCACAUGUCGUGUGCACACGCUAAGUGGUGGAAACAUGUGUGACGAAGUACACCUCUGCAGGGUUAUAAAUGAUCUAUUCGAACAGCCGUGUCCGCGGUAAAGGACUUCUGGGUUGCCUAUAUCAGUUCAUAGACAAGUGAAAGUGGAUACUCUAAAACUCGCAAGAUAAGUGUGAGUGCUAUGGAUGGCGUUCUCGUAGGGAGACGGGAGCGGAUCCAUAGUGGUGUAUUGAAUGGUGAAUAUGUGGACUCGUGUGCGCCACCUCAAAAGAGUUGCUUGCAGUCGUAGUUCAGGUUAGCCACUGAGUCAAAGCUGGCUUGCUGCAGUUAAACUCUACCACCCCCCCUUGUUGAUACCGAUGCAUAUGUAGCUAGUUCUGAUGUAAGUCUUGUUGAGUACCUUUGUACUCACGUUUGUUUAAUUUAUGUUUUGCAGAGAGACUUCAGUCUCGCUAGUAGUUCCGCGUGGACUUCGACGUUUAGCUUGAUACCUCAGCUACGAUCUUGUGCCCUCGGCAGGAUCUAGUAGAUAGUUAGGCUUCUUAGCCUUUUUCAUUUGUAAAUGUUUGUACUCAGACAUGUUACGAUUCCGCUUGUGCCUUGAUUUGUAUUCUAUGAUUGUUGGGUCAUGAGACCCAUGUUUGUAAUAUCUCGCUCCUCGGAGCCUAAUGAAUGAAUACUUGAGUUGUAGAGUUAUGUUGUGAUGCCAUGUUGUAUUUACACAUAUCGAGCAUAUUGUGUGUAUGAUUGAAAUGCUUGGUAUGUGUGGGAUCCGACAAUCUAGUUGUUUAUCCUUGGCAGCCUCUCUGAUGGGGAAAUGUAGUCUAGUGCUUCCUUGAGCCAUAGUAGUCCGCUACAGCCCGGUUCACCGGGUUCCUGCUAGCCCAGCACUACUGCUUAGGACACUUGACUGGCCGGCAUGUGCUUCACUUCAUUCAUGUGCCUGUCCCUUCGAGGAAAUGUCACGCGGUGACAUCUGGAGUCCUGCCUAGCCUGCUACAGCCCGGGUUCCCGGAGUCCUGUUAGCCCAGUGCUACAGCCCGGAUUCACACGCUGUUGACCGACAUGCUCGAUGUGAUUCAUGUAUGCCUGUCCCCAUAGGUUAGUGCCGCUUUGGGUUCACGACUAGCCAUGUCAGACCGGGUUCUCUGUCAUAUGGAUGCUAGGGACACUAUCAUAUACGUGAGCCAAAAGGCGCAAACGGUCCCGGGCCAUGGUAAGGCGACACCCAUGGGAACACCGUGCGUGAGGCCGCAAAGUGAUAUGAGGUGUUACCGGCUAGAUCGAUGUGACUUGGAAUCGGGGUCCUGAUAGCUUUGGUAUCAGAGCCUGACUGCCUGUAGGAUUACCAAGCCAAACUGGUCAAAGUCGAGUCUACAAAUGCUUUAGUUAUGUAAGGGAAUUGAUUGCGGAAGGGAACGUAAGGCUCUUUUUACUCCUUUACCUUAUGCCCUUCUGAUCUGAGUCAACCUCUUCUUUUCCACGGUGUUUAGAAACUAGGCCUUCUCAUCUAUCUAUCAGGAUGACGUGUUACUAACCCGUUGACUUAUAGGACUGAUGGAUUCAUGCCACAGUUCAGUUGCCAGUACUUCCGUGUGUUCAUAAUUGGUCUCGGAACCUUGGUAUUGUGAUGUUGAGUGGUUAUGCCACCAUUUUGCAGGAUGUCUCAAAUCUUUUUGAGCAUUUACAGCCGUUAUGCUAUCCGAGUCAUUCCAGGUUUCCAAGUAGUCUGAUGCAUUUGCAAACCCCUUCCUCCUGUUCCUGAUGCCUAUUUUGGCCAGAUUAAUCACACUAAUCGGUGAGUUGAGGUACUCUGUUGUCUCGACAUACAUGUUGGAGCUAUCAUUAUGACCCUAGGUGUUUUAUGGAGUCACCUAGUAAUAUAGCCAUGUUUUGUGUUCUGGUGUGAUGAUUCUGGCCACCAUUCUCGAAAGCAUCCCGUGAUGGCAUGUAGUGGUAGGUAUUCUAUUCAUGGGUUCUUGAACCCGAGAUUCACCCUAUUUAUCUCAUGUUGAUAGUGUUGCUAGUUCCUUUAGGAUAUUAGUAACCUUUGCGAUAGUCCUCGAGGUUCGUGGUACAUCCUUCUUCCAAUUAUCAUGGACCAUUCUUGGCAGGAGUUCUUUUGAACCAAAAGGUCACGACAGAGUGCUCCUGAUGAGUUCUCCAUUCUAUGUUGUGACUCUGCCAACCCUACCUUCCUGCAUGGGUUAUCCGGAAGAAAUAUGUUGAACUCAUUCGACAUACUAACCUAUGUAUCCACAACUCAGAAAGAUAUAUGUUCCCUUGAGUUGUCCCUCUUCAUUUGUAUUCCGACCAUCUUCUAUCAACUGUUGGUCAAGAGUAGUUGUGCAUUGGUGUUAUCGAUGCCUAUUAUUCAUGUGAUCCAUCAAGCCAUUCCAUUCCGGAAUGACUAGGAGAAACAAACUCCAGUACCUCAUCCAUAUCCAGGAUUGGGUCAAAGCAGUUGUAUUCCGCAGAUCAAAGUGCCAAUCCAGCUUUUGAUUCUGUUCAACCCUUAAGUAUUGCCCUCUUUAUGUCAGGUAUAUCAUAGGAAUUGCACAACCUCCUAUGAACUCUUAAUACAGUGAUACUUCUCGCCAUCAUUAUUCAUUCCUUGGUUCCGUGUUGAUGUAACCGGAAUGCCGACAAGUGAAUUGUGAUGUGUGGAAUCAAUACUCCGAACAACUCGUUGCUUUGUAGUAAUUGGACAAUAUUCUUAUUCCUAGCGUGUUGGUUUUUGAGCUACCAUUCUAAGAUUGAUCGUGCUACCUAGUCCAUAUCUCUGGGUGCACUCAUUGACCAAUGAGUUAGGAUUGUGAAAAUCCCUUGCUCCUUGAUCAUAUCGUCUUGCCCUGAAAAGCAAGAUUGUUCUCGAGCUUAAUAACAUAUCGGUGGUUCAUCAUUUUCCGAAUAUCUUCUCGGAAGUAUUACCAGGUUGUUCCCUGAUCGCUAUGUUGAGUUCGUGGUCAUGUUGGCUUUUCUAUAAACCACCCUUUCUCCAAGUAUCUAUGUUGGAUACCCCCGAGCUAGUUGGUUAAGCUAAACAACAACUUGGAGAGUUGGAAGAUAAAAGCUUGUCUGACUUAGUUCAUGUUAAGGGAUAUCUUUUGUGUGUGUGUGUGUGUGUGUGUGUGUGUGUGUUGAAGAAAGAUGGUAUUGUCAUCGGUUGACCAUCGUGAUCAGUUAAUGGACCUAUCAUCUUAUCCAAUCUUUGAUUUGAGUAUGGGCUAUCAUCAAAUCAAGUUAGAACCAGCGAUAUUCGUAAUGUUGUCUUACUCGUGGUUGAUUCCUUGAGCAUACACCAUUACAUUCUUUGGUCUGACCAAUGCUAUCACCGUGUUCACAUGAUGGUGGAAGUCCAGUGAUAUGGAAAUCCCGAUGAGUUGCUGUUAAGCCCAUUCAGCAGCAUUUUGUCUCCCCCAUGAUUCAUGUUGAACAUCAACCUAGUGUUGAAAACUUUGUAACCAAUGCCUUCGUGUUCUGUUCAUGAAGCUUAUGCUUGGAUGAAAGAAGUGACUUUCUCCAAGUUCACGUGCACUAGGUGUAAGUUGCCGCCAUGAAUUUGAGAAAGGUUUAUUUUGUUUCCCUUGGAAUCAUCACAAAUCAGUCAUGCAUAUGUGCGAAGUAUUCUAUGGUUUGGUAGAUUAAUUACCUCCACUCCAUAUGUGUUCCUAGCACACCAAGCCACUGAUUGGUUUGUUCAAGGAGAAGAAGUUUCUUCUUAGGAGCUAGACUUACGCAAGGACUUCGAUAUCCUCGUUGAUGGUUCCCUCCUGAACUCGGUAGUGUUCCGUUGUAAGACUACCAGGUGGCCAUGAUUGUCUAGGACAGCGUGUUCAUGUGUGUUUAGCAGAACCAGCUCAUGUUUUGGAGCUUACUACCAUAGUCCAUUUCCUGAGAAUCUCGCAAUGUCAUCUCGUCAAUUUGUGUUGCAAACUUUCAUUUUGUUUCUUGACUCGAUGAGUCUGGAAUAUCUUGACACCAACCAGAUCUGAAUCUCAGGCAGAUGUGAUUGUUGGGACGUUUUCCCAAGAGCUAUAAUAUUGGUCUCUCUGUAACCCGGUAAGUGGAUGUCGUGGCCAACACACCGAGGUGGAGGACCUAUUAUUGUAGUAUCUUGAUUGAGUAAGUUGGACACCUCCCCAUAAGGAUUACGUAGAAUUUAUUCCAAUAGUAGUUCCUUAUGGAUUUUUGAGUUCCCGAAGUCUGACCUUUUACUUGAUGUCCUAGAUACCAAACCAUAUCAAUAAAUGGGUUAUGCUAGCACAUCAAGGAGAACAUUAGAAGCAGAGUGCUAAAUGUCUCUCGAUCGAUCAUCCAGAUUUUGAUCCCUCGGCCUCGCUAAGGUGAAAUCUGAGAAGGUGUUAUCUCCCUUUACAUCUGCAUCGUCCACCGUUAUUCAUCAUGGUAGCAUGUUGUGUUGCCAGGAUCCUUGACACGGAUAUUGGUAAAACCCUGAUGAAUACAGAAAUGCUCAAGUUCUUGAGAGCAUGCGCAAGCACUAGGACUUAUCGUCGGCAUUAGCUGGGGUCUGUUCCCGGUUUCUUCGAUUAUGCCAUAACCUUUCAAAUAGUGGAAUCUCUCUCUACUGUUGGGGUUCUCCCCAGUUCCUAAAAUCAUUCCCAGCAUUUGCAUUUUGUUCCCAGCUUGCACUGCCAUUAUGUGAUCCUACUACGAACUACCCUUCUCAGUAAUUACUGAGCAGGAUCAUCUUCAAAGUGGUCCUACCAUGGGUUCCAUCCAUUUUCGAUGAUAAGCAAAUCAUCCAUCGCAUUUUCUUCAACAAGGUAGUCCACAUCAUCCAUUCUAGCCCGAGUAUGUCGUUCUCUCGAACUCCAUCAAAGGAUCGUUUGUGAAUUGCCUUAGGUUGGUAUAGAGAGUCUCAAUGAUCUAUGGAUCAAAAGUAAUUCUUUUUGCCACUUAAGAGAAUAUUUCUGCGAGUCACCUUCCUUAAGGUGUCUCAUUGUGGCAUCUUGGCAACCUAACUCCUCGCUACGUUGACAUCGUUCACCACCCUCUUAGGUGUGGAAUUUUUGUCUAGCAAUUUGAACCCUUGUCAUCCGCUUCUUUCCAUCACCCCUGAUGUGUGUUUUGUCUCUCAGCUCAAGAGAUGUUUCAACGUCUCACCCCCUGAGUUGAUCCUGAGUACUCGAUCUUCGAGGAGAUCGAUUCCUGUAGAGUUUCUUUCUGCCAUCAUCAUGCUGGAUGGAGAUCUCGAAAGCAAAGACGUCAAGAUCAAAUUGAAGCAAUGAAUCAACAUCUUUGAGAAGGACAGCUAGAUCGUGAAGAUCGUGUUAGCUUUGUGUCCCCUCUGUCUUCUUACCUCGCAUCUUGAAUCUCGGGACGAGAUUCCUGUUUAGUGGGGGUGAGUUGUCAUAGCCCUAGAAUUGGUUGUAACUAGUUGCACAAGCAUUCAUGCCUCAUGUAUAUAUUUAUGAAAGUUGAAUUGGGGAAAGUGGAAAGCCUCAGAAAUCUUUUCUAAAAAUGAUCAACAUUAAAAAUUGCUUCAAAUAAACCCAAGAAAAUGUUCCUUUUCAUUUCUAGAAAUAUUGGCAAGAGGUAAAAUUCAAACCAAUAUUUUUGGAAUCACAGAAAUAUUUAUUUGGGCCUUUGAAUUAAGUCAAUACUUAUUUGAAUUGGAGCUACUAAUUCCUAUAAAAUAUUUGGUAGCUCCAAAUAUUCUGAAACUUGGUGAGGGCCUCUGGUUUAAAUCAGAUAGUGCCCAUAAAAGUUUGCAGAAUUUUAUAAAGUGUUUUAGUAUUUAAACUAAGUCAAAACAUACUGCAAAAAAAUAGAAAACAGAAAAUAGGAAAGAGAGAGAGAGAAGAACUCACCUGCCUCACCCACUUGGGCUCCUUACCCGGCGGCCCAGCUAACUGGCCCAGCCCACCAGGGGCAUACCUAUCUUCAACCUCUGCCUACUGGCAGAGGCGAGGCCGAGCACGGCGCCCGCGUGGGCUGGCAUGCAGCUGCCUGCCUGGCCCUCGCUGGCUAGCGCGAUGCCGCGGAUGACCACCCCGUUGCCGUACGGAUCCGCCCGACCUCUCACUUGCUCCCACCCCGCUCUCUGCCUCGCUCCCCCCUCGGACCCGAGAAUGCCGGAGCGCAGCCGUCGCCACCGCUCGCUGCUGCCGUGGCCACCGGCCACCCCACGCCUCACCGACGCGCCCAGAAGCUCCGCCACUUCGUCCUCGACCUCCUCACCGAGCCACGCCCCACCAGAUGCCCUCGAACGCCGGCCACGCCGUCUUCUUCAACCUUGGUCCGCCGAGAUCGCCAUCGCCGCCCCGCUUGCUCCGGCCCCUCCCCGAGCUCGCCGACCAGCCCUACACGAUCCCCGUAAGCUUCUACACCGUGUCCCCCUUGUCUCCGCGAUUUUUGCUAGCUCUAGUCGCUGUUUCGCCGAUAACCGAAACCCGCCGCUGCCUGUGACCGCCGCCGACGUGCCUCCGGCCACCUAGCGGCCCGGCCGUUGUGCUUAGCUCCCUCCCCGCGCUGCGUAGAGCACGUAGGUGCCUCGCACGAGCCUCCCCGGCCACCGUAGCGUCAACCCCGAGCUCGCCCGAGCUCCAGCGACCGCCAAGGUCGACACCGGUGACGACUCCGGCCAUCUCAGGCCCAGCCGCUGCCAUUACUCGACGCGGACAAGCGCCCGCGUCACGUAGACGCCCUCCGCCGGCCAUUUGGUCCCCGGAGGAGGAAACCCGCAGCUCUCCGCCGCGUCCCGCCUCGCCCGCGUCAAGUCGCCGGUAGGUGUUGACCUAGUUGACCCGGGUUUGACCCCGCUAACCACGGGGUUUGACCUCCCCUGACUCACUGACUUGUGGGACCCAGGCCGCUAACUAAACUCGGUUAAUGUUAGUUUAAUGCUAACUAAAUUUAGUUAGCUUAACUAACCACUGACAGACGGGACCCACAGGUCAGGGUUGACCAGGACCGUCGCCUUUGACCUGCUGACGUCGCCAUGACAUCAUGCUGACGCAGUAACUGAUUUUCUAGAUUUAUUCUUUUACAGGAAAUUCCAUAAAUUAGUAUAAACUUCUAAAAUUCAUAGAAAUUCAACUGUAACUCCAAAUGAAAUAAAUUAUAUAUGAAAAAUGAUCAGAAAAAUCCAAGGAAUCUGAACAUGGCAUUUUCAUGCAUGUUUGAACAACUUAACCUCACUGUCUAGUCCAAAACAUGAUAAUGCACUAUUUGAAUUCAUAGUUUGAAUUUGAAUUUGAACCUAGUGUUCAAACUAACUCCAUUUAACUUGCUGCUAGUUGCAUUAGCUCAAUCAACGGCAUAUUGCCAUGUCAUGAUCAUGCAUCAUACUGUUGCAUCGCAUUAUUGUGUUCUUCCUUGUUUGCCGGUAAAUGUCCCCUCUCGGUAGACGCUGCUCCGACGCUGUGAUCAUUGACACUGAUGAAGACUCAAUGUUAUCUUCAGAAGUGCCAGGCAAGCAAAACCCCCUUGCUCAUUCCGAUACAAUACCACUCUCUUGCUGCUGCUCUCUUUUACUACAUUAGGACAACAACGAUUCAACUGUUAUAUGUUGGGGUAGUUGAACCCCUUUCCUCUGCAUGACCUGUCAUUGCCACAGUAAAUAGAUGAAACCCACUAGCAUGAGCAGGAGUUGUUUGAGCCCUAGUGUGCCUACUCAUCCAUGCUUGUUUGUCAUGCCUGCUAUUGCAUAGAGUCGUGUCAGGUCUGGUUCAUCAGGGAUGAAUCGGAGGUGUGUAAACAUGUCCUACGGUGUGUGAGCUAAGUGUGUGAACAUGAUUUGGUAAAGGUAGCGGUGAGAGGACAUGUAGGAGUACAUGAUGGGUUGUCUCACUGAAACCGUCCUCAGGAACUGAGUUUUGUGUUUGUGAUCCAUGAAACAGCUACUACCACACAUUAGGCCCUAAAAUAUGACCCCGCUCGACUUAUUGACCCCUCUCGUCCUCUGUCCAGGAGUUGCAACUAGUUUCUGGUGUUUGUAGGUUAUGUGUUGGCGGCCGUGCGUAGCGCCAACCCUAGGGGUGGGCUAUGAUGCGGUAGAUACACUGUGGCCGGGUAUGCCGGGCGCCCGUUUGGCGCCUCGGGACCCUGUACACAUCGUUUGGGGCCAUUGAGGACACCCCGGCCGGAUUUCCUUGCAGAUGGAACCCGAAUAGGCGAUAAACCUGAACUAGAGACUUGUGCGGUUAGUUAGGUCAUGGUCUACACCCACAUCGGCUUUCGCUUGAAGUCUGCCGAGCACAUGUCGUGUGCACACGCUAAGUGGUGGAAACAUGUGUGACGAAGUACACCCCUGCAGGGUUAUAAAUGAUCUAUUCGAAUAGUCGUGCCCGCGGUAAAGGACUUCUGGGUUGCCUAUAACAGUUCAUAGACAAGUGAAAGUGGAUACUCUAAAACUCGCAAGAUAAGUGUGAGUGCUAUGGAUGGCGUUCUCGUAGGGAGACGGGAGCGGAUCCAUAAUGGUGUAUUGAAUGGUGAAUAUGUGGACUCGUGUGCGCCACCUCAAAAGAGUUGCUUGCAGUCGUAGUUCAGGUUAGCCACUAAGUCAAAGCUGGCUUGCUGCAGUUAAACUCCACCACCCCCCUUGUUGAUACCAAUGCAUAUGUAGCUAGUUCUGAUGUAAGUCUUGCUGAGUACCUUUGUACUCACGUUUGUUUAAUUUAUGUUUUGCAGAGAGACUUCAGUCUUGCUAGUAGUUCUGCGUGGACUUCGACGUUUAGCUUGAUACCUCAGCUACGAUCUUGUGCCCUCGGCAGGAUCUGGUAGAUAGUCAGGCUUCUUAGCCUUUUUCAUUUGUAAAUGUCUGUACUCGGACAUGUUAAGAUUCCGCUUGUGCCUUGAUUUGUAUUCUAUGAUUGUUGGGUCAUGAGACCCAUGUUUGUAAUAUCUCGCUCCUUGGAGCCUGAUGAAUGAAUACUUGAGUUGUAGAGUUAUGUUGUGAUGCCAUGUUGUAUUUACACAUAUCGAGCAUAUUGUGUGUAUGAUUGAAAUGCUUGGUAUGUGUGGGAUCCGACAAUCUAGUUGUUUAUCCUUGGCAGCCUCUCUUAUGGGGAAAUGUAGUCUAGUGCUUCCAUGAGCCAUAGUAGUCCUCUACAGUACGGUUCACCGGAGUCCUGCUAGCCCAGCACUACUGCUCAGGACACUUGACUGGCCGGCAUGUGCUUCACUUCGUUCCUGUGUCUGUCCCUUCGGGGAAAUGUCACGCGGUGACAUCUGGAGUCCUGCCUAGCCUGCUACAGCCCGGGUUCCCGGAGUCCUGUUAGCCCAGUGCUACAGCCCGGAUUCACAUGUUGCUGACCGACAUGCUCGAUGUGAUUCAUGUAUGCCUGUUCCCAUAGGUUAGUGCCACUUUGGGUUCACGACUAGCCAUGUCAGCCCGGGUUCUCUGUCAUAUGGAUGCUAGCGACACUAUCAUAUACGUGAGCCAAAAGGCGCAAACAGUCCCGGGCCAUGGUAACGCGACACCCGUGGGAACACCGUGCGUGAGGCCGCAAAGUGAUAUGAGGUGUUACCGGCUAGAUCGAUGUGACUUGGAAUCGGGGUCCUGACAGCUUUCCCUUCGCCUUCGCUAUCGCCUCCUUUGCACGCUCCUCCUCAUAUGGGGCUGCUUCCGAGAAAGCAGAAGAGAAAGCAAGAAAAUGGAGGAACGCUGUGCACGAAAUCCAAUCUGGCACCUUAUAUGGGGCCGCUUCCGAGUGGCUGACCUGUGGGGCCAGACGAUCCAAUCAAAUCCCGCGACAGUCGCAGGCGAGGUACAUGGCGAAAAAGGUGGCGUGGCGAUCGAGGCGGCCUCGCCUCAUCCCAUCUGAUUACUGCGGACUCAUCCAUCUCGCGCGCUUCCCCAAAUACAAAAUCCCACGAUAUCAGCGCACAGCAAGGCAACCUGUCAGGCGGAGGAUCUUUUCCAUAUCGACACUCAGAGCAUUGCAGCAAAAGUUCACUCGGCAGAAACCAAGAAUGGAUCAAGGCGACUGAGAAGAAGUUAGGAUCAUCAUAAUUGUUCGGUUGAUCGCAAAUAAGACGCUCCCGAAGCAUGGAAAUUGAAUCAGAAGAAUCCUCAACUCCUUCCCACUCAAGCCCCGAACCAUUCGGGGGCUAAUCAUGAAGCUAUGUACCUAGGGUAGGGUCACAGGUCUGACCUAGACGCCCUCCCCAAGGUCAUCGCCCUAAAGCCAGAAGCAUUCGAAGGGUAUCAUCAUCCACUCGACUAAAGACAUUCCACUCGGAAGAAUCAAUUACACUCGACCGUCACAGAAGCCACUCGACGUACAGAAGAUCUAAAGCCACUCUGCACAAACAAUGGCCGGGCGUUUACUCAUAGACUUAAUUGUCAUUUACAUCACUUAAUUGCUAGCGUUACCAGUAAUGUUCCACUCUUAAUGUACAUUGAACCCUGUGUAACGGAGGGGAGCUGGGGUCUUGGCGCACUCUACAUAAGCCACCCCCCUCCUCUGGGACAAGGGUUCGCAUCUUUUGUAAACUCACACACAUACAAUCCAGUCGACCGCCUCGGGGCACCGAGACGUAGGGCUGUUACUUCCUCCGCGAAGGGCCUGAACUCGUAAACUCGUGUGUACAACUACUCCAUAGCUAAGAUCUUGCCUCCUCAUACCUACCCCCCAUUCUAGCCCCAUUUCGGCAGUGGUUCUACCAUCGUUGGAGGGUGUUUGUCUCUGGCGAAUCUCAUGGGAUUCGGUCGACGUUAGUCUUCGGUGGAUCCACAUGGAUCAGGUCUUUGUUCGUCAGUGGUCAUUUGUCCAUUGGUUAGAUUUUUCCAAUCUACACAUCUCUUCAUCGGUGGCGGUUGCUGUUCAAGUGCACUAGUCCAAUAGGGAUUAGCACAAUGACUUCCUGACUGUCUACUGCAAAAAUAUUUGCCCGACCCCGGUGAGUAAGGGGCAAUGACGGCGGCGUGCCUUCGGUUAGCUACAGUGCUUGUAGUCAUUGCUAGAUGGUCAAUGGAUCUGGAUGUAAUAUUUACUUAUGUGGUUUUUUAGACUACCUUGAUAGUUGAUGAAUAAAUCGAAAGCUUUUCCUGUAAAAAAAUGAAAGGUGAUAUAUAUUGUUGGUCCAGGAGACACGGUGCUAGAGCCACCGGGAUUAGUUCACGGGGUUGGGGUUUACAUACUAAUUAAAUAGGACUGGAUAUUGGGGGAGGUUGGGCCCCACCCCAGCUGAAAUUGGGGAGGGGGGGGGGGGAUUAGUCAGAAGGAGUCUGUAAAAGCCGGUCACAAAUCCGCGUGUCUAGGAUUAUCGCUUCAGUAAUGCUUCAAGGUGCUGUUUGACUUCAACUAUAUGACUCUUCUGUGACUUUUAUGACUUUUUAUUAUCUUCACAUGUAUGCAUAAACACGUACAUGUAGAUAAAAAUCAUGGAAUAUGUGUGAAAAAUGUUUUUCUACCUUGGAUCCAUCAUUCUUCGUGCUUGUGCACUCGGUUUUCACUGAUACACAAUGGAACACAAAGAUACACUUCGUAACGAGAAGAGACUAAAUGCACGCCAACACUCAAAAAAAUGGUAAGGCCACGGUUGAUAGCUGCUAUCCAACCAGCCCCAAAAGCAACUAAAUUAAAAUAGUCUAAUAUAAUUGGUCUUUUAACUAGUACAUAUGAAACAUUAUGAUGCUCUAAGAUAAUAAAACAAAAAUGGAAUGGCUAAAUCAUAUUUACAUGUUUUUUAAGGAUGUCACAUCUAAGUUCUUAAUCGUCAGAUCUCGUUGUUAUUUUCGUGCAGUUUUGAUUUGCGUCCCUCUCGCGGGUCCUGCGUCGCUCGCGCACGUCGGUGUAGCUGUCGCUGUCGCUGGAUCGUUGACCUUUUCUGUUAGUCCGGCCGCUCGUUGCAUGGGCUGGCCUGUUUUUUGUUUUCUUUGGAACGCUUUUUUCGUUUUUCUGUGUUUGUCUUUUUUCUGGCUGUGUUAUAAGAAUUCAAAGAGGUUUACUGCCCAUACAUUCCACGUCUCAAUUUUUGUUGUCCCAUUUUUAUCUUCUUUUCUCCAUAUUUCUUCUUUUUAUUUUCUAAUUCAUGAUUUUUUAGUGUGUGAACACUUUUUGAAGUGUGCAAACACUUAUUAAAAUUCAUGAAUUUUUUGUGAAAAGUUUUAAAUCUUGUGUUUUUUAAAUUCAUGAAUAUUUUUAUAAUAUUUGAACAGUUUUCAAAUCAAAUUUGCUAAAUCUCAUGAAGAUUUUAACAAUGCCUUAUCUAAGUUGUGGUCCGUUCGAUUUAUUUCUUGUAAUCUUUUGCACAAUUUUAGACCCGUUCUUUUUUGUGUCGUGCAUCCUGCGUCGUCCCGAUGUCAAGUUGUCGAUCGGUUUUUUGUUAGGUUCUGAUCGCUAGAUACAGAAGAGACAUGGUUCUAUAUUUGUUGUCACUUUGAUCACCCUCGACUCGCAAGUCCAUCAAUGAAAUGCAAUUGGGUCGUGAUUUUUUUUUUGGCCCUAGUUGCAAGUACACCCUUGACUCGCAACUGGGCUCGUAGUUUGUACUUUGUCCUAGUUGCAAGUCCACUCUCGACUCGCAACUCGUAUCAUAGUUUUCUAUAGUUAUCCCAGUUGCAAGUCCACCCUCGACUACCAACUAGACAAGUUGUUUGUUUCAUCCCAGUUGCAAGCAUGUCUUUGACUCGCGACCGGGCCUGUGUUUCAUUUUUCAUCCCAGUUGCACGUCCACGCUUGACUGGCAACUAGGUUAGCAGUUUUUGUCUCCAUUGCAAAUCGACCUUCGACUCGGAAUCGGGCUUCUAUUUCAUAACUGUCCUAGUUACAAGUCCACCAUCAACUUGCAACGGGGAUCAUAGUUCUCUCAGUUGCAGGCCCACCAUCGACUUGUAACUGGGCUCGUAGUUGUCCCAGAUGCAAGGCCACCAUCAACUUGCAACUGACUAUGUGUUCGCUUUUCAUCCCAUUUGUAAUUUCACCCUUGACUCAUAACUAGGGUCAUAGUUUGUUUCAUCCCAAUUGCAAGUCCAUCUUGAGUCACAACUUGGCUCGUAGUUUCAUAGUUUUCAUAGUUGCAAGUCCAUCCUCGACUCGCAAGUAGGCUUGUAGUUGUCCUAGUUGCAAGUCCACCCUCAACUCGCAACUAGGCUCGUAGUUUGUUGUUAUCCCAGUUGCGAGUCCACCCUCGACUCACAACUAGGUUUAGUUGUUAUUGUCCCGGUUGGAAAUGCACCCUCGACUCACAAAUGGUAUUGUAGUUUUGUGUAGUUGUCCCAGUUACAUGUCCGCCCUUGACUCGCAAAUGGCAUGUAGGUUGUUUCGUCCUGGUUGUGUUUUGUUUUUAAUCCCAGUCGCGGGUUCACCCUUCACUCGCAACUGGGUCAGUAGUUUGUUCAUCCCUUUUGCAAGGUGAUAUUUGAUUCACAAUUGGGCUUGUAGUUUUGUAAUUUCCUAAUUGCUAUAAGAUUUGUGCGAAUUGUUUGUCUUGUAUUUCUCUGUUUUUCUAGGCACGGAUGUGUUACGUUUGUUCUCUGGGCCGCAUGCGUUGUGGUUACUUAUAUGGGCCGCGUUGAGGCAAUUUCCCAUUUGUUUCUCUGGAUGUGAAUUAUUUUUCUUUUUUAACGAAGUCACACCACGACUAGUUGAAGGUCAAUGAAGCAUUCUAUAGGUGCGUACAUGUGACCUCUCCUAUUUAUCUCCCACACAUUGUUUGUUUUUUCUUUCCCUUUUCUUUUUGCUUUUUCUUUUUCCUAUUUCAUUAUUCAUUUUAACUUAUAAGCUACUUUAAAAUCGUGUCUCUAUUUAUAUUUUCUAUUUUUUUCCUUUCCAUUUUUCUUCUUAUGUUCUGCUUUUAUUUUUUAUUUGUUUUAAUUACAUGAACUUUUUCUACUCUGUCAUUUGUUCUUUGCCUUACAUGUCGUGCAAAUUUUGAUCACGGGUUAUUUUGUCGCGCUCGUCCUCAGUUGUCGUACAUCUGGUAUCUACUUGUCGGCCUGCUUGCGUGUGCAUCUUUUGUUGGGCCAUUUUCACGGCAUGAUCUAGGGGUCUCAUUUUGGAUUGGUUUUGUUAAUUUUCGUCUAGAGGAGAGUUAACAAUGUCUCAUCUAACUCAUACACCAUUAGAUAUAUGUGCUUUUGAGUCGUGCUUGUCGUUAUGUCAUAUUUUAUGUUCAUUCCUUAUGAAGCAAUGAGGUCCGAUAUGACCUUUUUAGUGGGCUGUUUUUAUGUUUUGUGUAUUGGGUUUAUUUUAUGAAGGGCCACAUAUCUUUUUGUUCUCUGUUCUUUUUUUAUUCUGGGUCAACUAUGUAGCUAGGGAAGAGCGUAACUACAUUUUUUCUUCCGGAUUUGCUAAAUCUCUUCCAGAUGAGAUUUAGUGGGGCCUCAUCUAGGUAUAUAACUGUCCAUUUGUUUGCUUUAGCAUUCCCACAAGCUUGAUCAUUCGCAACGGUGACAACUCGUUCUUUCUCCUCGCUCAUCCCCUUAAUGUUUGUCUUGUAUUGGUUUGUUCUCGCAUUUCUUUAUAUGCAAGCCCAUAUAUGUCAUUGUUUGGGGNNNNNNNNNNNNNNNNNNNNNNNNNNNNNNNNNNNNNNNNNNNNNNNNNNNNNNNNNNNNNNNNNNNNNNNNNNNNNNNNNNNNNNNNNNNNNNNNNNNNNNNNNNNNNNNNNNNNNNNNNNNNNNNNNNNNNNNNNNNNNNNNNNNNNNNNNNNNNNNNNNNNNNNNNNNNNNNNNNNNNNNNNNNNNNNNNNNNNNNNNNNNNNNNNNNNNNNNNNNNNNNNNNNNNNNNNNNNNNNNNNNNNNNNNNNNNNNNNNNNNNNNNNNNNNNNNNNNNNNNNCUUUACUUUUGUUCAUUUUUGUUGUGCGCUUCUUCUGGCCAAGUGGAGAAUUUGUAGAGUCCACCUUCGACUCGUAAAAGGGCUCGUAGGCAAUUUCACCUUGACUCGCAACUACCCAAGUAUUUUCUUUUUCAUCCGAGUUGCAAGUCCAUGCUCGACUUGCAACUGGGCUCGUAGUUUGUUAUUGUCCUUGUUGCAAAAAUACCAUCGACUCGCAAAUGGUAUCAUAGUUUUGUGUAGUUGUCCUAGUUGUCAGUCUGUCCUUGCAACUGAGCCCGUAGUUUGUUUCAUCCAAUUGUAAGUCCACCCUUGACUCAUAACUGGGCUCGUAGUUUCGUAAUUGUCCCAGUUGCAAGUUCAUCCUUGACCCACAAUUGGGUCCAUAGUUUUUUUAUUGUCCUUGUUGCAAGUCCACCCUCAACUCGCAACUCUUAUCGUAUUUUUGUGUAGAUGUCCCAGUUGCAAGUCCAUUCUCGACUCGCAACUGAUACCGUACUUUUGUAUAGUUGUUCUAGUUGCAAGUCCACCCUCGACUCGCAACUAGACCAAUACUUUGUUGCAUCCUAGUUGCAAGCCCAUCUUUGACUCGCAACUCGGCCUGUGUUUUGUUUUCCAUCCCAGAUGCAGGUCCACCCUUGACACUCAAAUUGGUUCGUAGUUUGUUUCAUCCUACUUGCAAGUCAACUCUUGACUUGCAACUCGGCUCAUUGUUUCAUAGUGUUCACAGUUGCAAGUUCACCCUCGACUCGCAAUUGGGCUCGUAGUUUGUAGUUGUCCCAGUUGCAAGUCCACCCUCGAGUCGCAACUCGUAUCGUAGUUUGUGUAGUUGUCCUAGUUGCAUGUCCACCAUCAACUCGCAACUAGGCCCAUUUUGUUUGUUUCAUCCUAGUCGCAAGCACACCUUUGACUCGCAACUGAAUAUAUGUUUUGGUCUUCAUCCUAGUUGCAGGUCCACACUUGGACUCGCAACCGGGCCCAUAGUUUGUUUCAUCCCAGUUAGAAGUCAAUCCUUGACUCGUAAUUGGGCUCAUAGUUUUAUAAUUUUCCCAGUUGCAAGUGUGUUCUUGACUCGCAACUGGCCCGUAUUUCUUCCAGUUGCAAGCCCACCCUCGAGUUUAAGUUGCAAGUUCACCCUCGACAUGCAACUAGGGGGCCGGCCAUUUUCCCCCAGUUGCAACUCCAUCCCCGACAUGCAAUUGGAGAUGCCCUUUCUUGUCUCACUUGCAAGUCCACCAUUGACAUGCAACUAGGGGCGACCAUUUUUUCCUAGUUGCAACUCCACCCCCGACAUGCAAUUAGAGGCAUGUCCUUUUUCUUGUCUCACUUGCAAGUCCACCAUCGACACACAACUAGGGCUCAACCCAUAUUUGUCCUAGUUACAAGUCCAACUACAACCCUGGCAUGAUAUUGAGGAUCCGCCGUUUUUAUUGUCCCAGUUGCAUGUCCAUGCUUAAUAUGCAACUAGGGCUCAACCAAUUUGUCUUAGUUCCCUCGAUAUGGAACUGGUGCUCGGAUCCAUUUUGUCCCAGUUGCAAGUCCACCCUUGACACGUAACUGGGAGGCAGUCAUUUUUGGCUCAGUUAUAACCCCACCCCUGACAUAUAAUUGAUGGACCCUCCUUUUUCUUGUCCCGGUUACAAGUUCAUCAUCGACACAAUUGGAGCCCAACAGAUAUUUGUCCUUGUUUCAAGUCCAACUACACUCAUGACAUGCAAUUCGGGGACUACCUUUUUUGCCCCACCUGUAAAUCCACCCUCAAUACGCAGCUAGGGGGCGACCAAUUUUAUUCCAAUCACAACUCCAUCCUCUAUACACACCCGGAGGCUCUACCCUUUUUUGUCGUUGUUGCAAUUCCACCCUCAAUAUGCAACUAGGCCCGACCCAUCUUUGUCCCAGUAGCAAGUCUACCCUCGCCACACAACGACAUUGCCCACAACGAGGCAACCAUUAAGGGAGGUGGAGGGUUGUCGAUCAGCUGCAUCUCCACAUUUAAUAAAUUAUUCAUGUUUUUCUUUUUUUACAGUCAUGAACAUUCUCUUAAAUAAUGAUAUUUUUCGAAAUCAUGUUUUUUUUCAUUUUUUUGUUUUUGUAAAUCAUGGUCAUUUUUUUUAAUUUCACAAACUUUUUUUUGUAUUUGCUAACUUUUUAUGAAUUCGUAUUGAGUGAUUUGUGCUACUGUGCAUGUAUGAAUGUAGAGGCAAGUGAUGCGUGGAUAAGCUAUUGGAUAGAAUGAGCGACCAUGUAAAUGUGCAUACAUGCAGACAAUGGCAAAGUUGAUGAUGCGUAGCUAGCUUUGACAGUGUUUUGAUUGUUCGGCGUCGCGAUCACCGUCAACGAAAUAGUAAGGGUUGUACGUUAGGUUGAUUUAUCUAUCUGUAACAACUACAAAAUACACAAGGAGCCACUUAGCAAUGCAUCACACGUAGCAGUAGCAAUCGGCGUAGCAGUACGUACUAGCAACAUAGCUACAGCUUUGCAUGUGACAAAGCCGCCCACCGUCCAUCCAUUUGAUAAAGCUGAGCAGCAGAAAAGAGAAGACAUGGAGGAAGCGAAGCGCUCAUCGAGUUUAAGAUGAGCUGGCUUUGAAAAAAAAAGAAAAACAAACAAACAAACAAGGAUAAUGGCGUGGGGCUGUUUUCAAUGUGAGGUUGGCUGAUGUCAUAUUUAGAUGUGACAUAGUUAUGUCACAUCUAGAUGAGUCCUAUACACACCCAAACAAAAAUCACAACAAAUCUUUUUUUAUGUCACAACCUAAAAUAAAACAAGACAACUUAGACAUAACUAGUAAGCGUGACAUGAAUCUCCAGAUGACAACGCACAACACGUCAGAUGUGGCAAUUUCAAAGUGUUUGUCGUGUGUACAAGAAAAUCACAUGGUUGUAACGAAACAAUAGAUUAAUGAAAGAAAAAGAUUUGGGAGACGAAGGAGCUAUAACAAUCUUACAGUAAUUUACAGAGAAAAAAGGAUGUUCACGAAUCAAAACAGCCUUGUACUUCGUCGGUGGUUUAAUGGUUAACCACGCUGCACUUCUUCCUGAUCUCGCCCUGGCUGCCGGUGAGAGGAUUGGCAUUGCCCAUCUUGAUCAUGGAGGCGGCGAAGUCAGCGAAGAACUCGUCCUUGAAGGCGCCGGUGGCAUGGCGCUGGACGUAGGCGCGGGUGAAGGGGUCGGUGAGGAGGGCGCCGUCAGAGUGGAAGAGGCCCCUCCGCUUGCUCACCAGCUUGAAGUAGUCGGUGUCGAAGGUCUUGAAGCUGCCGGGGUCCAUCUCCACGAGGGUGGUGUUGUCGUUGAGGCUGGCACACUUGCUCUUUAGCCGCAUCAUGUACUGCGGCUCCAGCGAGGGGUCGAUAUCGCUGGGGUUCUCCAUGCCGGUGAAGUUGUAGAGCCGGUCAGAGAAGGAGAAGCAGUGCGACGUCCCGAUAGUGUGCCCGGCAGACAAGACGACAAGGUCCUUUGCGUCGAGGUUCACGGCGGCGAAGAGCUGGGUGAGCACGGUGAAGUUGGAGGUCGGGGGUGGUAGAGCGUCGGUCUCGUUGGAAAUGGACACGCUGCCGUCUCGCCGGCCCAGAGGAACUGUCCAGAAUGGACCCUUGCUCUGGAGAAACCAUGAUCGAGCAGCAUUAGAAUUUAGCUUCCACACGUACCGUGUCAUUUGAAAAAUGGCAUAGUAGUAGUACUCUACUCACCAGCCAUACUGCGUCCCUGGCAAUGAGGGCGAGGAUGUCGGCGCAGGAGACGGUGUCGGGGCAGGCCUUCUCCACCGCGGCCUUCACCCUGUCGACAAAGCCGAAGCCUCGCAGCGUCUGGUUCGGCUGCGCGUCCUUCUCCGCCGUCUUGUUGGCCGAGUCUAGCAGAACCGAGCCGUCGCACCCCUGCAUAUUCACGGUGGUCAGGCCAUAGCGCACAACGGGGUACGGGCAGAUACUAAUGCAUGCAAAUGCAGCAUACCCUGACGAAGCAGUCGUGGAAGUGCAUCCGGAGGAGCGGCCCGGCGAGGCUGGGCGCCAGUGACAGCGCCCUCACCAUCUCCUUCCUCACGACGUCCUCCACGCUGGGGCACGACUCGCUGUAGAACUUGUCGUGCAGCUGCGCCCGCGCGCACGUCGCCGCCACCGCCGCGAGCAGCAGCGCCACCAUCGUUGCACCCCUACACGCCAUCUUCUCGCCAAGAAGCUUGUUUCUUGCUUGGCUAUGCAAGAAACGACGAUGGCUAGGUGGCGAGUUGAUCAGGAGAAGCUUGAGCUGCUGCUGCUGAUGGACUGGCGCCGGGGAAAUAUAUAGCGCCGGAGUGUCCCCACGCCUGCAUGUGGUGGGCUGUCCUCCGGAGCAGCAGGUAAAAUUCCCAUGGUUUAAUGAGUUGUUCCUUGUUUGCACUCUGCGGAAUCUUUGCCGUGGCAGGUACACCGGCGGCCACCGUACGUAUAAUGGAGGCGGACGGACAGCCAGACGGAAGCACAUCAUUAGAUGAAUUCACUAAUUUUCUCUAGACAGCAAUUUUCUCACUAACUUACUAAUUAGCCAUCACGGAGCAAACUGCGGUGCCAAGUUCUAAUCAGCAAAGGAUACGUGCAACAAAUGAAUGCCACCACCUACUGGUAGUUUGAAGACAUGGAAAUAUCAUGAUCCGUAUAUUUAUAUUGGCACCGCAUGCUAUCCCGAAUCAGCUUCGCUAAGUCUCAGUCAAUGCUAUAUUCGCUUGAUCUUGCGUGAAGAUCCGUGCAAUUUCGAUGUGGUCUGAAAUACUUGUAACACUAGAAUUUUGAGCCAGAUUUACAAACUUGAAAAUAAAUUUAAAUUAUGUUACAAUUCAUUGAAAGGUAGUAAUUUUUUUAAAGAAUUUUUGCAUAUGUCAUCCAAAAUUGCUUUGUUUUUUAGAUUAAAAACCUUGCCAAUAAUUAUGCUAAUAUUAUGCCUUGUUCGAGGCCCUGGCCCAAAAGACCAGAAGAAUUUAAAUAUCAUGUUUUGAUCAACAUAUAAUUUGAAUAAUGACGUUUAAAUUCCAAACAUGGUUAAAAUGAUAUUUAUAAAUUUGGAGAUCUAGUUUUUAUAAGUCUCAAGCUUGGCACGUGGUUGGAAUUUUGUAUUCACGAAAAACCAAUGGGAAUCCCCCCCCCCCCCCUGUCCGGGGUGUUUGAGGCAAGUAAUUCUGCACGAAAUUCAAUAUUUAAACCCGAAUAUUAAUAUAGAGAUCCUACACCUACGAAAGUCUAGGUAAACCCACCAUAACAAUCAUACAGACAUUCUAGAACACGAGAAAAAUAGUUGCCGAGGCAAGAUCCUAAACAUGCCCAUUACUGGGUUGCAUCUUAUUGCUUGGUCAUCUUGUCAUAUGCAUCGACCGUCGCGUAAGAAAACCAUAUAUUAUAGGAAAUGGUUUAUAGGUGAACAUAAAUUUGUGACGGGCGAGACGUGUGCCCGCCACUGGUAGACUGUUUCAAAGCUGGCCGCGUAAUGCAACCUAAUUGUGGUGAGCAGUAACAAAGGCCCGCCACUGCUUAUUUGUACAUUAAUGGCGAGUGUGACUGUUGCUUGCCACAGCUAAAUUGUGGUAAGCACUUUUACCAGGCACGACGGAAGUACAUAUUAUACACUUGUAGUAGUGGCCGGUCCAGUCGGCCGCCCGCCAGUGCUGUCCACUUACGUGUAGCGGGCGCCCUGCUGUGCCCGUCACACGUAGACCCACGACAGUGGCUGCAGUUUAUUUUUCCCCCACCUGAAAAACGAUUCCAAAAUUUGGCAUUUCCCCCGCCCCCUCCCCCCGCGCUUUUCCCCCCAAAUCUCGCCUGACUCAGCGUCGCGCCCCUCAUUGCCCCCUCUCAUCCUCGCCGCCGCUGCGCCCCUUGUUGCCGCCUCUCCUCCUCGCCGCCGCCGCCACACCCCUCGUUGUUGUCGCCCCCUGCGUCGACGCUGCGUCACGGCCUUCCUCGAGGCCACAGGCAUGGACUCCUUCUCCAACACUGGAGGCAUCUUGCUUUCGCCGCCACCGCGAAGCUCCUCCGCCAACAUCGGAUACCUCGCGCCGCCUUCGGACGCCAAGCGAGCCACCUCUAUGGUAUGGUCAAAGUUGUGUUUAGGGUAAAUAAAUAUUUAGCAUUGAUUAAAUUUGAGUAGUGUGCCGUACUAUUAUUGUGCUUAGGGUAACUAUGAGUAGAUUAGGAACAUUUUUUAGGUAUUGACAUGAGUGACAAUGUUUGGCAAAACGUCGAUUCAUUUCCGUUUCGCCGAAUUUCUGGUACUCAUUAUGUCCUCUUCUUAGCAGAGGUCAUGUCGAAUUUUUCUUUCAUUUUUUAACUAGGAUCCAUUGUAGUAUCAUUGGCUUAUAUUUGCCGGUAUUAACAUGAGUGCCAAUGUUUUGGCGAAACGUCGAUUCAUUUCUAUUGGCCUUACUUUCAAAUGCAAGUUCAUUUCUUUAUGCUUGCACAUAUACACAUGAGUACUUUGAUGUCAAUCUCAUUAAUUUUACAUUGUUCAAUUGUUCCCCGAGACGGCCGAGCUUAUUUCUUCGAUUCCAGGAGAGACCCUAAGAAGCCAUGCACCGAUCUGAAGAAAGUUAUGAAUGCUGCUCUUUUGAUGUGUCAUAACACUAGUAGAAAACAGGGUUUUGGUCACAGGGAAAUAUUCACAUUAGUCCCGCUUUAGUCAUGAACCGGGACUAAUGUGAGCAUUGGUCCUGGUUCGUGCGGCUAAGGCAUUAGUCCCGGUUCACCUGAGCCCUUUAGUCCCGGUUUAAGACACGAACCGGGACUAAAGGGUGCGAUGCCCUUUAGUCCCAGUUUGUGUCUCAAACCGUGACUAUAGAUUAGACCUUUGGUCCCGGUUUGAGACACGAACCGGGACUAAAGGGUGUGAUGCCCUUUAGUCCCGGUUUGUGUCUAAAACCGGGACUAAAGGUCCCAUUUUCAAACUCUACCCCCCCUGGAUCGCCUUUUUGUUUUGAAAAAAAUCAAAAGAAAAUGAUAAAAACUUCAAAAAAUAAAAUCCUUCGAGAGGUAGUUAUAUUACUACAUCUACUAGUUAGGAAAAAUUUAAAAACUUAAAUUUGGACAUGUUUUGCAAAAAGUGCAGGGAAAACGUAAAACGGCUAUAAUUUUUGCAUACGAUGUCGGAAAAAUGUAUAAUAUAUCAAAAUGUUCAGCACGAAAAUGUUCAGCAGGAAAAAAAGUUAUGCUCAAAUUUUAGUUUUUUUUGUAUUUUCGUUAAAUCUGGUCAAACUAUGGUUAAACUACUUAUUCAAGAAGUAUUAGUGUUUCUAAAUAAUUAUUCAAGAAUAUUAGUGUUACUAAAUAGUUAUUUCAGUUUUUUUGAAUUUUGGUCAAAUGUGGUCAAACUGUGGUCAAACAAUGGUCAAACUACUUAUUCAAGAAAUAUUAGUGUUACUAAAUAAUUAUUUUAGUUUUUUUGAAUUUUGGUCAAAUCUGGUCAAACAUUGGUCAAACUGUGGUCAAACUAUGGUCAAACUGUGGUCAAACUACUUAUUCAAGAAAUAUUAGUGUUACUAAAUAAUUAUUGUUUUUUAGAACAAUAGUUUCAAACUCAAACAGUGAAAUGUGUGACUUAAUGCUCAAGCUAAAUUCCUGAGGGUUAAUAGGAUUGACAUCUUACUAUUGUCAGGAAAAGAACAAGUGCAGACUUGGAAACGAGGGAGAAUAGAACCUGGAAGUUAAGCGUGCUCAGGCUGGAGUAGUGACAGGAUGGGUGACCGUCCGGGAAGUUAGACGAUUCGGAAUGAUGAGGGAUGAUUAGAGAUUAGAGGUUAAAUUGAGCAGUGAUGAGGGGUGAUUAGAGAUUAGAGGUUAAAAUAAUUCAGAAAUUUGAAAAUAAAAAAAUCAUAAAAUUUCCUUUAGUACCGGACCAACCGGGACUAAAGAUGGACCUCCAGGCAGCGGCCACGUGGAGGGCCUUAAGUCCCGGUUCGUAUAAGAACCGGGACUAAAGAGGGAGGCUUUAGUAACGACCCUUUAGUCCCGGUUCCAGAACCGGGACUAAAGGCCCUUUAUCUACUAGUGUAUGUCCGACCGUAAGAACAUGCCACAUUCGCAGUACAAAUUUAACACUAGCUUUUAUUGCCGGCAACAACCGAAAGGAAAAACCAUGCACAUGGCUGGCUACUAUGCCAUGGUCUUGAUGGAUGACAAUGUGCGUGCAGGACCACUGUUGAGGAGUGAUUCAAUGUUGUAGAAAUGGUCCGAAGAGAAUGAGAAGGAAUUUAAGCGAGCUCACUUUGGGACCCCCAGAAGAUUUGUGGGACGGGAUCUCUGCGGCGGACAUGGAGAAGCACUAUCUAUGGACGUGGGAGAAGUAUCGGGCAGAGCACCUCAGGGAGGCGAUGUUAGCUUGGGUUAGAAGUAUUCCAAUGGCCCAGUGUUCUCUCCGAGCGAUUGAGAAGAUUGCAGAGAAGCGGUUUAGUGACCUUGCGGCGUCCAUCCUUACGGAGGCAACCCUGGUUGAGAGGCUGAGGAUCUGGCCGGGUAUGAGUCCAACCACCAUACCCAUAACCGCUGAGGUUGUUGUGGGCUCUCCGAGAGGCCAAAUCUCCAAUUCCAGAGCAAGCGGCCCGUUGGUCCCCAUUCGUUCCAUCAAGUACUAAUUCAUGUAGUAUGUGCGGCUUCUACUAACAGUCUACGCGUUAAUAUCGGCUGACACUCAUUGCACUCCAAAACAACUUGUCAAAUCAUUAAUUAUGUGAUGAGCGAUGACAUAUAUAUGCUUAUUAAUGAUUGUAAUGCACUUGUUAUAUUUUCCUUAUAACUACUACUUUUCAUUAAUCUGACAUCAUUGUAAUGUGGUUCGUGUAUGUGGAUCAUGGUUCAAACCCACAUUUAUGUAUCAAAUGCAAUAUGGUGAUAUGAUUGAGGUGCAAUGUGCUGCAGUUCAAUCAAUUCGGCAUGCGACGAUAGCAGUGGCGAGCACAACACACUGUGGUGGGCGGUACAAAAGGACUGCCACUGAUGCGCGAAAUUCAUAUGGUGGGCAACACGGAAAACUGUGGCGAGCACGGACAAUCGCGAGCCACUGCUCUUGGGCUAACACUGGUGGGCGGGUGGCCACCACUGAUGGCGUAUUAGAGCAUCUCCAACAGCUGUGCAACGCGCCGCGCACUAAAAGUCGCGAUACAGCGCCGGGUUAGCCUGCUUUUGCGCGCAGCGGUGCGCUGGCUCCAAUGGCCGCCGCAAAUUAAAGCGCGCCCACGCCGCUCUAGCAGGCGCGCUAUAUUUCAGUUUUUUCUACAACAUAUUUGGUUUCGUAGAUAGUUCUCCUACUACAUAUUUGGUUUCAUAGAUAGUUCCCCUACUACUACUCAUCCGACUUGGACUCUGUCUCAGUGAUGUCCUCCUCCGACAUCGGAGCGUAGGCGUCAAGGAACCGCUCGUCACCGGAGUUCCAGGAGGACGCAUCUCCUAGCGCUUGGUUGUAUUUAGCGACCGCCUUCCACGUUCGCUUGUCCUCGCGAUAGUCGGCUCACUCCUCCCUCCUCUAGGAGAAUAACUGUUCCUCGUUGGUGUCUUCUGGGAAGCAAUGACUCCACAGCGCCAUGGCUUGCUCGUCCAUCUCGGCUAGCCUGAGACGAUGCUCCCGCCUCCGGUGUCUGCGAUGAUCCUCGUCAGUAAGAAGCCGCGGGAAAGGCACCAACUCAUGUGCGCGCUCUCGCGUCGCCAAGUCGGCGAAGUUCAUGUCCUGACGGGACCGCAGGAGGCGCCACGCCGCAGCGUCGUACGCGCGGGCGCCCUCCUAGGCGGUGUCGAAAAUUCCGAGACGGAGCCGCAGGCCGCCGCCCGACCGAAUCUCGGCAGAGUAGGUGUUGGACGAACGCACGCGGACGCCGCGGUAGCCCGUACCUCCCAGACGGCGAGGCGGCAUCGUGGCGCGGUGGUGGCGUGUCGGCGGCAGAGCGUGGUAGGGGGCGAUGGAGAGACGGAGAGAGCGGCAAAGGAUGAUGGAGAGAGCGGCGGAGGCGCUACAAUUUAUAGGCGCGCUGAAUGCGGCGCGCCAAAUGUAGCACGCGAGCGGCCGCCUUUUCCCACGCGCGUGCAAUCGUUUCCCCGCGUGCUAGUUUCGUGCCACCGCUGGAGCGCGCGAAAACGUCCCGCGCGCACUAUAUAGCCAAUUUACCGCGCGAGCGUCUUUUGGCGCGGCUGUUGGAGAUUCUCCUAGCAGUGGUGGAAGGUUAGUGGCGCGUGCCCUUGAGAGCCUUGCCCGCCACUCCUGGGCUUUUCCCACAUGCGACUGCUAGGCAUUCCUGCAGUAGUGAUAAUUCUCGUUGAAAUGGGUGGUGAGUCUGAUCCGUCACAAGUUGAUUUCGUUCUUAGUAGAGCCACCGAAGCAUGGUAGCCCUAGAAAAUUCUCGAGAUUAUAUGUUAAUGGUGUAACAGCCCAUCAGGCUAGCCCAAGGCCCCUUUAGCCUAUUGCACGACCAUGUCCAUCAAUCGGGCAUGUGGGCCAUCCAGAAGGAAGGAACCAGCAUCUUGACGAUCAAGGGAAGAAGGCCAGAUAUCCAGGAGGACUCUCCAGCCGCCUUAGCUGACUAGGAUUAUUGUAACCAUAGGACUUAGUAUCCUUAAUAAGUCAAGGUCAAGCUAGCAGCUAGGGGACCUUACAAUCAAUCCUUUGAUACACCUAAGAUUCUAGAGCCCUUAAAAAAACCCUAAGAUUCUAGAGAACAUCAUUAUACUUUGUACAAUCCUUCAAUCCAGUACAACACAAGUAAGAGUAGUGCUUUGCCUCCAAAGAGAGGUCUGAACAUAGGUAUGUAUCAUGUUUCCCCUCUGUGCUUUCUGGCUAGUCACGGCACCCUACCGAUGGGUCUAUGGGAUUUUACAUCGACAAUAGCACCAGACCUGGAUCGUGCUACUAAGAGCUGACAUGCAGAUUGGAUCCAAACAUCAAUUGUGGUGUCUUCGCUCCUCGCCCGAUCAUCACCUUCGUUGCGAUGAACUUAAUCACAAACUCGGUGGCCAGAUUAAUCCCAUUGACACUUACGCAGUAGUCCAGAUUCUCUUCUUCGAGAAUCUAGAUACAUUGCCGAUGGGCGUGAUGAGCUCGAUCUCUGCAACCUAGCACAAUGCAGGAGCCAGAGCCGAUCUUCAUCAGUCCACCAACCUCCCACUACAUUGCCACCAUCGACUUUUUCCAUGACGUCCUAAAGGAGCAUGAGCCAAAGGAAGAGGAAAGCGAUGGAAGUUGCCCCGAAUUGAUACCAACACCUUGCUAGCCUUGGGAGGCAACUGCCAUGUACAUGGUUGAUAACAUAGCCAACGCUGAAGAUGACGCUUUCGACGAGCGCGCACUCACAACACGCAUGCCACUGGUACCGAAUACCAACGACACCUCCAAAAAACUAGAAGCCUGCCAUAAGAAGAUGUAGCACCUGCACUUGCGCCAGCAACAGAAGCGCAGUCGCCUCUUAGAAAGGAAGGCCCAACCGUAGCCUCCAUCAGGCUAGUCCAGAAUAGGGCAGAACAUAGUGUAUUAUCUGAAGAUGUGACCAAACUUGUCGCCCGGGCCCGAGCAAUGCAUACAGCAAUACAUGGAGUUGCACCUGCCAAUUCGGCAAUGUUUCACACCCCGCCAUAAACCUUAUGGUUCCAGUGGGGUAGUGAACGACAUCAAACUCAUAGACGAUCAUCUAGGCCAGGAGAAUUGGUUUUUUAAAAUAAUUUAUAUAUGUAAUUUGACCAGAAAAUGAUUAGUUUCAGGAGGGCCUGCAUUGCACCCUUUUUCCUGCAGAUUAGGGAGUAGCAAAAAAUAUUUGUGCUUUGCAGGAUUGCAACUCAUGUCUCCAAAGGCGUCAACCAGCUGACCUAGCAUAUGCUUGUGCUAAAAAUAGGUUCAUUAUUUAAUUAAAAAGUCCCACCUCGACUCUUUGCACGAGAAUACAUCAAUUUAUAUGAAUUUAUAAAUUGUGUGGAAAUUGGGGAGCCAAUUGAAGAAAAAGGAACAGAGGGAGUGAAUGAAUUAAAUGGAUUUGGGAUAGCAUUGUUGACUUGUAUUAAAUAAAUAAAAUUGUUGCAUUUGCAUGGAUAGUUGUGUCAAUAUAAAUUAAUUGAAUUUGUAAUAAAGGCCAGAUUUUGUGAUUGUUGCUAUGAGGGGGAGACCCUAUAAUUAAUGAAUUAAUCCUUUCGGAGUUUACCAAUCUUACGUUAAUAAUCAUUUUCAAGACUUUCAUGAGAUAACCGCAACAAAGGAUGGAAUGGAUUUCAACCUCAGCGUGCGUAUCCCUGCUGACGUCAGGUGGCACCAUUCGGAUGUUGUUGUGUCGCAUGGACAUGUCAAUUACUUCUCCUGUUGCAAUGCACGGGCAUAUGUGCUAGUAAACCUUAUGGUUGCAAUGGGGCAGUGAACGACAUCAAACUCCUAGACGAUCAUCCAGGCCAGGAGAAUUUUGAGCAUGCCAAAAUUUUGCUCCAAACAGUUGUGGUACGACAAAAUGUUUGCAUAGGAUCGAAGACCACGGUGGGGACCGCGAACGACAUGCACAAUAGACAAGUUCACCCCAUCAGAAUCGAAUGUCCACUCGUUCGCAUAGGCAUGCAGUUGCCAACCUGUCUUCGCCGACAUGCUCGCAAAGUCGCGCACUCGCCAACCCCGAGAGAACACCAUUGCCGCACUAUCUGCUGGGAAACAUAGUAGAAAACUAAAAAAUUCGCUGUAUGAUCACAAUCCAGGAACACUAUGAAGAUGCAUUGCAGGUGUAGAUUGGAUCGUUACCAACUUAGAGUUGCACUGUAAGAAGAGUUGAUGUAUAUCAUUGAUGAAAUCCUGUGAACCGUUCACAAAUGAUCCAUCGAGCAGAAGAACGAGCCUAAGAAUAUCCCUCCAUCGUCGGAGGAGCAAAUCCCACUCUUGAGCUAUCUAGCCCCUUGUCACACUUUUCGAUGAACCUGAAAGUUUUCGUUAUGAUCACCGUGUUAUAGAAGACGUUUGAGAAAGCCCAAAGUUUAUUGUCUGGUAUGAAGUGACUAUGAUACUCCCAUGGUACGAUGAACUAAAGUAUACGUUACCUCUCCUUGUUAUAUCAAUAGACUUGUGACGAUUACAUGUUAAAGUAUAACAAUCAAGUUGGAUCAAUUCAAUAUGAUCGUUCUUGUAACAUCAUACAAUCAAUGUUGUUUUGGUAUCCUCGUUACUCUUAACUAAAUACAUAUGAUCAGGAAAACAUGAUUAUCACACAACACUUGAGCUAGUCCUAGGGGCAAAACUAGGAAUCAGAUUUUACUGUUGAUUAUUCUAGACGUGUAUGUGCGUUUCAUCUAAAACGCAUAUUGAAGAAUCAAAGCAAGUAUAUCAUAGAAUAUAAACUCUUAAUUAGAAAUAUAGAAAUAAAUAAUACAAAUAUAAUUUCCUCUAGGGCAUAUUCCAACAAGCUCCCACUUGCCCUAGAGCCAAUAAUCUAGUUACAUAGCUUCUCUAACACCAAUGGCUAUUCGAUGUUACUCAUAUUUUGGUGAUCAUAGAGGCUUCGUCAUUAGGUCUAACACAUUCAAACAAUUGUGAAUCUUGAGUACUUUCACAAAAACUUUAUAUGCUGUCAGAUGAUUUGGUACCUGCGUUCGACAUCCCUAGUCUUCAUGUGGGACCUUGGCUCCUUUUCUUGCGUAACAUCGCCACUAUUAUAACAAUAGAGCUCCAUUGGACUCAACACACUUGGGACCACACCAAUCUCUUCAAGAAACUUCUUUAUCCAGACUGCCUCCUUCAAACCUUUUGAAGCCGCAAUAUAUUCUACCUCCGCCGUACAAUCUGCAACAAUGUUCUGCUGGAAACUUUUCCAAACCACUGCACCACCAUUAAGAGUGAAAACAUAGCCCGGUUGAGAUUUAUAGUCAUUUAUAUAAGUGAUGAAGCUAUUGUCAGUGUAACCACUUACAACGAGCUCUUCAUCUCCUCCAUAUACAAGAAGAAUGUCCUUCAUCCUUUUGAGGUACUUAAGAAUAUUUUUAACAUCUGCCCAAUGAUCCAAUCCCGGAUCACUUUGGAACCUUCUACUGACACUUAGCACAUAAUAAACAUCUGGUCUUGUACAUAUCAUAGCAUACAUAAUAGAACCAAUUGCGGAGGCAUAUGGGAGUCCACUUAUUUGCACACGCUCAUCAACAGUCUUGGGAGAUGAUUCUUGCUAAGUGUUGUGCAAUGUGACAUUGGAAUAAAACCUUUCUUAGUGUUCUCCAUUUUAAGCCUCUUUAAAACCUUGUCCAUGUGCGUGCUUUGGCUUAGCACAAUUAGACGUCUUGAUCUAUAUCAAUUGAUCUUAAUGCCAAAUAUAUAUGUUGCUUUGCCUAAGUCUCUCAUCGAAAACAUACUUUUCAAUGAAUGUUUUGUUGUGCUAAGAAACUUUACUUCAUUCCAACAAUAAUAUGUCAUCCACAUAUAAGAUUAUAAAUGCUAUAGAGCUCCCACUAAAUUUCUUGUAUACACAAGCUUCUUCAUCGUUCUUAAUGAAGCCAAUUUCUUUAACCACUUCAUUAAAAUGUUGAUUCCAACUCCUCCAUACUUGCUUUAAACCAUAAAGUGAUCUUUGAAGCUUGCACACCUUACCGUCAUCCUUAGGAUCUAAAAAACCUUCUGGUUGCAUCAUGUAUACAUCCUCAUUAAGAUUUCCAUUUAGAAAAGUCGUUUUGAUGUCUAUUUGCCAUAUCUUGUAACCGAAAUAUGCAGCAAUUGCCAUCAUAACCGCAGAAUUUAACAUGGAUACUAGCAAAAAAGUCUCGUCAUAGUCAACUCACUCGAUUUGCAAAAAUCCUUUCACAACUAGUCUUGUUUUAUAGAUAAGUAGGAUUACCAUCCGUGUCGGUUUUUCAUUUGAAGAUCCAUUUAUAUUGAAUGUGUUUUACACACUCUUGGGGAUCUACCAAGUUCCAAACAUUUGAUUCUCGUACAUGGACUCCAUUUCGUUUUUCAUGGCUUUAAGCCAUUCUUUUGAACCGGGCGCCUCCAUCGCUUCUCUAUAGUGCGCAGGCUCAUCUUCUUUUAAGAUGAAUAUUUCAUUAUGAAACAAGUCAGCAGGUUCGCUAACUCUUGCUAACAUACGCGGUUCAGUUACAUGCUUAACUAGAUUUUGUACAAUUGGUGUAGUAAAUUCUGGUUCAAUUGUGUGGACAACUUCCAAAACAAUUUCCGGUUCAUUAGUCCAGCUUACUUCCACCAGAGAUUCAACAAUCUCAUAAAGGUGUACUAUCCUCCCACUCACGUCUUUAGGUAGAAACUCUUUCUCAAGAAAGUGUCCAGCCCUUGCAAGAAACAAUUUGUCAUCAGUUGGGCGGUAGAAGGAAUACCCAAUAGUUUGUUUGGGAUAACCUACAAAUUAACAUUUGUCUGAUUUGGCAUUGAGUUUAUUUGGUUGUAAAUGCUUCACAUAAGGUUUCACAACCCCAAAUCUUGAGAUGCGACAAAUUGGGUCUCUUCCUAUUCCAUAACUCAUAUGGUGUCGAUUCAACAGACUUAGACUGUGCUCUGUUUAGUGUGUAUAUUGUUGUUUCGGGAGCAUAUACCCAAAAUUAUAAAGGCAAAUCGGUAAGAGACAUCAUUGGCCUCACCAUGUCAACAUGGUUUGGUUACACCUCUUAGAAACUCCAUUCCUUUGUGGAGUUUCAGGAUGAGUAUAUUCGAAAACAAAUCCAUUAUCACUUAGAUGUUUGUUAAACUCGUGACUUUGAUAUUCGCCUCUGCACUAUGAUCAUAGAAACUUUAUCUUCUUGCCACGAUGAUUAUCAACUUCGUUCUAGAAUUUUUUGAACUUUUCAAAGGUCUCAGGCUUAUGUUUCAUUAAGUAAAUAUUACCAUAUUUAUUAAAACCAUCAGCGAAGGUUACAAAUUAUAAGCAUCCACCGUGUGCCGGUGUGAACAUCGGACCACCAAUAUCACUAUGUAUUAUUUCCAAUAAUUCACCCCCCGUGUUAAGGAUGACCCGUGAACGGGGUCUCAGUUAGUUUACCCAUCAAGAAAGCCUCGCAUGUGUCAAAUGAUUCAAAAUCAAAAGGUGUUAAUACUCCAUAUUUAUGAAGCUUUUGCAUACAUUUCUUUCCGAUGUGACCAAGACAGCAAUGACACAUGUAAGUAUUAUUAUUAGUCUUCUUAAGACAUUUAACUUCUAUGUUAUAGACAUCAUUUUCACAUUCAGGAUCCAAAUUGAAAAAUUGACCGAUAAUAGGUGCAAAGCCAUAAAACAUCUCCUUAUAAUAAAUUGAACACUCAUUUUUCCGAGACAUAUAAUGAUAACCAUAGUUUAUUAAACAUGAUACAGAGAUAAUGUUCUUACAGAAAUCAAAACAAAAUAACAAUUAUUAAGUUCUAAGAUAAAUCUUGAAGGUAAACUUAAAGACAUGACUUUGAUAGCUUGAGCAGAGAUCACAUCACCAUUCCCGACAUGCAUCACGACUUUAUUUCCCUAAGAAAAUCAAUCUAUAGAAUGAGGAUAUUCCACAUAAUCUUACAAAGGUUAAUGUCAAAUGUAUCAUUAAAAUAUAUAAAUUGGUGGCAUCUUACAUCACAAACUGGUUUGAGGUUCUUGUGGCCACGGAGACAGUCGAUAACCCUAAAGCAUAUGGUUUUGAGUCCUAGGGAAUGUAAAGUUUUACAAAGAAAACAUUCAUACAUCGUUAGCGUGGUUUGUAAGAAAGAACAACUAAUUUGCAGAUAAAUCCGUGUAAAACAUAGUUAGUUCACGAGUGGUCAAAGGAACGUUGUAUGUCAGUCACGUGACCGAAUUUUCCCUAUCAACCAGAUUUUGGCCAUAUUUGAACGAAUCAAUGGGUAUAUGUCUUAAACUGAUCACUUUCUGAGUUGUUGGCUUGAAGCAUGCAUCAUUUGAGUUAGUGUAAUGGUGACAAAUUUAGAAGGAAAUAUGCCCUAGAGGCAAUAAUAAAUGUUAUUAUUUAAUUUCUUUAUAUCAUGAUAAAUGUUUAUUAUUCAUGCUAGAAUUGUAUUAUCCGGAAACAUAAUACUUGUGUGAAUAUAUAGACAAACCAAACGUCACUAGUAUGCCUCUACUUGACUAGCUCGUUAAUCGAAGAUGGUUAUGUUUCCUAACCAUAGACAUGUGUUGUCAUUUGAUUAAUGGGAUCACAUCAUUAUGAGAAUGAUGUGAUUGACAUGACCCAUUCCAUUAGCUUAGCACCCGAUCGUUUAGUAUGUUGCUAUUGCUUUCUUCAUGACUUAUACAUGUUCCUAUGACUAUGAGAUUAUGCAACUCCCGUUUACCGGAGGAACACUUUGUGUGCUACCAAACGUCACAACGUAACUGGGUGAUUAUAAAGGAGCUCUACAGGUGUCUCCAAAGGUGAAUGUUGGGUUGGCGUAUUUCGAGAUUAGGAUUUGUCACUCCGAUUGUCGGAGAGGUAUCUCUGGGCCCUCUCGGUAAUGCACAUCACAUAAGCCUUGCUAGCAUUACAACUAAUGAGUUAGUUGCAAGAUGAUGUAUUACAAAACGAGUAAAGAGACUUGCCGGUAAUGAGAUUGAACUAGGUAUCGAGGUACCGACGAUCGAAUCUCGGGCAAGUAACAUACCGAUGACAAAGGGAACAACGUAUGUUGUUAUGCGGUCUGACCGAUAAAAGAUCUUCGUAGAAUAUGUAGGAGCCAAUAUGAGCAUCAAGGUCCCGCUAUUGGUUAUUGACCGGAGACGUGUCCCGGUCAUGUCUACAUUGUUCUCAAACCCGUAGGAUCCGCACGCUUAAGGUUUAGAUGACAGUUAUAUUAUGAGUUUAUGAGUUUUGAUGUACCGAAGUUAGUUCGGAGUCCCGGAUGUGAUCACGGACAUGACGAGGAGUCUCGAAAUGGUCGAGAGAUAAAGAUUGAUAUAUUGGACGGCUAUAUUCGGACACCGGAAGUGUUCCGGGUGAUCUCGGAGAAAACCGGAUAGCCGGAGGGUUAACGGAACCCCCCGGGAGAAGUAAUGGGCCAUAUGGGCCUUAGUGGAGAGAGAGAGGGGCAGCCAAAGGUGGGCCGCGCGCCUACUCCCCCCUAGUCCUAAUUGGACUAGGAGAGGGGGGGGGGGCGCCCCCCUUUCCUUCUCCCUCCCCACUUCUUUCCCCCUCCUAGUAGGAGUCCUACUCCGACUCCUACUAGGAGGAGGACUCCUCCUGGCGCGCCAAUAGGGGCCGGCCGGCCUCCUCCCCUUGAUCCUUUAUAUACGGGGGCAGGGGGCACCCCUAGACACAUAAGUUGAUCCACGUGAUCAUAUUCUUAGCCGUGUGCGGUGCCCCCUUCCACCAUAAUCCUCGAUAAUAUUGUAGCGGUGCUUAGGCGAAGCCCUGCGACGGUAGUACAUCAAGAUCGUCACCACGCCAUCGUGCUGACGGAACUCUUCCCCGACACUUUGCUGGAUCGGAGUCCGGGGAUCGUCAUCGAGCUGAACGUGUGCUAAAACUCGGAGGUGUCGUAGUUUCGGUGCUUGAUCGGUCGGGCCGUGAAGACGUACGACUACAUCAACCGCGUUGUGCUAACGCUUCCGCUGUCGGUCUACAAGGGUACGUAGAUCACACUCUCCCCUCUCGUUGCUAUGCAUCACCAUGAUCUUGUGUGUGCGUAGGAAUUUUUUUGAAAUUACUACGUUCCCCAACAAAUUUCACAGUUGUAUGCCUUAUCGAAGUCUACUUUCAAAUGACACCAUCCAUUUUCAUGGUACAAUUCAUGAACAAAUUCAUGGAAGACCACCACCUUGUCCAUGAUAAUCCUAUCAUGCAUUAACGACAUUUUUGUGGGUUGAACCACUUGGUCGACAACCCCAUUGAGUCAAUCAUAUUCGCCACCUUUAUAAAUAUGAAGUUAAUGUUAAGAAGGCAUGUCAAUAUGUACGAUGGAAAUAGAUUAGCCUCUUUAGUCAUGGGCAUCAAAAUAAUUUCACAAAAAAUAGUCUUAAAAGCUUAGGAUGCUCCACAUGGAGGUCCUCAAACAACUUCCCAACCUCCUAGAAGGUUUGCUAGGCUCGGUUGAGAAGUCAUCUGAUCCAGCCUAUUUAUUAUGAAUACUACUUCGCUCACCCUGUGUUUAGAAAAAAGGGUUCCAAGGAGCUUGUUUUGACCAUCCAAAACCCAUUGAGAUGUCAUCUACUGAAUCAUAUAGAGAGAAAUUACUCUAAUUGGGAGUUCCAAAUAGACAUAUUAUUUGGUUGUAUAAGUUCGUAGGGAAGUCGUGGAGAGAGAGAGAGAGGGUUGCUACAUAGCAACUACAUCAAAAUGGUAGCCUGAAAAAGACACCACUCAAGUGUAAUCAUGAGAGUGCAUAAUACAUCUAUUUAUUCGAGCUGGCUAAGGCCGGUGCUUGAUGACAUAAUAUCACCGACCCAGAGUGACAUAAUAUCACUUCUGUUAACAAGACACUUCUCGCACUUCUCGAUCCGCUUGAAGAUGUGGAGGUACUUGAAGUCUUGGCCGCUGUUGUCCUAGCGAUACAGGGCGGACAUCCGCACCAGCUGCGCCGAGGAAUAAAUAGUUGGCCGGCGUGCAUGGCGAAAAGAAGUGGGGAACCGGUGUGCCAUACCUAAUCCUCAAUGCUGGCAUCACUCAUCGGGUGAGCUACGAUCUCCUCGAAGAUCCCAUGCCAUUUGUUGCAUGCCGCCUGGAUGACCCCCAAUGGUUCGCCAUCGCCUUCGACCCGCGCUGCAUGUAGACGCCUUUGAAGUGGUCGACGAGCUUGCGCUCGUCGAACUCGGAUUUGAUGCGGUCCCAAUACGUCUCGAUGCUCUGGUUCGUGCUGGUGAUCGCGUCGAGGAAGACAACUUUCCACGCUUCGGCGAGGCACUCCUGCUCCUUGGACGCCCACUUGAUGCGCGGCUCACCGGUCCUGGCCGCCCCUUCUUCUUCUUCCAUUUCCUCGCCGGCGCCGGCUCCUCCUUCUCAUCCUCAUCAUCCUCCUCCUGCUCAUCAGGCUUCUCCUCGCCGUAGUCAAGCUUGCCGUCCAUGUCGCCGUUAAGGUCUACUGUGUUGUCCCGCGCAAUGAACACAGGGGACACGGCGGCGGUGGCCGAGCCUGCCGUGAUGAUGUCGUCCAUGUCGGCUUUGGUCGCGUCGGUUGAUAUGUCUCCAACGUAUCUAUAAUUUUUGAUAGCUCCAUGCUAUAUUAUCUUCUAUUUUGGACAUUAUUGGGCUUUAUUAUUCAUUUUUCUAUUAUUUUUAGGACUAACCUAUUAACCGGAGGCCCAACCCAGAAUUGUUGUUUUUUUGCCUAUUUCAAAGUUUCACAGAAAAAGAAUAUCAAACGGAGUCCAAACAUAAUGAAACCUUUGGGAACGUGAUUUUUGGAACGAACAUGAUCCUGGAGACUUGGACCCUAUGUCAAGCAACCAACAGGGAAGCCACGAGGUAGGGGGCGCGCCUACCCCCCCCCCCUAGGCGCGCCCUCCAUCCUCAUGGGCCCUCUGUUGCUCCACCGACGUACUCCUUCCUCCUAUAUAUACCUACGUACACCCAAACGAUCAGAAACGGUGCCAAAACUCUAAUUCCACCGCCGUAACUUUCUGUAUCCAUGAGAUCCCACCUUGGGGCCUGUUCUAGAGCUCCACCGGAGGGGGCAUCGAUCACGGAGGGCUUCUACAUCAACACCAUAGCCUCUCCGAUGAUGUGUGAGUAGUUUACCUCAGACCUUCGGGUCCAUAGAUAUUAGCUAGAUGGCUUCUUCUCUCUUUUUGGAUCUCAAUACAAUGUUCUCCCCCUCUCUCGUGGAGAUCUAUUCGAUGUAAUCUUCUUUUGCGGUGUGUUUGUUGAGACCGAUGAAUUGUGGGUUUAUGAUCAAGUUCAUCUAUGAACAAUAUUUGGAUCUUCUGGAUUCUUUUAUGUAUGAUUGGUUAUCUUUGCAAGUCUCUUCGAAUUAUCAGUUUGGUUUGGCCUACUAGAUUGAUCUAUCUUGCAAUGGGAGAAGGGCUUAGCUUUGAUUUCAAUCUUGCGGUGUCCUUUCCCAGUGUCACACCCUAGCUAGUUCAAGCAUUAGAGUGUGCAUCAUGCUUAAAUUUCUCUUAAAUUUGAAAUGGGGAUGACAGAACCACCAGCACCCCCCUGGAACAACUAGGGUUUACUAAAAACUUUUUCAAUGAACCUGAAAUGCCCUUCUAAAAAGCCCACCCUUUUUGUUUUGGGUUAAAACCUUUGACAAAAAUGGUGCACAUUUUUCUAGGACAUCUUAAGGUCAUUGGAUUAAUUCUUAUAGUAUUUGCAUUUGGGCAUUUAAAUGCUAUAAAAUAUUUUAAGUGCUCAAAUAAUCAUAAACUAAAAUGUUUGCUGUUGGAAGUAUUCUAAGCAGUAGCCAUGAUUAAUUUUAUGAUUUAUGGAAAUGCCCUGGCAUUUUUAAUAAAGCCUUGAAGUUACAGAAAUAAUAGAAUAAAUAAAAACAGACAAGGAGAGAGAGAACAGAGACUUACCUGGCGCAACCCACCUAGCCCACCAGCUCGGCCCAGUCCACUGGCGCCUGCCAGUCGUACUCCUCCUCUCGCCAGGAGGACGAGAGGUGCGUGGCCGGCGCCCGCGGCCACACGCCGGCCACCUCCUGCUUCCACCGAUGCCCCAGACGUGCCUACGAGUGCCACGCACUCCCCCACGUCCCCCUCUCAUUCUCCCCACUCUCCCCGUGGCCCUCUCCCCCUCUCUGGGUCUCUCCCCAUUCCCUGCCGAGUGCAGCCAUCGCCGCCGACAAGCUCCACCGCAGCCACCGCCGUCCACUCGUUGCCUCGCCGUGCCAAGAAGCUCCGCCGUCGUCCACUGCUUCGCCUCGACCCAUCCCCGAGCGCUCACUCGCCCUGGAGACGCUGCACCGAGCACGUCUUCAACCUCGGUCGCCGGAGAUCCCCCAUGCUGCCCCGCUCGCUCCAGCUCUUCCCCGAGCUCGUCGUUCGCUCCCCUGCAACCGCUGUGAGCUACUGACCUUCUCCCCCUCUCCGUGCUAGCUCUCAUGCACCGUACGCGCCGCCUCGAUUUCGCUCGAACGCGCCGCCGUGGAGCUCAUUGUCGACGAGGCUCCGGCCAUGCCACGGCCACGCCACUUAGUCCACUAACCUCACCACGUUUCCAGGAGUCUAACGCACCUUACCACGCGCCUCACCGUGCCCCGCAGCCUCAGUUCUAAGCUCCGGCCGCCACCAAGGUCGAUGCCGGCGACGACUCCGGCCACCCCAGGCCCAACCACCCAUACCACUCGACGCGGACGAGUGCCCGCAUCACUUAGAUGCCCUCCGCCGGCCAUUUGGUCGCCGGAGGAAGAAACCAGCACCCCUCCGCCGUCCCUGGCCUUGCCGGCGACGAGCCCCGGUCAACUUCGGCGAGUUUGAACCGGGUUGACCCCAGUUUGAAUUCCCCUAACUCGCUGGCGUGUGGGCCCGAGGCCACUAAUUAAACUAGAUUAGUAUUAGCUUAACACUAACUAAAUUUAGUUAGUUAGUUGACACUGACAGAUGGGACCCACAGGUCAGGGUUGACCUGGACCGUCUCAGUUGACCGCUGACGUCACACUGACGUCAGGCUGACGCAGUAAAUCCUUUUAUGGAUUUAUUAUUUAAUAGGAAAUUCCAGAAAAUAGCCAAAACUUCUAAAAAUCAUAGAAAAUCAACCAUAGCUCAAAUCAAACAAUUUAUAUAUGAAAAAUGAUCAGAAAAAUUCAAUCUAUCCAUCUGUAAAGGUUUCAUGCAUGACAAAACAAGUUGACCUUGCUGUUUAAGCAAAAUAAGAUAAUGCACUAAUAAGGCUAUGUUAAAUGAGCUAACAUUUGAAUCUUUGAUUCAAAUGAGUUCAUUCCUUUCUGUUUUAGCUUGCAUUAGGCCAAGACACUUUCAUUUUGCCAUGUCAUAGCAUGCAUCAUAUUGUUGCAUAUUGUCAUGUGUUGAUUAUGUUCGAUGUGUCUUUCGUGGUAGGUUCUGCCUCCGAGGAUAACCUCGAGUAUCCGUCUGAAGGGAAGUACCCUACUACCACUACAUCAGGCAAGCAACCAAUUGAUCAUUCCGUUACAAACCCAUGUUCUCGCUUCUGCUCUUGUUUACUGCAUUAAGACAACACGAUUCAAACUGUUGUGUGCUACGGUAGUUGAACCCUUAUCCUCUGCAUGACCUGUCAUUGCCACAGUAACUAGAUGAAACCCACUAGCAUGUGUAGGAGUUGAUUGGGCCAUGUAUGUGUUUCCUACCUUGCUAUGCCUGCUAUGCUUAGAGUUGUGUCAGGUCUGGUUCAUCUGGGUGAUGGGCUAGAGUGAAAUGAUUAUGUCGGUAAUGUGAGGGAUGUGUUGAACAUGAUUUGGUAAAGGUAUCAAUGAGAGGCCACGUAGGAGUACAUGGUGGGUUGUUUCAUUCAGGCCGUCCAUAAGAACUGAGAUCUGUAUGUGUGAUUUAAGAUUCAGUUACUACCAUACAUUGGGCCCGAAACCAAUGGACCCUCUCGGCUUCUUAUUCACCCUAGUACUCUGUCCAGGAGUUGCAAUUAGUUUCUGGUGUUUGUAGGUUAUGUGUUGGCGGCCGUGCGUAGCACUGACCCUAGGGGUGGGCUAUGUUGCGGUAGAUACACUGUGGCACGGUGUACCGAGUCACCCGUUUGGUGUCUCGGGAACCCUGUUCACAUCGUUCAGGGCCGUAUGUGGAAACCUCGGCCGGACUCCCUACGGAUGGAACCUGAAUAGGCGAUAAACCUGGACUAGAGGCUUGAGUGUUUAGGUAGGCCGUGGCCGACACCCUUGUUGGGCUUCCGCUUGAAGGUUGCCGAGUACUUGUCGCGUGAAUGGCGGUAAGUGGUGAAAGCGUGUAUGAAGAAGUACACCCCUGUAGGGUAUAAAACUAUUCGAAUAGCCGCGUCCGCGGUAAAGGCCUACUUGGUUGCCUAUACAGUUCAUAGACAAGCUAAUGGAUACUACUAAAAGACUCAAGAUAAGUGUGAGUACCGAGGAUGGCCCUCUCAUAGGAUGACGAGGGAGGAUCCCCGGUGGAGUAUUGUGUUGGUGAGUACUGGACUCGUGUGCGAAAACUAUUUUACUAGUGCAGUUCCGUAGGAUAGCUUAGCCAAGAGUCAAAGCUGGCUUGCUGCAAUAAUAUCACACCCUCGACGCGACUAUAGCUCCCACGUGUCGAGGCACGACUUAGAGACAUAAUCGCAUUGAAGGCAUAUGUCGCAAGUUAGGCAAUCUUCACAACAUCCCAUGUAACAUGAAUAAUAAAGGGGAGAACAUAGUUGGCUUACACUCGCCACGUCAAUCAAGAACAUAAGUAACAUUACAUCAUCCAAAACACUCAUGGCCCGACUACGGUGCCAAAAUAGAAGAGAACCCAACAUGCGACAUGGUCCCGAUCAAACCCCAACUAGGCACCACUACUGAUCAUCAGGAAAAUACACAUAGUAACGCUGAGAGUCCUCGUCAAACUCCCACUUGAGCUCGUACUCGUCACCUGGAGCGGAAUCACCUGGACCUGCAUCUGGUGUAAUAGUAAUCUAUGAGACACUGGGACUCAGCAAUCUCGCACCCUCGCGAUCAAGACUAUUUAAGCUUAUAGGAAGGGUAAGGUAAAUAUGAGUGGAGCUACAGUAAGCGACUAGCAUAUGUGGUGGCUAACUUAUACGCAGAAGAGAGCGAGAAGAGGAGGCAAAGCGCAAGCGAGAAUCUAGAAGAACAACCUGCGCAAGCAUAACUCCAACACCGUGUCCACUUCCUGGACUCCGCCGGAAAGGGGCCAUCACGGUAACACACAAGGUUGGUACAUUUCAAUUAAUUAAGGUUCAAGUUAACUACAACCGGACAUUAACAAAUUCCCAUCUGCCCAUAACCGCGGGCACGACUUUCGAAAGUUCAAUCCCUACAGGGAGUCCCAACUUAGCCCAUGACAAGCUCUCACGGUCAACGAAGGAAUAGACCUCCUCCCAAGACGUUCCGAUCAGACUCGGUAUCCCGGUAACUCAAGACACUUCGAUAGGUUAAAAAAAAGACCAGGAACACCGCCUGAAUGUGCCGACAAAUCCCGAUAGGAGCUGCACAUAUCUCUUUCUCAGGGCACACUCAGAUUGUCUUAGGUACGGGUAGGCCAGCCCAGAGUUGCCCCUGGUGGCCACCGGCAGCUGACAGGUGGACCAACACUCAGAGGAGCACUGGCCCGGGGGGAGGGGUUAAAAUAAGAUGACCCUUGAGUCUGCAGAACCCAAGGGAAAGAAAAGGCUAGGUGGAAAAUGGUAAAACCAAGCUUGGGCAUUGCUGGAAAAGCUUUAAUCAAGGCGAAAAAUCAAGGGGUUCCCAUUAUAACCCAACCGCAUAAGGAACGCAAAAUCCGGGAACAUAACACCGAUAUGACGGAAACUAGGGCGGCAAGAGUGGAAGAAAACACUAGGCGAGAGGCCGAGCCUUCCACCCUUUACCAAGUAUAUAGAUGCAUUAAGAUAACAUAGCAAUAUAAUGAUAUCCCAACAAGUAAAUAAAAGAUGUUCCAACAAGGAACGGCCUCCAAUCUUCACCUGCAACUAGCAACGCUAUAAGAGGGACAUGGUGGGUUAGAGGUUUGACAUGGCAAUUGGGAGGCUGACAAGCAAAAGGUAGGCAUCAUAGCAUUGGCAUAGCAAAAGAGCGAGCAAACUAGCAUAGCAAAGAUAGUAAUGAUUUCGAGGGUAUGAUCAUCUUGCCUGCACAGUUGUCAGAGUUGACUGGAUCCUCUCAAGCAAACUCAACGGGCUCCUUGGUAGCGAACUCGUCUCCCGGCUCUACCCAAGAAAGACAAACAAGCAACAGGGAUACAAUCAACCACGUGCAAGAACAAGCAAUAUGAUGAAAUGAUGAUAUGCUAUGCGGGAUGCGAUGCGGGAUGCAAAAUGCAAGAUAUGACAGGAAAUGCAUGAACCUGGCCUUAACUUGGAAUUCCAAGGGUGCCACUGGAAAGAUGAGAUGAAAUCGCUUGAAACGAUAUAAAGAACGCCGGAAUCGGAGUUACGGUUUGGAAAUGGCAAGCGAUUCAAAAAUGACACCGGUCUGCGAUUUACAGCAAGUAGGCAUCUAAAUGCAAGGAAAUGAACAUGCAACAGCCACCAAACACGACAAAAAAAUACAUGGCAGGGAUGCACACAAGAUGCUUAACAAAAGACUGGCACUGAGCCACGGCCAAUUCAUCCAUUAUGAGGUUCAAACAAGCAUGGCAAAAACGCAAAUGCAAAACAGAUUCGAGACUUAGUGAAAUUAACACUUGUCUGAAAUUUCAGAUCACGAAGCCCUCUUCGGAGCAGCAAAACAACAUGAUACAUGACCUGAUUAUGACAAGUAAGAACAUGGCAUGGAGCUACUCAACAAGCUUAACAAAAGACCCAAAGUGACCUGGGGCCAAAAGGGUUCAAAAAAAUAUACUAACGGGCACACGAACAUAGCAAAAACAUAAUCAGUUUUCAGACUUAGUGAAAACUAGACAUGCUGAAAUAUAACUCACGAAGGCAUGUAAACAAGCUCGAUGCACUCACUACGGUGCAAGUCAUGGCAAGGCAAGCAUACAUCCAUAAAUAAAACACAAAAUGCUAGCUAGACAUGGCAAAAACAAUGGCAUAGCAUGCACGGAUCAACUACAAUAGCAUCGGCAAAAUCGCAAACUAGUUGACAAUCUGCCCAGAUUCACCAGGAAGCAAAAGUAGAGCUCGAUUGACUCAAGAUAGGGUGCUCCAUAAUUGCAAACGAAGUUAUGGAUGGAUAGAGCAUAACAUGAUUAACAAAACUCCUUUACGGAUCAUCCUCAAAACAGGAACGGAUCACUAGGACACAAGCUGAACAUAUGGCAUCAUGAACUAAAUAAUCCCAGACUUGGUGAAAACUACUAAGUCCCUGAAAACAGAUUUACCGGGUGCCUCACUUUGCAAGCUUGCACAAGUCAUCACACACAUCCUAAAAAUGCAUGGAUUGCACCUCUGGAAAGAAGACAAACUCCUUAAUAAAACAUACGAAGGACUCACAGGCAUAGCAUGCACACAAUAAUCAUGGCAAAAAUGACAAAAGUCUAAGAUGAACUAGCAGAUCUGACAAUUAACUCAUGAAGCCCUCUUCUAACAGCAUUUCGGGAAUAAAGAUGAACUCAAAUGAAAAUUACGCAAUGGAAUGUAUUGAUGUACUCGUCGAGACUAACAUUUUGAUAUACAAUAUGCCCAAAUCGGAGCUACGGAUGCGGAGAUACGGCCGGUCAAAGUAGGCAUAAAAAAUUAGGGUUUGGAGGGAAAGUCAACCGAGAUAUUUUCAGAUCCAGAUCCAGCGCGGUUCCCGAUGCACUCGCCGGAGUCUCGCUGGAGUUCCUGUUCACCGGGAAGGAGGACGAUGCCGGAGGGGGAGAGGAUGACCGGGGCGGCGAGGAGGUCGGUGGAGAGGGCGGCGGAGCCGGCCGGCCGAUGGUGGCGGGCGUCGGCCGUGGCGCCGGCGAGGCNNNNNNNNNNNNNNNNNNNNNNNNNNNNNNNNNNNNNNNNNNNNNNNNNNNNNNNNNNNNNNNNNNNNNNNNNNNNNNNNNNNNNNNNNNNNNNNNNNNNNNNNNNNNNNNNNNNNNNNNNNNNNNNNNNNNNNNNNNNNNNNNNNNNNNNNNNNNNNNNNNNNNNNNNNNNNNNNNNNNNNNNNNNNNNNNNNNNNNNNNNNNNNNNNNNNNNNNNNNNNNNNNNNNNNNNNNNNNNNNNNNNNNNNNNNNNNNNNNNNNNNNNNNNNNNNNNNNNNNNNNNNNNNNNNNNNNNNNNNNNNNNNNNNNNNNNNNNNNNNNNNNNNNNNNNNNNNNNNNNNNNNNNNNNNNNNNNNNNNNNNNNNNNNNNNNNNNNNNNNNNNNNNNNNNNNNNNNNNNNNNNNNNNNNNNNNNNNNNNNNNNNNNNNNNNNNNNNNNNNNNNNNNNNNNNNNNNNNNNNNNNNNNNNNNNNNNNNNNNNNNNNNNNNNNNNGCGGCGGCGGCGACCGGGCCUUCGCGGGCCGGAUCUGGGCCCCGCGGGCCGCGCGGAGAGAGAGAGAGAGCUGCCGGGUGAGGUGGCGGGCGCCUAUUGGCUUGGAGCGGCGGCGGGGAUGACGUGGCGCGACGCCACUGGCCGGAGCGAGGUGGAAGGCGGACGUGUUCGUCGGUGGAAGAAACGUCCGGGCGCGAGGUGGAAGAGGACUAGGGUUUGUACCGCGAAUGUUUCGGAGGGGAUCACAUAUAUAUAGGUAGAGGGAGCUAGGAGAGUCCAAAUGAGGUGCGGUUUUCGGCCACGCGAUCGUGAUCGAACGCUCUAGGACAUGGAGCAGAGUUUGGUGGGUUUUGGGCCAAAUUGGAGGGGUGUUGGGCUGCAACACACACGAGGCCUUUUCGGUCCCUCGGUUAACCGUUGGAGUAUCAAACGAAGUCCAAAUGACACGAAACUUGACAGGCGGUCUACCGGUAGUAAACCGAGGCCGCUUGGCAAGUCUUGGUCCAAUCCGGAAAUGUUUAAUCCCCACUCACGAAAGAAAGCUAGAAAUGACCACCAGAGGAGAACGAAGCACCGGAAUGCAAAACGGACAACGGGAAAAAAAAUGCUCGAAUGCAUGAGAUGAACACGUAUGCAAAUGCAAUGCGCAUGAUGACAUGAUAUGAGAUGCAUGACAAAGAAAACAACACACGGAGACAAAGACCCGAACCCGGGAAAUAAAUAUAACUUAACGCCGGAAAUGGCAAGAGUUGGAGUACAAAUUGGGAAAGUUAUAUCCGGGGUGUUACAACACUCCACCACUACGAAAAGAUCUCGUCCCGAGAUCUAGGACUGAAAGAAUGCCGGGUACUCAGAAUGGAGGUGAUCCUCGCGUUCCCAGGUAGCUUCACGAUCGGAAUGGUGUGACCACUUGACUUUGAGAAAUUUGAUUGACUUGUUGCGAGCCUUGCGUUCAGUCUCUUCAAGAAUAGCAACUGGGUGCUCACGAUAAGAGAGAUCUUCUUGGAGCUCAAUGUCCUCGAAGUUGACGGUGCGGUCAGGAGUCUUGAAGCACUUUCGGAGCUGAGAGACAUGGAACACGUCAUGAACAUUGCAAAGUUUGAAGGAAGCUCGAGUUGAUAGGCGAGGUCGCCUCUCUUGCUGACAAUCUUGAAAGGUCCCACGUAUCUAGGGGCAAGCUUCCCUUUGAUACCGAAGCGACGAGUACCUUUCAUAGGAGAGACGCGGAGGUAAACAUGAUCUCCGAUCUCGAAAGCCAAAUCAUGGUGCUUACUAUCAUAGUAGCUCUUCUGGCGGGAUUGGGCUGCUUUGAGGUUAUCACGAAUGACUUUGCACAUUUCUUCUGCCUCUGUGAUUAAGUCAUUACCCAGCAGCUGACGUUCACCGGUUUCAGACCAGUUGAGAGGGGUACGGCACUUCCUGCCAUACAGAAUUUCAAAAGGGGCCUUGCCCGAACUUGCUUGAAAACUGUUAUUAUAGGAGAAUUCAGCAUAAGGAAGACAAUCCUCCCACUUCAUGCCGAAGGAGAUCACACAAGCCCUGAGCAUAUCUUCAAGAAUCUGGUUGACACGCUCGACUUGACCGCUUGUUUGAGGAUGGAAAGCUGUGCUGAAGCGGAUGUUGGUGCCCAUGGCCUUCUGAAAAGAAUCCCAAAACUUCGAGGUAAAGAUGCUGCCACGGUCUAAAGAUAUCACUUGAGGAAUAACGUGCAGAGAGACAAUUCGAGAGGUAUAGAGUUCCGCCAAUUGAACUGCAGUGAUCGACUCUUUGAUAGGCAGAAAGUGAGCCACUUUGGUGAGUUUGUCGAUGACAACAAAUAUAGCAUCAUUGCCACGCUUGGACUUUGGAAACCCAGUCACGAAGUCCAUUUCAAUGUGGUCAAACUUCCAUUCUGGAAUGGCAAGAGGUUGGAGGAGACCUGCUGGCCUUUGGUGUUCUGCCUUCACUCUUCUGCAGACAUCACAUUCAUUCACGAAUUGAGCGAUCUCGCGCUUCAUUCGAGUCCACCAAUAAGCUUGCUUAAGGUCCUGAUACAUCUUCGUACUCCCAGGGUGGAUGGAGAGGAGAGAAUUGUGAGCCUCGUUCAUGAUCACUUUACGGAGGUCACCUUUGGGCACAACAAUACGAUCCUCGAAGAAGAGAGUGUCCUUGUCGUCAAGGCGGUAGCACUUGUACUUGGACUGACUCUUGGCAAUCCCAAUCCUCACCUCUUUCACCAUAGCAUCAAGAAGCUGGGCUUGGCGAAUCUGGUCUUCUAAGGUAGGAGAGACUUGAAGGUUGGCGAGGAAACCUUGAGGAACAACUUGCAGAUUAAGUUUGCGGAAAGCUUCACAAAGCUCGGGUUGAUAAGGCUUAAGAAUCAGACUGUUGCAGUAAGCCUUUCUGCUCAAAGCGUCAGCAAUCACAUUGGGCUUGCCUGGAGUAUACUCGAUACUCGGAUUAUACUCUUGAAUCAUUUCGACCCAUCGAGUUUGCCUGAGGUUGAGAUUAGGCUGAGUGAAGAUGUACUUGAGACUCUUGUGAUCAGUGAAAAUAUCCACUUUUCUUCCCAAUAGAAGAUGUCUCCAAGUCAACAGAGCAUGCACAACUGCCGCCAACUCGAGAUCAUGAGUGGGGUAGUUCUUCUCAUUAGGCUUCAACUGGCGAGAUGUAUAGGCAACAACUUUCUUCUCUUGCAUCAAAACUGCGCCAAGACCUUGGAGAGAGGCAUCACAAAAGACCUCGUACGGCUUGUAUUCAUCAGGCGGAGUCAGAACUGGAGCAAUGAUCAACUUCUCUUUCAAAGUGUUGAAAGCAAUAUCACACUCCGGAGACCAAACGUACUUGACGUGCUUCUGAAGAAGAUUAGAGAGAGGCUUCGUGAUCUUAGAAAAGUUUUCAACGAAUCUUCGGCAAUAGCUUGCGAGACCGAGAAAACUACGGAGUUUCUUCAUGUUCUGAGGAGGUUCCCAAUUCACAAUAGCAGACACCUUCUCAGGAUUCACGGCAAUGCCCUUGGCAGAGAUGAUAUGGCCAAGAUAAAGAACCUCAUCGAGCCAAAAUUCACACUUGGAGAACUUGGCGUAGAACUGAUGUUCUCUGAGCUUAUCAAGAACCAAACGCAAGUGCUUGGCAUGAUCUUCCUUGUUCUUCGAGAAAACCAGAAUGUCAUCGAGAUAGACCAAAACGAAGUCAUUGGUGUAGGCAUUGAAGAUGAAGUUCAUCAUGCGAGAGAACGUCGGAGGAGCGUUGGCGAGGCCAAAAGACAUGACAGUGUAUUCAUAUGAACCAAAGCUUGUUCUGAAUGCUGUCUUGGGAAUAUCUUCUUCACGAAUGCGAAUCUGGUGAUAACCCAUACGGAGAUCAAGCUUGGAGAAUACUUGGGCACCUUUGAGUUGUUCGAACAGCUCAUUGAUGUUGGGAAGUGGGUAUUUGUUCUUGAUGGUCUUCUUGUUCACUGGACGGUAAUCAACACAAACUCGGUCCGUUCCAUCCUUCUUCUUCACAAAAAGAACACCACAACCCCACGGAGAAGAACUAGGCCGGAUAAGACCCAUUCUUUCUUGCUCAUCGAGUUUCUUCUUCAGCUCCUUCAACUCUUCAAGUCCGAGCUUGUAAGGACGCUUGCACACAGGUUCCGUGCCAGGCUCAAGUUCAAUAACGAAUUCCACUGGCCGGUGCGGAGGCAUUCCUGGGAGCUCUUCUAGAAAGACUUCUUGAUAUUCGCAAACGACUGGAAUUUGCGAGAUGGCAUCCAAUUCACCCUUCUCAUUGAGAGAAAACAGACGGAUGGUAUUAUCCCGAGCGGCAAAGACAAUUACAUCCUCAGGCGAAUGAGUCAAUUGAAUCUGCCUGGCUGCACAAUCAAGCUGAGCCUUGUGCUUAGGAAGCCAAUCCAUCCCGAGAAUAAGAUCAAUAUCCGAGUCACCGAGAACCGUUGGCGAAGAUAGAAACUUGUAGUCACCCAAAGUGAUAGAAACAACCGGAACUAUGGAUUUAGCCUGCAUGCGCUUACCGGGAGAGACAACUGCUAAAGGACUAGGCAAAAUUUGCAAAGGCAAACCAUGCUUAGAUGAAAACGGUCUCGAGAUGAAACAAUGCGAUGCACCCGUGUAAAAAAGAACUUUUGCUGGAAUAUCGUUAAUAGGAAGGUUACCCAUGAUCACAUCUGACGAGUCCUCUGCCCGAGCUGCAUUCAUCAAAUUGACCUUGGCAUGCUUGGGGUUAUGCUUGACCACAGCUGAACUUGCCGAUCUCACAGGAGGAGGAGGAGGAAGACGCCUAUGGUUGAGACACUUGUUGGCAUAGUGACCCUUCUGUUGGCACUUGUUGCACGUGACCUCUGAAAGCGGAUGGUGAUACGGAGCACUCGAUCUUGGAGCUUGAGACGAAGCCUUGUUCUGAAAGCCAGGGUUGGGUGGGUGGGAAGAACCACUGCCACCUUUACUCUUCUGCUGAUACGGCUGACGAACGGAGGAGGAGGAAGCCAAAACUUCUGCUGCUUGGCCACUUGAGUAGAGGAAGAAGGAGUAACAUCUCUGACUCGCUUCUUGGAAGCAUCACACCUCAACUGAGCAGCCUCUUGCUUCAGUGCCAUGUUGUAGAACUCAUCGUAUCUCAAGGGCUCAAAGAGAACAAGAGCGAGCUGAAUAUCUUCUCUGAGACCACUCCUGAACUGAUAUAUCAUGCUCUUCUCAUCAGGCACGUCCUGCUUGGCAAAGCGGGCAAGCUUCUGGAACAACUUGUUGUAGUCAUAGACAGACAAAGAGCCUUGCUUCAGACUGCGGAAUUCCUCACGCUUGCUUUCAAUCACGCUCUGCGGAAUAUGAUGAGCUCGGAAAUCUCGACGGAAAUCAUCCCAAGUGAUAACACGUCCACUCUAGAGUCCUUGCACUGCUGGAACCAUUCUGCAGCUUGAUCUUUGAGUUGGAAGGAAGCGAACUUGACAAAGUCCUCAGGCCUGACAUUACUGCACUCGAAAUGCUUACACAGAUCCACAAGCCAAUCGUCAGCAUCGGUUGCCUCAACACAAUUGCUAAAAGUCUUUGGCCCGUUAGCAAGGAACUGGUUGAGUGUAGCAAAGUGACUCUGAUUGCUGCCUUGAUUCCCUUGACUGCCUUGAUUGCGCUCUUGAAGAAUUUGCAUGAUCAGCUCUGUGUUUGCAUUGGUUGCGGCCAUCACAGCUUGCCAUGCCUCUGGAGGAGGUGGAGGCGGUGGCGGAUCAGGAUUCGGAGUCGUGCGCGUUGGAGGAGCCAUCCUGAAGAGGUUGACCACCAUUAGCACAUUGACAGACAAAUAUUGAAGCUGAAUCCAACGGAAUGAAAAUUGCAACAUAUAGUCUUCACAUCUGAACAAAAUGAACGAAUGCCUUCCUCUUCAAAUGGUCCCAUAUCCAUAAAUUGAGAAGCCACGUAGAACUAAGGUAGAGAAAUAAUCAACAAGGUACUGAUCAAGAACGAAUAAUCGGUCAGAAAUCCCAAUCUCAAACCAAUAUCCGUGGAAGAAGAACUAGAGCUACUAGAAUUCCCACCUAUGAAACUCCCGAACCUUUCCAGUUAUGCAAUCAGGUGUUGGGGAUACAGGGGAAGCAUAAUAAUUCACCCAAACUAGCAAAUCCUACAUCCAGAUGUAUCCAUCCUUCAACACAUAACCAAGAAAACUUCGGAAACCAUCUACCUCAACCUUCGAAAAGCAUCCGUUAUACAAGUUAUGGUGAUACUCCCGAACUCCCGCCCCAGUACUGGGUGGCGUCGAGGUUAUCUCAUCAACGAACUGCAUAAAAGAGAUUUUCGAUGUCGGCGAAAAUAUCUCAAGUAUUCCAGAAUUGCAACGAUAAAAUUAUGAUGACAACACCUCAGAGCUCAACUCCCCGGGACACUUCCACUAAACCCCUGACAGGAGGCACCAAGACAAUGUUCUCAUCAUAAGCCAUCGGAACGAUUCCAAGAUACUCGCGUGAUCCUAAAUUUUUUUUAGCGAAAUUUGAGAAGAGAAGAGUCAAAACACUACGUCAGGAUGCCUUACCAGAGUGAUGAGGAGACUGGGAAGUAAAAAGAAUUCCUAAGCUCUCCGAUAUAUAAUUCCUAAAGAUUCAAAACAUUUUUCUAGACACAACUCGGCCACUAAAAACGAUCAAGCAAUGGGGCUCCUAAGGUCGGGGAAGGCUUUGAUUACCAACUUAUCACACCCUCCAUGCGACUAUAGCUCCCAUGUGUCGAUGCACGACUUAGAGACAUAAUCGCAUUGAAGGCAUAUGUCGCAAGUUAGGCAAUCUUCACAACAUCCCAUGUAACAUGAAUAAUAAAGGGGAGAACAUAGUUGGCUUACACUCGCCACGUCAAUCAAGAACAUAAGUAACAUUACAUCAUCCAAAACACUCAUGGCCCGACUACGGUGCCAAAAUAGAAGAGAACCCAACAUGCAACACAGUCCCGAUCAAACCCCAACUAGGCACCACUACUGAUCAUCAGGAAAAGACACAUAGUAACGCUGAGAGUCCUCGUCAAACUCCCACUUGAGCUCGUACUCGUCACCUGGAGCGGAAUCACCUGGACCUGCAUCUGGUGUAAUAGUAAUCUGUGAGCCACUGGGACUCAGCAAUCUCGCACCCUGGCGAUCAAGACUAUUUAAGCUUCUAGGAAGGGUAAGGUAAAUAUGAGUGGAGCUGCAGUAAGCGACUAGCAUAUGUGGUGGCUAACUUAUACGCAAAAGAGAGCGAGAAGAGGAGGCAAAGCGCGAGCGAGAAUCUAGAAGAACAACCUGCGCAAGCAUAACUCCAACACCGUGUCCACUUCCCGGACUCCGCCGGAAAGGGGCCAUCACGGUAACACACAUGGUUGGUACAUUUCAAUUAAUUAAGGUUCAAGUUAACUACAAUCGGACAUUAACAAAUUCCCAUCUGCCCAUAACCGUGGGCACCGCUUUCGAAAGUUCAAUCCCUGCAGGGGAGUCCCAGCUUAGCCCAUGACAAGCUCUCACGGUCAACGAAGGAAUAGACCUCCUCCCAAGAUGUUCCGAUCAGACUCGGUAUCCCGGUAACUCAAGACACUUCGACAGGUUAAAACAAGACCAGCAACACCGCCCGAAUGUGCCGACAAAUCCCGAUAGGAGCUGCACAUAUCUCUUUCUCAGGGCACACUCAGAUUGUCUUAGGUACGGGUAGGCCAUCCCAGAGUUGCCCCUGGUGGCCACCGGCAGCUGACAGGUGGACCAACACUCAGAGGAGCACUAGCCCGGGGGGGGGGGUUAAAAUAAGAUGACCCUUGAGUCUGCAGAACCCAAGGGAAAGAAAAGGCUAGGUGGUAAAUGGUAAAACCAAGGUUGGGCAUUGCUGGAAAAGCUUUAAUCAAGGCGAAAUAUCAAGGGAUUCCCAUUAUAACCCAACCGCGUAAGGAACACAAAAUCCGGGAACAUAACACCGAUAUGACGGAAACUAGAGCGGCAAGAGUGGAACAAAACACUAGGCGAGAGGCCGAGCCUUCCACCCUUUACCAAGUAUAUAGAUGCAUUAAGAUAACAUAGCAAUAUAAUGAUAUCCCAACAAGUAAAUAAAAGAUGUUCCAACAAGGAAUGGCCUCCCAUCUUCACCUGCAACUAGCAACGCUAUUAGAGGGGCUGAACAAAGCGGUAACAUAGCCAAUCAACGGUUUGCUAGGACAUGGUGGGUUAGAGGUUUGACAUGGCAAUUGGGAGGCUGACAAGAAAAAGGUAGGCAUCGUAGCAUUGGCAUAGCAAAAGAGCAAGCAAACUAGCAUAGCAAAGAUAGUAGUGAUUUCGAGGGUAUGAUCAUCUUGCCUGCAAAGUUGUCAGAGUUGACUGGAUCCUCACAAGCAAACUCAACGGGCUCCUCGAUAGCGAACUCGUCUCCCGGCUCUAUCCAAACAAGACAAACAAGCAACAGUGAUACAAUCAACCACGUGCAAGAACAAGCAAUAUGAUGAAAUGAUGAUAUGCUAUGCGGGAUGCGAUGUGGGAUGCAAAAUGCAAGAUAUGGCAGGAAAUGCAUGAACCUGGCCUUAACUUGGAAUUCCAAGGGUGCCACUAGAAAGAUGAGAUGAAAUCGCUUGAAAACAAUAUAAAGAACGCCGGAAUCGGAGUUACGGUUUGGAAAUGGCAAGCGAUUCAAAAAUGACACCGGUCUGCGAUUUACAGCAAGUAGGCAUCUAAAUGCAAUGAAAUGAACAUGCAACAGCCACCAAACACGACAACAAAAUACAUGGCAGGGAUGCACACAAGAUGCUUAACAAAAGACUAGCACUAAGCCACGGCCAAUUCAUCCAUUAUGAGGUUCAAACAAGCAUGGCAAAAACGCAAAUGCAAAACAGAUUCCAGACUUAGUGAAAUUAACACUUGUCUGAAAUUUCAGAUCACGAAGCCCUCUUCGGAGCAGCAAAACAACAUGAUACAUGACCUGAUUAUGACAAGUAAGAACAUGGCAUGGAGCUACUCAACAAGCUUAACAAAAGACCCAAAGUGACCUGGGGCCAAAAGGGUUCACAAAAAUAUACUAACGGGCACACGAACAUAGCAAAAACAUAAUCAGUUUUCAGACUUGAUGAAAACUGAGACAUGCUGAAAUAUAACUCACGAAGGCAUGUAAACGAGCUCGAUGCACUCACUACGGUGCAAGUCAUGGCAAGGCAAGCAUACAUACAUAAAUAAGACACAAAAUGCUAGCUAGACAUGGCAAAAACAAUGGCAUAGCAUGCACGGAUCAACUACAAUAUCAUCGGCAAAAUCGCAAACUAGUUGACGAUCUGCCCAGAUUCACCACGAAGCAAAAGUAGAGCUCGAUUGACUCAAGCUAGGGUGCUCCAUAAUUGCAAACGAAGACAUGGAUGGAUAGAGCAUAACAUGAUUAACAAAACUCCUUUACUGAUCAUCCUCAAAAGAGGCACGGAUCACUAGGAAACAAGCUGAACAUAUGGCAUCAUGAACUAAAUAAUCCCAGACUUAGUGAAAACUACUAAGUCCCUGAAAACAGAUUUACCGGGUGCCUCACUUUGCAAGCUUGCACAAGUCACCACACACAUCCUAAAGAUGCAUGUGUUGCACCUCUGGAAAGAAGACAAACUCCUUAAUAAAACAUAUGAAUGACUCACAGGCAUAGCAUGCACACAAUAAUCAUGGGAAAAAUGACAAAAGUCUAAGAUGAACUAGCAGAUCUGACAAUUAACUCACGAAGCCCUCUUCUAACAGCAUUUCGGGCAUCAAGAUUAACUCAGAUGAAAAUGAUGCAAUGGAAUGAAAUGAUGUACUCGUCGAGGCGAACAUUCUGAUAUACUAUAUGCCCAAAUCGGAGCUACGGAUGCGGAGAUACGGCCGGUCAAAGUAGGCAUAAAAAAUUAGGGUUUGGAGGGAAAGUCAACCGAGAUAUUUUUAGAUCCAGAUCCAGCGCAGUUUCCGAUGCACUCGCCGGAGUUCCUGUUCACCGGGAAGGAGGACGAAGCCGGAGGGGGAGAGGAUGACCGGGGCGGCGAGGAGGUCAGUGGAGAGGGCGGUGGAGCCGGCCGGCCGGUGGUGGCGGGCGUCGGCCGCGGCGCNNNNNNNNNNNNNNNNNNNNNNNNNNNNNNNNNNNNNNNNNNNNNNNNNNNNNNNNNNNNNNNNNNNNNNNNNNNNNNNNNNNNNNNNNNNNNNNNNNNNNNNNNNNNNNNNNNNNNNNNNNNNNNNNNNNNNNNNNNNNNNNNNNNNNNNNNNNNNNNNNNNNNNNNNNNNNNNNNNNNNNNNNNNNNNNNNNNNNNNNNNNNNNNNNNNNNNNNNNNNNNNNNNNNNNNNNNNNNNNNNNNNNNNNNNNNNNNNNNNNNNNNNNNNNNNNNNNNNNNNNNNNNNNNNNNNNNNNNNNNNNNNNNNNNNNNNNNNNNNNNNNNNNNNNNNNNNNNNNNNNNNNNNNNNNNNNNNNNNNNNNNNNNNNNNNNGAGAGAGAGAGCUGCCGGGUGAGGUGGCGGGCGCCUAUUGGCUUGGAGCAGCGGCGGGGAUGACGUGGCAUGACGCCACUGGCCGGAGCGAGGUGGAGGGCGGACAUGUCCGUCGGUGGAAGAAACGUCCGGGCGCGAGGUGGAAGAGGACUAGGGUUUGUACCGCGAAUGUUUCGGAGGGGAUCACAUAUAUAUAGGUAGAGGGAGCUAGGAGAGUCCAAAUGAGGUUCGGUUUUCGGCCACACGAUUGUGAUCGAACGCUCUAGGACAUGGAGCAGAGUUUGGUGGGUUUUGGGCCAAAUUGGAGGGGUGUUGGGCUGCAACACACACGAGGCCUUUUCGGUCCCUCGGUUAACCGUUGGAGUAUCAAACGAAGUCCAAAUGACACGAAACUUGACAGGUGGUCUACCGGUAGUAAACCAAGGCCGCUUAGCAAGUCUCAGUCCAAUCUGGAAAUGUUUAAUCCCCACACACGAAAGAAAGCUAGAAAUGACCACCGGAGGAGAACGAAGCGCCGGAAUGCAAAACGGACAACGGGAAAAAAUGCUCGAAUGCAUGAGAUGAACACGUAUGCAAAUGCAAUGCGCAUGAUGACAUGAUAUGAGAUGCAUGACAAAGAAAACAACACACGGAGACAAAGACCUGAACCCGAGAAAUAAAUAUAACUUAACGCCGUAAACGACAAGAGUUGGAGUACAAAUUGGGAAAGUUAUAUCCGGGGUGUUACAAAUAACCCCACCACCUUCUUGAGAAUGAGCAUGUAUAGUAGGUUCUGAUGUAAGACUUGCUGAGUACCUUUGUAGUCAUGUUUGCUUAAUUACUGUUUUCACAUGACAACACCGCCCCUCUGAUGGGUUUUAUGUAGACCUCGACGUCGAUGAGUAACUCGCCACCCAGGUUGUGACCCUGGCCAUGGAGGGCCCUAUGUAGAUAGACAGGCUUCGAAAAGCCUUCUUGCUUUCUAGUGUCUGUACUCAGACUAUUUGCUUCCGCAUGUGCUUGUAUGCUUGUAUGACUUGAGUGUCGGGUCAUGUGACCCCUACCUGUAUGAACAUGUUAUGUAUGGCUCUCUAGAGCCUUUAAAUAAAGUACUUGAGUUGUAGAGUUUUGUUGUGAUGCCAUGUUGUAUGUACUCAUAUCGGGCAUAUUGUGUGUAUGAUUGAAAUGCUUGGUAUGAGCGGGAUCCGACAAUCUAGUUGUUUAUCCUUGGCAGCCUUUCUUAUGGGGAAAUGUAGUCUAGUGUUCCUCGAGCCAUAGUAGUCCACUACAGCCCGGUUCACCGGAGUCCUGCUAGCCCAGCACUACUGCUCAGGACACUUGACUGGCCGGCAUGUGUUUCACUUCAUUCCUAUGUCUGUCCCUUCGGGGAAAUGUCACGCGGUGACAUCCGGAGUCCUGCCAAGCCUGCUACAGCCUGGGUUCCCUGAAGUCCUGUUAGCCUAGUGCUACAGCUCGGAUUCACUCGCUGAUGACCGACAUGCUCGAUGUGAUUCAUGUAUGCCUGUCUCCAUAGGUCUGCGCCACUUUGGGUUCAUGACUAGCCAUGUUGGCCCGGGUUCUCUGUCAUAUGGAUGCUAGCGACACUAUCAUAUACGUGAGCCAAAAGGCGCAAACGGUCUCGGGCCAUGGUAAGGCGACACCCGUGGGAAUACCGUGCAUGAAGCCGCAAUGUGAUAUGAGGUGUUACCGGCUAGAUCGAUGUGACUUGGAAUCGGGGUCCUGACACCCAGUGAUAGUAGGGGCAGCAAGGCAUGUAUUGUAUUGUUGCCAUCAAGGAUAACAAGAUGGGGUUUAUUUCAUAUUGCAUGAAUUUAUCCCUCUACAUCAUGUCAUCUUGCUUAAAGUGUUACUCUGUUCUCUUGAACUUAAUACUCUAGAUGCAUGCUGGAUAGCGGUCGAUGUGUGAAGUGAUACGUCUCCAACGUAUCUAUAAUUUUUGAUUGCUCCAUGCUAUAUUAUCUACUGUUUUGGAAAUUAUUGGGCUUUAUUAUGCACUUUUAUAUUAUUUUUUGGGACUAACCUAUUAACAGGAGGCCCAGCCCAGAAUUGAUUUUUUUUGCCUAUUUCAGAGUUUCGCAGAAAGGGAAUAUCAAACGGAGUCCAAACGGAAUGAAACCUUCGGGAACGUGAUUUUCGAAACGAACAUGAUCCAGGAGACUUGGACCCUACAUCAAGAAAUAAAGGAGGAAGCCAUGAGGUAGGGGGCGCGCCUACCCCCCCCAAGCCCGCCCUCCACCCUCGUGGGCCCCCUGUUGCUCCACCGACGUACUCCUUCCUCCUAUAUAUACCUACGCACCCCCAAACGAUCAGAAACGGAGCCAAAAACCUAAUUCCACUGCCGUAACUUUCUGUAUCCAUGAGAUCCCAUCUUGGGGCCUGUUCUAGAGCUCCGCCAGAGGGGGCAUCCAUCACGGAGGGCUUCUACAUCAACACCAUAGCCCCUCCGAUGAAGUGUGAGUUGUUUACCUCAGACCUUCGGGUCCAUAGUUAUUAGCUAGAUGGCUUUUUCUCUCUUUUUGGAUCUCAAUACAAAGUUCUCCCCUCUCUUGUGGAGAUCUAUUUGAUAUAAUCUUCUUUUUGCGAUGUGUUUGUUGAGACCGAUGAAUUGUGGGUUUAUGGUCAAGAUUAUCUAUGAACAAUAUUUGAAUCUUCUCUGAAUUCUUUUAUGUAUGAUUGGUUAUCUUUGCAAGUCUCUUCGAAUUAUGAGUUUGGUUUGGCCUACUAGAUUGAUCUUUCUUGCAAUGGGAGAAGUGCUUUGCUUUGGGUUCAAUCUUGCGGUGUCCUUUCCUAGUGACAGUAGGGGCAUCAAGGCACAUAUUGUAUUGUUGCCAUUGAGGAUAACAAGAUGUUUUUUUUAUCAUAUUACAUGAAUUUAUCCCUCUACAUCAUGUCAUCUUGCUUAAGGCGUUACUCUGUUUUCAUGAACUUAAUACUCUAAUGCAUGCUGGAUAGCGGUCGAUGAGUGGAGUAAUAGUAGUAGAUGCAGGCAGGAGUCGGUCUACUUGUCUCGGACGUGAUGCCUAUAUACCUGAUCAUACCUAGAUAUUCUCAUAACUAUGCUCAAUUCUGUCAAAUGCUCAACAGUAAUUCGUUCACCCACCAUAAAAUACUUAUGCUCCUGAGAGAAGCCACUAGUGAAACCUAUGGCCCUCGGGUCUAUCUUCAUCAUAUAAAUCUUCCAAUACUUAGUUAUUUCCUUUGCUUUUUACUUUGCAUCUUUAUCACAAAAAUACCAAAAAUAUUAUCUUAUCAUAUCUAUCAGAUCUCACUCUCGUAAGUGACUGUGAAGGGAUUGACAACCCCUUAUCGCGUUGGUUGCGAGGAGUUAUUUGUUUUGUGUAGGUACGAGGGACCCUCGCGUAGCCUCCUACUGGAUUGAUACCUUGGUUCUCAAAAACUGAGGGAAAUACUUACACUACUUUGCUGCAUCAUCCUUUCCUCUUCAAGGAAAUCCAACGCAGUGCUCAAGAGUUAGCAAGAAGAUUUCUGGCGCCGUUGCCGGGGAGUCUACGUAAAAGUCAACAUACCAAGUACCCAUCACAACCCUUAUCUCCUGCAUUACAUUAUUUGCCAUUUGCCUCUCUGUAGGUGUCAAAACCGGCGGAUCUCGGGUAGGGGGUCCCGAACUGUGCGUUUGAGGCGGAUGGUAACAGGAGGCAGGGGACACGAUGUUUUACCCAGGUUCGGGCCCUCUUGAUGGAGGUAAAACCAUAUGUCCUGCUUGAUUUAUUCUUGAUGAUAUGGGUAUUACAAGAGUUGAUAUACCACAAGAUUGGAGAGGAUAAACCCUAGAAGCUAGCCUAUGGUAUGAUUGUAUGUUGUCCUACGGAGUAAAACCCUCCGGUUUAUAUAGACACCAGAGGGGGCUAGGGUUACACAAGGUCGGUUACAAAGGAGGAGAUAUACAUAUCUGUAUUGUCUAGCUUGCCUUCCACGCCAAGUAGAGUCCCAUCCGGACACGAGUCGAAGUCUUCAAUCUUGUAUCUUCAUAGUCCAACAGUAAGGCCAAAGGAUAUAGUCCGGCUGUCCGGAGACCCCCUAAUCCAGGACUCCCUCAGUAGCCCCCGAACCAGGCUUCAAUGACGAUCAGUCCGGCGCGCAGUAUCGUCUUCGGCAUUGCAAGGCGGGUUCUUCUCCAAUUUCCAAGUGUUUGUAAGCAGUGUCCGGUCCCAUAAAUGUUCGGACAUCUUGGCUUCUAUGCCCAAUAAGGGCUAUCACCCACGCGUCGAAUGAAUACGAGGCGCCGGGGCGUUUUGACAUUCGCCCCCCUAGCCAGAUAAAUAAAUUGUCUAUUAAAGGAGCGGGGAUUCUUAGAUCCGAUCCAUACCAUCCUCCCCUAGCGAUAAUCCAUCAGAGCGCGUUUCGGAAAGAUCCAUUCCAGCAUGGCCGACCUCCGCAGCUCCUCCUCCCGCCCCGUAGCCCUAAGCCCGGUGAUUGGGUGAGGUGUUCACUCCCGCACAGUCGAUUAGUCGAACUGCAGACCAAGGGAUUUCUCCCUCCGGCGUAUAUGGUGCCCGUUCGAGCCGGGCUUGCCACCUACAAUGGCGGGGAGCAAGCGGAGAGCUUUCCCUGUCCCUCCAUGGGGGAACGGGUUUGCCUUGUUCCUUAUUUACUGAGGGGACUCGGAUUUCCAAUUCAUCCGUUUCUUCGCGGGCUCCUGGAGUUCUACGGCCUCCAAUUACACAAUCUCACCCCUGCCUCCAUUCUACAUAUCGCCGGCUAUGUUCUCUCUGCGAGUUGUUCCUGGGCUGCGAGGCUCACUUCGAGCUGUGGGAAAGGCUAUUCUGCCUCGUCCCUCGCACACAGAGGGAAUCACUUUAUCAAGUGGGCAGAGCCAAAAUAUGGCGCAUUGCCGAUACCGGAGACCUGUCCGGUACCCCAAAGAAGUCGUCCGAAGACUGGCCUUCAGAAUGGUUUUAUAUGGAGGAUGUUCCCCUUCCGGACCCUGUUUGGCGGGGUCUUCCUGAGUUCAACAAUGCUCCUCUAAAGAAGUGCCGAAGUUGGCGCCCACGGAGCGCCCAGGCGGAAGACAACAGGGAAGUCCUCUAUCUGAUGAACCGGAUCAAAUCACUGGCUCAAUCAGGAUUGAUAAUAAUCGAAGUUAUGUCGAUUUGCAUAAUGCAAGGAGUGCAGCCACUUCAAUAUCACGGGCACCCCUUGUGGUGUUAUAACGGGGCGGAUGAUGCCACCCGCUGCGGGCGUAAGGGUCCGGACAAUGCUGCCGCUCUAGCGAAAAUUCUGUCCGAACUGUUCAAGGGUGAGGAAGAGGAGUUCACCCGCAUCAAGCCACGGGAUGGAUUCUUCAUGUACAAUCCUCCAAGCUGGGUAAGUUAUAUUUCCCUUCUCCCAUUUUUCCCGCAUUCUUUGUCAUAAGUAUUCACCUUUCCACUUUGCGCAGGAACUGCGAAAAGCCAUAAAGGAGGUCAGCAGCCCCUCUCCACAACUAGAGGACCCUGACCGGGCCCUCGACUCUGGACUUGAAGAAGAUUUGGUUAUCUCCGUGGAGCUGAUAGACCGGUAGUUCUAUCAGUUAAGCUGCGACAAUGCCACGGUGGCCAUUACGGUCGACUAUCCCGGACUGCUCCCUGCAUCGCAAGUAAGAAAAACCAAAAAAUGCUAACUACAAAAACUAGGAUCCCCUUUUAAACACUUCACCCACCAUAUACACAUGGCAUUUUUUAUAGGGAAGGCAUUCGGGACGCCCUGCCGAACCCGCAGCAACUCGUCAACCAGAGGCACCGAGGCCGGGUAGGCCAAAAAGGAAGGCAGUCAGGACGGAGACGUCGGUGCAAAGGUAUAAAAACCCCGCUCCUUGGUUGUCGUCUUUCUUGAAGUUUAAUGACACCCGUGUUUCUUUAAUAGAAAAAACGCUCGCCGGAAUAUGUCCGGCGAUGUUGCCGAUCAUGCCUCCACCAGUUGGGCGCCAGGACCGGACAUAGAGGCGAAAGCCGAUAUGGGGUAGGUGCCGGAUAAUCCUCCUACAGAGGAUGUGAAUAGAUUAUCCGCUACUAACUCAGAAGUGGAAAGCGCCAUGAAUCAUAGGCGCCGCCGGGCCGUACUCCGUGACACUUGUUUCUCACCAGAGGCAUUUGAUGCCUUCAAUUCUGGAGAGGCGUACCUCCGUGACACUGAAGAUGGUCCAGCCAGAGCCACGGAUCAGUAUGUAAAGGAUGUACGGGUGAGUGAAUUUGGUGAUUUAUAUGUAUCAGUAGCCCCUGAGACUUGAAACAGUUAGCAGAACUGAUUUAAGGAUCAUCUUUAUUGUGUAGGUUCUUACAGAGAAGAAUACUAGGCUGUCCCAGGAGCUGGAGGAAUGCAAGAUCCAACUGCGGGCCGCUGUUGCCGCAUUGCAGGAACAGAAAAAACCUCCCGCUGGUAACAUUUACUUUAAAGAAUUAUGGUUACCAUAUAGUGUGCGGCUUGGCUGCAGAUCUAACAACAGAUGUUGGAGAUGAAUCCGGAGAGAAUCCGGAGGUCCAGCAUGUUAUGCGACAGCUAGAGGCUGGCAAACGCGUGCUGACUGAAGUUAGGUGAGAGAAAAACAAUCUCCAAGAUGCCAAUAUUAAGCUGAGCGUGGAACUAAAGGACGUUCGUGGCCAGCUUGCAGACACCGAGAAGGAGAAUAAGCGGCUUCGGUGCGGCAUUUUCAGUAAGUGCUUGAACGAAUCCUUUUAAAGGAGUUCGGCGAAGAAGUUGACUAACAACGUUAUGCCUGUAGGUAUGCUGAUGGGUCGUCCCGCGGAGGAAAUGCCCGGGUCUGCGGGUGAUCUUCUGUCCAAGCUGUCACAUCUGCACGAACAAGUUCGGCAGGUGAUGCAGGGUGUUGCCCAGGCCUUGUGGCCGUCCGUCUCCCCACCAGAGGGCGUUGCCGAGCUUGCGGAGAAGCUCAAGGGAGCACGACGGCGCUUCCUAUUAUGGAAGAUAUCUGCCUGCCGAUAGGGUGCCAGAGAAGCCUGGGCCAUGGUGAAGACCCGGUAUACCAAGGUAGACCCAAAUCACAUGGCCGAAGUCGGACCUGUGGGACCCGACGGAAAAGAGAUCCCUGUUAGCUUAGUUUAUGGGCAAGUAGAAUUAGCCGCAAAGUGUUCUCAACAAGAUUGUAAGCUAGACCGCCUGUUGGAUGGUAUAGAAGAGGAAUUUAGUCAGUCUGCAUGACUAUGUAAUUAAAGUGACAUGUAUAAUGCCUUCUAGCCGGAUUGUAGAUCAUUUGUCGUUGCGGACCUUUUGGCUUCAACCUCCGGGCCCAAUAGUCCGGAGUGUAUCCGAAUACCCGCUCAGUUAUAUAAGAACCUGUGGUAUGCGUGGAGACCAGGCGUAGGGGUCAUUAGUGAUUUAUCAGACAAGUGCCCAACUAGUUAUGUUAUAUUACAUGGGUAGUAAGAAACAUCUUCCAGGGAGAAUAGUUCCGUUAAGGGUUCCUUUCCCUGGGUAAGCAUGCCCUAAAGUGCAUGUCCGGACUGCGAUAGGAAACGCAGGAAAAACAUCUGGGGGCAGAUAUGGACAAUAAAAUAAAAAUCAUCUUUUGUUCACUGACCGAAUAUUCCCUUUAGAACGCUAGCUUUCGGCUUCACCCAGUCUGAGGUACACAUCCGGCUGACCCGGCAGUAACAAUCGCAGAGGUGCUCCCCUUAUGCCCUAGCCGAAUUAACGGGAACGUAGGGCAUAAAUACAAGAGCCAGGCAACCCAGCUUGGCCAAAACUUAAGUCAUAUCGAUGCAUAUAAUGGUGAAAAAAGGGUACAUGCGGAAGUAUAACACAUGUGUGGGGCAUGAAGCCCAGAUAGAUAAUUUAAGCUUCUGUGAAAGAAGCCCCCAGGUAUGAAGAGUACGGCUAGCGCAUCUGUAAUGUGCAAGCGAGGCACAAGGUGACCCUUGAAGGCCUAGAGAAAUAGUAAAAGAAAGAAAGAGAACAAGAUGGAUAAUGUAGAUGCAGAAAAUGGACAAAGGGAGGGGACUAACAUAGAGUCCGGCGCUAGGCGUAGAAUCUUCGGAGCCUCGCCGCGUUCCAUGGGUUCGGCUCGAGUCGACUAGUCGAUGCAUCCCGCAGUCGGUACGCUCCACCGAUCAGAACUUGGUCAAUAAUGAAGGGACCUUCCCAUUUGGGCUCGACCUUGUUCUUUUUCUUAUCCCGCUGGCGUAGAACUAGUUUGCCAAUGUUAUAAGUUUUGGCCCGUACUUCUCUGCUUUGGUAUCUGCGAGCCUGUUGCUGAUAAAAUGCGGAACGGGCUUUGGCUAUGUCGCGCUCCUCCUCCAGGGUGUCCAAACUGUCCUGCCGAUCAAGUUCGGCUUCUCUUUCUUCAUACAUGCGUACUUGAGGUGAGUCAUGAAUUAUGUCACAGGGCAAGACCGCCUCUGCGCCGUACACCAUAAAGAAGGGUGUAUAUCCGGUACUACGAUUCGGCGUGGUCCGCAGCCCCCAGAGUACGGAGUCGAGCUCCUCUACCCAGAGCGUGUUAGACUCCGUUAAGAAGCGCACUAAUCUAGGUUUGAUGCCGCUCAUUAUAAGACCGUUUGCUCGCUCGACUUGACCAUUGGUUUGUGGGUGAUAGACUGAAGCAUAAUCAAGCUUGAUGCCCAUUUUGCUGCACCAGAGUUUUACCUCGUCGGCCGUGAAGUUCGUGCCAUUAUCAGUGAUGAUGCUGUGGGGGAUGCCAUAACGGUGUACAACCCUGGAUAUGAAGUCUAUCACCGGUCCGGAUUCAGCUGUUUUAACAGGUUUGGCCUCUAUCCAUUUUGUGAAUUUAUCCACCAUGACCAAUAAGUAUUUUUUCUUGUGGGUUCCCCCUUUGAGGGGUCCAACCAUCUCAAGCCCCCAGACCACAAAGGGCCAUGUAAUGGGGAUUGUUUGCAGGGCGGUGGGUGGCAUGUGGCUUUGAUUUGCAAAGAGCUGGCAACCGACGCAGCGUUGGACCAAGUCCUGUGCAUCUGCCCAGGCCGUUGGCCAAUAGAAUCCUGUACGGAAGGCCUUGCUUACAAGAUCCGGGCUGCGGCGUGAUGAUUGCCGAGUCCGGCAUGAAUUUCUGCCAAAAGAUUCUGCCCUUCCUCUUCGAAGAUGCACCUUUGAAGGACUUCGGUAGUACUUUUUUUGUACAAUUCUCCCUCAUGGACCCUGUAGGCCUUGGAUCGCCGCACUAUGUAGCGUGCCUCAUUUUGGUCCUCCGGAAGUUCAUGUCUAGUUAGGUAGGCCAGGAAUGGUUCUGUCCACGGGGCAACAAUGGCCAUUAUUUCGUGGGCUGAAGGUGUUAUUUCGGUGGCAGAGCCUCCGAUUGUGUCAGAGAGUUCGGUAUAGGGUCUUUUGGCCGGGUCCGGACUGUUGUUACCGGUGUCCCCUUCCCAUACUACGGAUGGCUUGAACAGCCUUUCCAAAAAUAUGUUGGGGUGGACCGCAUCACGUUUUCCGCCGAUGUGGGUGAGGAUAUACGCCGCCUGAUUGUUUUCUCGAGCCACAUGGUGAAAUUCGAGCCCCUCGAACCUAGCUGACAUUUUUAGGAUGGCGUUUCGAUAGGCCGCCAUUUUGGGAUCCUUGGAGUCAAAGUCUCCAUUUAUUUGGGAUAUUGCAAGUUUUGAAUCCCCACACACCUCCAGGCGUUGAAUGCCCAUGGAGACUGCCAUCCGAAGACCAUGCAACAGAGCUUCGUAUUCGGCUGCAUUGUUGGAGUCUGUAUACAAUAUUUGCAAUACAUACUGAACGGUAUCUCCGGUUGGGGACGUCAGGACGACGCCAGCCCCUAGACCAGCCAGCAUUUUAGAACCGUCGAAGUGCAUGAUCCAAUUGGAGUAUGCGCCGUACUCUUUAGGGAGUUCGGCCUCCGUCCAUUCGGCGACGAAGUCGGCCAAUACUUGCGACUUAAUGGCUCGUCGAGGUUUGUAUGUUAUGUCGAAUGGGAGGAGCUCAAUGCCCCAUUUGGCAAUCCGGCCCGUAGCGUCGCGGUUGUUUAUAAUAUCAUUAAGUGGCACUUCCGAUGCUACUGUAAUCGAACACUCCUUAAGGUAGUGUCGUAGCUUCCGCGAUGCCAUGAAUACCGUAUAUGCUAUCUUUUGGUAAUGCGGGUACCGUGAUUUGCAUGGAGUGAGGACAGUGGAUACAUAGUAUACCGGCUUCUGAAGAGGGAAUUUAUGUCCGUCCGCUUCCCGUUCGAUAACGAGCACCGCCCUUACAACUUGAUGAGUUGUCGCAAUGUACAACAGCAUUGGUUCGCCGAUGUUUGGUGCGGCCAGGAUUGGGUUGGUUAACAAGAUGGCCUUUAUUUCUUCAAAUCCGGCUGUGGCCGUGUCCGUCCACUCGAAGUGUUCGGUGCGCCGAAGGAGGCGAUAAAGGGGUAAAGCCUUUUCUCCUAAGCGGGAGAUAAAGCGGCUUAGAGCCGCCACGCAUCCAGUUAACUUCUGGAUUUGUUUGAGGUCUGUUGGGGUAGCCAACUGUGACAAAGCUCGGAUUUUGGCCGGAUUAGCUUCAAUACCUCUACUGGAGACAAUGAAACCCAGGAGCUUUCCGGCUGGUACACCAAAAACGCAUUUUUCCGGAUUGAGCUUGAUGUCGUAUGUUCGGAGGUUGUCGAAUGUGAGCCUCAAGUCGUCUAUCAAAGAGUCGACGUGUUUGGUUUUGACGACCACAUCGUCUAUGUAUGCCUCUACUAUUUUGCUGAUUUGUUUCUCCAGACAUGUCUGAAUCAUGCGCUGAUAUGUCGCGCCGGCGUUUUUGAGCCCAAAAGGCAUUGUGUUAAAACAGAAGGGACCGUAUGGUGUGAUGAAUGCCGUUGCGGCUUGGUCGGACUCCGCCAUCUUGAUUUGGUGGUAGCCGGAGUAUGCGUCGAGGAAACACAAUGACUCGUGUCCUACCGUAGCAUCAAUGAUUUGAUCGAUGCGUGGGAGGGGGAAGGGAUCCUUUGGGAAAGCUUUAUUGAUGUAUUUGAAAUCGACACAAAGGCGCCAGGAUUUGUCCUUCUUUGGUACCAUCACCAGGUUUGUUAGCCAGUCCGGAUGUUUUAUUUCUCUGAUGAAUCCGUCCUCCAAUAACUUGGCUAGUUCAUCUCCCAUGGCCUGUCUCUUAGGUUCGGAGAAACGCCGAAGAGCUUGCUUGACCAACUUGAAUCCCUUUAGGAUAUUGAGGCUAUGCUCGGCCAGCCUGCGUGGGAUUCCUGGCAUGUCUGAGUGAUGCCAUGCGAAUAUGUUCCAGUUCUCGCGAAGGAACUCUCGUAGUGCGGCGUCCACAGUGGGGUUUAACUGUGCCCCGAUGGAGGCUGUUUUUGUAGGUUCCGUUGGGUGGACUUGGAAUUUGACUAUUUCAUCCGCUGGUUUAAAAGAGGUGGACUUGGAUCUCUUGUCGAGUAUCAAGUCGUCCCUGUCCACUGUGGAGCAUAGCGUGGUUAAUUCCUCGGCUAAGAGGGCUUCGGAUAAUGCCUCGAGGGCUAGUGCGGCUGUUUUGUCUUCAGCGCGGAGUGCUAUGUCCGGAUUGCUGGCAAGAGUGAUGAUUCUGUUCGGCCCGAGCAUUUUGAGCUUCAUGUACCCGUAAUGGGGUACGGUUUGGAAGAUUGUGAACGCCUCCCGUCCUAAAAGAGCGUGAUAACCACUGCUGAACGGGGCCACUUAGAAUGUGAUUUCUUCAGACCUGUAAUUAUCCGGCGUGCCGAAUACCACAUCUAGUGUGAUUUUCCCAGCAUAGCAUGCUUCCCGACUGGGGAUGAUUCUUCUAAAGGUUGUACUACUUUGCUCAAUGCGGUUCUAGUCUAUUUCCAUCUUUUGAAGAGUUUCCUCAUAGAUGAGGUUUAAUCUGCUGCCGCCGUCCAUGAGUACUUUGGUGAGUCGAAAGCCGUCCACGAUUGGACUGAGGACCAGUGCGGCUGUGCUCGUGCUGUUCGGAAUUUAGGUUCUUCACUGGCAUUGAAGGUAAUAGCAGUGUCACUCCAUGGAUUUAUUGCUGCUACGUGGCAGAUUUCGGCAAUGUUGCGGAGUGUUCGCUUGCGCCUAUUAUUUGACGCGAAUGUCUCAAACACUGUUAACAUCGUAUUGUUAUCCAUGGGAUGGUGCUCUGUGGUAUUUGGGAUAAGAAGAUCCUCACCACUUUUGGCCACCUGCCGGAGUAUCCAACAUGCUCUAAGGCUGUGCGUUGGUAUUAUAUCCGCUGUACUAUGAAUUUUGCAGGGUCCGUUGAGCCAUCCCUCUAGUACGGUUCCAUGCCCCGUAGAGGGUUUUUGCUUUUUGGUAAUUGUCCCGGGUGUAUUGUGGUAAUGCACCCUUUUAUUUCCGACUGGGUUUGUAUUCAGGGUCGGAUUAUCCCAAAAGUUUGUUUUGGUUUUCCAGGCACUUUCCAUUGCACUGCACUUUCGUACUAUGGAUGCCAAGUCAGCAAAGCAUGUUAUCUCAUGGUGAUUUAUGGCGUUAAGGAUUCCCUUGUCCGUGCAAUUAUUGCAGAAAAAUAGGAUUGCGUCUUCCUCGCGACAGUCCUUAACCUUGUUUAUCGCAAGGAGGAAUCUGGCCCAAUAGUGAUGUACUGUUUCUUGGGGCUCUUGCCUGAUGUGGGAAAGAUCACUUAUGUUUGGGUGGGUGGGUGGAAUUGAAUCCGAACCCCUACCCGAUCUGGGAUCCAGGGGCCGAGGAGUUUCCAAUUUUGGAAGUUCCGGUUUCGGGAUGUUACCCGGUAAUCCUGGCCCGCUGCCUGACUCUAAGUUCGGGGAUUGGAUGUUGUCCUCCCACGAACGGGCGUCCGACUCGGAGAGCUCGAGAAUCUGGACAUAAUUGGUCCUCAAGAUAGAGGAAAGGUUGCCGCAUUGUUCUUCCACCACUGCAAUAUGAUGGGUGACCGGUGGUGAGUUAAUCUCCCUUUGAUCUGGUUUAAUCCCAAUCCGAUCAUAGUCCGUAGCGACUCCCAAGGAGGCGAUGCGAUCCAAGAGCUCGUUUAAGGAGGCGAGCUCCAUUGGAUCCAUCUGUUCGGCAAGUGCCGAUUUGAUGUGGAGGUUGUUUUCGAUGACCCGAGAAGUCAUCGUCGGCGCGGCGGGCGAACAGGCGGUCAUGAUGAAACCGCCUACCCGGAGAGUUUGGCUGACAGCCAAAGCUCCUCCAGCAGUAGUACCGUCUCUAAAGACGAGACGAGACAUCCUUCCUUCUGGGGACGGAACAGAGGAACUCUCAAUGAAAGCACCAAUGUCAGUGUCAAAACCGGCGGAUCUCGGGUAGGCGGUCCCGAACUGUGUGUCUGAGGUGGAUGGUAACAGGAGGCAGGGGACACGAUGUUUUACCCAGGUUUGGGCCCUCUCGAUGGAGGUAAACCCCUACUUCCUGCUUGAUUUAUUCUUGAUGAUAUGGGUAUUAAAAGAGUUGAUCUACCACGAGAUCGGAGAGGCUAAACCCUAGAAACUAGCCUAUGGUAUGAUUGUAUGUUGUCCUACGGAGUAAAACCCUCCAGUUUAUAUAGACACCGGAGGGGGCUAGGGUUACACAAGGUCGGUUACAAAGGAGGAGAUAUACAUAUCCGUAUUGUCUAGCUUGCCUUCCAUGCCAUGUAGAGUCCCAUCCAGACACGAGACGAAGUCUUGAAUCUUGUAUCUUCAUAGUCCAACAGUCCGGCCAAAGGAUAUAGUCCGGCUGUCCGGAGACCCCCUAAUCCAGGACUCCCUCACUCUCGUUUUCCUCUCCCCCACUUCACCCUUGCCAUUUUUAUUCGCCCUCUCUCUCUCUAUCCUCCCUCUCUUUCUCUAGUUGCCUCUUUUUGCCCGCUUGCUUUUUGUUUGCUUGUGUGUUGGAUUGCUUGCUUGUCACGGUGGCUCAAGAUAACACUAAAUUGUGCGACUUUACCAAUACCAACAACAAUGAUUUUAUUAGCACUCGGAUAGCUCCUCUUAACGAUGCUGAAUCUUGUGAAAUUAAAGCCGCUGUGCUGAAUCUUGUCAUGAAAGAUCCGUUUUCCGGCCUUCCUAGUGAAGAUGCCGCUACCCAUCUAAAUAGCUUCGUUAACUUGUGUGAUAUGCAAAAGAAGAAAGAUGUGGACAACGGUAUUGUUAAGUUGAAGCUAUUUCCCUUUUCGCUUAGAGAUCGUACUAAAGCUUGGUUUUCAUCUUUGCCUAAAAAUAGCAUUGAUUCUUGGAACAAGUGCAAAGAUGCUUUUAUCUCUAAGUAUUUUCCUCCCGCAAAGAUCAUCUCCCUUAGAAACGAUAUUAUUAAUUUUAAGCAACUUGAUCAUGAACAUGUUGCACAAGCUUGGGAGAGGAUGGAAUUAAUAAUACAUAAUUGCCCUACUCAUGGUUUGAAUUUGUGGAUGAUUAUACAAAAAUUUUAUGGCGAAUUGAAUUUUACUUCUAGAGUUCUUUCAGAUUCGGCCGCGGGAGGCACUUUUAUGGAAAUCACUUUAGAAGAAGCUACUGAAAUCCUAGAUAAUAUUAUGGUUAAUUAUUCUCAAUGGCAUACUGAAAGAUCUACUAAUAAAAAGGUGCAUGUGAUGGAAGAAAUUAAUAUUUUGAGUGGAAAGGUGGAUGAACUUAUGAAAUUAUUUGCUAUUAAGAGCGUUUCUUCUUAUCCUAAUGAUAUGCCCAUGUCUACUUUGAUUGAGAAUAAUAAUGAAUCUAUGGAUGUAAAUUUUGUUGGUAGGAACAAUUUUGGUAACAAUACGUAUAGAGGAAAUUUUAAUCCUAGGCCUUAUCCUAGUAACCCCUCUAAUAAUUAUGGUAAUUCCUACAACAAUUCUUAUGGAAAUUAUAAUAAGAUGCCCUCUGAUUUUGAAUCUAAUAUUAAAGAAUUUAUUACAUCACAAAAGAAUUUCAAUGCUUUGAUAAAAUUGCUUAAGAUUGAUGAGUUGGCUAGGAACGUUGAUAAAAUUUCACUUGAUGUUGAUUCUUUGAAACUUAGAUCUAUUCCUCCUAAGCAUGAUAUCACUGAGUCUCUCAAAGCCAUGAGAAUUUCCAUUGAUGAGUGCAAAGAAAGAACUUCUAGGAUGCAUGCUAAGAAAGAUGCCUUUAUAAGAGCGUGUUCUAAUUCAUAUGAAAAUAAAUAUGAAGAUCUAAAAGUUAUUGAUGUGUCCCUAUUAAAUCUUUGUUUUGCAAUAUGAAUCUUGAUAAUGAUGGGACUGAAUAUGAUCCACCUUUACCUAGAAGGCGUUUCAAAAAUUCGGAGUUUUUAGAUCUUGAUGCUAAAUUUGAUGAAAGUGGGAUUGAAGAAAUUAAAACCCUAAAUGUUGCUAAACCCACUAUUUUGGAUUUAAAGGAAUUUAAUUAUAAAAAUUGCUCUUUGAUUGAUUGUAUUUCCUUCUUGCAAUCCGUGCUAAAUUCUCCUCAUGCUUAUAGUCAAAACAAAGCGUUUACUAAACAUAUCGUUGAUGCCUUGAUGAAAUCUUAUGAAGUAAAACUUGAGUUGGAAGUUUCUAUCCCUAGAAAACUUUAUGAAGAGUGGGAACCAACUAUUAAAAUUAAGAUUAAAGAUCAUGAGUUAUAUGCUUUAUGUGAUUUGGGUGCUAGUGUUUCCACGAUUUCAAAGACCUUGUCUGAUUUGUUAGGUUUCCGUGAUUUUGAUUAUUGCUCUUUAAACUUGCACCUUGCGGAUUCCACUAUUAAGAAACCAAUGGGAAGAAUCAAUGAUGUUCUUAUUGUCGCAAAUAGGAAUUAUGUGCCCAAAGAUUUUAUUGUUCUUGACAUAGAUUGCAAUCCUUCAUGUCCUAUUAUCCUUGGUAGACCUUUCCUUAGAACGAUUGGUGCAAUUAUUGAUAUGAAGGAAGGAAAUAUUAGAUUCCAAUUUCCAUUAAGGAAAGGCAUGGAACACUUUCCUAGAAAGAAAAUUAAAUUACCUUAUGAAUCUAUUAUGAGAGCCACUUAUGGAUUGCCUAUCAAAGCUGGCAAUACCUAGAUCUAUCCUUGCUUUUUAUGCCUAGCUAGGGGUGUUAAACGAUAGCGCUUGUUGGGAAGCAACCCAAUUUUAUUUUUAUUCCUUGCUUUUUGCUCCUGUUUAGAAAUAUAUAAUUUACCUAUCCUCUGUUUUGGUUUUGUUUUUUGUGUUUAAUUAGUGUUUGUUCCAAGUAGAACCGUUAGGAAGACUUGGGGGAAAGUCUUGUUAUCUUGCUGUAAAAAACAGAAACUUUAGCGCUCACAAGAACUACUGCCAUUUUUGUUUGGAAAGUGUUAUUUAGUUAAUUAUUUUUGCAGAUUAUUAAUAGAUAAAUUCCUCACGUUCAGCAAUUUAUUUUUGAAUUUUUGGGGUUCGAGAUCUUGCGCUAGUUACAGAUUACUACAGACUGUUCUGUUUUUGACAGAUUCUGUUUUUCGUGUGUUGUUUGCUUAUUUUGAUGAAUCUAUGGCUAGUAAAAUAGUUUAUAAACCAUACAGAAGUUGGAAUACAUUAGGUUUAACACCAAUAUAAAUAAUUAAUGAGUUCAUUACAGUAUGUUGAAGUGGUCUUUUGUUUUCUUUCGCUAACGGAGCUCACGAAAUUUUCUACUUUAAGUUUUGUGUUGUGAAGUUUUCAAGUUUUGGGUAAAGAUUUGAUGGAUUAUGGAACAAGGAGUGGAAAGAGCUUAAUCUUGGGGAUGCCCAUGGCACCCCCAAGAUAAUCUAAGGACACCUAAAAGCCAAAGCUUGGGGAUGCCCCGGAAGGCAUCCCCUCUUUCGUCUACUUCCAUCGGUCAGUUUACUUGGCGAUAUAUUUUUAUUCACCACAUGAUAUGUGUUUUGCUUGGAGCAUCUUGUAUGAUUUGAGUCUUUGCUUUUUAGUUUACCACAAUCAUCCUUGCUGCACACACCUUUUGAGAGAGCCAUACAUGAUUUGUAAUUUGUUAGAAUACUCUAUGCGCUUCACUUAUAUCUUUUGAGUUAUAUAGUUUUGCUCUAGUACUUCACUUAUAUCUUUUAGAGCACGGUGGUGGAUUUGUUUUAUAGAAACUAUUGAUCUCUCAUGCUUCACUUAGAUUAUUUUGAGAGUCUUAAAUACCAUGGUAAUUUGCUUAAAUAAUCCUAAUAUGCUAGGUAUUCAAGAUUAGUAAAAAUCUUCUUAUGAGUGUUUUGAAUACUAAUAGAAGUUUGAUGGUUGAUGAUUGUUUUGAGAUAUGGAGGUAAUAAUAUCAAAGUCCUACUAGUUGAGUAGUUGUAAAUUUUAGAAAUGCUUGUGUUGAAGUUUGAAAGUCCCGUAGCAUGCACGUAUGGUAAACGUUAUGUAACAAAUUUGAAACAUGAGGUGUUCUUUGAUUGUCCUCCUUAUGAGUGGCGGUCGGGGACGGGCGAUGGUAUUUUCCUACCAAUCUAUCCCCCUAGGAGCAUGCACGUAGUGCUUGGUUUUUCAUGACUUGUAGAUUUUUGCAAUAAGUAUGUGAGUUCUUUAUGACUAAUGCUGAGUCCAUGGAUCAUACGCACUCUCACCCUUCCAUCAUUGCUAGCCUCUUCGGUACCGUGCAUUCCCCUUUCUCACAUUGAGAGUUGGUGCAAACUUCACCGGUGCAUCCAAACCCCGUGAUAUGAUACGCUCUUUCACACAUUAACCUCCUUAUAUGUUCCUCAAAACAGCCACCAUACCUACCUAUUAUGGAAUUUCCAUAGCCAUUUCGAGAUAUAUUGCCAUGCAACUUUCCACCAUUCUGUUUAUCAUGACCCAUUCAUAAUUGUCAUAUUGCUUAGCAUGAUCAUGUAGUUGACAUAGUAUUUGUGGCAAAGCCACCGUUCAUAAUUCUUUUGUACAUGUCACUCUUGGUUCAUUGCAUAUCCCGGUACACCGCCAGAGGCAUUCAUAUAGAGUCAUCUUUUGUUCUAGCAUCGAGUUGUAAUCGUUGAGUUGUAAAUAAAUAGAUGUGUGAUGAUCAUCAUUUUCUAGAGCAUUGUCCCAAGUGAGGAAUUAAAAAAAGGAGAGAAAGGCCAUAAAAAAGAAGAGAAGGCCCAAAAAAAGAGAUAGAGCAAAAGAGAGAAGGCACAAUGCUACUAUCCUUUGCCACACUUGUGCUUCAAAGUAGCACCAUAAUCUUCAUGAUAGAGAUUCUUUUGUUUUGUCACUUUCAUAUACUAGUGGGAGUUUUUCAUUAUAGAAAUUGGCUUGUAUAUUCCAACAAUGGGCCUCCUCAAGUGCCCUAGGUCUUCGUGAGCAAGCAAGUUGGAUGCACACCCACUUAGUUUCUUUUGUUGAGCUUUCAUACAUUUAUAGCUCUAGUGCAUCCGUUGCAUGGCAAUCCCUACUCCUUGCAUUAACAUCAAUCGAUGGGCAUCUCCAUAGCCCAUUGAUAAGCCUCGUUGAUGUGAGACUUUAUCCUUUUUUGUCUUCUCCACACAACCCCCAUCAUCAUAUUCUAUUCCACACAUAGUGCUAUGUCCAUGGCUCGCGCUCAUAUAUUGUGUGAAAGUUAUAGGUUUGAGAUUACUAAGGUAUGAAACAAUUGCUUGUCUUGUCAUCGGGGUUGUGCAUGAUGAGAGCAUUCUUGUGUGACGAAAAUGGAGCAUGACUAAACUAUAUGAUUUUGUAGGGAUGAACUUUCUUUGGCCAUGUUAUUUUGAGAAGACAUAAUUGCUUAGUUAGUAUGCUUGAAGUAUUAUUAUUUUUAUGUCAAUAUGAACUUUUAUCUUGAAUCUUUCGAAUCUGAAUAUUCAUACCACAAUUAAGAAGAAUUACAUUAAAAUUAUGCCAAGUAGCACUCCACAUCAAAAUUAUCAUUUUAUCAUUUACCUACUCGAGGACGAGCAGGAAUUAAGGUUGGGGAUGCUUGAUGCGUCUCCAAUGUAUCUAUAAUUUUUGAUUGCUCCAUGCUAUAUUAUCUACUGUUUUGGACAUUAUUGGGCUUUAUUAUCCACUUUUAUAUUAUUUUUUGGGACUAAUCUAUUAACCGGAGGCCCAACCCAGAAUUGAUGUUUUUUUUCCUAUUUCAGAGUUUCGCAGAAAAGGACUAUCAAACGGAGUCCAAACGGAAUGAAACCUUCGGGAACGUGAUUUUCGGAACGAACAUGAUCCAGGAGACUUGGACCCUACAACAAGAAAUAAAGGAGGAAGCCACGAGGUAGGGUGUGCGCCUACCCCCCAGGCGUGCCCUCCACCCUCGUGGGCCCCUGUUGCUCCACCGACGUACUCCUUCCUCCUAUAUAUACCUACGUACCCCCAAACAAUCAGAAACGGAGCCAAAAACCUAAUUCCACCACCGUAAUUUUCUGUAUCGAUGAGAGCCCAUCUUGGGGCCUGUUCCGGAGCUCCGCCGGAGGGGGCAUCCGUCACGGAGGGCUUCUACAUCAUCACCAUAGCCCCUCCGAUGAAGUGUGAGUAGUUUACCUUAGACCUUCGGGUCCAUAGUUAUUAGCUAGAUGGCUUCUUCUCUCUUUUUGGAUCUCAAUACAUAGUUCUCCCGCUCUCUUGUGGAGAUCUAUUCGAUUUGAUCUUCUUUUUGCGGUUUGUUUGCUGAGACUGAUGAAUUGUGGGUUUAUGAUCAAGAUUAUCUAUGAACAAUAUUUGAAUCUUCUUUGAAUUCUUUUAUGUAUGAUUGGUUAUCUUUGCAAGUCUCUUCGAAUUAUCAGCUUGAUUUGACCUACUAGAUUGAUCUUUCUUGCAUUGGGAGAAGUGCUUAGCUUUGGGUUCAAUCUUGCGGUGUCCUUUCCCAGUUACAGUAGGGGCAAUAAGGCACGUAUUGUAUUGUUGCCAUCUAGGAUAACAAGAUGGUGUUUUUGUCAUAUUGCAUGAAUUUAUCCCUCUACAUCAUGUCAUCUUGCUUAAGGCGUUACUUUGUUUUCAUGAACUUAAUACUCUAGAUGCAUGCUGGAUAGCGGCCGAUGAGUGGAGUAAUAGUAGUAGAUGCAGGCAGGAGUCGGUCUACUUGUCUCGGACGUGAUGCCUAUAUACAUGAUCAUACCUAGAUAUUCUCAUAACUAUGCUCAGUUUUGUCAAUUGCUCAACAGUAAUUCGUUCACCCACCGUAAAAUACUUAUGCUCUUGGGAGAAGCCACGAGUGAAACCAAUGGCCCCCGGGUCUAUCUUUGUCAUAUAAAUCUUCGAAUAAUUAGUUAUUUCUUUGCUUUUUUACUUUGCUUUUAUUUACUUUGCAUCUUUAUCACAAAAAUACCAAAAAUAUUAUCUUAUCAUAUCUAUCAGAUCUCACUCUCGUAAGUGACCGUGAAGGGAUUGACAACCCCUUAUCGCGUUGGUUGCCAGGAGUUAUUUGUUUUGUGCAGGUACGAGGGACUCGCGUGUAGCCUCCUACUGGAUUGAUAACUUGGUUCUCAAAAACUGAGGGAAAUACUUACGCUACUUUGCUGCAUCAUCCUUUCUUCUUCAAGGAAAUCCAAAGCAGUGCUCAAGAGGUAGCAUGGAGUAAUAGUAGUAGAUGCAGGCAGGAGUCGGUCUACUUGUCUCGAAUGUGAUGCCUAUAUACAUGAUCAUACCUAGAUAUUCUCAUAACUAUGCUCAAUUCUGUCAAUUGCUCAAUAGUAAUUUGUUCACCCACCGUAAAAUACUUAUGCUCUUGAGAGAAGCCACUAGUGAAACCUAUGGCCCCCGGGUCUAUCUUCCAUCAUAUUAAUCUUCCAACACUUAGUUAUUUUCAUUUCCUUUUAUUUUUCUUUGCAUCUUUAUCAUAAAAAUACCAAAAAUAUUAUGUUAUCAUAUCUAUCAGAUCUCACUCUCGUAAGUGACCGUGUAGGGAUUGACAACCCCUUAUCGCGUUGGUUGCGAGGAUUUAUUUGUUUUGUGUAGGUGCGAGGGACUCCCACGUAGCCUCCUACUGGAUUGAUACAUUGGUUCUCAAAAACUAAGGGAAAUACUUAUGCUACUUUGCUGCAUCACCCUUUCCUCUUCAAGGGAAAACCAAUGCAGUGCUCAAGAGGUAGCAAGAAGGAUUUCUGGCGCCGUUGCCAGGGAGGUCUACGCAAACGUCAACAUACCAAGUACCCAUCACAACCCUUAUCUCGCGCAUUACAUUAUUUGCCAUUUGCCUCUCGUUUUCCUCUCCCCCACUUCACCCUUGCCGUUUUAUUCGCCCUCUCUCUCUCUCUACCAUCCCUCUCUUUCUCUAUUUGCCUCUUUUUUGUCCGUUCCUCAUUUGCUUGUGUGUUGGAUUGCUUGCUUGUCACGAUGGCUCAAGAUAACACUAAAUUGUGUGACUUUACCAAUACCAACAACAAUGAUUUUAUUAGCACUCUGAUUGCUCCUCUUACCGAUGUUGAAUCUUGUGAAAUUAAUGCUGCCUUGCUGAAUCUUGUCAUGAAAGAUCCGUUUUCUAGCCUUCCUAGUGAAGAUGCCGCUACCCAUCUAAAUAGCUUCGUUGAUUUGUGUGAUAUGCAAAAAAAGAAAGAUGUGGACAAUAUUAUGAAUUUCCUCCCGCUAAGAUCAUCUCUCUUAGAAACGAUAUUAUGAAUUUUAAGCAACUUGAUCAUGAACAUGUUGCACAAGCUUGGGAGAGGAUAAAAUUAAUGGUACGUAAUUGCCCAACACACUGUUUGAAUUUGUGGAUGAUUAUACAAAAUUUUUAUGCCGGAUUGAAUUUUGCUUCUAGAAAUCUUUUAGAUUCGGUCGCGGGAGGCACUUUUAUGGAAAUCACUUUAGGAGAAGCUACUAAACUCCUAGAUAAUAUUAUGGUUAAUUAUUCUCAAUGGCACACUAAAAGAUCUACUAAUAAAAAAGUGCAUGUGAUAGAAGAAAUUAAUGUUUUGAGUGGAAAGUUAGAGUGUUUCUUCUGAUCCUAAUGAUAUUCCUUUGUCUACUUUGAUUCAGAAUAAUAAUGAAUCUAUGGAUGUGAAUUUUGUUGGUAGGAAUAAUUUUGGUAACAACGCGUAUAGAGGAAACUUUAAUCCCAGGCCUUAUCCUAGUAAUGCCUCUAAUAAUUAUGGCGAUUCCUACAACAAUUCUUAUGGAAAUUUUAAUAAGAUGCCCUCUGAGUUUGAGACUAGUGUUAAGCAAUUUAUGAAUUCACAAAAGAAUUUCAAUUCUUUGCUUGAAGAGAAAUUGCUUAAAGUUGAUGAUUUGGCUAGGAACAUUGAUAGAAUUUCUCUUGAUGUUGAUUCUUUAAAACUUAGAUCUAUUCCUCCUAAGCAUGAUACAUUGAUGAGUGCAAAGAAAGAACCGCUAGGAUGCGUGCUAAGAAAGAUUCCUUUAUAAGAGCAUGUUCUCUAGUUCCUUUGAAAAUAAAGAUGAAGAUCUAAAAGUUAUUGACGUGUCCCCUAUUAAAUCUUUGUUUUGCAAUAUGAAUCUUGAUAAUGAUGGGACUGGAUAUGAUCCACCUUUACCUAGAAGGCGUUCCAAAAAUUCGCAGUUUUUAGAUCUUGAUGCUAAAUUUGAUAAAAGUGGGAUUAAAGAGAUCAAAACUCUAGAUGUUAAUGAACCUACUAUUUUGGAUUUCAAGGAAUUUAAUUGUGAUACCUGCUCUUUGAUAGAUUGUAUUUCCUUGUUGCAAUCCGUGCUAAAUUCUCCCCAUGCUUAUAGUCAAAAUAAGACUUUUACCAAACAUAUUGUUGAUGCUUUGAUGCAAUCUUAUGAAGAAAACUUGAGUUGGAAAUUUCUAUCCCUAGAAAACUUUAUGAUGAGUGGGAACCAACUAUUAAAAUUAAAAUUAAAGAUCAUGAAUGCUAUGCUUUGUGUGAUUUGGGUGCUAGUGUUUCCACGAUUCCAAAGACUUUGUGUGAUUUGUUAGGUUACCGUGAUUUUGAUCAUUGCUCUUUAAACUUGCACCUUGCGGAUUCCACUAUUAAGAAACCUAUGGGAAGAAUUAAUGAUGUCCUUAUUGUUGCAAAUAGGAACUAUGUGCCCGUAGAUUUUAUUGUUCUUGACAUAGAUUGCAAUCAUUCAUGUCCUAUUAUUCUUGGUAGACCUUUCCUUAGAACGAUUGGUGCAAUUAUUGAUAUGAAAAUAUUCAAAAAAAAUUAUUGAUAUGAAGGAAGGUAAUAUUAGAUUCCAAUUUCCGUUAAGGAAAGGCAUGUAACACUUUCCUAGAAAGAAAAUUAGAUUACCUUAUGAAUCUAUUAUGAGAGCCACUUAUGGAUUGCCCACCAAAGAUGGCAAUACCUAGAUCUAUCCUUGCUUUUUAUGCCUAGCUAGGGGCGUUAAACGAUAGCGCUUGUUGGGAGGCAACCCAAUUUUAUUUUUAUUCCUUGAUUUUUGCUCCUGUUUAGUAAUAAAUAAUUUAUCUAGCCUCUGUUUUGGUUGUGUUUUUUGUGUUUAAUUAGUGUUUGUGCCAAGUAGAACCGUUGGGAAGACUUGGGGAAAGUCUUGUUAAUCUUGCUGUAAAAAUAGAAACUUUAGCACUCACGAGAACUGCGGCCAUUUUUAUUUGGAAAGUGAUAUUUAGUUAAUUCUUUUUGAAGAUGAUUAAUAGAUAAAUUUCUCACGUCCAGCAAUUUAUAUUAGAAUUUUUGGGGUCCCAGAUCUUGCGCUAGCAACAGAUUACUACAGACUGUUCUGUUUUUGACAGAUUCUGUUUUUCGUGUGUUGUUUGUUUAUUUUGAUGAAUCUAUGGCUAGUAAAAUAGUUUAUAAAUCAUAGAGAAGUUGGAAUACAGUAGGUUUAAUACUAAUAUAAAUAAAUAAUGAGUUCAUUAUAGUACCUUGAAGUGGUAUUUUGUUUUCUUUCGCUAACGGAGCUCACGAGAUUUUCUACUUUAAGUUUUGUGUUGUGAAGUUUUCAAGUUUUGGGUAAGGAUUUGAUGGAUUAUGGAACAAGGAGUGGAAAGAGUCUAAGCUUGGGGAUGCGCAUGGCACCCCCAAGAUAAUCUAAGGACACCAAAAAGCCAAAGCUUGGGGAUGCCCCGGAAGGCAUCCCCUCUUUCGUCUACUUCCAUCGGUAACUUUAUUUGGAGCUAUAUUUUUAUUCAUCACAUGAUAUGUGUUUUGCUUGGAGCAUCUUGUAUGAUUUGAGUCUUUUCUUUUUAGUUUACCACAAUCAUAUUUUCUGUAAACACCUUUUGAGAGAGACACACAUGAUUCGGAAAUUAUUAGAAUACUCUAUGUGCUUCACUUAUAUAUAUUUUGAGUUAUAUAGUUUUGCUCUAGUACUUCACUUAUAUCUUUUAGAGCACGGUGGUGGAUUUGUUUUAUAUAAACUAUUGAUCUCUCAUGCUUCACUUAGAUUAUUUUGAGAGUCUUAAAUAGCAUGGUAAUUUGCUUAAAUAAUCCUAAUAUGCUAGGUAUUCAAGAUUAGUAAAAAACUUUCUUAUGAGUGUUUUGAAUACUAAGAGAAGUUUGAUGCUUGAUGAUUGUUUUGAGAUAUGGAGGUAGUGAUAUUAAAGUUGUGCUAGUUGAGUAGUUGUGAAUUUGAGAAAUACUUGUUUUGAAGUUUGCAAGUCCCGUAGCAUGCACGUAUGGUAAACGUUAUGUAACAAAUUUGAAACCUGAGGUGUUCUCUGAUUGUCCUCCUUAUGAGUGGCGGUCGGGGACGAGCGAUGGUCUUUUCCUACCAAUCUAUCUCCCUAGGAGCAUGCGCGUAGUGCUUGGUUUUUGAUGACAUGUAGAUUUUUGCAAUAAGUAUGUGAGUUCUUUAUGACUAAUGUUGAGUCCAUGGAUUAUACGCACUCUCACCUUUCCAUCAUUGCUAUCAACUUCGGUACCGUGCAUUGCCCUUUCUCACAUUGAGAGUUGGUGCAAACUUCACCGGUGCAUCCAAACCCCGUGAUAUGAGACGCUCUUUCGCAGAUAAACCUCCUUAUAUCUUCCUCAAAACAGCCACCAUACCUACUUAUUAUGGCAUUUCCAUAGCCAUUCAGAGAUAUAUUGCCAUGCAACUUUCCACCAUCCCGUUUAUCAUGACACGUAAAUCAUUGUCAUAUUGUUUAGAAUGAUCAUGUAGUUGACAUAGUAUUUGUGGCAAAGCCACCGUUCAUAAUUCUUUCAUACAUGUCACUCUUGGUUCAUUGCAUAUCCCAUUACACCGCCGGAGGCAUUCAUAUAGAGUCAUACCAUGUUCUAGUAUCGAGUUGUAAUCAUUGAGUUGUAAGUAAAUAGAAGUGUGAUGAUCAUCAUUUAAUAGAGCAUUGUCCCAAUAAAAAAAGAGAACGGCCAAAUAAAAAAAAAAGAAGGCCCAAAAAAAGAGAAAUGAAAAGGCCCAAAAAAGAGAGAGAGAAAAAGAGAGAAGGCACAAUGCUACAAUCCUUUGCCACACUUGUGCUUCAAAGUAGCACCAUGAUCUUCAUGAUAGAGAGUCUCUUGUUUUGUCACUUUCAUAUACUAGUGGGGAUUUUUCAUUAUAGAACUUGACUUGUAUAUUCCAACAAUGGGCCUCCUCAAGUGCCCUAGGUCUUCGUGAGCAAGCAAGUUGGAUGCACACCCACUUAGUUUCUUUUGUUGAGCUUUCAUACAUUUAUAGCUCUAGUGCACCCGUUGCAUGGCAAUCCCUACUCCUUGCAUUAACAUCAAUCGAUGGGCAUCUCCAUAGCUCAUUGAUUAGCCUCGUUGAUGUGAGACUUUCUCCUUUUUUGUCUUCUCCACAUAACCCCCGUCAUUAUACUCUAUUCCACCCAUAGUGCUAUAUCCAUGGCUCACGCUCGUGUAUUGUGUGAAGGUUUAUAAAGUUUGAGAUUACUAAACUAUGAAACAAUAGCUUGGCUUGUCAUCGGGGUUGUGCAUGAUGAGAGCAUUCUUGUGUGACGAAAAUGGAGCAUGACUAAACUAUAUGAUUUUGUAGGGAUGAACUUUCUUUGGCCAUGUUAUUUUGUGAAGACAUAAUUACUUAGUUAGUAUACUUGAAGUAUUAUUAUUUCUAUGUCAAUAUUAAACUUUUAUCUUGAAUCUUUUGGAUUUGAAUAUUCAUACCACAAUUAAGAAGAAUUACAUUGAAAUUAUGCCUUGUAGCAUUCCACAUCAAAAAAUUUGUUUUUAUCAUUUACCUACUCGAGGACGAGCAGGAAUUAAGCUUGGGGAUGCUUGAUGCGUCUCCAACGUAUCUAUAAUUUUUGAUUGCUCCAUGCUAUAUUAUCUUUUGUUUUGGACAUUAUUAGGCUUUAUUAUUCACUUUUAUAUUAUUUUUGGGAAUAACCUAUUAACCGGAGGCCCAACCCAGAAUUGCUGUUUUUUACCUAUUUCAGAGUUUCACAGAAAAAUAAUAUCAAACGGAGUCCAAACGGAAUGAAACCUUUGGGAACGUGAUUUUCGGAACGAACAUGAUCCAGGAGACUUGGACCCUACAUCAAGCAACCAACAGGGAAGCCACGAGGUAGGGGGCGCGCCUACCCCCCCUCCCCUAGGCGCGCCCUCCACCCUCGUGGCCCCCCUGUUGCUCCACCGACGUACUCCUUCCUCCUAUAUAUACCUACGUACACCCAAACGAUCAGAAACGGAGCCAAAACCCUAAUUCCACCGCCGUAACUUUCUGUAUCCACGAGAUCCCAUCUUGGGGCCUGUUCCGGAGCUCCGCCGGAGGGGGCAUCGAUCACAGAGGGCUUCUACAUCAACACCAUAGCCUCUCCGAUGAUGUGUGAGUAGUUUACCUCAGACCUUCGAGUCCAUAGUUAUUAGCUAGAUGGCUUCUUCUCUCUUUUUGGAUCUCAGUACAAUGUUCUCCCCCUCUCUCGUGGAGAUCUAUUCGAUGUAAUCUUCUUUUACGGUGUGUUUGUUGAGACCGAUGAAUUGUGGGUUUAUGAUCAAGUUUCUCUAUGAACAAUAUUUGGAUCUUCUGAAUUCUUUUAUGUAUGAUUGGUUAUCUUUGCAAGUCUCUUUGAAUUAUCAGUUUGGUUUGGCCUACUAGAUUGGUCUUUCUUGCAAUGGGAGAAGUGCUUAGCUUUGGGUUCAAUCUUGCGGUGUCCUUUCCUAGUGACAGUAGGGGCAGCAAGGCACGUAUUGUAUUGUUGCCAUCGAGGAUAACAAGAUGGAGUUUAUUUCAUAUUGCAUGAAUUUAUCCCUCUACAUCAUGUCAUCUUGCUUAAAGCGUUACUCUGUUCUCUUGAACUUAAUACUCUAGAUGCAUGUUGGAUAGCGGACGAUGUGUGGAGUAAUAGUAGUAGAAGCAGGCAGGAGUCGGUCUACUUGUCUCGGACGUGAUUCCUAUAUACACGAUCAUACCUAGAUAUUCUAAUAACUAUGCUCAAUUCUGUCAAUUGCUCAACAAUAAUUUGUUCACCCAUCGUAAAAUACUUAUGCUCUUGAGAGAAGCCACUAGUGAAACCUAUGGCCCCCGGGUCUAUCUUCCAUCAUAUUAAUCUUCCAACACUUAGUUAUUUUUACUGCCUUUUAUUUUGCUUUGCAUCUUUAUCAUAAAAUACCAACAAUAUUAUCUUAUCAUAUCUAUUAGAUCUCACUAUCGUAAGUGACCGUGUAGGGAUUGACAACCCCUUAUCGCGUUGGUUGCGAGGAUUUAUUUGUUUUGUGUAGGUGCGAGGGACUCGCGCGUAGCCUCCUACUGGAUUGAUACCUUGGUUCUCAAAAACUGAGGGAAAUACUUACGCUACUUUGCUGCAUCACCAUUUCCUCUUCAAGGGAAAACCAACGCAGUGCUCAAGAGGUAGCAUCAGUGUCGCCGAGGUGCGACGCGGAGGGGUGGGAGAAGGGCAGCACGCCACGACGGAGAAGGGGCGUCGAGGAGGAUGCGUAGGCGGCGGCAAGUAGUUGCACGGAGGGUCCUGCAUGCCGGCGAAGGCGUCCGCUGGGCCGGGUGACCAUGGGGGAAGGUGAUGUUGUGGAUGAACCCAUCGUGCACGUCCCCGUCGGUGUAGCCCGACAACGGCGAGCAGCCCCAGGGUUGCGGCGACGACGAGAAGCCGGCCGGAGAGCCGACGAUUUGCUAGCUCCAGGGCGCGUACUGACCGUGGACGUCGGGUGGAUUCAUCAUACCCACUUGAGCCGCCUCGGCUUGUUCGGCCGAGCGCUCCGCCGCCGCCGCAGCCACGAGUGCCGCGCUGUCCCUUGCCUUCUUGGAGUUGGCCCUGUUCCGCCGGUCGGUGGUGACAGCCUCCCGACGUUGAACUUCAGCCCUCCAGUCGGCGUUGGACAUGCCCGGGGGCUUGGACGGCGACGUCCUCGGUUUCCUCUGCUUCGGCUGGGCGACGGCGGCGGUCGCAACCUUCGCGGCACGGGGGACCACGUACUUCUUCGGCGGCAUGGCGGCCGGCGCGCAGAGGGAGCAGGAGGAGAUUGACGGGAGGAAUGGAGAGAAUGAGAGGGAAGCCCGGGGAAUCUGGAAAAACGGCGGGAAAAGGCCCUCCUCUCACCGAUAAAGCGGCCCCACACCCCUUUUCGCUUGUUCCGACGCCCCCAGGCGCCCCCAGCGCGCCGGGUUUGGCUCGGGUGCGCCGGCUGUUAUUUCGGUCCAACCCGGCAAAAAACGGACUNNNNNNNNNNNNNNNNNNNNNNNNNNNNNNNNNNNNNNNNNNNNNNNNNNNNNNNNNNNNNNNNNNNNNNNNNNNNNNNNNNNNNNNNNNNNNNNNNNNNNNNNNNNNNNNNNNNNNNNNNNNNNNNNNNNNNNNNNNNNNNNNNNNNNNNNNNNNNNNNNNNNNNNNNNNNNNNNNNNNNNNNNNNNNNNNNNNNNNNNNNNNNNNNNNNNNNNNNNNNNNNNNNNNNNNNNNNNNNNNNNNNNGCUGGAGAUGCUCUAACUAAAGUAAAAUAGUCUAACUAUAACUCGUCUUUUUACUAGUACAUGUGAAACAUUAUGAUAUGCUAUGAGAUAAAACAAAAAACACAAAACCGGUAAGGUGGUUGAUGGCUGGUAUAUAUCCAAACAGCCCCAAAAGUAACUAAAUAAAAAGUGUUUGACUAUAACUGGAAAUUCACUUUGGCACAUGAGAGCAUAUACUUCUGUCAUUGGUAUUUUUUUUAAAUGCUGAGAAGUUCCCAACAAAAUUUGGGAAGUACAUCUUGCCAUUCUAUUUGUGCACGCCAAUCUUCACGGAAAACCGGCAUUUUCCAGGCCUAUGUAGAAAAGAUGAAAAAAUGUAUCGUGAAAAGUCCUUUUUUAACACUAAAUUUGUCUUUUUUCACACGUGACACAAAAAUUGUCGGUUUUGCGUGAAAUGACUUUGUUAACGCGUAGAAUGUUGAGACAUAUUUGUGGAUUUUUUUAUCAGAAUUUUGUGGCAUUUCAAAAUAUGUUUAAACCACAUUUUUAAAGACAGAAGCAUAUGCUCCCGAGUGCCAAAAAGCCCCUCUCAACUAAUACUUUCUUUUGCGGGUGACUAUACUCUUCUAUUUACUAGUACAUAUGAAAUAUUAUGAUGCUCUAAGAUAAUACAAAAAACACAACAAAGACAACCUAGACAGAACUAGUAAGCGUGGCAUGAAUCUCCAGAUGACAACGCACGGCAUUCCGACAGCGACGGCUCUCUGAAAAUGGAAUAUGAUUCUCCUUGCCUAGCCCCAUUUCGGCAGUGCUUCUACCAUCGUUGGAGGGUGUUUGUCUCCGGCGAAUCUCAUGGGAUUCGGUCGACGUUUGUCCUCGGUGGAUCCACAUGGAUCAGGUCUUUAUUCGUCAGUGGUCAUUUGUCCAUUGGUUAGAUUUUUCCAAUCUACGCAUCUUUUCAUCGGCGGCGGAUGCUGUUCAAGUGCAUUAGUCCAGUAAGGAUUAGCACGAUGACUUCCUGACUGUCUACUACGAAAAUAAUUGCCCGACCCCGGUGAGUAAGGGGCAAUGACGGCGGCGUGCCUUCGGUUAGCUACAGUGCUUGUAGUCAUUGCUAGAUGGUCAAUAGAUCUGGAUGUAAUAUUUACUUAUGUGGUUUUUUAGACUACCUUGAUAGCUGAUGAAUAGGUCGAAAGCUUUUCCUGUAAAAAAAUGAAAAGUGAUAUAUAUUGUUGGUCCAGAAGACACGGUGCUAGAGCCACCGGGAUUAGUUCACGGGGUNNNNNNNNNNNNNNNNNNNNNNNNNNNNNNNNNNNNNNNNNNNNNNNNNNNNNNNNNNNNNNNNNNNNNNNNNNNNNNNNNNNNNNNNNNNNNNNNNNNNNNNNNNNNNNNNNNNNNNNNNNNNNNNNNNNNNNNNNNNNNNNNNNNNNNNNNNNNNNNNNNNNNNNNNNNNNNNNNNNNNNNNNNNNNNNNNNNNNNNNNNNNNNNNNNNNNNNNNNNNNNNNNNNNNNNNNNNNNNNNNNNNNNNNNNNNNNNNNNNNNNNNAAAGCCAGUCACAAAUCCGCGUGUCUAGGAUUAUCGCUUCAGUAAUGCUUCAAGGUGCUGUUUGACUUCAACUAUAUGACUCUUCUGUGACUUUUACGACUUUUUAUUAUCUUCACAUGUAUGCAUAAACAGGUACAUGUAGAUAAAAAUCAUGGAAUAUGUGUGAAAAAUGUUUUUCUACCUUGGAUCCAUCGUUCUUCGUGCUUGUGCACUCGGUUUUCACUGAUACACAAUGGAACACAAAGAUACACUUCGUAACGAGAAGAGAUUAAAUGCACGCCAACACUCAAAAAAUUGGUAAGGCCGCGGUUGAUAGCUGCUAUCCAACCAGCCCCAAAAGCAACUAAAUUAAAAUAGUCUAAUAUAAUUCAUCUUUUUACUAGUACAUAUGAAACAUUAUGAUGCUCUAAGAUAAUAAAACAAAAAACACAACAAAACUUUAUUUAUGUAACAACCUAAAAUAAAACAAGACAACUUAGACAGAACUAGUAAGCGUGACAUGAAUCUCCAGAUGACAACGCACAACACGUCAGAUGUGGCAAUUUCAAAGUGUUUGUCGUGUGUACAAGAAAAUCACAUGGUUGUAACGAAACAAUAGAUUAAUGAAAGAAAAAGAUUUGGAAGACAAAGGAGCUAUAACAAUCUUACAGUAAUUUACAGGGAAAAAGGGAUAUUCACGAAUCAAAACAGCCUUAUACUUCGUCGGUGGUUUAAUGGUUAACCACGCUGCACUUCUUCCUGAUCUCGCCCUGGCUGCCGGUGAGAGGAUUGGCAUUGCCCAUCUUGAUCAUGGAGGCAGCGAAGUCAGCGAAGAACUCGUCCUUGAAGGCGCCGGUGGCAUGACGCUGGACGUAGGCGCGGGUGAAGGGGUCGGUGAGUAGGGCGCCGUCAGAGUGGAAGAGGCCCCUCCGCUUGCUCACCAGCUUGAAGUAGUCGGUGUCGAAGGUCUUGAAGCUGCCGGGGUCCAUCUCCACGUGGGUGGUGUUGUCGUUGAGGCUGGCACACUUGCUCUUUAGCCGCAUCAUGUACUGCGGCUCCAGCGAGGGGUCGAUAUCGCUGGGGUUCUCCAUGCCGGUGAAGUUGUAGAGCCGGUCGGAGAAGGAGAAGCAGUGCGACGUCCCGAUGGUGUGCCCGGCGGACAAGACGACAAGGUCCUUUGCGUCGAGGUUCACGGCGGCGAAGAGCUGGGUGAGCACGGUGAGGUUGGAGGUCGGGGGUGGCAGAGCGUCGGUCUCGUUGGAAAUGGACACGCUGCCGUCUCGCCGGCCGAGAGGAACUGUCCAGAAUGGACCCUUGCUC
rnacentral:lncRNA from 1 species